GGGAAGAAUAUGAGAUCAUUGAUAGAACCUAAAUACAAAUUCAAUCAAUUCAUUAAGCCAUCAAAAGUUAGUUAUAAACCAAUAUAUCUUAACAUAUGUAAUUUACCAUCAUCUAAAACCACUAUAUCCUAACAUAUGUAAUGUACCAUUAUCAAUUUUCGCUAUGUUAUGUCUGUAUAGCCUAAUAUGUUUGGCUUGGUUUUGUCUAAUAUGUUUAGCUUGGUUUUGUAUCCUUUCCAAACAUAUGAAUAUUUACUCAAGCGCAUGUUUGGGCCAUCUGAACAUUGAGUGGUUUGAUAUCUCUGCAGCGCAUGUAGGUCAGAAACUGACCAGGCAGCUCCUCCAAAAGUGCUUGUACAACAGAAAUUUGCCCACCUGUUCAGAAAACAAUGUGUUCAUUUGUUAAGGCAUGAAAAAAUUCAGAAACUUUUGUGAAUUAACUCCCAAAUUCAAUAUUUUGAACUAAUUUUGUCAAAGAAUCAUAUGCACUCACUAUGAACUUCUCGCAUUGGAACAAAUUGUACUAUAUCUCUGGUAGCUACCCGAUCAGUAGAGCUCUCUAAUCUACGGCCAUUAUCAGCAUCAAGAAUCUGCCAACAAAGUUAUCAGCAUAAAAAAUCUGCAACAAAAGUGGGAUAAUACCACACUGCAUAUGUACUCUAAAUUGAAUCUAUCAAACUAUAGAAAAAAGAAGUCCAUUGCUAGUAAGAAGAUAUUCCAGUUAGAAAACAUUGUGUACCUCCAUUUGUGUAAAAUCUGCACCUCCCACACCCACAAUUAGAAUUGACAGGGGAAGAUCAGAAGCCCUUACCAAAGCAUCUUUUGUUUCUUGGAGAUCUGUCAGAACUCCAUCCUAAAUAGACAAUGCAAAUUUACAAAUCACCCAAAAAGAAUGAUAGAAAGAGAAAACUGUGAAUAUAUAGAAUCAUUGUAAUCACCGUUAUAAUGAGUAAGACGAAAUACUUGCUUCUGUCGUAUGAGAGGGACUGUCCAGCAAUUCGUGCAGCGGUGUUGAUCACUUGACCAAACAGAGUCGGUCCUGCCAAAGCAACAUUGUUUAGAGCGCUUGCAUAAGCAGCCAUAAUGCCUUCAACUCCAUCUACCUAUUAAAUAAAGAAACCAGCAGUUAAUGAAAAAAUGGAAGAGGAUAAAAUCCACAUCUUUUAGGAUAAAAUUCCAAGGAAAUUUUAAAAAAAAUGUAGAAACAUAUUAUAUUGUUUGUUAUUAAAAAUGAAAAGUUAUGGGAGACAAGCCAACCAAAUAAGGAUUAUAGCAAAGUUGCGAACUCCAGCUACCCCUACCUCAAAGCCACCUGCUCUUCCAUUCAAGUUUAAACAAUGUGAUACAGUGCCAUCAAAUGUCUUCCCUCCAAAUCCCCAUGCAGGAAAGCGUCUAUCAGAAUCAUAAAAUUGUAUGACCUCCCCAAUUUCCGUUAUUGCCUGUAAAUGGUUUAAGAGGCCAAUAACUAAUCAGUGAUAUUCUCUCUCAACUUCUACAAACUAUUGAAAUAUGUAUCUCACUAUGACGGGCACAGAAAAAGUUGAAAGUCACAGGCAUUUUCUAAGUCGAAAACACUGGACAAAAUGACCAUUUUAUGACCUUCAGAGUUCAGAGAUCACUUGUCAAAGUGCGAGUCAUAACAAAACCUUACCUGCUGGUAAGAAUUCAAUCUGCCUGAAGGAUCAAUAUAGUGCAAAGAAUUUGGAUUUCGAGGAUUUCCAUUUGAAGCUGGAUGAUUUUGCAUUUAAUGAGAGACAAGAUGAAAUUGGACCAAAUAAGAGGAAAUAAACAAAACAAAAAGAUUAUAUUGCAAAUUUAUCUUCAACAAGUAAUCUCUUUCUAAUUACCUGUAAAGUCGACUGCAACCAUAAAAUUCAACUCAAACCCACUAGAUAUGUAAUCCAGGAAACUAUAUUGCUCUUGCUCAACGAACUUUUCAACAAACAACUGACUUUUCAGAACCUAGGAAAAAGUCAGAUAAAAAAUAAAGUGAUAUUAAAUUAUCAAAAACUGUAAGCAUGAACAAACACCUUUGGUGGAGUUAAAACAAAAAAGAAUAAACACCUUGUCAUGGCCACGUUGAGUUGAUGGUAACAUAAAAGUUGCACCAGUUCUUUCUUGAUGAAGUUUCUCCAGGUCUCCAACUGAUUUCUGAAUUUUACUAAUAACAGAAAUAGAAAACCUUGACAUCAGAAAGGCAAAAGGAUAAAAGAGGGAAGCUGAUGACAUUAAGAAAUUUAACAGUUACCCCAUCAGUACGUGAUUUCCACUGGUAUUGAAAUCAAAACAUUCAAUGAUUAAUGGGUUUUCCUGUACCAAAGAAAAUCAUAUACUAAAAAACAUUUCCCCAUGACCAAACUUCACUACCUAAUAUACAUUUAAGUAACAAGCACAAGAAGAUGAUAAGGUUACCUUGCUCACAAAUUGCUGCAUGCUCAAAGUUAUUGGUCUCCAAAUGGGAUUCAAGUUAUUGUUUAUCACCUCCGUCUUGUAGAUAGGAACAGAAUUUCCACUCUCAACAAUUCUAGAUAUUCUUAAGAAUGGAUCCUAUGCAAUAUAAGAAGAAGAAAAAAUAGCAUCUAAAUUAAUAGAUUAAUUAGUGAACCUCCAAACUUAGCUACUUUUUCAGAACUUACACUUUUGGAAAACAGGUCUACAUUUUGCAAAUGCGAGCAACGGAAUGCUAUUUCAACAGCACUCUUGGAAGCAACCGUUUCCUCAGCAUGGACAGAGAGUGUCCCAAAGUUUCUUGAAACUCGAAGCCCAUAAUUGUUAUGGAGUUUUAAGGUUAAAGUUCGAUUGUGUUUGGUCACUAUCUGCCAUUUAAAAGGAAAAUAUGACACUUGUUAGUGCAAAACAAGAAUGCUAAAGAAGAAGACGAAUGCUAGUAAAAAGCAUCUGAGAAUAUUUUGCCCUUUUUUUAUAGGAAACAGAUUUUUACAGAAAAUUAGAUGGGCAUAUUUUGCCCAUUGAAUAAAGAGAAAAUACAUAAAUUCAUCAAACAAAAUAUAACCCAGAAGCUUACCUCAGAGAGAACACAGCCAGCUUCUCCCAGGAAGUCUUGAUCCUCCAACUUUAGCAUCUGCAGGGCAAUGUAAAUAAGAAGUUUGAACUUUAAACUUCACGCUUCAACAACUAUUUUGUCAUGAGAUAAUAAUGUCUUGAAAGUAAUUAGGGAUCACUGCAGCAAAGAAUCAAAAGAACACUAGAUUCCCUACUUAAUGUCUUAGAAUCCAUCUGGAUUUGUUCAUUUUCUCUUUCCACUAGCAUAAAUUUAAAUAUUUCUCAUUUUUCCCAUUAAUGUUAAUACCAUUUACAAUUGACAUAAAUAAUAAUCACAUUUUUAGAUUAUCUAACUGUUUUCAGCAAAUGCUUCCAAAUGAUUACAGUUUCUAGGAUUAUAACCAUAAAUUUUUUUUCAUUUUGAAUCAAAUUCCACAGACGAAUACAUCAUAGGCUCUAAAGAUUUACUUAUCCAUUCCAAUACUUACAAUAUGGUCAUUUUUUACAGAAACUUCUUUAGGUCAUGGCAGCAACUAUUUAACUGUAUUGUUUUUAACAACAUAGAUCAAAAUUCCAUUUUGGAAAAAAGAAAAUUUAGCCGUAAGGACCAUCAGAAAAAUUGUUCUUUCCCAGUUAUGGUAGCAGGACAAAUAUGUCAAACCUUGCAAGAUGCAAUAACAGAAAGUUCCAUAAUAACUAUCCUGGCCUUAAGAUUUGUUUAUGAUAUACGACAGCCAACUUUUUAAGUUUCUUGCCAUGCUAAGUGUUAGUUUAUAAUCAAUCAAGUGUUCACAAAUUUCCCGAAAUUGAUAGAAACUAUUGCUGAUGCAAUUUAGUUGAGACGUAUGCUUAGACAACAAAUGGAUCAGUCAAAUGCCUUGGCUAACUCUAAACUUUGGAACUGAAGUAUGUGCAUAAUUAAGAAAUUUUUAUAUACCUUCACUGGAAUAUUGUGGUACUUGGUAUCCACAUCAUACACACGAAAACUGGAAAAAGAAGAAAAGCAUUAAGUAAUUCGAAAACAUUAAAUAUUAUCAAAUCAAGCAAGGCUUAUGAGAAAUGAUAAGCAAAUGACCUAUCAAGGGGAAAAAAAAAACAAACUUUAAAAAGAACAUAGUAAAAUCUUACAGCAAGGGCUGGACGAUCUCAAACUGAAAAGCAAUUGAAAUCUUUCCAAUCCAAGCAGGAUUCAGAUUGUUCAUAAUCACCUCUGUACGUCCAAUCUCCACCAGCCUCCCAUCUCUUUUCUUUGCAUACACAACUGCAAUGGGAUCACUCUAUGACACAAAAAGUCAUGUAAAUACAUUUGCUUGUGAGUAUAAAAAUAAAAAGACAGAAGGCCUAUGGGUAUGUAUCCACUUAUGUCAUAUAAAAUAUAAACAUAUAUUAGUUAAAUAACUUUAGUUAGUAAUCCACAUUAAAAUACAGCAGCAUUUGAUGUAUGCUAGUAUCAGCUAGUAAAAAGAUAUACCGCUGAUAAAUGUUCAUUAUCAAAGAAUUUUAUCUUGCACAUAUAACAUAUUUGACUAGUGCACAAAAUUGCAAAAACAAUAAAACCACCAACCAUGACUUGUUAUACAUUAUCUGGAACUCUCAAGUUACUGCUCCUUACUGGAUUACAUUGGAUAUAGACAGUGUAUAUAACAAACUAUUCUUCUUUGUCUAAGUUUAGAAUUUUGGUGCCAGCACUAAGCGUUAUUCAGAUCAUAUAUCCCUAGACCCUUCAUGAACAGAGAAAGGAUAUUGACAGGGCCAUUAUGAACAAAUAAGCAGAUCAUAUAAGGAGGAUACAAGAUAAUAUGAGAAUCAAUCACCAAGACUACCAACAGCAUGAACAUGGCAUUACUAGACAUAAGACAACAAUAAUAUGAAGGCGUACCUUUGAUGCGAUGUCAAGAUCACGCAACUUUGAAGCAGAUAAAGAUAACUGCAAUAUAUAUUCAAAAACAUACGAACGAAUACAGAUACAUGAAAAAGCGGAAAAGGAGUAAUCCAUGCAUAUGCUGCACGAAAUGAAAAUUGUCAGUACGAUGUGGGUCAACUGACAGGCAAUAUAUAUCUGUCAUAAACAGAACAUGUAGAAAACCAUCAUUUCCGAUUCUGACAGAAUCACUUCUAAUAUUAAAUCUUAUAAGCAGCAAGCAAUAAUAUAUGUAAUUAAGUUUUAUAUAACAACAGGAUGUGACACGUCAAUUACAAGCAUUGAACCACAUUUAAUUUGUUAUCAUAUGACUUGUUGCCUUUUCUCCAGGAAAGUUUGCAAGGAGAUCCUCAGGUAAGGUCCACAUCAAUACAGGAAUAUUACAAUCACUUGGUGGUCCACGUUAUGGAAAGACAUUCUUAUCCUCGUAACAACAUAAUCCUUAAUCCACAAUCUUUUAUAAAGUUAAUGGUUUGUCUUAUGCAAACCAGCAUUCACAAAAUCAUGUUCCAAUCAGGGGAGCAUUAUCAUGGGGAAUCUUCACGAGGGGUAUAAGUCAAAUUUGAUCACGAGGGGUAUGAGUUAAAUUUGAUAAAUGAGGCAUAACAGAAUAGUCAACUUUGAGGAUACACAGGAAAACCACUGUGCAUUCAACAGGAUCAAACAUCAACUUUCUCAAUGUUCACAAGGCCAUUGUGCAUUCAACGCCAUUCUUUUUUUAUUUACCUUAACCAAUCUUAAUCUAAAAUUCACUCCACAGAAUGUUGUUAUUGGGUAUAAGCAGUUAAACUUACUGUUCUCCAUAUGCAAAACAAAAGCACUUGCUUGGUGUGAAACCGUCGAACCAACACCAGCAAAAGAAUUGGUAGAUUUGUAAUGAAAUAUGAAGAAACAGCAAGGUAUUAAUUGAAGAAUUCAAUUUCUCAUUAUAUUUGGACAUUUGGACGUCAUUAAUGUUAAUUGAUUUUUUCCGCGUAAAAAACUUCCCGAUUGAUUUUGUUCCUCCAAAUGCCAUUCAUUGGAAAUAAGUUUAUUUUUCUGACAACUUCAACUCAUAAAUUUAAUUAUUUUGUUAUAAUAAUAGGUUGAAUAAUUCUAUGUAUUACGACAAAAAAAAAGAAUCUUAAUUUUAUAUCAUAUAUAAUUAUAUAUAUAUAGACUCAAGCAAGAGUAUUAUUUAUCAUGUAAUUUAUUAAACUAAUCUCACCUAAAAAGUUGUUGAGAAAAGACAGUAAGUUAAUAAAUAUUUCGUCUUCCCCAAGGUUUUUGAUUAAAAGAAUGACUUGAUAUGGCUGAUGUUGAUAAAUUAAAAAGGGAAAAAUAAUAAACAAUGGAGGAAUUUUCAAAUUAGGUCAACAAUCGUAGUCUAUUUAAUUUCGUAAUAAUGGCAAUGACGAAGCCCUUAUAACAUAAGCUUGCAAACGUAAUCAAGAUAUCCGUGGAAAACAAGCAACAAUUGCAAUGGGGUGGAAUAAAAUGUCUAAUAUUUAAAUUUUUUAUUUCAAUUUCUAUUUAUAUAAUUUAUUUAAUUUAUAAUAAAGAUGAAUAAUUAAAUAAAUUUUAAAAUAUCUUAAAAUAAGAAUAAUACUAUAAAAUUAUGAUAAAUGAAAGUUAUUGAUUAUUAUGAAAACAAUAAGAAGAGAAAUGUCAUGUAUUAAUUUCUACAUGAAGGAAACUGCCAACCUCCCUUUAAUAUGUUGUGACAAUCAUUAGAAUUUCAAUAAAAUGAUUUUGUUGACGAAGCCCUUAUAACAUAAGCAUACAAACGUAAUCAAGAUGUCUGUGGAAAGCAAGUAACAUUUAACAAUUCCAGUGGGGUGGAAUAAAAUGGCAUUCACAGUCAACUACUAAGGUACUGAAGGUUCAAUCGUUUAAGGGUAUUGAUAGUUUCAAUAAAAUGACAAACUCCUCUACAUAAUCAAUAGUCAUUGAUCACGUACGUGUACAUUUAAGUUGGAAAAAGAAGAAGAAGAAGAAGAUUAUAGUAUAAUAAAAUCAGAAUGCGUAUGUCAUAACUAAUUUCACUAAAUGGUUAUAAUACGUUUUAUGUACUUGAGAUUUUCUCAUAAUUCCUUUAUCCAUAACACUGGUAAUAAAGUCCGAUUAUAUAUAGGCAUGCACACUUUUUUCAUGGGGGAUUGAUAAUAAAAUUUUAUAGUGGGUAAUUGGUUGCAACCGUGUUGGUAGAUACACCUACCUAAUAUUAAUUAAUGAUUGAAAAGAAGAACAUUUAGUUCAUAGUUAAACCAAGAUUGUUACAGAAAAGGGAAAAGACUAAGACAGUGCUCAUGAAGUGGAUAGAAAUAACAGAGAAAGAAAUAGCUAUAUACAAUAAAAUAUUUCUCCUAUAUAGUCAUAUAUCCUUUAUAUAGAAAGAAAAUAUUUCUCCUAUGUAGUCAUACUUUAUAUAAAAAUAAUUUUUAUUUAAUUAUAAAAAAGAUUUAAUCUCAAUUUAAGUUAGUUAUAAAUAAGGAUAUACUCUAUAUUAUAAUAAGUUAUAAUUUUUUUAAGUCUUGUCUAAAAAAAAAUUGUCUCUACAUAGUCAUAUUAUUUGUAUAUUGCAAAAAAGUAUAGACUUUUUUUUUAAUUAAGCCUAUCUUUAUUAUCAAUUUCUGACAUAAUUCAGUAAUUAAUUAUUAAUAUAGUGGAUAUUUGACCUCUAAUUUAAUUGCACGAAGGAUAAGUAAGUGAAAACGAUAAUUUCUGUAACUAUAUCUUUACUAAGUUAAUUAUAACAUUCUCAUAUUAAUAAAAUUAAUUUGCCCCAAUAUUAUGAUUAUAGAGAAAUUGGACUAUAUUUGCAAAUUUUGAAAAUGAUGGUCAUGACUUAUGUGCUCGAUCUGUGAUUUUACGUUGAGGUUGGUAGAGCUGAACCAUCAAAACGUUUAAAGCAUAUUGUCGUUAGUCUUUGUUUCCGAGUAGACAAAAGUGUCAAAUACUAUGUUUAUCAAUAAGAACAUUAUUGAAUCUUUUUUUUCUUUUUUAAAUGACAAAUGAGAGAUGAAUUCAAAUUAAUUAGGAAUUUUUAUCCAUUAUUUAUUAGAGUUGUGCUAGUAUUUUUUUUUUUAAAAAAAACUACUAAUUACAACAACCUUAAGUAAAACAAACAUAUAUUAUAUAGCUCAUCAUGUGAGCACGGAAUCCGACAUUCCUUUGAGACUUAUAUAUCUCUCAAAUUAAAAUACCGCAAACAAGAAUAUUAAACAAAGUAAUAAUCAAAAUAACACAUUUCCUUGCAACGACUCAUUAUGAUUCCAAGUGAAAUGGUUCGUUCGACCAAAAAAUGCUGGAAAAAAUGUAAUUCAAGUUGGCUUCCUCUUUCAUAUUCAGUUCAGAACUUUAGAUUUGGUGUAAAUGAAGGGAAAAUGCCUACGAAUAUGUUCUCAGCUUGCCCGUCGUCUUGCCCAGCUUCUAGUUGUUUUCGUAAUUACGUCGUCACAACGACUGAUGCGGAGUAUGUAGAAAAUAAAGUCAUUCAAAGCCGUACAAAAGUGGAUAACCAAUCCAAUCCACUUUUGGCUCGUCAUUGAGUAAUUUGAGUCAAUUAUCCAGUUUGGUCAAUAUUAUAUUUUAAAAGAUUAUCCAGAACAUUUCUUUACUUACUUUCUUAGUUGUUGGACAUAAAUUUUUAAAGCUAAAACAGAAUUUUUAUAUGAUAAAACUAAUUUAAUAUAUAGCAGAUGGAAAAUAGAAAAUAAUUAGGUAGAUUUUAACCAAAAAAGAAUAUAGAAUUUAUAUUUUUUUUAGAGUGAAUUUCUAAAAAUAUAUUGACUCCUCCAUGGGUACAUAAACUACAGGGACAAAGAGACAUUCCCUUUUUUGUUUUAUGCAAGUCGUCGCAAGGAUUAUUCGUUGUGCGUGUACGCACAAUGACAUGAUCACGUGUCAUCCAUUGAGACUUUUCCAAGACAACAUUUUGUGAUGUACCAUAUGCAUACUAAAUUACAAGUGCAUUUGUUGGGUACAUGCAUGCAUGGACGUGGAAUUCCAUGCAUAAAAUGAUAAAAUACUUUUUCAAUUUUUCUUAGUUUAAUUUGCAAAGAUGUUUCACCAUUAAUUUGAAGUCUUUAGGUUUGGAAAUCUUUAUUCAUCGUAUAUUUGUUUGUCUCUUGGCACAAGCGCAUGCACACACGCACGCACGCACAUGUAUGUGUGUGUAUAUAUAUAUCUUAAUAUGUAUACUUAAGAUAUAUCUAUCAUUGUAAGUUAAACUAAUAAUCACUAAAUAUCCACUUUGUAUUUUGCUCUAGAGCACAAUAAAGUCAAAUUAGUAUUUAUAAUCGAUUUUUUUUUUUCUAACAAGUAAAUUGAUAUUGCAUUCCAUUAAACUGCUCACAACAACAAUACAAGUCAUGGUGGCAGUGACGAGAGUAAUUUACAAACUGUCUAUAAAGAACAUAAUUUGUUAAACCAUUAAAUAUUCAAGAGAUACCUUUAAUAACAAGUACUUUCAUGAGCACAUAAAACUUAAAUUUUACAAGAGUUAUUCUCAAAUUUAAGUCCUCUUUUGAUUUGAUCUCUUCUGAACGUUUAAAGAUCUUAUAUAACUUGCCUUUUAAUAUUAUGUAUGAUUAAAAUUUAACUAUUUUUAUUACUUACUUGAUUAACCAAUAAACAUAUAAGUGAAAUUUGCUUAAAAAUCAGGUCAUUAAAGGAUCCAUCCCAUUAAUGCUUCCCAGUCACUCUCUAUCAUCGAAGUUAUUUGUGCUAACCACCAAUGCACUAGCAAAUAUUGAUUCAUGUUUAAGCUCAUGUGUCACAUACUCAUGAAUACUUAGUGAUCAUUUAUAAAUGUUUAAUUAAUUAAUUGAGUAAAAGAUCAACAUUAAAAAAAAAAUCCCGUUACGCUACUCUGUAUAUACAACGCGUGAUAAAUUAAUUAAUACGGAGUUACCGGUAGCAAUUUAUAAAAAUUAAUUAAUAGGAGUUAGUGAGUUACACGGCUGCUAUUAAUACUUUCAUUAAAGUGUGAAUGAUUUAUUAACAAGAAUUUCAAUAUAGAAAUUUCACCAAAACUGUUUAAGCUUGAUUUUUUAAUUCUGCAUAGCAAUGAGUCCAUGACGGCUCCAGCACUAAUCUCAUCAUGAAACAAAGGUAAAAUUAACGAAGUUUCUUUUUUUCUUAGAAAAUCAUUGACAUCAAUAAGGUAAAACUAGUACAAGAUAAACCGAGACUAAUUUUAUUUUAUUUUUAAACAUUCUAUUAAAUUUUUCUGUCUAAAUAUCAUUGUUCUCUAUUUCAGAGUCAAGUCAAAAUUGUACAAAAUGAAAAAGAGAGGGUUAAAAUGGAUGGAAAUGACAAUAAAGAAAAUAGCUAGCUUUUUGCAAGAGCUUUUGAAGACGAUAGGCUUGUGCUCUUAUCAUGAAGCUUUUACGUCUUAUGCUUGUAGAAUUGACCCAGCGAAAAGGUUUAAUGAAUCCCCGUGAGAGUCUUUAAUGUGUUUCCGGGAAGAUAAUCAAUUAAUUAACUGCACCAAUUAAGCAGUUGAAUGAUCUACUAAGCAAGUUCAUAAAAUCUUAAUGUAAUCUAAUUGUUCGGAGAAAGUAUUUAAGAUCGAAUGUAGGGGUGGGCAUGGGUUGGUUUGGGUUGGAUUUUAAGUCAACCCAAACCAAACCAUAAAAAUUUGGAUCCAACCCAAACCAACCCAAAUAUUUUUAACCCAACCCAAACCAAACCAUUUGGAUUUGGUUUGGUUUGGGUUUGGUUUGAAUUUUAUUAUCAAAAUAAUUUUUAUUUUAAUAAAAUUUAAUUAUACCAAAAUUAUUAUAAUUAUUAAUUGUUAUUAAUUAUUAAAUUAAUAUUAAAAUAUAAAAAAAUAUAGUGGAUAAAAAUUAUAAAUUUUACAAUAACUUCAUCCUUAAAUUAAAGAAUACUAGAAAAUCAAAAUAAAGUUUAAUCACAAAAAUUAUUAUUUCUCAAUAAAUAAGAACGUACACUUUAAUAAUAAACUUUCACAAACAUGACAUUAACAAAUCUAAUAAUAAAUUUUACCACUUGUUAUUUAUUAUGCAAUAUUUAUUUUUAUUUAUCAUUUUGGUAGUUUUGCGUUAUGUUGUCUACUUAUAUGCUUAAUUUUAGGGAGAUUGCCACUUUCCCCCCUACAGUAAUCAAUAUAUAUCAUUUUUUCCCCUUCUGUUUUUAUAAUGGUCAAAAACCCCCCUAAUAGUAUAAGUUUACAAUAUUACCCUUAUUUUCAACUACUCUUUUAUUUAUAUUUAUUAUAAAUUAAAUAAAUCACAUGAAUAGAAACUAAAUAAAAAAUAAAGCAUUAAAAAUAAGAAAUAUAUGUUUUGAUAUGAACAAAAAAAUUAAUAAUAAAAUUUUUUUAUACUUAUUUAUUUUGUGAAAAUUUUCUUAUAAGAAAAUUAUUAGUAAAAUGAUAAAAAAAUUAUUAUAAGAAAACUUGAAUGACAAAUAAAAAUUUAUUAUAAGAUAAAUAAUAAAAUAUUUUACUAUACUUUUUACAUUUAAUUUUAAAAUAUUACAAAAUGUUUAUUAUAAGAAAAUGUUCACAAAAUAAAUAAUUACAAGAAACAAUUUUAUUAUUAAUUUUUUUGCUCAUAUCAAAACAUAUAUUUCUUGUUUUAAUACUUAAUUUUUUAUUUAGUUUCUAUUCAUGUAAUUUUUGUAAAUAAGAUAAAAAAUUUAUGUUAUUUACAACAAUAUUUAUUUAAUUUAAAUUUAUUUUUACUGUUAUUUUCAUUUUCUAACUGUUGACAAUUGAUCACGCCGCAAAAAAUUUAACGGUGGCCUUUCACUUAUUUGUAUUUAUUUAUUUUGUUUUCAUUUAUUUCUUUGAAAAAUUUGAGUGUUGGGGUUUUGUCCAUAACCCAUGGGUAAACCAUACCCAACCCAUAAUGAAAUGGUUUUCUAUAUAAAACCCACAUCUAACCCAUUUUCAUGAUUUACCCAACCCAAACCAUUUAAUUUGGUUUGGGUUUGGGUAAACCCAUGGGUUGUGGGUUUAUGCCCACCCCUAAUCGAAUGAAAGAUGAAUUUCAGGGACUCUUCCAAUUGCAACUAGUCAUCAUGGAUAUUCCAAUCAGUGAAGGAUUCUUUCGACACAAGGAAAAAUAAAAGAUAAAAAAGGGUCAAUAAAGACGAUGGAGAAUAUUCAAAUAAAGUCUUUAACGUAUGUAAAUGUAAUGUAACUUUAAUUUGACAACUGCGGGCCUGACGAAUCCCUUGCAACGUGAGCACAAUGACACAGAAAGGAUAGUGCAAAUCAAAGUGGCCGUCUUUAUGAAUUACGAGAGAGAGCGUAACACAAGUUAUCCAAAUUCAGUCAGUCAAGAUAGGUCAAAUUAGCUUGCCAUUGUCGUUUUCGGGGAAAAAAUGUUAGAAUAAAAUGUUAAAAGAAAAUUUAGAAUGUCUACUAACUACUAAUAUGAGAAAGAGUAAUAAAGACUUUAGAAUUAAAAAAAGAAAAUAGUAGCAGACAAUUAAUAGUUGUAAAUGGCUAAAGUUGUUUCAUAUAACAUUUUAGACAGGCCCGACUUUAACCAAUUGGGGGCCUUAGGCGAAAUUUUAUUUUAGGCCUUUUGAUGUUAAAAUAUCAAAUCUCACAAAAACAUUAAACAGCUCAAAAAAUUCUCACAACAAUAUCAAAUAGCUCAAACUUUAACUAUAUUCAAUAAUAUCUUGAAUUACAACAAUUAUUAACAAGGUCCAAAAAAAAAAAAAUUGUCCGAAAGAUAUCUAUUUAUUUCCACACAAAUAGUAACUAACUUUGUCUUCCACAAAUUCCAUCUUCUUAAGAUGCUCUAAAACUUCAUAAGCCACAACCAUAAUCUUCCUGUGAACUUUAAAUCAUUGCUCCUACCUACUAUGAUCCUUGCUGCAAGCCAUCACUAAUGCAAAUUACUAAUCAAUUAAAUUUUAUUCUUCUUGCUUUUUGAGAUGCAAAAUUAUUAAUUAAAAUCUUAUAUUCUAAUUUAGCUAACAAAUUUUUUUUCAAUAGCUAAUAUUGCUAAUCCAUUUAAUCUUUCUUGUGACAUUGUAGUUCUUAAAUAAGAUUUUAUUAACUUCAAUUUAGAAAAACUUAUCUCAGCAGAAGCAACAAUUAUAGGUACAGUCAAUAAUAUUCUAUAAGCAACAAAUGCAUUUGGAAAAGAAUCUACUUUUUUAAUAUAAUUAAGUAUAUCAAGUGGACUAUUUCUUUCCAUGUGUAAAACUUCUUUUAAGACUUUUAACUCUGAAAACAAAUCUAAUCCAUCAAUAUCAGAAAACAUAUCAUAUUUCAAGAUAUUUUCAAGAUUAAUACAAUAACUUUUUAAACUUUCAUCAUCUAAUGAUUUUAAUUUUUCAAAAUUAAAUAAAAAUCCGUAAAUAUUUUCAUAGAAUUGAAACUGCUCAAAUCUAUUGGUGAUUGAAGAAAUAACUUGAUCUACUAUAUAUACAAAGUAAUCAAUUCUAAAAGAAUCUUCGGGAGAUAGAAUUUUCUCUUCAUUAUUAUUCUCGCCAAAUUUAUUUUUUCUACGAAUUAUACGUUUUUCAUGAAAUUUUGGUUCUAUUUCCAUUUCAUUUGCAAUCUCUUUAGCUGAAAUCAUAGCAGACACAAAACCAUUUUAUCUGUAAUUCUCAAAAAAGGAUGUAAGACCUUUAGUUGAUUUAUGGCAACAUCAAUUUGCAUAUAUUCCCUUUGUAAGCUUUUACUAACAGUGUUUACAACAAAUAAAAGCAAAUAAUAUAUCAUACCAAAUAAUCAUGCCUAACAAAAAUUCAAAGUUUUCCAAUUCAUAUGUUGCUAAACAUUUCGCUUCACUUUUUUAUUUUAGGAUCUUCACUAACUUCUGCUAAUUUGAGUAAAGCAUCUCUAAUUUGGGGAGUUUGAAAUCUUAUUGCUUUGACACUUUCUAUGCGACUCUCCCAACGUGUUUGUGACAAUGAUUUAACAGUUAAAUUAGGUAUAUUAUCUUGUAAAAUUUUCCAUCUCUUAGGUGAAGAAGAAAAUAGCGAGUAAAUACGUUGAACAACUCCAAAAAAUGAAAUAGCCUUAGGACAAGAAUUAGCCAUAUCACAAAGCACUAAGUUAAAACUAUGAUAGCCACAUGGUGUGUAAAAUACUCUAGGAUUUAUUUCUAAUAAUCUUUUUUGUACACCUUGAUUUUUUCCUUUCAUAUUAGAUCCAUUAGCAUAUCCUUGUCCUCUUACAUCAUUAAUAUCAAGUUCAAGAGUUUUAAUUACAUCCACAAGUUCAUUAAAAAGACCUUUUCCAGUGGUAUUGUCAACUUGUAAAAAUCCUAAAAAAUAUUCUUCUACCUUUACUAGAUUUGUUGAAAUAUCCACACAUCUUAAUAUAAGAGACAUUUGUUCUUGGUGGCUUGCAUCUGGAGUACAAUCAAGUAUAACUGAAAAGUACUUUGCUUCCUUAACUUUGUUAACAAUUGAUUUUUUUUAUUUCAAGUGCUAGCAUUAAUAUGAGUUCAUUUUGUAUGUUAUGUCCAAGAUAAUGAUCAUGAAUUUCACCGGUUUUAAUACGUCGAAUAUGUUCUUGCAUUGUUGGAUCAAACUCUGCAAUCAUUUCAAUUAAACUUAACAAAUUCCCAUUUCUCUCUUCAUAGAUCUUCUCAUUUUUUCCACGAAAUGCUAAAUUAUUUUUAGCAAGAUUUUUUACAACAGCAAUAAUUCGUAUUAAUACUUUUUGCCAAUGUUCUUUUUCCUUGUCAAUUCUUUCUUGAACAUCUUUAUCAAUUGUUUUUCUUUUUGAUAGUCUUGCUUCUAAAUCAACCCAUGCAUUCAUAUUAGUUAUAUGUUCAUUGGUUGUUUCAUGACUUUUAAGUUUAGAACUAAGAUUUUCCAAUCUCUUGUUCCUUCAUCACUAAGUUGAUUUUUGCUACAACUUGUAUUGAAUAAUUUGCAACAAAAACAAUAUACUUUGUUAAAAUCUUUUGAAUAUAUUAACCAUUUUCUAUCAUGUUUUUCUCCAUUUGUUAACAUUUUAACAUAAAAUGCAGUAGAGAAAUGCCUAGAAUUUUCAUCUUUUGGGAAAGUUAUGUUAUUCUCUCUAAUUGGGCCUUUUUUCUACUAAAAGAUCUCUUAACUUUGUAUCAACAUUUUCCCAUCUUCCUGGAUCAUAAAUAUUAUUUGGAACAAAUAAAUUUUCUACAUCAACUUUGUCCGCAUUUUUAUUUUUAUCAUCUUCAAUGUUGUUUAUUUCAUUCACUGUUUCAUCAUUAUUUAAUUCAUUUAAACUUGGUUGUUCAAUAGCUAAUUCUUCAUUUAAAUCUAUAUCUUUUUUAUUAGUUGUGACAAAUUUAUCAAGAGCUCCUUUUUUAGAUUGGACUAACUUUUCUAUUCUCCUCUUUUUUUUUUUCAAUUUUUCAUAUCCCGAUACAUAUUUUCUAGUUGACAUGCUUUUCAAAUAAAAAAAAACAAAUAAACAAACACAAUUUUUUUCUAGAUUAUUCAAGCCAAAAUCAAUACAAAAAAUCAAAAAUAAAUUAAAUUUAAAAAGGAUAAGAACAGUAAUAAUAAAAAAUAGAAAAAAAUAGAAUGAUAGCACCUGGAUUUGAGUCAAUUGACUAGUUGAGAUGAAGAUGAUGAUGGCAAUGAAUUUUGUAGAGAAAGAGAAGAGAGCACAAAAUUUUUUUGCUGAAAAUAGCUUUGAUUCAAUGUGUAUCGGUUUAUAGAUAAUGAGGUUUUAAAUAUAUUUUAAUAGAAUACCAAAAGUUAGUUCUAAAAAUCUAACGUUACUAAUUUUAAUAAGAGUUUUUUUUGGAAAGGGUAAGCAUUGAUUGUUUUUUGGGAAAUAGUUAAAGAAAGUAAAGAAGUAACGUUCAAAAUCAUUAUUAUAGCAUAAAAAUAUAUCUUAUAUUUAAGGUAAAGAUUAUUAAAUAAGAGAGAUAAUUAUGAAUGAGAGUAAUGAUAGGGUAAAGCCUAAAAAUUAGGCUUUUUUUACUGUAUAAAAAAUAUAUACGUAACUUAAUUUUUUUGAAUCUUAAAAAAAUUAAUUAUAUUAAUUAAUAAAUAGAUACAAAAAAUCAGGGCCUUCCUAAAUACGGGGCCUUAGGCAACUGCCUAGUUCGCCUAGCAUUAAAGCCGCCACUGAUUUUAGAAUAAACUUUAAUUUGCCCCUCACUUAAAAUGAUAAGUCUUUGAUUUACUUCUAGGAGGAUAAGGCUCAAACUCACGACUUCCGCCCUAAGAAGGUAAUGCUCUUAUCAUUCAGUGCUAAGUCUUUGCCUCUAUAAACAACCAUACAAAGAACAUGCAUCUCUUUUUUAUUCCCCCCCCCCCCCCCCCCACAAAAAAAAAAAAAGAAAAAGAAAUCCAUCACUGCAUCCACAAUUUGCUCUCACCUUAUUGAAUGAAAAUGAAGGCUAAAUUGAUAUUUUCACUCUUUUAGGUGAUAAAACCAAGAUUGUUGUUCUAUCGGGAGAAUGAAUUAAAAUUUAUCAACUUUUUAAGUUAGAUUUCUCCGGUAUGUCUCGAAAUGAUUGAGGCUAUAAUAAGUAUAGGUUUUAAUAGAAAAAAAUAUCGGUGGAUUGGCUGUCAAAUAUUCCCUUCACAAAGACAAAAUAUAGCUUUUAUUCUAAUUCUUCAUAGGCUUUAUUUGAUUAUUUCCAAUAACAAUCCAUUAUAACAGUGAAUAGCUUUUUACCAGCCGUAGUUAAGAUAUUGGAUUAGAAGCAUAGUUUGAGAAGCCAAACAAAACUGAUUCCUUGGAAGAAAUGUAUUGAAAACCUUGAAUCACUCAAUAUGUGUAACAAAUUUACAAGUUAUCUUCAAAAUUCCCAAAGCAAACUUCGCCAAAAUUUAAUUUCCCUCCCACGAAAUUUUUUUUUUUUUUUUUGCUUUGAGCAGCUAACUUUCACAGUAGGCUUUACAACUCAAAAAAAGCCAUAUCCUAGUUAAAGACAAAUCCAGGUCUUAUAAAGUAGCUUAGGAACACCGCGAUGGGAAAUUCUUGUGCAUGAACAUGCAACUCAAUCAAGCACAGAUAAUGACAUAAUGGAACCGAAUUAAGUGUCGAACAAAAUACAGAAUGAAAAGAGUUAUAUCAUUGGUAAAAAGUUGUAUUGCUAACUGCUUGACACUAUCAGUCAAUUAAUUUUAUGGACUGACCAUCAGUGACAAAAUGCAACAAAUAUUUCGAUAAAGUCAUAAGUUUCCCAAUAGAGCUAAUUGGUUUGAAAGGUUUAAAAUAUACUUUCAAGGCAAAAAAGUUGUCUACAAUUAAACUUUUAUUAAGACUCAUAAUACAGAAAGAAAUUUGCUAAAGAAACAAAUAGUAAAGAGGAUGAAUAGUAAAAAUGCCAUCGGUAAGACAUAGAUGGACCGGAAAAGGAGUAUCUUGAUGAUACUGGUGCAGCUAUCAAUUUUGGCUUGCGCCCUUCGCACGGGUGUUACCUGUUGUGGUUUGAUAAAGCACUUGUGGCAUACAAUGAGUAUAACCAAUCAGCUUGAUCAAUUUCUCUCCCCUUCUUAAGGGAUCAAAUUUACAAUGCUUUCAUAAUGAAUACAGCAGAUGGUGGCUAAUUGCCAAACACUUGACAAUGAUAGGCAAAUUCUUCUGUCAGAAAGCGGGGUGAAAAAGGUCAGAAUCUUGAGACCUGCUCAACCACAAGAAUGCAACAAAAGGGAAUCUGAUAAUAUACAAUGGGAAAUCAGAUUAUUAGCUUUCUCAUGAACAUUUCAAUAAUCUGAGCCACCAGUUUAUGACAAGGAAGCUUCUAAUGGUUACAACAUUCUAAAUCAUAAAAAAUGGUUCGAGGUCUCUAGCCAGAAGCACGUUGUUUAAAAUGUCAUUUGACACGCAGCAAUACAAUCCACCAUCCGAUCUUAUUAACUUCCGCUAAAAAUAAAGUGAGAUUUUAUUAAAGAAAGGAAAUUUAUAAAAGCUAACAUACCAUCACAAAAAACUUCUUAGUUCAAAUCUAAGUACAGAUGAAAUAAUCAGAAUAAGUUUAGGCUCAAAAGCAUUGGUGUCUCCUUUAAACAUCUAUUCAAACAAAUUCUGCAAUUCCUCCAAGGUCUCCUCACCAUUUUCCUGUCAAAUUUACAAUCCAAGCAUACAAAGAUAAAUACCAAGCAAUAACACUGCUGGAAGAUUAAGUCAGGUUUGAAUAAUUCAAUUAUUCAAUUCCUCCAAGAACAACUUUUGUGGGGCCCACAUAGAUGUCAAAAAGUAAGCAGUGGGCACUGCUAGUGCUCAACCGCAAAGGAAAAAGAAAAAAAAAGAAGAAAUAAGAAGAAGAAGAAGAAAAGAAAGUGGCGGGCCGCUCAGCAGAAAUAAUAAUAAUAAAAUACUAAUAAAUAAAUAAAAUAAUAGGCAUGAACAGAAGCCAAUUUUUGGCUAUAAAGGACGCUUCUCCUCAUUUCAACAUCCAGUUUGAGAGAAGCAUUUCCUACAUUUAGGGAGUUGAGAGUAUUAAGAAUUUAAUAAACUCUUGGCUUGAGAGAUUAGUGAAUAAGCGAUUGGGUACAUUGGGGUUCUGGAUAGUGAGCCAAAAUAUUACAAUACUUGUAAUUCUCAUAUCACUAGUAAAAUAUUUUUCUUCUGUUUUCACCCGUGAAUCUAGGUUAAAAGCCGAACCACUUAAAUCCUGGUGUCCCUGUGUGAUUCUGUUGUCUCAUUAUUUCUCAAUUUCACUUUAAUUGCGUGUCUGCUUCACCAAUCAAUUUCCCAACAAUAGAACUUAUAUGUAAUUCGCCAUUGAACAAGACCAAAACUAGGCACCAUGAAUCACUACUUUUCAGAGCAUGAACACACUGAGGAUAAAAAUAAAAACAGAUUAAAAUAUGUUGCCCUUGUGACUAAAUGACCCAUUUGCAAUCUGAUUAGGAGAAAUCAAAAUACCGUCAUUCUUUUGCCAACCAGCAAAGUAAAAGCCAUAACUAAAGCUUGGAAAAAGCUAAAUAAUGCCUAGGAAUUUCCAAACACAAUUCUCAAAUUAUUCUAUAGAAAACAUAAAUAUGCAUUGAAGAAUGCUUACAUUAGUUUGUGUUUGGCUCAUCAUCACAGCCAUUUCAUUCAAGAAAUCUCCCAUUCCCUCAAAACAAAACUAAAAAGUCUCAUGUAAUAAAAUCCUCCCCCGUUCCCCACCCCCCCCCCCCUUCUUGUAGGAGUUAAUUUUCAUGUAUCUUCAAAGAAACAAAAGCGCAUUAAAAAGUUAAAGAUGAAAUGAAAACAAUAUAUAUAUAUAUAUAUAUAUAUAUAUAGAGAGAGAGAGAGAGAGAGAGAGAGAGAGAGAGACACACACACACACACGCGCGCGCGCGCAAAAUUGGAGCUCAUAUUAUUUUUUUCAUCAUCACUAUCAUAGACUCCUACAUAGUACAAGAACCUCUUGUUGGCAUCAGAUAGAACUUGAAGAGAGAAGAAGGAAAACAACAUCUCGUGAAUCCGAUAAUUAUCCAUCAUUAUAAAAAAAGAUUACAAUUUUAUUUCUUAUUGUAUACUACAAAUUACAUGCAUAAUAAAUAAAUAAAUAAAUAAAUAAGAAUUAAAAUUUUUGGAAUUUAGUAAGGUUAACAGCAGAAUAGGCAUGUUGAAUGGCGUAAAAUCUCUUCGUGGCUUCUUUCACAAAUUUUGGAUCUCUUGAAGUUGAACAACGACUUGGAUAUAUAGAGCCACAACCACCUUGUAAAAAAAAAAUCAUACGUAUGUUGCAUGAGAAGAUUGGUUGUAUAAAACUGUUAUAGACCCACAUGAUUUAGAAAAAUAAUAGUUAUCCAUUUUUAGUUAAUGUCUUUAUGCCACAUUAGUUUGUUUACACAAGUUCUUAAUGUUUGUGGUUAUAUCAUUAUUGAUUUCGAAAAUAAUAUUUUAAUAUUUUUAUUGCAAAUGAUAGGAUAUUUUUUAACACAUUGGAUGCUUUUGGAUUUAAUGAUACCUUUGUUUAUUUCAUUUAUUGUUUCAUCUAACAUUGUUUGAUGAGUGAUGAUAGAGUUAAAAGCUCUUGUAUAAACUUAUUUUAUACAAAUUUGAAAUUUAAAUUUAUUGAUUGAAUGAAAUUACCAAAUAAUAAAAAUAAAUAAUGUGGGUCAAGAGCUAGGGGUAAGCAAACUCAAUCCAAUCCCGGUGAAUUCAAUCCAACCUGACAAAUCCAGUCCAACCCAAUCUAAUCCAAUCAAAUUUUGAUGGAUUAAGUGAAUUAUUAUAGGGUUAAUUAGGUAAUUUUUUAGAAUCUAAUUAAUAAUUGGGUUGGGUUGGGUUGGAUUGGGUUAAUUAUGAUAAACCUGUCUCACCCAACCCCAUCCAUGUAAAUAAUAGUAAUAGUAAUAAUAGUUAGGCAUCCAGUACUGCUUACCAAAUAGAAGCUAAUUCCUGCAAAUUACAUGAAAAUUGCACGAAAUAUCAUUAUCCUUAUUUUCUUGAUUUCACCUUCAUUGUGUAUUUUUCUCCAGCAAUUCCAAACUUACGAAGAGGAUUCGGGCCACGUUCUAUGCAUCAUAUGGAAUGCGGCCAUUUUUCUGUGUAAUUUGUGAGGCGUUAUAUUACAUGGAGCUUGACUUCUUUCUUUCUAUCAAGGGUCAGAUGGCAUUGGUGAGAGUUUCUUCUGUUUCUUUGUUGAUUGUUUUGCUUUUGGCUUUUUUAUUAAAGUUAUUUUGAAUCCGCUUUCAGAUUGUGUGUUUAAUGAUUUGAUUAAAUUAGUGUUUAGUUAAAUGUAUUUGGAUUUCUGGAGUAUUUCAGCAGUUAAUGAUGAAAUUCAGCAUUAAAUUAACUCAUAAUCAUUCUAAUUAUUGAAUUUUUUGUCAUGAAAAAUCAUUUAGUAUUAUUGCGGCAGUAAAAUUCAAUGAAGUAGCAUUCAAUAUAUAAAUAAAUACGGUUUAAUCAAAUCGUACAUGUAUCAUUCAGCUUACAACAAUCGAAGGAAUUGAAGUUUUCGGAGUGCUCAGUUUAAUCAAAUCAUGAGAAAUAAAUACGGUUGCAAAGUUGGAUACUUAUUAGUUGCUAUAAAUUUAACUAAGUCGUUAAACGUGUACGUGAUUGCCACUAGUAUUGAAAUCAAAACAUUCAAUUGAUUUAUGGUCUCAAGUAAUAAAGGUUCCACAAAUUUCUUUACAGAGCUUUCUUUUAUUUUCUUUCAUUUUCUAGCUUGCCAAACAAUAUAGAACUAAGUUUCUUUCAAUUAUAAACACCUGGCAAAGACACCAGGUUAAUUUUUAUCUCUUAGCACUCUGUUUUGCACCGAGAUAUCCAAUAUAUACUAGUUUAUCAGAUAAUUUUGAUUAAUGUUGAGUGAUAGUGUAUUAGUCUCCUAGUUAAUUAAAUGUGAAAACAUUAUACUAUAUACUAGUUGAUUGAUUCUAGUUUUUUUUAAUCUUCUUGUUAUUUUCCACGACAUAGCUGAUUUAAAGACUUGGCCCAACUCAUCCCUCUAUGUUCAUUUAAUGUUACUAGUUUUUCUGCCCCAAGGUUGACUUGAUGGUAGGUUAUUUUGAUUAACUUGUAUUUUUGGCUGAAUAUUGACAAAAGCAAUCAGCUCAUGUAACGUACUCUGUUUUCCACUAAAAAUAUAAUCAUUUAUUACCUCUAGUUUAUCAAAUGAUCAUGAUUAAUGCUGCUAGGAAAGCUUUAUUAGUCUUUCUUUUAAUAUAUCAUUACCAAUCUUGCCAACUUUUGCUUAUCUUUCGCGGUCUUUGUUUAUAUUUCAUGAUCCCCGAAAUACACGUCAACGCAACCAUUUCCUAUAGCAAAUGUUUUUAACUCUUUUUAAGUUAUUGGAUUGCUGCUUUCCAUGCAUAUAAAUUAUGGAAUAGCUUACUUAAUCUUUCAUUAUCAUCACCAAAUCUCGAAUUGUUUGCAUUAUUUUCUUUUUGAAAAUGCUUCACGGAAUCAAAUUACUAACAGAAGUCAUAAAUGUCCUGCUCCAGCAUUUUCUUAAUCAUCCAACUUUUCUCGGAUUCUCUGAAAAUCCCUUAUACAUUUUCUGGUUCCCUUUUCUUAAUCAUCCUUUUUCUAAACCUUCUUUGCAGAUCUUUCACUGUACUCCCUUUUUUUUUCUAGCUUUUUCACUCCUUGCCCUCCUUGUCUCUUAUUUCUUGUUGUGAUUGGUUUUGUUUUUCCCUGUUUUCUCAAAGCAAAAUAAAAAUAAAAUAAAAUAAAAAGGAUAAUGGAAAUUCUUACCUCCGUUGUUGCAAAAGUUUCAGAGUACUUGGUUGCUCCCAUUAUUCAUCCAUUUACUUACUGCUGCACGUACAAGACCAACUUCGAGAAGCUGAAGAAUGAUGUUGAUAAACUAAAGAAUGCUAGAGACAGUGUACAGUAUAAAGUAGAUGAUUCCAAAAUCAAAGGGGACGGAAUUCAACAGCACGUUGAGGAGUGGCUGAUUAGUGUGGACGAGGUCAUCAGUGAAGUUAGGAAGCUUACAGAAGUUGAAGAAAAAUCAAACAACCAGUGUUUUAAUGGGUUGUGUCCCAAUUUGAAGACCCACUACCAGCUUAUCAAGAAAGCAGAAAGGGAGGUGAAUGCUAUUGUUGGACUCCAUGAAAAAAGGAAAUUUGACAGUGUUUCUUUCCGUACAAUUCCAGAGGAGAUAUGGCUUAAGUCCACCGAAGGUUUCAUUCACUUUGAAUCAAGAAAAUCCACUUUGAAGGAAAUACUAGGCUCAUUAAGCAAUCAUAACUUCAACAUGAUUGGGGUAUACGGGAUGGGUGGCAUUGGAAAGACAAUGUUGGUGAAGGAAGUCGCUGGGCAAGCCAAGGGAAAUAAUCUCUUUGAGAAGGUCAUUUCUGCGCAAGUAUCCCAAACACCACAAAUAAAGAAGAUACAAGAAUAAAUUGCAGAGAAGAUAGGUUUGGGAUUAGUUGAAGAGAUUGAAACUGUUAGAGCAGGGAGGCUAUAUGAAAGAUUGAAAGUAGAGAAGAAGAUCCUUAUAAUCUUGGAUGAUAUUUGGGGGAGUCUUGACUUGGAGGCUGUUGGAAUUCCAUUAGCAGAUGAUAACAGCAGAUGUAAAGUUCUGCUGACAGCAAGAAGUCUAGAUGUGUUGUCUUGUAAGAUGGAUUGUCAACAUAAUUCUUUUAUCGAUAUUUUGAAUAAGAAAGAAGCUUGGAGUCUUUUUAAGAAGAUGGCAGGUGAUUGCAUAGAAAAUAGUGAACUAAAAUCUGUAGCGACAGAUAUAGUCAAGGAAUGUGCUGGUUUGCCCAUUGCCAUUGUACCCGUAGCAAAGGCGUUGAAAAAUAAGAGUCUCUAUGAAUGGAGGAAUGCUUUACGACAAUUACAAAGGCCUUUUUUGAUAAGCUUCUCUGGGACACAAGCGGUGGCCUAUUCAACUGUAGAGUUGAGUUACAAUCAUUUAGAAGGUAGGGAACUUAAAGAAACAUUAUUGCUAAUAGGGUACUCGUUCAUCUGUUGUGUUGAAGACUUGCUCUGUUAUGGCAUGGGUUUGGCUCUGUUUCAAAACAUCAACACGUUGGAAGAAGCACGAGAUAGAGCGCUUACAUUGGUUGAUAAGCUCAAAAACCCUUGCUUGUUGCUUGAUGGAGUUACAAGUGAAUGGUUUGCUAUGCAUGAUGUUGUUCGUGAUGUAGCCAUAUCAAUUGCAUCAAGAGACCAACAUGUAUUCGUAGUGGAUAAUGAUGUUGUCCCACAGAUCAAAUGGCCAGAUAAGGAUAAACUAAAGGUUUGCACUGCAAUCUCCUUAAAUAAUAGUAAUAUUAGUGAGCUUCCUCAAGAGUUGGAAUGUCCACACCGUGAAUACUUUUCUAUUGGCAGUGAUCCUUCGUUGAGAAUCCCAGAUAACAUUUUUACUGAGAUGACAGAGCUUAGAGUACUUGUUUUGUUAAUUACCAAAGUUUAGCCGUACUUUUGAUAAUCAUUUGAUAAUUAAAUGCGUGCUAGUGAGGAAAUACUCUUAAUUAAUUAAUGUGUUAGUGGAGAGUAUGUAGUGUUAUUAUUAUUUCCUAAACAAUAAUGUUUAUAGGAAAAGUAAAACUACAAAAAAAAAAAGGGGGGAAAAUAAUUGACCAUUAAGUGUCCAUUUUGUAUGAUUUCUCUACUAAUAGAUCAAGAGAGUAAUUUUGCUUUUGAAUAUUUUUUGGCAUCGUUUGGCUAUAAAUUGAAUAGAGUUUAUUAAAAAUAUUAUUUUGUCUUUAUUAGGAGAAGUUUAAAUUUUGGACUUCUAGGAGAAUAGGUUGUAGAGCUCCUUAAAAGAAUUAGAUUUUCUAAAAUACACCUAUUUAACUGCAUGCAUAAUCCUAUUUCAUUUGUUUUAUAACAUAUAGGUUUAAUAGGAUCCAGCUACUUUGCAACAGUUGCAAGGUGCCACCAUUUUUGUCUUAUGGAGUUAUGUUAUGCAUGUUAAAUUUUCUUUAACCCCUUACUAGCCUUCUUAUUUACCUUUUUUUUUUUUUAUAAGUUUAUAUACUUUAGCUGGUGACCUUUGAAAAUGUAAUUUUAUUUUAUUUUUUUACAUUUAUUUAUAAGUUUAUAUGCUUUGGCUGGUGACAUUUUAAAAUGUAAUUUUAUUUUUUUAAUAUUAUUUAUUUUUUUAAAAGAAUAAAUAUAAUAAUAAGUUUAUGACUAAAUAAUAUUUAUUUUUUACGACUCAAUAUUUUUUUUUAUUUUAUUUAAUAUUAUUUAACUUUUAAAAAAAUAAAUAUAAUAAUAAGCCUAUGAAUAAAUAAUAUAAAAUUAAUAAAAUUAAUUUUUUAAAAUAAAGUUAAUAAUAUUAUAAAUAAUAUUUAUUGUUUAAGGUUCACUAUUGAUUUUUUUAUUUAAUAUUAUUUAGUUUUUUAAAAGAAUAAAUACAAUUAUAAGCCUAUGGAUAAAUAAUAUUAAAUAAAAUAAAGUUAAUAAUAUUAAAAAUAAUAUUAAUUUUUAAGACUCAUUACUAUUAUUUUAUUUUAUUUAACAUUAUUUAGUUUUAUGAAAGAAUAAAUAUAAUGAUAAGUUUAUGACUAUAAAACGUUAAAUAAAAUAAAAUAAAUAAUAUUAAUUAAAAAUUAUAUCUAUUUUUUAUGAUUCACUAUUGAUUAUUUUAUUUUAUUUAAUAUUAUUUAGUUUUUUGAAGAAUAAAUAUAAUAAUAAGCAUACGCUAAAUAAAAUUAAAUAAAAUGAAAAUAAAUAAUAUUAAAUAAUAUUUAUUUUGAAUAAAAUAAAUAACAUUAAAAUUUUAUUCUUUUAAAUAAAAAUAUAUAAUAUUAAAAUUAAAAUAUUUUUUAAGACUUACUACUAAUUAAAUAAUAUAAAUUGGAAACAAUAAAGACUUAUAUGCUAAAAAUUUUAACUCUUUCAUUUUUUUGUGUUUUUAAUACUUAUCAAGAAUAUAAUGUUAGUAUUCAAAUGGACAAAUCUCUACCAUUGAAAUUACCUUUUUCAUUAAAUCCAAAGGUAAAGGAAUAAAAUAAAAAAAAAAAUUAGUUGUACCUUGCAGCCGUUGCAAAGUAGAUGAGUCCAGGUUUAAUAAACUUGUUACUAAAGUAAUUUUAAUUUACAACUUUUUUUAAAAGCUUUUUUUUUAUAACUAAACAACUAAAGAUUUUCAUUAAAAACUUUAAGGAUCCUCUUCCUCUAAGUUACAGUUACAGCUGCGUUUGUCUUUUUCUGAAUUCUUGCUGUAAAAUAUUGUUCAGCCCCUUUUACUUAAUAGUAUUUACAAUUUAUCAAUAAGUAUAUAAAAAUUUCUAUAUUGUAACAUUUCGUUCAGCCCCUUGCACUCUAUUUUAUUUCAUUAAAAACCUUAGCGUAUCAAAUUUAUCCCCUAUAUUUUUUAAAUUCCCAAACUACCCUCCAUUUAAAUAAAAAUAAUUAUUAUUAAAUGGAUUAUAAUUAUAAUUACUAGUUUAUUGUAAUUACUAUUAAUAAGAAUAAUAAAAAGUAUUGUAAUUAAUUAAUCUAUUAACAAUAAUUAAUAAUAAUUUUUUAGUUAAAUUGUUAAUAAUAACAAUUGUUAUUUAAACAUUUUUGAAUUUUUUAGUUAAAUCAUUUAUAGAACUAAACACAAAUUUAAUCAAAUCAUUAAACAUGUACGUGAUUGCCACUGGUAUUAAAAUCAAAACAUUCAUGCAACGAUUAAUGAUCUUAAAUUUAAGGUUAAAAAUGACCUAAUCAAUUUCAGCAACUAUGUCCAAAUGAUUUUGGUUUUGAUGUUUACAAAUAUGAAUUUUUCUUUUCGGCUCAAAUUUCACUAAUGAAUAUACCAAAACCUCAAAAGUUUUUCUUUCACUUUGAUGAUUAUAUUGUGUUCACUGAAAAAAUAUUAGAGCACCUUCGUUGCACUACACCCACUUAGUGUACAUAUGACAUAUAUGUACUAGAGAGUAAUAGUUACAUUUAAUUCACACAUACAUCGUUCAGCGUUUGGAAUUCGUCAUUGGGGUCCUCACGUGUAAGCAUCACGUGCACCACUAAUUCUGAGUUUCUGACGAAGUCUAAGUUCAGUUAAAAUUCUUUGCAGCAGGAAGGUGGUGUGGUGAGUAGCUCCCUCAACUUGUGAACCGUGAUUAGUCAAAUAAUCAAGUACACGUGGCAUCAUGAAACGCUUCGAAGAAUAACCUCGGCAGGUCUGUCCAGUAUGAUGACAUGUCAGCAACGUUUUACAACAGAAAGCUGCUAUGGGGUAAGCAUGAUAGUGGUAGCGUAGAAGCUGUGUAUGCAUAUCACCCGUCUGUUGAAAUGCUCGCAGUAAUCAAACCUCUUAUAACACUGCUUCAUCUGUCAAGUCAAAUUUUCCUCGGAGUCAAGAAAUGGAGAACUAACAGGUAUGCAUUUCUGAAACCAUUAUUAUAUUCAAACACAAGGAUUCGUAUAAAAGCUUAUAAAUGAUUAUGAAAGUAAGCAUGACGGAAUCAGCAUUUCUUGAUUUUCUUCAAUAAGCGGAAAUAGUGUGUCCCAAUAAAUUUAUAAACGAUGCGUGAAAAUAUUAUAUUAUAUACUUAGUUGUAGUUGAUUGAUUUUCCUUUUAAUCUUCCUGUAAUAUUCCACGACAGAGCUGAUUUAAAGACUUAGCCCAACUCAUUCCUCUAAGUUCAUUAAAUGUUAAUAUUUUUCUGCACCAAGGUUGACUUGAUGGUGCGUUAUUUUCAAUUUUUUUCAUUGACUUGUAUUUUUGGUUUAAUAUUCACAAAAAAUAAAGAAAGCAAUCAGCUCUUGUAACGUGCUCUGUUCUGUUUUCCACCAAAAAUAUAAUUAUUUGUUACCUCUAUUUUAUCAAAUAAUCAUGAUUAAUGCUGCUGGGAAAGCUUUAUUAGUCUUUCUUUUCUUUUAUCGUGGUCGUUGUUUGUAUUUGAUGAUCCCAAAAUACACGCUACGCAAUAUAGCAAUUGUCGAUUCCACAGUAAAGCAUAUAAAAUAAUAAGUAGGUUAUGUGAUCUUUCAUUGUCAUCACCUAGUCUCCAAUUGUUUGCAUUAUUUUCUUUUUGAAAAUGCUUCACGAAAUCAAAUUACUAAUAGAGGUCAUAAAUGUACUGCUCCUGCAUUUUCUUAAUCAUCCCACUUCUCUCAAAUUCUCUGAAAUCCCUUAUACGUCUUCUGGUCUCGUUUUCAUAAUAAUCGUUGUCCUAAACCUUCUUUGCAGAUCUUUCACUGUGCUCCCUUUUUCUUAUUUCUAGCUUUUUGCUUUUCUUUUUCACAUGGUCUUUAUUUAUAUUUGAUGUUUCCAAAUAUACACGCAACUAUUUGUGGGGAGUUAUGUUGCAACAGUGGUACGAUAUUAUUGUUGCUUUCAAUCAUUGAAUUUACCUAAUACAAUUGUACAACUAUAAAUUUAAUGGUUAGUUGCAACCACUGUUUCACCAUAGUUUUGCCCCCAUUUGUGACAGCGAAUAUUUUUACCUAGUUGUUGGAUUGUCGCUUUCUAUGUUUUGUCUUUUUGGUCGACUUUAACAUGGUUUAGAGUUUUUGAACGCGUCUUCCAAGUGCAGAUGCCGAGUAUAUCAACAGUUCGAUGAAAUGCCCAUAUGAAUAAUUUGAGGACCCAGGGGGCCCGCUACUGGUACUAUAAGUCUCAUCUUUUGUCUUUUUUUUGUAUAUCUAAUUUUUUUUUUAAAUGAUAAUAAAGUCCGCAAACUUCGGCUUUAUAGUUUGUAGGAGGGUAAUUAGAAAAGCACAUAGGUCACUUCACUUUGGGUCUCUUGGCCUUCAUCGGUUCAUUGUAAUUAUCAACAGUGAAAGAACAAGACAACUGUGAUGCAUUUUCACAAAAAAUUUGCAAAGUCUUCAGAUUUUUUUUAUCCUACCGCCAACACACUCAUUGCUAAUAGAAAUUUUUUAAGUAAUAUUGUUGUUAUUGAAUGUAACUGACAUGUAAUUAAGAUACGCCCUCCGUAAUUACAUGAUUGUUAUUUAUAUAGAGGGUUUUUCCCGUAAUGUUCUUUACAAAGCGCUUGUGUUUAUUGGCUAAAAGGAUUAGCAUUUUGAUUGUUCGUAAAGCACUCGAAAACUCGCCCUGAAUCAAAAAUCAUUCUCAAUCUAUUUAAUUCUCUCUCUCUGCUAUUAUUGCUUAUCAACUGUAAUUUUUAAAUUAUAGUAGUAAAAUAUUUGAUUAACACUUAAAAUUAAUGGAAGCUACCAUAAAAUUUGCUUGAGAAGCCUUAGAACUACAAGUUGAAAAAUGUCGGCAACUCAAUAGCUACUGGUAACAAGAAAAUUCAAUGAAACGCCAAAAUGCCCAAUUAACACCAUCUACAUGUAAUUGUAACUAGGGUUAUUAUUGCUUGACUACAUUAUAAAGUAUGAAGCAUCCAAUAACAAAAAAAAAUAUUAAUGUUUAGCAUUUUAUUACUGUAUCUUUGUAAAUCUUUCAUUUUACUAUAUUUCCGUUUAUCAUUGUUAGUUAACUAGUAAAAUACCAAGUAUGACCUUAUUUUAAAAAUUAAUUAAAUUUUUAAUAAAAAAUAAGAAAACAAAAAUAAAAAAUUAACCCCAGUUGAAGAAUACCUCUCUUCGCUGUCAAAACUCCUUAUACUUGUGAUUAAAUAUCUUCCUCUAAUGCUAAAUUGCUAAUUUUGCUCUCAUCAAAGUAUCAAAUUGAAACCACCGGUGAGGCUUGAAGAUAACAAGUUGAAACUGCCAUUAAAGCUCGGAGAUCAAUAUGUUUUCUAUCAAUCUUAAUUUCUAUUUCAUAAAUCCUUCAAACUCAUAGUAAUAAAACCAUCAUUCCAUAGCCAAAUCAAACUGAUCAAUCGAAAAGCAAUCUCAAAGAAUUUUGAUAUGAAAUCCACUUUGAAAUUGAUCACGCAUUCCUAGAGAUAAAUCAUUUUUUAAAAAAUUACACAGCCACUGCUGCUGCCAAAAUUCCUCUUUCAGAUGAGACCCUCAAUGCCAAUGCAUGGCUUAAUACCCAUUCGAAAGCGCCAAUAAUUUUUCAAAGAUGGUAGACCACUGUUUGGAAAAAGAAAAAAAAAUGAAGGAAAAAAAGAUAACGAUGACGCUAGAUAUUUGUGAUUCCAAUUUUUUUUCCCUCUUUCUUAACCAAUAAUAAAUAUGCCGCCCUUGUAAUGUUAAUUUGCAUACAAUUUUAUCAUAGUUUUGAAUGUAAAGACACUUUUAUGCCUUUGAUAUUAGUAUGACGUUAGUUUUGGACUCACAAUUUUAACAAAAAUAUUAUAAAAUAAAAGGUUUUUUUUUAAAGAUACACUUAUAAAAUGAUAACACCAAUACUUCUUAUAGUUAUUUUAUAUCUUAUAAUUUUUUAUUUUUUAAAAUGAAACCAUAAUAACCCUUAUAACUAUCUAUCUCAAUCAUUGAGAAUCUAGUUGACUUAGAAGCACAAGUCUUCUCCUCAUAUGAAUUUAGUUUGGCAUUUUUGCAUUAUUCAGAUUACCCAUUGAGUCUUGACAUCAAACCUGUGCCUCUGUAUUUUUUUUAGCCUAAUCGCUUAGCCUACCUUAUUAUUCGUGUAUAAUCAAUUUUUUUUUUAUGUUUAUUAACAUCUAAUCACUAAUCUUUGUUUGCUUCGGUCAAAACUUUGAUCAAGAUAGAGUUGCAGUUUACUGAUAAAAUGAUCACGAUUUUAAAUUUAAAGAUUUGAUUCCAAGAUCCUAACAUUCACAUUUUAAUUAUAUUUGUUGAUAAACAAGAAAAAAAUUGAUUAGAAGAAUAUGAUAAUAAGAAGAUGAAAAUACUUGCUCAAAUACUCCGCCGUCUGCUUACAUACAAAUCCACUAUCUUAGCUUUUUAAUCACAUAUAUAAAUCAUCAUCAUCACCAGAUUAUCAUAUAUUUACUCAAUAAUCAAAGCUAGUUAUUGAAAGCUUUGAAUGGUCUUCCAAGUUUGAAGAUGAAGGCAGCACUUGCAACUUCCAGACCUUCAUGUAAGUUUAGAUAGAUGCCGAGUGUAUGGACUGUUCGAUGAAAUGCCCCUAUGAAGUUGAGGAAUGGAGAGAUUGCAUGAGGACCACAUGUUUGAAACUUGAAUUCAGACUGUUAUUAUUAGAAGCACAUGUCAUGGGGUCUCUUCACUUAAACUUUUGGUCCCAUCCUCUUGCCUUCUGUCACCUGGAUCUUCGUAGCAACUUUGCUGAGUAAGGUUGAUGAUUGUAGUGCUACGUUAUUUGUCACUUUAGUCUGGAUAUAAAGCUUAAAAUCGUGUCGGAGGGUAAUAAUAUCAGUAAACUUUUGACAAAUCACUGAUCAAUUGAUCUUUUCAAGUCACUUAUAUCGUUUCCAUCGGAUUUGACGCCAUCAAACCUAAAUUUUUUCCAGUAAAAAAACUGUCUUACCCCAUCACACACGAUAGAAUCUUGGAUCAUGAAUGAGUGAUGUCAAUUACAAUUAAAAGAUUUCAGUCUCAAGACCUUAACCCAUUUAGGUUAUUGAGCGAACGACUUAUCAAAAUGAGAAAGCUACAAAAUAUGUGACAAUAGUAGGACAGGCUGACAGCAAAGAAAGCCAUCAGCUCUUGCAGUGUAUUCUGUUUUGCACUAAAAAUAUAAACCAGUGAUCACCUCUAGUUUAUCAAAUAAUCAUGAUUAAUGCUGUAAGGAAAGCUUAAAUAGUCUUUCUUCCUUGUUUGUAUUUGAUGUUAGUCAGCGCAACCAUUAUUAUUCUCACAUUGUGUGCUUUAACUAUGAUCUUCUCUAAUUAAAAAUUGAGAUCCUCUCUUAAAUAGAGUUUACACUUGAAAAAUAUGUCUACAUUACCAUUCAUGUAUUGUCAAAAUUUGAGCUUAAGAUCCAACUAUUUACAAAUUAUUAAUUAUAUUUGUUGGUGAAAGCAAAUUAAUUAGAAGAAUGUGACAAUAAGAAGAUAAAAAUACUUGCUCAAAUUCUUCGCCGUGGGCUCGCUUACAAAUCCACUAGCUUAGCUUUUAAUCACACACAUAAAUCUUCAUCAUCACUAGAUUAUCACAUAUUAUACAAUAAUCAAAGCUAAUUAUUGAAACCUUUCUUUCAAAGUGAAUAGGAAAAAUUAUUGAAACCUUCCGAGUUUGAAAAUGCCGGCAGCACUUGCAACUUCCAGGAACCUUCGUGGAAGUGUAGAUGCUUAGUACAUCCAACUGUUCCAUUAAAUUUAAAUGCCGAAAUGAUUUCGAGGACCCACACGACCACGCAACAGUUUUUUUAAUUUCAUUUUAUUUGUAUAUCUAUUUCUGAAAAAUAAAAAAUCAUAAAGUCCGCAAACUUAGGCUUUAUAGCAGAGUUAUUAGAAAAGCGCAAGAAAAUUCAAUGAAAAUUUAAAAAAAAAUAUCAUGAAGUCCGGCAACGGCAGCAUAGCACUUACUGUCCAAUUAACCUAUAACUUUGACACUAUUUACAUGCAACUAUAACCAUCUAUCUCAGUUAUUAAGAAUCUUGUUGACUUGGAAGCACGAGUCUUCUCCUUGUAUGAAUUUAGUUUGGCUUUUUUGCAUUAUUCAGAUGACCCUUGAGACUUGAGAUCACAACUGCCUGCCUCCGCAUUUUCCUAAUCAUCCCUCUUCUCUAAUCUCUAGAGUUCUCUGAAAUCUCUUCUUCAUUUUCUGUCUCCCUUUUCUGAAUCGUUCUUGUCCUCGAUCCUACACCUUCUUUGCAAAGCUUUCAUUUUCUGCCUUUACAAAGGAUCCCCUUUGUUUUAUCUCUAGAUUUUUCACUCUUUGCCUCUCCUCCUCCCUUAAAUCUAUUCAACCUCUUAUUUUAGCAAUUUAUCCAAACUUCUUAUUUCCCUCUUCCCAGCUGAUUGAUUAGUUCUGCUCAGUUUGAUUAGUUUUGCUUUCCCCUGUUUUCUGAAAGGGAAAAAUAAAAAAGAAAAGGAUAAUGGAAAUUGUUAUCUCCGUUGCUGCAAAAGUUGCCGAGUACUUCGUUGCUCCCAUAAUUCAUCCAUUUACUUACUGCUGCACUUAUAAGACCAACUUCGAAAAGCUGAAUAAUGAAGUUGAUAAGCUCAAGAAUGCUAGAGACAGUGUGCAGUAUAAGGUUGAUGAUUCCAGAAUUAAAGGGGACGGAAUCCAACUGCACGUUGAGGAGUGGCUGAUUGCUGCGAACAAGGAGAUCAAUGAAGUCGAAACACUUAUUGAAGGCAAAGAGAAUUCAAACAACCGGUGUUUGAAGGGGUUAUGUCCUAAUUUGAGGACUCGGUACCGGCUUAGCAAGAAAGCAGAAAGAGAGGCGAAUGCUAUUGUUGGACUCCAUGAAAAAGGGAGAUUCGACAGUGUUUCUUUCCGUACCAUUCCAGAGGAGACAUGGCUUAAGUCUACCCAGGAUUUCAUGCACUUUGAAUCGAGAAAGUCCACCUUGAAGGAGAUACUAGAUGCACUGAGCAACCGUAACUUCAACAUGAUUGGAGUGUACGGGAUGGGUGGGAUUGGAAAGACAACGCUGGUGAAAGAAGUUGGCAGGCAGGUCAAGGAAAAUAAUCUCUUUGAGAAGGUCAUUUCUUCACGUGUUUCACAAACACCGCAAAUAAAAAAUAUACAAGGAGAAAUCGCAGAGAAGAUAGGCUUAGAAUUGGCCGAACAGAGUCAUGAAACUGUAAGAGCAGGGAGGCUGCUUGAACGAUUGAAGAAAGAGACGAAGAUCCUUAUAAUCUUGGAUGAUAUUUGGGGGAGUAUGGAUUUGGAGGCGAUUGGAAUUCCAUUGGCAGAUGACAACGGCGGAUGUAAAGUUCUGCUGACAGCAAGAAGUCAGGAUGUGUUAUCUUGUAAGAUGGAUUGUCAACAUAAUUUUUUUGUUGAUGUUCUGAACGAAAAAGAAGCUUGGAGUCUUUUCAAAAAGAUGACAGGUGAUUGCAUAGAAAAUGGUGAACUGAAAUCUGUAGCAACAGAGAUAGUCAAGGAAUGUGCUGGUUUGCCCAUUGCCAUUGUACCCGUAGCAAGGGCAUUGAGAAAUAAGAGAUUGUCUGAAUGGAAGGAUGCUUUGCUGGAAUUUAGAAGGCCUUCCUUGAGAAACUUCACUGGAACAACGGAGGUGGCGUACAAUAGUAUAGAGCUAAGUUACAAUCAUUUAAACGGAGAGGAACUGAAGAAAACAUUUUUGCUAAUCGGGUACACGUUCUUCUCUUGUGUUGAAGACCUACUCUAUUAUGGCAUGGGUUUGGGUCUGUUUCAAAACAUCAACACGUUGGAAGAGGCACGGGAUAGAGCACAUACAUUGAUUGAUAAACUCAAGAACUCUUGUUUGUUGCUUGAUGGCGGUUCAAGUGAAUGGUUUUCAAUGCAUGAUGUUGUUCGUGAUGUAGCCAGAUCAAUUGCAUCAAGAGACCAACAUGUGUUUGUGGUGGAAAAUGAGGUUGUUCCGCUGACCAACUGGCCAGAUAAGGAUACACUGAAGGUUUGCACCGCAAUCUCCUUAAAUAAUAGUAAUAUUAGUGAGCCUCCUCAAGGGUUCGAAUGCCCGCAACUUAAAUUCCUUUGUAUUGGCCGUCAUGCUUCUUUGAGGAUCCCAGAUAAAUUUUUUACUGGGAUGACAGAGCUUAGAGUUUUAGAUUUCACUAUGAUGCAUUUAAAACCAUUGCCUUCAUCUCUUGGUCUCUUACAAAACCUUCAAACAUUGUCUCUCGAUGAUUGUGAAGUAGGAGACAUGGCCAUUAUUGGAGACCUAAAGAAAUUAGUUAUCCUUACGCUUCGAGGUUCUAAUAUGGAGGAACUGGCUGGAGAGAUAGGCCAGCUGACUCAAUUGAGGUUGUUGAAUCUGGGCAACUGUUUCAAUCUACAAGUUAUUCCACCAAAUGUCAUAUCAAGCUUAUCACGAUUAGAAGAAUUGUAUAUCGGUGAGAGUCCCAUUAUGUGGGGGAAGGUUGGAGGAGUCGACGGUGAAAGAAGAAAUGCCAGCCUUGAUGAGUUGAAUAAUUUAUCUAAAUUGACCUCUUUAGAAAUACUCAUCCAAGAUGAAAAGGCUCUACCAAGAGACUUGUCGUUCUUCAAAAUGCUGCAAAGGUACAGGAUAUUGAUAGGAAAUUGCAGGGAGUAUGGCGCAUGGGAUGGGAUUUCUAGAACGUUCAGACUGGGGCUCACAAAUGGUGACAACAUUUGCUUGAACGAGGGGCAUAUCAUGCAAUUGAAGGGUAUUGAAGGCCUAACUUUGGAUGGAUUGCCGGACAUUAAGAAUAUUCUUUGUGAACUAGGCAGAGAAGGUUUUCCACAGCUGAAUCGUCUCGAAAUCCGACGUAAUGGCAACAUUGUUCGUCUUGUUGACACAAUGGAUUGUACGCCAGCUCGGACGACUGCAUUCCCACUUUUGGAGUCAUUAUUUCUGAGAGAUUUAAGGAACCUUGAGGAAAUAUGUCGUGGUCCACUCACACCAAAGUCUUUUAGCAAAUUAAAGACCAUAAGGGUGGAAGGGUGUGAUAAAUUGAAAAAAGUAUUUCCAUUGGUCAUUGGCAGAGGCCUUCAACAACUUCAGUCCGUUAAAGUGAGUAGUUGCCAAAAUAUGGAAGUGAUUUUUGCUGCCGAGAGAGGAGAUGAAUCCAGCAAUAAUAACGGUACUGAAGUGAUUGAACUCACUCAAUUAAGGACACUUGAGCUUCGUUCUCUUCCGCAGCUUACAAGCUUCGGCACAGGAGAUCUGCAUUUUGAAAAGGUAUUUCUACUUUUGAGAGUUCAGAGUUUUAUUGUCGUCAUCGCCCUCAUCACUUCGUCUUUUAGAAACAAAAUGUUAGUUCUAUAAAUCAGUUUAUUUAAUUAUACUUUAUAAUAUCCUUAUAAACAUAAUUAUCACUCUUCAGUAAUUCUUCUCAUUAUCGAAUAUUGAAUUGGCUACAACCAUAGAUGGAUUUGGAUGUCAGUUAGACCGAAUAAAAAAAAAAAGAAAAGAUAUUUAUACAACCAUGAUAACAGAAAUAGUGGCAGAUGAGGAUGAUGAGGGAGAUAAUUAUGCAGCAAAAGAUGAAAUUGUUUUCAGCGAAUUAAAGGAAUUGUUGCUUUGGGACUUAAAAAGUCUGACUAGUUUCAGCUGCUCUGGGAAUAAUUGCGACUUCAAAUUCCCAUCUCUAGAAAGAUUAGUGGUGGAAAAUUGCCCCAAUAUGAAGAUUUUCUCAGAAGGGGAAUUAAGCACACCCAAGUUACAGAAAGUGCAGCUGAGCGUGUUUGAUAAUAAACUUUGGGCUUGGGAUCGGGACCUUAAUACAACCAUUCAAUACCUUAAUACAACCAUUAAAAGAAAAAAGGUAAGUAUUCAUUCACUAUGAGAUGUUGAUUUUUUUUUUAAAUUACUGAUUUAAUAACAGAUAUAUAUAAAAAAGUAAAAAGAAAAAAAUACAUAUUAAUUUUUUUAUAAAUUCAUUUUAAAUCUGAAUAGGAAGAGGAGGAAGAAGAGAAAGAGAAGUCUGCCAAGGCGAAUGAAAAGGAGAAAGAUGCGAAAGACAGUGGUAAGAUAAAAUCUAUACAAUUUAGGAGGUUUUGAUUUGAUUCUAUUUUGCUGACUAAAAAUGUUUUAUUUAUGUUGAAUUUUUUGUUAUACGUAUUUUACUCUUUGUCUACAGAGUCUCGAAACUUAUGAAGACGAUUCAUGCUACUUGUGCAGCAUUUUGGAUAAGGCUCGAGCUCGAGUUCUUUGUAUAUAUUGAGAGUCAGAUGGUGUUGGUGAGAGGAUUUUUUGUUUCAGUUUUCAUUCAUUUUUAUGCUUUUAGCUUUGUUUGAGUGCUCAGAAAUCCAAUUUGAAUUUAGUUUUAUUUCUUAUGGAUGGUGUCCAAGAUCUGCCAUAUUCAAUUUGUAGGCAUCUGAAAAUCUCUUUAAGCCCUAAAUUAAUUAAAGAGAUGUGUGCAUCAUAUUUGUGUUCGUACACCUAUUGGUAUUUUUUGGAGACAAUUAUGUAAGAAAUUAUGUAAUUUCAUGAAAAUAUGAAGAUUUUAUAUAGAAAAUUAUGGAAAAAUAAAAGUUUACGGGUCGAUUGCUGUUGACAAGUUCCUCCAUUUACAUUAUUAUUAAUUAUUUUUGUUGGUGAAAGCUAAGAUUAGAAGAAUGCGACAAUAAGAAGAUUAAAUACUUUGACAAGUUCCUCCAUGUUCAUUGUAGUAGAUAUUCAACAAAGAUGAUAAUACAGCAACAGAAAUUGGAGUUUUAAGCCAUCAGACACAAACAAUUGUGAAACAAGUGGGUAGAGGGAAUAAUAAAAAUCGAAAGACAUGGAUGGGAAGAAUAUGAGAUCAUUGAUAGAACCUAAAUACAAAUUCAAUCAAUUCAUUAAGCCAUCAAAAGUUAGUUACAAACCACUCUAUCUUAACAUAUGUAAUUUACCAUCAUCUAAAACCACUAUAUCCUAACAUAUGUAAUGUACCAUUAUCAAUUUUCGCUAUGUUAUGUCUGUAUAGCCUAAUAUGUUUGGCUUGGUUUUGUCUAAUAUGUUUAGCUUGGUUUUGUAUCCUUUCCAAACAUAUGAAUAUUUACUCAAGCGCAUGUUUGGGCCAUCUGAACAUUGAGUGGUUUGAUAUCUCUGCAGCGCAUGUAGGUCAGAAACUGACCAGGCAGCUCCUCCAAAAGUGCUUGUACAACAGAAAUUUGCCCACCUGUUCAGAAAACAAUGGGUUCGUUUGUUCAGGCAUGAAAAAAUUCAGAAACUUUUGUGAAUUAACUCCUAAAUUCAAUAGUUUGAACUAAUUUUGUCAAUGAAUCAUAUGCACUCACUAUGAACUUCUUGCAUUGGAACAAAUUGUACUAUAUCUCUGGUAGCUACCCGAUCGGUAGAGCUCUCUAAUCUACGGCCAUUAUCAGCAUCAAGAAUCUGCCAACAAAGUUAUCAGCGUCAAGAAUCUGCAACAAAAGUGGGAUAAUACCACACUGCAUAUAUACUCUAAAUUGAAUCUAUCAAACUAUAGAAAAAAGAAGUUCAAUGCUAGUAAGAAGAUAUUCCAGUUGGAAAACAUUGCGUACCUCCAUUUGUGUAAAAUCUGCACCUCCCACACCCACAAUUAGAAUUGACAGGGGAAGAUCAGAAGCCCUUACCAAAGCAUCUUUCGUUUCUUGGAGAUCUGUCAGAACUCCAUCCUAGAUAGACCAUGCAAAUUUACAAAUCACCCAAAAAGAAUGAUAGAAAGAGAAAACUGUGAAUAUAUAGAAUCAUUGUAAUCACCGUUAUAAUGAGUAAGACGAAAUACUUGCUUCUGUCGUAUGAGAGGGAUUGUCCAGCAAUUCGUGCAGCUGUGUUGAUCACUUGACCAAACAGAGUCGGUCCUGCCAAAGAAACAUUGUUUAGAGCGCUUGCAUAAGCAGCCAUAAUGCCUUCAACUCCAUCUACCUAUUAAAUAAAGAAACCAGCAGUUAAUAAAAAAAAUGGAAGAGGAUAAAAUAUACAUCUUUUAGGAUAAAAUUCCAAGGAAAUUUUCAGAAAAUGUAGAAACAUAUUAUAAUGUUUGUUAUUAAAAAUGAAAAGUUAUGGGAGACAAGCCAACCAAAUAAGGAUUACAGCAAAGUAGCGAACUCCAGUUACCCCUACCUCAAAGCCACCUGCUCUUCCAUUCAAGUUAAAACAAUGUGAUACAGUGCCAUCAAAUGUCUUCCCUCCAAAUCCCCAUGCAAAAGCGUCUAUCAGAAUCAUAAAAUUGUAUGACCUCCCCAAUUUCCGUUAUUGCCUGUAAAUGGUUUAAGUGGCCAAUAACUAAUCAGUGAUAUUCUCUCUCAACUUCUACGAACUAUUGAAAUAUCUAUUUCCCUAUGACGGCCAUAGAAAGACUUGAAAGUCACAUGCAUUUUCUAAGUCGAAAACACUGGACAAAAUGACCAUUUUAUGACCUUCAGAGUUCAGAGAUCACUUGUCAAAAUGUGAGUCAUAACAAAACCUUACCUGCUGGUAAGAAUUCAAUCUGCCUGAAGGAUCAAUAUAGUGCAAAGAAUUUGGAUUUCGAGGAUUUCCAUUUGAAGCUGGAUGAUUUUGCAUUUAACGAGAGGCAAGAUGAAGUUGGACCAAAUAAGAGGAAAUAAACAAAACAAACCGAUUAUAUUGCCAAUUUAUCUUCAACAAGCAAUCUCUUUCUAAUUACCUGUAAAGUCGACUGCAACCAUAAAAUUCAACUCAAAGCCACUAGAUAUGUAAUCCAGAAAACUAUAUUGCUCUUUCUCAACAAACUUUUCAACAAACAACUGACUUUUCAGAACCUAGGAAAAAGUCAGAUAAAAAAUAAAGUGAUAUUAAAUUAUCAAAAACCGUAAGCAUGAACAAACACCUUUGGUGGAGUUAAAACAAAAAAGAAUAAACACCUUGUCAUGGCCACGUUGAGUUGAUGGUAACAUAAAAGUUGCACCAGUUCUUUCUUGAUGAAGUUUCUCAAGGUCUCCAACUGAUUUCUGAAUUUUACUAAUAACAGAAAUAGAAAACCUUGACAUCAGAAAGGCAAAAGGAUAAAAGAGGGAAGCUGAUGACAUUAAGAAAUUUAACAGUUACCCCAUCAGUACGUGAUUUCCACUGGUAUUGAAAUCAAAACAUUCAAUGAUUAAUGGGUUUUCCUGUACCAAAGAGAAUCAUAAACUAAAAAACAUUUCCCCAUGACCAAACUUCACUACCUAAUAUACAUUUAAGUAACAAGCACAAGAAGAUGAUAAGGUUACCUUGCUCACAAAUUGCUGCAUGCUCAAAGUUAUUGGUCUCCAAAUGGGAUUCAAGUUAUUGUUUAUCACCUCCGUCUUGUAGAUAGGAACAGAAUUUCCACUCUCAACAAUUCUAGAUAUUCUUAAGAAUGGAUCCUAUAGAAUAUAAGAAGAAGAAGAAUGAGCAUCUAAAUUAAUAGAUUAAUUAGUGAACCUCCAAACUUAGCUACUUUGUCAGAACUUACACUUUUGGAAAACAGGUCUACAUUUUGCAAAUGUGAGCAACGGAAUGCUAUUUCAACAGCACUCUUGGAAGCAACCGUUUCCUCAGCAUGGACAGAGAGUGUCCCAAAGUUUCUUGAAACUCGAAGUCCAUAAUUGUUAUGGAGUUUUAAGGUUAAAGUUCGAUUUUGUUUGGUCACUAUCUGCCAUUUAAAAGGAAAAUAUGACACUUGUUAGUGCAAAAGAAGAAUGCUAAAGAAGAAGACGAAUGCUAGUAAAAAGCAUCUGAGAAUAUUUUGCCCUUUUUUUGAUAGGAAACAGAUUUUUACAGAAAAUUAGAUGGGCAUAUUUUGCCCAUUGAAUAAAGAGAAUACAUAAAUUCAUCAAACAAAAUAUAACCCAGAAACUUACCUCAGAGAGAACACAGCUAGCUUCUCCCAGGAAGUCUUGAUCCUCCAACUUUAGCAUCUGCAGGGCAAUGUAAAUAAGAAGUUUGAGCUUUAAACUUCACACUUCAACAAAUAUUUUGUCAUGAGAUAAUAAUGACUUGAAAGUAAUUAGGGAUCACUGCAGCAAAGAAUCAAAAGAACACUAGAUUUCCUACUUAAUGUCUUAGAAUCCAUCUGGAUUUGUUCAUUUUCUCUUUCCACUGGUAUAAAUUUACAUAUUUAUCAUUUUUCCCAGUAAUGUUAAUACCAUUUACAAUUGACAUAAAUAAUCAUCACAUUUUUAGAUUAUCUAACUGUUUUCAGCAAAUGCUUCCAAAUGAUUACAGUUUCUAGGAUUAUAACCAUCAAAAAAUUUUCAUUUUGACUCAAAUUCCACAGACGAAUACAUCAUAGGCUCUAAAGAUUUACUUAUCCAUUUCAAUACUGACAAUAUGGUCAUUUUUUACAGAAACUUCUUUAGGUCAUGGCAGCAACUAUUUAACUGUAUUGUUUUUAACAACAUAGAUCAAAAUUCCAUUUUGGAAAAAAGAAAAUUUAUCCGUAAGGACCAUCAGAAAAAUUGUUCUUUCCCAGUUAUGGUAGCAGGACAAAUAUGUCAAACCUUGCAAGAUGCAAUAGCAGAAAGUUCCAUAAUAACUACCCUGGCCUUAAGAUUUGUUUAUGGUAUAUGACAGCCAACUUUUUAAGUUUCUUUCCAUGCUAAAUGUUAGUUUAUAAUCAAUCAAGUAUUCCCAAAUUUCCCGAAAUUGAUAGAAACUAUUGCUGAUGCAAUUUAGUUUAGACGUAUGCUUAGACAACAAAUGGAUCAGUCAAAUGCCUUGGCUAACUCUAAACUUUGGAACUGAAGUAUGUGCGUAUCAUUUACAUCUGAAUUGAGAGAAAAAAAAAUAAUUAAGAAAUUUUAUACCUUCACUGGAAUAUUGUGGUACUUGGUAUCCACAUCAUACACACGAAAGCUGGAAAAAGAAGAAAAGCAUUAAGAAAUUCGAAAACAUUAAAUAUUAUCAAAUCAAGCAAGGCUUAAGCGCAUGACCUAUCAAGAAAAAAAAAACUUUAAAAAGAACACACUAAAAACUUACACCAAGGGCUGGACGAUCUCAAACUGAAAAGCAAUUGAAAUCUUUCCAAUCCAAGCAGGAUUCAAAUUGUUCAUAAUCACCUCUGUACGUCCAAUCUCGUCCAGCCUCCCAUCUCUUUUCUUUGCAUACACAACUGCCGUGGGAUCACUCUAUGACACAAAAAGACAUGUAAAUACAUUUGCUUGUGAAUAUAAAAAUAAUAAAAAAAAAAACAGAAGGCAUAUGGGUAUGUAUCCACUUAUGUCAUAUAAAUAUAGACAUAUAUUAGUUAAAUAACUUUAGUUGUCAUAUAAAUAUAGACAUUUAUUAGUUAAAUAACUUUAGUUAGUAAUCCAUCGUUAAAAUACAGCAGCAUUUUAUGUAUGCUAGUAUCAGCCAGUAAAAAGAUAUACGGCUGAUAAAUGUUCAUUAUCAAAGAAUUUUAUCUUGCACAUAUAACAUAUUUGACUAGUGCUCAAAAUUGCAAAAACAAUAAAACCACCAACCAUGACUUGUUAUACAUUAUCUGGAACUCUCAAGUUACUGCUCCUUACUGGAUUACAUUGGAGAUAGACAGUGUAUAUAACAAACUAUUCUUCUUUGUCUAAGUUUAGAAUUUUGGUGCCAGCACUAAGCGUUAUUAAGAUCAUAUAUCCCUAGACCCUUUAUGAACAGAGAAAGGAAAUUGACAGGGCCAUUAUGAACAAAUAAGCAGAUCAUAUAAGGAGGAUACAAGAUAACAUGAGAAUCAAUCACCAAGACUAUCAACAGCAUGAACAUGGCAUUAUCAGACAUAAGACAACAAUAAUAUGAAGGCGUACCUUUGAUGCGAUGUCAAGAUCACGUAACUUUGAAGCAGAUAAAGAUAACUGCAAUAUAUAUUCAAAAACAUAAGAACGAAUACAGAUACAUGAAAAAGCAGAAAAGGAGUAAUCCAUGCAUAUGCUGCACGAAAUGAAAAUUGUCAGUACGAUGUGGGUCAACUGACAGGCAAUAUAUAUCUGUCAUAAACAGAACAUGCAGAAAACCAUCAUUUCGGAUUCUGACAAUCACUUCUAAUAUUAAAUCUUAUAAGCAGGCAAUAAUAUAUGUAAUUAAGUUUUAUAUAACAACAGGAUGUGACACGUCAAUUACAAGCAUUGAACCACAUUUAAUUUGUUAUCAUAUGACUUGUUUCCUUUUCUCCAGGAAAGUUUCCAAGGAGAUCCUCAGGUAAGGUCCACAUCAAUACAGGAAUAUUACAAUUACUUGGUGGUCCAUGUUAUGGAAAGACAUUCUUAUCCUCGUAACAACAUAAUCCUUAAUCCACAAUUUUUUAUAAAGUUAAUGGUUUGUCUUAUGCAAACCAGCAUUCACAAAAUCAUGUUCCAUUCAGGAGAGCAUUAUCAUGGGGAAUCUUCACAGUGGUACAAGUCAAAUUUGAUCACGAGGGGUAUGAGUCAAAUUUGAUAAAUGAGGCAUAACAGAAUAGUCAACUUUGAGGAUACACAGGAAAACCACUGUGCAUUCAACAGGAUCAAACAUCAACUUUCUCAACGUUCACAAGGCCUUUGUGCAUUCAACACCAUUCUUUUUUUAUUUACGUUAUCCAAUCUUAAUCUAAAAUUCACUUCACAGAAUGUUGUCAUUGGGUAUAAGCAGUUAAACUUACUGUUCUCCCUAUGCAAAACAAAAGCAGUUGCUUGGUGUGAAACCGUCAAACCAACACCAGCAAAAGAUCAGCCACAAGAAAAAAAAAAAUGCUUCUCAAAGAAGCACUUGACAGGCGAAUAUUCUUUUGAGAAGGUGCUUAACUCCUUUGUCCUUUGAAGAAGCACCAAGUAAAAUAUUCGCCCUCCAAAAUUCCGAAUACUUCUCUUACAUUAUUAAAAAAAGGCAUGUUUGGAAUUGCAGUUGAUUCUUGAAUAAGAAUUUACUCCCGAUUAUGUUCGAAUUAUCAAAUAAUUUUUAUCAAAUAUAAACAAUUUAAGUUGUUCUUUUAGGGAUGUUACACUGACAAGUCAUCAAAGAAGUAAUAAUAACAAACAUAAUUUGGGUAUAGAUUUUCAAACGAGUGACCAUUUGAGAAUCCAUCACAAUUACAGAAACCAACGAAGUCAGAUUUAAAAAAGUAAAAUAAAAAAUUAUAAAUAAAUUAAAAAACAUAAACUAAUCAUAAAUUUACAAAUUUUUAAUUAAUUAAUUAAUUAAUUAACUGAAAAUAGUUUAUUAAUAGUGGCAGCGAAAGACUCAUAUAAAUUCAGGUAUACAGAUAUACCUCGAUUUGGGUGAAAAGGGCUUGAAGACCGCGAGAUUUGAAGAAGAAAUCAACGGCGUCGUUUUGUCCAGAAACAUUGUUCUGAUCAGCCGCGGUGGUGGGCCGAAGCUGGGCCCCACCUACGGCUUGUUUCCCUCCCCUCACAUCACUCCCAGACAAACAUAAUCCCAUCUGUUUUUUUUUUUCUCUCUCUCUGUCUUUAUUCUCAAGAGUACGGAGUCUCACUGUUCGGUCGAUGUUCUUUAAUCGCUCAAAUCCGUAGCCUCUGACAGAGAACUGGGGCGGGGCUUUACUUUUGCCCUCUAUUUAUAGGCUUCUGCGCUUGAGUCGUAUUUGAAUUUGACUCUGUUUCUGCUGCGAAAAUGUCAAGAAAAAAAAAAAAGUUUUUUUUUUUUUGUAUUUGAAUUUGAAUACUUCUAGGGGGAUUGAUGAUGGAUUGUUUUACUGUAUUUGGAAGUUGGAACGUUUAGGCCCACCUAAUUAUCAUUAAUAAUAGAUAGUUAUAUCAAAAUUUACCAACUUCAUUUUAGCUAUGAUAUUAGCUUGCGCACUAUGAAAUGAUUAGGUUUUGUAAAUUUUUUUUUUUUUUUUUACAGUAUCUUAGAGAAUAAGUUUCCAUUGUAUGUAACCGGCUAGAGCCCCUCCCUCACAAAUGUGAGGGAAGGGGUUCGAGCCUCCGCAGUCGCAUUGUAGGGGUUUAAUUUAAAUAUCCUUCCUUGUAGCCCUUGAGCUCGAGUGAAGGCAGUCUUUCUCCCAGGAUGGGAGUUUGACAUCCCUCGAAUAUUUGAGAGGGUUAAAAAAUCUUAGCGGUGCCAUAUCAGCAUUAAUGUCAACAGAGCUCAGUAUAAAUAUAUGAUUGUACAUAUCAAUUAUACUCUCAUGUAAUAUGAGUUAAGCCCUUGAGCUCGAGUGAAGGCAGUCUUUCUCCCAGGAUGGGAGUUUGACAUCCCUCGAAUAUUUGAGAGGGUUAAAAAAUCUGAGCGGUGCCAUAUCAGCAUUAAUGUUUAAGACAAAUUCUAGAAUCUAAAGUAAAGAAUCGGUAAAUUUAUAAAGAAAUAUGAAGAAACAGCAAGGUAUUGAAGAAUUCAAUUUCUCAUUAUAUUUGGACAUUUGGACGUCAUUAAUGUUAAUUGAUUUUUUUCCGCGUAAAAAAGUUUCGGAUUUAUUUUGUUCCUCCAAACGCCAUUCAUUGGAAAUAAGUUUAUUUUUCUGACAACUUCAACUCAUAAAUUUUAAUUAUUUUGUUAUAAUAAUAGUACGAACAAUUCUAUGUAUUACGAACAAAAAAAAAAAAGAAUCUUAAUUUUAUAUCAUAUAUAAUUAUAUAUAUAUAGACUCAAUAAGAGUAUUAUUUAUCAUGUAAUUUAUUAAACUAAUCUCACCUAAAAAGUUGUUGAGAAAAGACAGUAAGUUAAUAAAUAUUUCGUCUUCCCCAAGGUUUUUGAUUAGAAGAAUGACUUGAUAUGGCUGAUAUUGAUAAAUUAAAAAGGGAAAAAUAAUAAACAAUGGAGGAAUUUUCAAAUUAGGUCAACAAUCGUAGUCUAUUUUAUUUCGUAAUAAUGGCAAUGACGAAGCCCUUAUAACAUAAGCUUGCAAACGUAAUCAAGAUAUCCGUGGAAAACAAGCAACAAUUCCAAUGGGGUGGAAUAAAAUGUCUAAUAUUUAAAUUUUUUAUUUCAAUUUCUGUUUAUAUAAUUUAUUUAAUUUAUAAUAAAGAUGAAUAAUUAAAUAAAUUUUAAAAUAUCUUAAAAUAAGAAUAAUACUAUAAAAUUAUGAUAAAUGAAAGUUAUUGAUUAUUAUGAAAACAAUAAGAAGAGAAAUGGUAUGUAUUAAUUUCUACAUGAAGGAAACUGCCAACCUCCCUUUAAUAUGUUGUGACAAUCAUUAGAAUUUCAAUAAAAUGAUAAACUCCUCUACAUAAUCGAUAGUCAUUGAUCACGUACGUGUACAUUUAAGUUGGAAAAAAGAAGAAGAAGAUAAUUCAAGUAUAAUAAAAUCAGAAUGCGUAUGUCAUAACUAAUUUCACUAAAUGGUUAUAAUACGUUUUAUGCACUUGAGAUUUUCUCAAAAUGAGAAAAGAAAAAGGCUCAUUAGUCACUCCUAUAUAUAUGUGUGUGUGUGCGCGCGCGCUUAAACUUAACUCAGGAUAAUCUAUAUUAUAUAGAACGUAAAAUUGAGUUACGUAUAAAAACGUAACUCAAGUGUCACAUUAUACGGCGCGCUUAAACUUUGAUAAUCUAUAUUAUAUGCCCAUAAAAUCAAGAAUUUUACAAUACAUUAAAACCAAUACAAUCAUCUAAUGUAUAUAUAAUAUAUAUAGUUAAAUUUGAUAUAAUCAUCAAUUGCAUGAUAAUUUUACAAAAUAUAAAUAUUAUCUAUUUGUUGAAUGACUAACUUUGUAGUAUGAUGUUUAUAGAAUUUUUCCGUAAAAUCAUUAUUGUAAUGAGGAUUGUUGAGGGACGUGUUAUUAAUGAAAAGGACUGCACAUGUUAUCCAAUAAUUGAGACACUUGUCUUGUUAGAGGACAUUUUCAAAGAUUAAAGGUAUAGAAGCCAUUUGCAAAAUUUCCAAGCGUGGAGAACAUGCAUGCAUGCACGUGGAAUUCCAUGCAUAAAAUGAUAAAAUACUCGUCAAGUCUCACCUUAAAUUGUAGUUUCUAUCGUUUGCAAAGAAGUUUCAUUAUUUAGGUUGUGUUUGGGAUUGAAGUUGGGCAGCUGUAGCUUAAAAACUACAGUACUAAAGUGUUUGGUAAACACUAGCUGCUGUAACUUUUAAGCUAUAUUGAUAUGAUUUUUCACUUGUAUAAUACAAAAUCUAUUAUAUCUUUAAUAAUUUUAUCAAAAUUAUUAUUUAAAAUUUAUAUUUACUAUAUAUUAUUAACUUUUAUUUCAUAAUUACAGCUUGUUUUUCACAACAGCUGUAGCUUAAAAGCUACAGCACCUCAAUCCCAAACGCACCCUUAAUUUCCAAAUCUUGGGUCGUGCCGCCUCGUACAUGAAUAAGAUUACUUGCCACGAUUACCAAUUUUUUAUCACUUUAUUAAUUCCUUUUCUUCCUAUACAUGAAUCUUGUUAAAUUUUACUUGCUAUUUUACUUUUUUUUUUUAAUUUUAAAUUCUUUUCUAUAUCAUACUUUGAAUCUUGUUUAAGGAAUCUUUGUAUUCUUUUGUCCGCAUGUCAUGUGCAACACAAAUAAUAUUUUACGUUACACUUGAUAUUCAUUCAUAUAAAUUAAUCAAGGAUAAGAUAUAUAUUGCCAAAUUGAUUAAAAUAAUUAUUAAUUUAAAAUUAAUAAUUUUUUUAUCCAUAACACUGAUAAUAAAGUCCGAUUAUAUAUAGGCAUGCACACUUUUUCCAUGGGGGAUUGAUAAUAAAAUUUUAUAGUGGGUAAUUAGGUGCAACCGUGUUGGUAGAUCUACCUACCUAAUAUUAAUUAAUGAUUGAAAAGAAGAACAUUUAGUUCAUAAUUAAACCAAGAUUGAAUCUUUUUUUUUCUGUUUUUCUUUUUUAAAUGACAAAUGAGAGAUGAAUUCAAAUUAAUCAGGAAUUUUUAUCCGUUAUUUAUUAGAGUUGUGCUAGUAUUUUUUUUUUUUUAAAAAACUACUAAUUACAACAACCUUAAGUAAAACCAACAUAUAUUAUAUAGGUCAUCAUGUGAGCACAGAAUCCGACAUUCCUUUGAGACUUAUAUCUCUCUCAAAUUAAAAUACCGCAAACAAGAAUAUUAAACAAAGUAAUAAUCAAAAGGGAUAUUAUCAUUUUACUACUAAAGUUUUUCUGACAUAUCAAGUCAGUAUUAUGCUUUGGUAAAAACUACAUUUUACUACCAAACAUUUAAUUUAUUAUCACUUUACUACUUUUCCGUUAAAAAUAAGUUAAUAUUUAACGGAAUAUGAGUUAAAAGACUAUUUUAGCCAUGAAAAGAAAAGAAAUAACAAAAAAGAAAACUACAAAUUACUGUAGCACGCAUCCAUUGUAAUGUGUAACACCGUAUCACGUUUUUUGUCCUUAUUGUAAAGUGUCGUUAGAUGUAAAACGAUUGAAUCCAACGAUCAAAAUCGCUUAAUAGAUUAUUGAGGCAUGAACUGUCAACCGUUGAAGCCAGUUAUCAUCAGAACCUUUCUCCAACUCUUGAUCCUCAUUCUCCUCUCCCUGACCAUUAACUUUUUCUCCAGACCUCUCCUCUGACCUGGUCUCACCCUCAUUGCUAUCAGAUUUCUUCUUACCAUCAUCCGAAUCAGAUUUGUUGCAAGCAAUUAAUUUAUUCCCACAACUGGCUUUUGAGUGCGAAGUAGAAGAAAGCUAAGUACAAUCACACUCACAAGGCAAGCAUUUCUUCAAACCGAAUUAUUUCCCACAUCACACAUCCAAUGACAGAGUCCCCUGGUUUCUCUAUACGGCUUUCCCCUUAAUCAUUUUAACAAACAGCUUCAAUACACAAAGAUUAGAGCAAAAAAAGGAAAAAUAAUGGCUAUGUCAACGCUAGGUGAUGACGAAUUAAUGAAAACUAGUUGCCGAGGCAACUCUUGAGAGUCAAGAGUCGCCACGCAAACACAAUCGUGGUCCCUUUUUGCUGUAUAUGUAGAAAAAAAAAAAGAAGAAGCAAGCAGCACGUGGUGGGAGAAAAGAAAAGGUGGGAGAAAUCUUUUAUAAAAAAAAAAGAGAGAAAAGAAAAGUUAGAGAUUUGGCUUUGCAAAGAUGUAGGGUCCUGUGUGUGUUUGUGUUUUGUUUGUUGCUUCUUGUGCUUGGUUGACCGUGAGAGAGAGAGGGGCCGUGAGAGAGAGAGAGCGAUCGGAGAUGGAGGGUUACAAUUUGGGAAUAAAUUUUCAAACGAGCGACUAUUUAAGAAUACAUCACAAUUACAAACAUGAACGAAGUCACAUUUAAAAAAGUAAAAUAAAAAAUUAUAAAUAAAUUAAAAAACAUAAACUAAUCAUAAAUUUUUAAUUAAUUAAUUAACUGAAAAUAGUUUAUUAAUAGUGGCAGUGAAAGACUCAUAUAAUUCAGGUACACACAUAUACCUCGAUUUGGGUGAAAAGGGCAUGAAGGCCGCGAGAUUUGAAGAAGAAAUCAACGGCGUCAUUUUGACCAGAGACAUUGUGGUGAUAAGCCGCGCUGGUGGGCCGGAGGUGGGCCCCACCUACGGCUUGUUUCCCUCCCCUCACAUCACUCCCAGACAAACAUAAUCCCAUCUGUUUUUCUUUUUCUCUCUCUCUCUCUUUAUUCUCGAAAAUUAAAAAAUUAAUCGAAAAAAUUUACCUAAAAGUUUUUGCAAGUUUGUGUCAAGAGUACGGAGUCUCACUGUUCGGUUGAUGUUCUUUAAUCUCUCAAAUCCGUAGCCUCUGACAGGGAACUGGAGCGGGGCUUUAUUUAUAGGCUUUUUGCGCUUGAGUCGUCGUAUUUGAAUUUGACUCUGUUUCUCCGGCGAAAAUGUAAAGAAAUUUCUACUUUUUAAUUCAAUUGUUUUUUCAUGAGGAAAAAAAAAAGUUUUUUUUCUUAUCUAAAAGAUUUUGUCUUUUCCUUUUCCUCUCCAAAAUAUAGAAUAAUGUAGAUGAUGGAUUUUUUUACUGUAUUUGGAACGUUUAGGUCCACCUAAUUAUCAUUAAUAAUAGAUAAUUAUAUCAAAAUUUACCAACUGAUUAGGUUUUGUUAAUUUUUUUUUUACAGUAUCUUAGAGAAUAAGUUUCCAUUGUAUGAAGACAAAUUCUAGAAUUUAAAGUAAAGAAUUGGUAGAUUUGUAAAGAGAUAAAACAAAUUCUCCGGCGAAAAUGUAAAGAAAUUUCUACUUUUUAAUUCAAUUCCUUUUUAAUGAGGAAAAGAUUUUGUCUUUUCCUUUUUCUCUCCAAAAUAUAGAAUAAUGUAGAUGAUGGAUUGUUUUACUGUAUUUGGAACGUUUAGGCCCACCUAAUCAUUAAUAAUAGAUAAUAAUUAUAUCAGAAUUUACCAACUUCAUUUUAGCUAUGAUAUUAGUUUGCGCACUACCAAAUGAUUAGAUUUUAUUAAUUUUUUUUAACCAUAUCUUAGGGAAUAAGUUUAUAAAGAAAUAUGAAGAAACAGCAAGGUAUUGAAGAAUUCAAUUUCUCAUUAUAUUUGGACAUUUGGACGUCAUUAAUGUUAAUUGAUUUUUUUCCGCGUAAAAAAGUUUCGGAUUUAUUUUGUUCCUCCAAAUGCCAUUCAUUGGAUAUAAGUUUAUUUUUCUGACAACUUCAACUCAUAAAUUUUAAUUAUUUUGUUAUAAUAAUAGUACGAACAAUUCUAUGUAUUAUGACAAAAAAAAAUAAUUUAAAUUUAUAUCAUAUAUAAUUAUAUAUAGAGCUAAUGCUAAGUUACAUGCAUGUAACUUACAACCUUUUCACAUAAAUAGUGAGUGAGCUCACAUCACUCACUAUUAAUGUGAGAGGGUUAUAAGUUACAUGCAUGUAACAUAGGGGAUCCUUAUAUAUCGGCUCAAGAGUAUUAUUUAUCAUGUAAUUUAUUAAACUAAUCUCACCUAAAAAGUUGUUGAGAAAAGACAGUAAGUUAAUAUUUCUUCUUCCCCAAGGUUUUUGAUUAAAAGAAUGACUUGAUAUGGCUGAUAUUGAUAAAUUAAAAAGGGAAAAAUAAUAAACAAUGGAGGAAUUUUCAAAUUAGGUCAACAAGUAAUCUUAGUCUAUUUAAUUUCGUAAUAAUGGCAAUGACGAAGCCCUUAUAACAUAAGCUUGCAAACGUAAUCAAGAUAUCCGUGGAAAACAAGCAACAAUUGCAAUGGGGUGGAAUAAAAUGGCAUUCACAGUCAACUACUAAGAUACUGAAGGUUCAAUCGUUUAAGGGUAUUGAUAGUUUCUCCCCCGUCGAAAUUUUAUGUAAAAUAUGUACACCUCUAUUGUUUUCAUAAUAGCUAAUAAUCUUUUGGUAUGAAAAGUUUAAAGGAGAGUAAAGGUAAAUGGGUCAUUUGCUUAAUAUUUUAUUUUGAAAAUAUAAAAUAUAUAUUUACCAUAAAAAAAUAUGUUUAAAGAUAAAAAAAAAUAAGAAAACUAUAUUCAUACUAAUUUUUUAUCAACACUGAAAAUUAUAUUUCUUAUUUCUAAUCUUUAAAUUUUUUUAUUUCAAUUUCUGUUUAUAUAAUUUAUUUAAUUUAUAAUAAAGAUGAAUAAUUAAAUAAAUUUUAAAUAUCUUAAAAUAAGAAUAAUACUAUAAAAUUAUGAUGAAUGAAAGUUAUUGAUUAUUAAUUUCUACAUGAAGGAAACUGCCAACCUCCCUUUAAUAUGUUGUGACAAUCAUUAGAAUUUCAAUAAAAUGAUAAACUCCUCUACAUAAUCCAUAGUCAUUGAUCACGUACGUGUACAUUUAAGUUGGAAUAAAAAGAAGAAGAUAAUUAUAGUAUAAUAAAAUCAAAAUGCGUAAGUCAUAACUAAUUUCACUAAAUGGUUAUAAUACGUUUUAUGUACUCAAAAUGAGAAAAGAAAAAGGUUCAUUAGUCACUCCUAUAUUUAUGUGUGCGCGCGUGCGCUUAAACUUUGAUAAUUUAUAUUAUAUGCCCAUAAAAUCAAGAAUUUUAUAAUAUAUCAGAGACAAUACAAUCAUCUAAUGUAUAUAUAAUAUAUAUAGUUAAAUUUGAUAUAAUCAUCAAUUGCAUAAUAAUUUUACAAAAUAUAAAUAUUAUCUAUUUGUUGAAUGACUAUCUUUGUAGUUUGAUGUUUAUAGAAUUUUUCCGUAAAAUCUUUAUUGUAAUGAGGAUUGUUGGGGGACGUGUUAUUAAUGAAAAGGACUGCACAUGUUAUCCAAUAAUUGAGACACUUGUUAGAGGGAGAAGCCAUUUGCAAAAUUUCCAAGCGUGGGGAACAUGCAUGCAUGCACGUGGAAUUCCAUGCAUAAAAUGAUAAAAUACUCGUCAAGACUCUCCAUAAAUUGUAGUUUCUAUAGUUUGCAAAGAAGUUUCACUAUUUAAUUUCCAAGUCUUGGGUCGUGCCGCCGCGUACAUGAAUAAGAUUACUUGCCACGAUUACCAAUUUUUUAUCACUUUAUUAAUUCCUUUUCUUCCUGUACAUGAAUCUUGUUAAAUUCAACUUGCUAUUUUACUUUUUUUUUUUUUUAAAUUUUAAAUUCUUUUCUAUAUCAUACUUUGAAUCUUGUUUAAGGAAUCUUUGCAAGGAUAAGAUAUAUAUUGCCAAAUUGAUUAAAAUAAUUAUUAAUUUAAAAUUAAUAAUUCCUUUAUCCAUAACAGUACUGAUAAUAAAAUCCGAUUAUAUAUAGGCAUGCACACUUUUCCAUGGAGGAUUGAGAGUAAAAUUUUAUAGUGGGUAAUUAGGUGCAACCGUGUUGGUAGAUCUACCUACCUAAUAUUAAUUAAUGAUUGAAAAGAAGAACAUUUAGUUCAUAGUUAAACCAAGAUUGUUACAGAAAAGGGAAAAGACUAAGACAGUGCUCAUGAAGUGGAUAGAAAUAACAGAGAAAGAAAUAGCUAUAUACAAUAAAAUAUUUCUCCUAUAUAGCCAUAUAUACUUUAUAUACAAAUAAAAUAUUUCUCCUAUGUAGUCAUACUUUAUAUAGAAAUAAUUUUUAUUUAAUUAUAAAAAAGAUUUAAUCUCAAUUUAAGUUAGUUAUUAAUUUCAUACUCAAUUAAUGACACAUCAUUUGGAAUAACUUUUUGGGAUAAAAAAUUUGGGAUGUGUAGCACUACUGUCUAUGCUCUAUAUUAUAAUAAGUUAUAAUUUUUUAAGUCUUGUCUAAAAAGAAUUUGUCCCCGCAUAGUAAUUGUAUUUGUAUAUUGCAAAAAAGUAUAGACUCUUUUUUUUUAAUUAAGCCUACCUUUGCUAUCAAUUUCUGACAUAAUCCAGUAAUUAAUUAUUAAUAUAGUAAAUAUUUUACCUCUAAUUUAAUUACACGAAGGAUAACUAAGUGAAAACGAUAAUUUCUGUAACUAUAUCUUUACUAAGUUAAUUAUAAUAUUCUCGUAUUAAUAAAAUUAACUUACCCCAAUAUUAUGAUUAUAGAGAAAUUGGACUAUAUUUGCGAAUUUUGAAAAUGAUGGUCAUGACUUAUGUGCUCAAUCUGUGAUUUUACGUUGAGGUUGAUAGAGCUGAACCAUCAAAAACGUUUAAAGCAUAUUGUCGUUAGUCUUUGUUUCCGAAUAGACAAAAGUGUCAAAUACUAUGUUUAUCAAUAAGAACAUUAUUGAAUCUUUUUUUUUUUCUUUUUUAAAUGACAAAUGAGAGAUGAAUUCAAAUUAAUUAGGAAUUUUUAUCCGUUAUUUAUUAGAGUUGUGCUAGUUAUUUUUUUAAAAAAACUACUAAUUACAACAACCUUAAGUAAAACCAACAUAUAUUAUAUAGCUCAUCAUGUGAGCACAGAAUCCGACAUUCCUUUGAGACUUAUAUCUCUCUCAAAUUAAAAUGCCGCAAUCAAGAAUAUUAAACAAAGUAAUAAUCAAAAUAACAUUUUCCUUGCAACGACUCAUUAUGAUUCCUAGUGAAAUGGUUCGUUCGACCAAAAAAUGCUGGAAAAAAUGUAAUUCAAGUUGGCUUCCUCUUUCAUUCAGUUCAGAACUUUAGAUUAUUUGGUGUAAAUGAAGGGAAAAUGCCUACGAAUAUGUUUUCAGCUUGCCCGUCGUCUUUGGCCAGCUUCGAGUUGUUUUCGUAAUUACGUCGUCACAAAGACUGAUGCGGAGUAUGUAGAAAAUAGAAAAAGUCAUUCAAAGCCGUACAAAAGUGGAUAACCAAUCCAAUCCACUUUUGGCUCGUCAUUGAGUUCGAGGAUUUGACAAAUCACUUUUUGGUCUCCGGCGUGUGGUAUACACACUCCCUUUUAAUUACUAUUAACACCAUGUAUACAUAAAAGAUUUCAACCCUCCACAUGUAAGACCAUCGCUAAACCAAUAAGUUGUUCUCAGCACAAAAUGAAUAUUACUUAGUUAUGUCAUAAUUUUAUUAAUAAAGAAAGAAAUUAAUCUACAUCUUUUUUAAAAAUAAUUUUAAAAUUUGUUAAAUAGGCAAAUAUGGUUUUAAUCCCCAUAGUUUGAGUCAAUUAUUCAGUUUGGUCAAAUAUUAUAUUUUAAAAGAUUAUCUAAAUUAAGCAUCUCUUUACUUACUUUCUUAAUUAGUUGUUGGACAUAAAUUUUCAAAGCUAAAUUCUAUAUGAUAAAUUUUAAAACUCAAACUAAUUUAAUAUAUAGCAGAUAAAAGAUAAAAAAAUAAUUAAGUAAAUUUUAACCAAAAAAUAUAUAUAUCACGUAGAUUUUUUUGAGUAAAUUUCUAAAAAUAUAUUGACUCCUCCAUGGGUACGUAAACUACAGGGACAUUAUUGACUAUUCGUUGUGCGUGCACGUACAAUGACAUGUCAUGAGUUAUCCAUGGAGACUUUUCCAAGACAACAUUUUGUGAUGUACUAUAUGCAUACUUAAUUACAAGUGCAUUUGUUGGGUACAUGCAUGCAUGGACGUGGAAUUCCAUGCAUAAAAUGAUAAAAAUACUUUUUCAAUUUUUCUCAGUUUAAUUUGCAAAGAUGUUUCACCAUUAAUUUGAAGUCUUUAGGUCCGGAAAUCUCUAUUGAUCGUAUAUUUGUUCGUCUCUUGGCACACGCGCACACGCACACGCACAUCAAUAGAGUAAAACUAGUGCAAGAUAAAUCCACAUUAAUUUUAUUUUAUUUCUAAACAUUCUAUUAAAUUUCUCUAUUUUAGAGUCAAGUCAAAGUUGUACAAAAUGAAAAAGAGGGGGUUAAAAUGGAUGGAAAUGAGAAUAAAGAAAAUAGCUAGCUUUUUGAAGGAUCUUUUGAAGACGAUAGGCUUGUGCUCUUAUCACGAAGCUUUUACGUCUAAAACUGGUAGAAUUGACCCAGCAAAAAGGUUUAAUGAAUCCCCGUGAGAGUCUUUAAUGUGUUUCUGAGAAGAUAAUCAAUUAAUUAACAGCACCAAUUAAGUAGUUGAAUGAUCUACUAAGCAAGUUCAUAAAAUCUUAAUGUAUUCUAAUUGUUCGGAGAAAGUAUUUAAGAUCGAAUGAAAGAUGAAUUUCAAGAACUCUUCCAAUUGCAACCAGUCAUCAUGGAUAUUCCAAUCAGUGAAGGAUUCUUUCGACACAAGGAAAAAUAAAAGAUAAAAAAGGGUCAAUAAAGACGAUGGAGAAUAUUCGUAUAAAGUCUUUAACGUAUGUAAAUGUAAUGUAACUUUAAUUUGACAGCUGCCGCUGUGACGAAUCCCUUGCAACGUAAGCACAAUGACACAAAAGAGAGAGUGGAACACAAGCUAUCCAAAUUAAGUCAGUCAAGGUAGGUCAAACUAUCUUGCCAUUGUCGUUUUCGGGGAAAAAAUGUUAGAAUAAAAUGUUAAAAGAAAAUUUAGAAUGUCUGCUAACUACUAAUAUGAGAAGAGUAAUAAAGACUUUAGAAAAAAAAAAAAAACAGUUAGUGGCAGACAAUUAAUAGUUGUAAAAGGCUUAAAGUUGUUUCAUAUAACAUUUUAGAAUAAACUUCAAUUUGCACCUCACUUAAAAUGAUAGUCUUCGAUUUACUUCCAGGAGGAUAAGGCUCAAACUCACGUCUUUGGCCCUAAGAAGGCAAUGCUCGAGAUAAGUCUUUGGCUCUAUUAUCGACCAUACAAAGAACAUGCAUCUCUUUUUUAUUUUUCCCCCCCAAAAAAAAAGAAAUCCAUCACCGCAUCCUCAAUUUACUCUCACCUUAUUGAAUGAAAAUGAAGGCUAAAUUGAUAUUUUCACUCUUUUAGGUGAUAAAAUCAAGAUUGUUGUUCUAUCGGGAGAAUGAAUUAAAAUUUACCAACUUUUAAAAUUAGAUUUCUCCGGUAUGUCUCGAAAUGAUUGAGGCUAUAAUAAGUAUAGGUUUUAAUAAAAAGAAAUAUCGGUGGAUUGGUUGUCAAAUAUUCCCUUCACAAAGACAAAAUAUAGAUUUUAUUCUAAUUCUUCAUAGGCUUUAUUUGAUUAUUUCCAAUAACAAUCCAUUAUAACAGUGAAUAGCUUUCUGUCAAGAUUAAAAAAAAAAAUGGCAGCCGAAGUUAGUUAAGAUAUUGGAUUAGAAACACAGUUUGAGAAGCCAAACAAAAACGAUUCCUUGCAAGAAAUGUAUUAAAAACCUUGAAUCACUCAAUAUGUGUAACAAAUUUUCAAGUUACCUUCAAAAUUCCCAAAGCAAACUUGGCCAAAAUUUAAUUUUCCUCCCACAGAAACAAUUUUUUUUGCUUUGAGCAGGUAACUUUCACAGUAGGCUUUUCAACUCAAAAAAAGUCAUAUGCUAGUUAAAGACAAAUCCAGGUCUUCUAAAAGUAGCUUAGGAACCCUCGCUGCGAUAGGAAAUUCUUGUGCAUGAACAUGCAACUCAAGCAAGCACACAUUAUGACAUAAUGGAACCAAAUUAAGUGUCGAACAAAAUACAGAAUGAAAAGAGUUAUAUCAUUGGUAGAAAGUUGUAUUGCUAACUGCUUGACACCAUCAUUCAACUAAUUUUAUGGCCUGACCAUCAGUGACAAAAUGCAACAAAUAUUUUCUAUGAAGUCAUAAAGUUUCCCAAGAGAGCUAAUUGGUUUGACAGGUUUAAAAUAUACUUUCAACGCAAAAAAGCUGUCUACAAUUAAACUUUUAUUAAGACUCAUAUACAGAAAGAAAUUUGCUAACGAAGAAACAAACAGUACAAAGGAUGAAUAGUAAAAAUGUCAUCGGUAACACAUAGAUGGACCGGAAAAGGAGUACCUUGAUGAUACUGGUGCAGCUACCAAAUCUGGCUUGCGCCCUUCGUAUGGGUGUUGCCUGUUGUAGUUUGAUAAAGCACUUGUGGCAUACAAUGAGUAUAGCCUAUCAGCUUGAUCAGUUUCUCCCCUUCUUAAGGGAUCAGUUCCGACCAAAUAAUGUUCUCUCUGUCUAGCAGCGGAGUAGGAACCUGAGGUGAUGUCUUCUCUCCUCAAGAAGGGGAUCUGGCUUGGUCUUCUCGCUGCACAUAAACAUCAAACCAUCAAGCUUAUCUUUUCUCAUUUCCUUCUCUUGGCUCUUUCCUGCGUCUCCUUGUUUCUCUUUGUCCUUGUGAUGCUUCGAACUCGUCUGACACAGGAAUCUUCUCUACACAUCUUUGCUUCCAGUGAUUUUUAUCUGCCCCACCAAUCUCCUCUUCACAUCUUUGUUUCCGGUGAUUCUUAUCGGACCGACCAAUCUCCUCUUGCUUCUUUUUUAUUCUGCUGGCUUGUCUUGGGUCCUUUUCUUUAGAAAGGUUCUCAUUUAGGUUUUCUUCCCUUGCAUUUAGCUUCUUAGAACUCUCUCCUUCAAUGUUGUUAUUAUCUCAUUUAGGUUUCCCUCUCUUGAAUUUAGCUUCUUAGAACUCUCUCCUUCAAUGCUGUUAUUAUCAUUCUUCUCAUCUAAUAAAUUUUUGUUCUUCUUCCUUCUGAAUCUACUCCAAGCUCGUGCAGCAACUUUGGCGUUUUCGGUCUUCAAGUCAUUAACUGGUGACUUUGUUAAGCAAAUAAAAGCACCAGGUCGGCCAUGCUACUAUUUCCACCCCGGCACGAAUCACCUCAGCCAAAUGGUACGAGCAGAACAGGGGGCAACAUGAGCUGAUCAGAGACGAAUACUGACCAGAGGUAUAUACCGAGCCGAUACACGUCCCCCAAAAAGCGGAAACACGAUCUCACAGAAUCACGGUAGUUGCGCUUUCCCCAGAACCGUUGCGGGAGACGCGAGAUCCCACGUUUGCCCAUAAUGCAGCAGUUAGAGUCCCAUGAGGGGCUGCCACUACCCGAAAAAGGUGGGAUGAAGGGCAAACGAGAACGUGGGGACAGCGGCUAUAAAAGAAGAAGAAAUCGAUGAAGAAAGGGAUAGAAAAAUUGAGAGAAGGGAAAACUCUGCCAAAUUGCAACCAGGCCAUUUUCUUACAGAUUUCGAACAAACCUCUUGAAUCCAAAUUGUAUUGUUUUCCCGUAAACACCUUGUACUAACUUAGGCAUCGGAGGGUUUACGCCGGCAAAACCACCGGCGUCUCUGAUCCGUUUUUGGUGAACGCAGGUCUAGUAAGAGAAUGGAGGGUGAUUCCAACCUUAGUGGUUCGAGCAACAGUCGAUAACAUAAACGUUGGUGAAAGGAUUUGGUCGGUCAAAAGGGCGAGCAGAUUUCGGCAUCAACAUUUUGGCGCCGUCUGUGGGGAGCUGGAUAAAAAGCUACCACCGAAUUAGUAGUUACCGGAGAAACAACGAACGAUUAGACAUGGAUUUGCCAAGGAAGGACGCUUUGAGGGAGGAUAACGAAGCUGGGGAGACAAUCACUCUUCGGGAAAUUGCAAAUGAGGCCUGGGAGAGGAUGAUGCAAGAUCGAUUUGAGCGGAUGGAGAAACAAAUGGAAACUCUCGCAACCAUACUGCACGAGCUGAGAGAUGAGCGGAGAAGGGAUUGUGAAACCUCCGGGGGGAGAGAUGAUGUUGGAGCAGAACCCAGCCUCCAGAGUCGUAGAGUCGAGGAAAUUCCUCCGCCUGCAGACCAACCUAACGGGGUGCAUCCCCACAGAAGCGUUGGUCCGGUUUCAGGAGAACGAGUAGAUGAAGGAAGGGACCAGCCUCUCCCCGGACGGGUACUGGAAGUCAAUAGCCGAGGGGCCAUUGUUGAUGAAAGAGAGCUCAGACAUUGGUUGCACAAUGCCGAGCUAGAACGAGACCGGAUGGCUGUACGUGAUCCUGACCGUGCCGUAGAAUUAGAAGGGGAGGUGCGCAGAUUGGCGCAGGUGAUGGAGGAGAUACAAGGCAAGAGAAAGCCCCCGAGCUGGAGGAUAAUGCUGGAUGAAGAAUCCCUGUUAUCAACCGAGAUCAUGGGUACGGUAAUCCCAAGAGAUUUCCGCUUCCCCGACCUCAAAUACUCCGGUCGAAGUGACCCUCUGGUGCAUAUUGAGCGUUUCAACGAUAUGACGGGGGUGCAGGGGUUGACACCAGCUCAGAAGUGUAGGGUGUUCCCGUUGACUCUCGAGGGGCGAGCCCGAGAAUGGUACCGCAAGCUGCCCCGAUGAGGUAUAAAAGGGUACGAGCAGAUGUGCCAAGAGUUAGCCGAAUAGUUCCGAGGGGCGGUAACCUCAGAGGAUGACAUGAUGGAACUGAUGGGGAUGAAACAGGAGGAGCAUGAGUCCCUUCGGGAUUUUGUAAAGCGAUAUCACCGGGCCGUGCUAGAUUUGGGAGCCAUUAAUCACCCAUAGGCGCUGAUGGGAUUAAAAGAAGGUGUAAGAAUUGGCCGAUUGUGGUAUAACUUGAGAAGCCCCCUGGUGCAGAAUUAUUCGGCGGGGUAUGAACAGGAGAGGCGAGACAUAGAAUUCGAAGAGGAGAAAUCGGCAAGGAUAAAGAGUGAACAACUAGAAGAGUUGAGGCGAAAAGAACGGAGAGUCCCGAUCGGGAGCAGAUCGGGAAAGCGAGCUGGGGAAUCAUCAGUUAUGGGCGGAAUAUCAGCUCGGUCCCGCCCUUACCCCAUAGCUCAGAGGCCACAACAGUUCCAACACAGCCGAGCCCAACCUCCGCGCACCCCGUUCCCGGAGCGGCAACGAGAAUUCAGGCAGAUGACUGCCCACCCUUAUCACAACACUCCCAGAGGGUUACAUGCAACUGGUUCCAGGGCUGGACGACCAGAUCAACUAGCGACUGUACCAGCCCGAGAUGACAUUCAUGAUAGCCGAGUAGUUCAGCUAGUAGACCAGCGCUUGGCAUAUAGACAGUACACUCCAUUAAAGAUCUCCAUGGAGGAAUUGUAUGAGAGGAUCGAGGGAUGAAGCCUGCUGUACCCUCCAGUCCCUAUAACAAAACCGGCUCACCGACGGGAUAAGAGCAGAUUCUACAAAUUUCACAACACUCACGGUCACACUGUCAGCCAAUGUCGUGACCUGAAGACUCAGGUGGAGGAUUUAGUGAGGAACCGAUACUUGGAUGAGUAUGUAGAUGGAAUGUCCCCCGUCAUUGAAUCACAGUACACGCGGGAUGAAGAAAAUGAGAGGGGCCUGGAACGUGAACAGCCAACUAUCCACGUGAUAGCAGGAGGGCCAACCUUGGCUGGGGAUUCGAACAGGGCACGGAAGAACCAUGGGAGAUACGCCCUGACUAGCAAAGAAGUGCUUUUCAAUCUGCCAGCAACCAAGAAGGCAAAAGUGCGGCAAGUUCCUAUUAUGUGGACAGAUGACGAUGAAGAGGGUAUCUUAUAUCCUCAUGAAGAUGCAUUGGUGAUUAAGGCAAUGGUGGCCGGUACAGAAUUGCGACGAAUACUAGUAGACACAGGCAGCUCGGUUGACAUCCUGUUUAAGUCGGCUCUAGAUGAUAUGGGGAUUGCAGACUUGAAAUUGGAGCGGACAAAUACAUCCUUAAAGGGAUUUGGAGGGGGACGGCUAACUCCCAUGGGGAUCAUCGAACUCCCAGUUACUAUGGAGACAAAGCCAUUUGAAAGAACGAUGAUGCUGGACUUUGUCGUGGUAGAGGAAAGAAGCCCUUACCAGAUGAUACUGGGGAGACCAUUCAUGAGGAUAAGCCAAUGCGUUGUAUCCACGCAUUACUUGGCACUGAAGUACAGAGUAAAUGGGGUGGUUGGUGUAGUAAAAGGUGACCAGAGAAUGGCAAGGAGCUGUUAUGCUACAGCAGCCAAGGAGACACUACAGGUUACUUCUCUAGAUAAUCGAGGAGAUUCUAAAAAGGGUCGCCAAGAGCCUGUCGAGAAACUAGAAGAGAUUUUGAUAAGCAAAAACAAUCCGAGCAGAGUGGUUAGGAUCGGAUCAGGUUUGGUCGGGGCAGUGAAAGGCGAGUUGGUGAAGUGCUUACAGUCUCACGCAGACAUAUUCGCCUGGUCUCACGAGGACAUACCAGGAAUUGAUCGUGAGGUAGCUUGCCAUAAAUUGGCAAUCAAGAAGGGGGCGAGGCCGGUGAGGCAGAAAAGAAGAUGCUUUAACCAAGAAAGGUACGAAGCCAUAAAUGCCGAGGUGGAGAAGCUGUUAAAAGCAGGAUUUAUAAGGGAGGCCAAAUACCCGGAGUGGAUUUCCAACGUAGUACUGGUAAAGAAGGCCAACGGGAAAUAGAGAAUGUGUGUGGAUUUCACAAACCUUAAUAAGGCAUGCCCGAAGGACAAUUUUCCCUUACCAAAGAUAGAUCAAUUGGUAGACUCCAUAGCGGGUCACAGUCUGCUCAGCUUCAUGGAUGCCUUUUCAGGAUACAACCAGAUACCCAUGGACGAGCAGGAUAAGGAGAACACCACCUUUAUAACUAACAUGGGUUUGUUUUGCUACAUGGUGAUGCCUUUCGGCCUGAAAAAUACAGGAGCUACCUAUCAAAGGUUGGUGAACCAGAUCUUCAAGCCCUUGAUCGAUCAUACAAUGGAGGUAUAUGUGGACGAUAUGAUCACAAAGUCUAAAGAACCGAGGGAUCACGUGAAGCACCUUGAAGAAACCUUUGAGUUACUGAGGAAGUAUGAAAUGAAGCUAAACCCGGAGAAAUGUGCAUUUGGGGUCAGCUCGGGCAAAUUUUUGGGAUUCCUGGUGAGUCACCAAGGGAUUGAGGCCAACCCAGAAAAAAUACGGGCGGUUACGGAGAUGAGGUCUCCACGGACAGUUAAGGAGGUGCAGAGCCUUACAGGGAAGUUGGCAACACUGAACCGAUUCAUCUCGAGGGCCACAGAUAAAUGCCACCCUUUCUUCCAAACCAUAAAGAAAUGGAGAAAGAUGGAGUGGACAUCAGAGUGCGAAGAAGCAUUUGGGCAGCUGAAGGAAUAUCUGACCCGCGCCCCGUUGCUAUCAACUCCAAGAGCGGGUGACCAGCUGUUUCUGUACUUAGCAAUCUCUAAAUGGGCUACCAGCUCGGUUUUGGUCAGGGAAGAAGAAGGAAAGCAACACCCGGUAUACUACACAAGCAAGGCCCUGGUAGACGCAGAAACCAGAUAUCCAUUGCUGGAGAGAUGGGCGUUGGCUCUAAUAAUGGCAGCACGAAAACUCCGACCAUAUUUUCAGGCCCACCAGAUUGUUGUGAUGACUGACCAGUCCCUUCGUCAAACGCUUCAAAAAACAGAUGCAUCCGGUCGGUUAGUAAAAUGGUCCGUGGAGCUAAGCGAAUUUGACCUAUCCUACAGGCCCCGAGGAGCAAUCAAAGCUCAAGCUUUGGCAGAAUUUAUGGUAGACCGAGCUGAGCCAGGGGAAGAAAUUCGGGAGGAGCAACCGAUAGAGCAGGAGAAACCAGAGGGGGUGUGGCUAGUAAUGGUUGACGGAUCAUGUAGUGAGCAAGGGUCAGGAGCAGGAGUUGUAAUACGAAGCCCAGAAGGAACCGAAAUAAUGUAUGCAGUGAAGUUCGAAUUUCAGUUCACGAACAACCAAGCUGAAUAUGAAGCCUUUAUCACCGGGCUCGGACUGGCACACGCUUUAAGAGCAGAGAUGGUAGAAAUUCGAGCGGACUCCCAAUUAGUAUGUAAUCAGCUCAAUGACCAGUUCCAAGCAAGGGGAGAGAAGAUGGGUCUUUAUCUGAAGAAAGCAAAGCAGAUGGUUGGGCUUUUCCAAGAGGUGGAGGUAAACCAGAUAUAUCGGAAUGAGAAUUACCGAGCAGAUAUGUUGGCUAGGAUGGCUGCAAUUGCAGAUCCGAAAUUACCUAAGUCGGUUCCACUAGAGGUAAAGACCUCACCAAGUAUAGGAGAGGAGGUAGAGGUGAUGAGAGUAAGCAUUGGAGAGUCAUGGAUGGACCCGAUUCGCGCAUAUGUCCGGGAUGGAAUCUUACCAGAGGACAAAAGGCAAGCAAGGAUAUUAAAAUGCCGAGCAGCGAGGUACACGCUACUAGAUGGAGUGCUGUAUCGCCGAGGAUUCACCUUGCCCCUUUUGAGAUGUGUGGAUGAUGAGGAGGCAGAUUAUGUACUGAGGGAGAUUCAUGAAGGAAUAUGCGGCAAUCACUCGGGAGCAAGAACUUUAGCCUUCAAGGCACUCCGACAAGGAUACUUCUGGCCAACCAUGCACCAGGAUGCGAAAAGGAUGGCAAAGAACUGUAAAACCUGCCAAAGCUUCUCUGAGGUUCCUGCACAACCCCCAGAAAAGCUGACCACUAUGACAUCCCCGUGGCCUUUCGCUCAAUGGGGAAUCAACUUGAUUGGUCCGUUGCCUAAAGGCCGAGGAGCGGCGACACAUGCAAUUGUGGUAAUAGACUACUUCACCAAGUGGGUAGAAGUGGGAGUCCUCAGCCAAAUCACGGAGAGGAAGACAACAGAUUUUAUUUGGAGGAAUAUCAUCUGCAGAUACGGGAUCUCCUAUGCUAUCAUUACAGACAAUGGGAGACAAUUUGACAACAGCAACUUCAGGAAAUUUUGCCGAAAUUUGGGGGUGGACCUGAAGUUCUGCACCCCCGCACACCCCCAGGCAAACGGACAAGUGGAAGCAGCCAACAAAGUAAUAAAGAAGCUCUUGAAAACUAGAUUGGGAGAGAAGAAGGGAGCCUGGGUUGACGAACUACCAGGAGUAUUAUGGGCUUACCGGACAACUCACAAAACCGCCACAGGGGAAACCCCGUUCGCUUUAGCUUUUGGUCAUGAGGCGGUAGUCCCAGCAGAAAUCGGAGUGGGGACACAUCGAACGAAAUAUUUCGCUGAGGAGCAAAACGACGAGCAGAUCUGCUUAAGCCUGGACCUGCUUGAGGAGAAAAGGGAAGGGGCCUCGCAGAAAGUGGCCCAGUGUCAGCAACGGGUCAUGCGCUAUUACAACAAGAACGUACGCAUGAGGCAGUUCCGAGCAGGAGAUUGGGCACUUAGGAAGGUGGACCAAAACACCAGGGAUCCUAACCAUGGCGCUCUUGGCCCAAAAUGGGAAGGCCUGUACAGAGUGAUACGAGCCACUGGACCAGGAGCUUAUAAGUUAGCGUACCAAGAUGGACGAGACGUGAAGAGGUCAUGGAACGCCGAGCACUUGAAGAAGUAUUUCCAGUAAGCAAAGUGCUCUCCUAAAUCCUCAUUUUGACAAAUUGUUUGUGUUAACUGCAUGAUGACUUGAUGCAUAUGUAUGUAUUCAGUAUUUUUGUAAUACAUUCAAGUUUCAAAUAAAGAUGAAUUCAGCAUGAAAUCCCCCUGCUAGCAAGCCAAAUAAAAAUUUUACUAAGGCAAAUAAGUGCCUAUUUCUGCUCGGUCAACGAAAGAUCAGCAGCUAAUUUUACGAGAAUUUUUACUAAGGCAAGCAAGUGCAUGUUUCUGCUCGGUCAACGAAAGAUCAGCAGCUAAUUCUACAAAAAUUCUACUAAGGCAAGCAAGUGCCUGUUUCUGCUCGGUCAACGAAAGACCAGCAGCUAAUUCUACAAAAAUUCUACUAAGGCAAAUAAGUGCCUGUUUAUGCUCGGUCAGCGAAAGAUCAGCAGCUAAUUUUACGAGAAUUUUUACUAAGGCAAGCAAGUGCCUGUUUCUGCUCGGUCAACGAAAGACCAGCAACUAAUUCUACAAAAAUUCUACUAAGGCAAAUAAGUGCCUGCUUCUGUUCGGUCAGCGAAAGAUCAGCAGCUAAUUUUACGGAAUUUUUACUAAGGCAAGCAAGUGCCUGUUUCUGCUCAGUCAGCGAAAGAUCAGCAGUUAAUUUUACAAGAAUUUUAACUAAGGCAAGCAAGUGCCUGUUUCUGCUCGGUCAAAGAAAGACCAGCAACUAAUUCCACAAAAUUCUACUAAGGCAAAUAAGUGCCUAUUUCUACUCGGUCAACGAAAGACCAGCAGCUAUUUUAACGAAAGUUUUACUAAGGCAAGUAAAUGCCUAUUCCUGCUCGGUCCACUAAAGAACCAACAGGAAAAAUCAAAUAAAUUAUCAAAUUAGUUUGCAGAAACAAUCCAGAAGCAAAAAUGAGAAAAGAAGGCCAGUAAAGAACAUCCAAAAAUUUAUAAACAUUUAAAUGUUUACAAAACUAAUGAAAAUCUAAAGUCUAUACAAAAAUAGACCUAAGGAUUAGGAGGGUCAACGGCUUCAGCCGGUGAAGGAUCAGCUAUCUCUAGAGGUGGAAGAUCAGCAAUACCGGGAGGAGGCGGCAUGGACCCUUGUCCCACUUCCAAGGCACGUCCCCCAGCUUCCCCCUCCUACACCCCAUCUAAAGGAGCCUCCACCUAAUCCUGCUCACCCUGCUCCUUAUCUGCUUGGCCGAUCUCCGCCAUAUAUCGCUGCACUCCGGCCUCCAGCUUGCUAAUGUCCAGCUCGGGAUAUUCUUCCUUAAGCACAGACAUGAUGCACUUAUAGGAGAAGGCAACCCCAGAAUCAUACUCGGCAUCCAGCCGAUCGUUCACAUCAGCGGAUUUGCCUUUCUCCUCAGCCAGCUGCUCACCCAAGGAUUUGAUUUCCCCCUCAAGGGCGGCCCUCAGAGUAUCCCUUUCACUUUGAGUAGCCUGAAGAUCAGAUCUCAGGUCACCCAACUCACCCUCGAGUUUGGAGGAAGUGGAUUCAGCAACCGCAACUUUCUCCUCUAGCUCCGUAAUCUGCUUGUUCAGCUCAGCCAGCUUCUCCUUGGAGCGAUCAACAGAUUCAGCUUUCUUCUUCAAUUCCUGAUUGUCAGCUUGAAGCUUCCUCUCAUGGCGCGCGGACCCAGUCUUGUAGCACGAAACCAUGGUGGCCAGCCUGAAGGACACUCUCUGAACAUAAGCAGCUAACUCGGAGAGGUUCAUACUCUCGAUGUCCUUCACCAUCUUGGGCCCCACCGAUUUUUUGUAAUCCUUCUGAUACGGGCUCAGGUAGUCACCUUGAUCCCGAGAUGGUAGAGGAGAAGAUCGGUCCCCAGACUGGAAGCUGACCUCAGGACUCUUGUCAGAAGUUUUCUCCCCACCACUCUUACGGGGUGGGGGAGGGGGCAGAGCAGGGACAUGAGCCUUGGAAGGGCCGACGCUGGUUUUCUUUGGAGGAGGAGGAGGGUUGCUGGAGCUGCUUGGAGCCCGACCACGCUUCCUGCUCAUCGCGCUGAGGAUCUUGUUAUCCAUUCCAGCGGCUAUGUCCACUAGGCCCGAACCGACCAGGUUUGUUGGUGACAGGAGGUCUUGGCAGGUAGACGCGUUCACCAGAGUAGUUUCCACCUGAAGCAAAGGUCGAUCUUCAAGCCCCCCGAUCAAACCCCACAACUCUGAAAUAGCAAAAGAGGUUAAAGAACUCGAUAAGUGACAAUUUGACUAAGAACAUAGGCAAAAAUAAACGACAUGGGGUGACAAAAUGUAUGGGAAGAUAAAUGUCCCCACCAAGCGACCGAACUGCUGGACACCAGUUCCCUCCAGCAAAGAAGAAUUUGUUCUUAUAAUUUUUACAUGAAGAGGGAAACCCAGUGAUCGGUUUCCUCUUUGCAAAACUGGACAUAAAGUAGUACCAGCCCGCUUCCCUCGGGCUACUCCGCAGCUGGUACAGAUGUUUCACUUCAACAAGGGAAGGCUCCUCCGACCCGCACCUCUCCCACAACACAAACAUUGCCGAGAGAACCCUCCACCCAUUUGGGUGUAGCUGACCUGGGGCUAGGUGCAUACCGCCCAGUAUCUUGGCAAAAUAACGUUGAAGGGGCAGCCGAGCUCCUAGUCUGAAACUCUCCAAGUGCAUCGUCACAUACCCUUUCGGAGGCCGACUAGGGACAUCAUCUUUUCCAGGAACUACAAGAAGAACCUCGUUGGGGAUAUUGUAGAGGUUCCUAAGCUUAAAUAGAUCAGUGGGGGUGGUGGCGCAAGCUAUGAAAUCAAUAGGGUAGGAAUCAGCCUCCACAGUAUGGCCAAGAUUCCUUUUCUUAGCAGGUCCGCUCGGUCUGGAACUGCUCCCCUCACCAUCACCAACUCCUUCAGGGAUCCCAACCCCACCGAAGCUGUGGUUCUCACCAGAGCCCGACGUAGGUCCACCUCUAUUCCCUACAAGCUCUAGUUCGGGGGAGGGAGAGACAACCAAGGGGCGUGGGUACUCAAGGGUAUCCAUGCCAUGGGAAUGACCUACACUACUGGAGGGACCUAAGAAAUCGGUCGGUAUUGACACGUUGAGGCCUGAAUCCCCUGAUUCUUUAUCACCCUCAUCAACAAUUAACUUUCUUUUCCUAUUUGACAUAUCGGAAUCCCAAAAGAAAACAAAGAAAACUCGAAUAUACGGAUACAAAAGGGGGCAACACGGAACCCAAUCAACAACAACCAGAGAAGAGAUUAAAAGUAGUACCUGAAAUGAACUGGCCCUGAUAGCGCUGCCGUGACAGAGAAAAAACCAGCAAGUAGAAACUCUGGACGCAGGAAGUGUGAGUAAAGUUCAGAAAGGGGGUAGGUUAACGACGGAGAGACGAGUAACAAAACGAUGACGAUGUAAAUCUAGGUAUUUGAAACGAAAAGGGGGAAAUGAAAGCAUUUAAGUGAUGGAGAUGCCAGCUCACUCAUCGUACAUCGAGGACAGAUAGCCCGUCGUUUCAAAUUUCAAAUACGAAGAGUCUGGAGAUGUCACGUCACUAACCGCUACAAGGGGCCAGGCUAGAUGUGAGCCCAAAUACGCAAUGGACAUGCUCAGGUCAAAAUCUCCCCUGAAGAAAAAUGAUACCUCAGGUCCGUCCCGGUAGACAGAAGACCAGAGGAGAAGCCCCCGGAUUGGUAAGAUUUGACUAUCAGUUUCUACUCUUGACUCAUUUCACUCACAAGACCAGAAACUGGGGGACUGGUGUUAAGCAAAUAAAAGCACCAGGUCGGCCAUGCUACUAUUUCCACCCCGGCACGAAUCACCUCAGCCAAAUGGUACGAGCAGAACAGGGGGCAACAUGAGCUGAUCAGAGACGAAUACUGACCAGAGGUAUAUACCGAGCCGAUACCCGUCCCCCAAAAAGCGGAAACACGAUCUCACAGAAUCACGAUAGUUGCGCUUUCCCCAGAACCGUUGCGGGAGACGCGAGAUCCCACGUUUGCCCAUAAUGCAGCAGUUAGAGUCCUAUGAGGGGCUGCCACUACCCGAAAAAGGUGGGAUGAAGGGCAAACGGGAACGUGGGGACAACGGCUAUAAAAGAAGAAGAAAUCGAUGAAGAAAGGGAUAGAAAAAUUGAGAGAAGGGAAAACUCUGCCAAAUUGCAACCAGGCCAUUUUCUUACAGAUUUCGAACAAACCUCUUGAAUCCAAAUUGUAUUGUUUUCCCGUAAACACCUUGUAAUAACUUAGGCAUCGGAGGGUUUACGCCGGCAAAACCACCGGCGUCUAUGAUCCGUUUUUGGUGAACGCAGGUCUAGUAAGAGAAUGGAGGGUGAUUCCAACCUUAGUGGUUCGAGCAACAGUCGAUAACAUAAACGUUGGUGAAAGGAUUUGGUCAGUCAAAAGGGCGAGCAGAUUUCGGCAUCAACAGACUUCUUUGCAAUUUUAGAUCUGGCCUUCAAUGAUUUAUGGAUUUUAUUUUCAGAUGAUUUUGCUUCGGUUGAGGCUUCCCCAGCAUUCCCAUCUUCCUUCUUCUCUUCAUUUUCUUGUGCCAUAGUCUACCCAAAUAACCAGGCUCCCAACAGACCAUAAUUUAGGGAUUAUUCUGUUGUUCACUAUUUAAAAUAUGAAAUACAAAACUCAAAAGCCCGGCAAAGGAAUGAAAGAAGCUGAAGAAGUGAAAAUGCAUCAAAAUUUGCAAGAAAAUAAUAAAUAUACAAUGCCUUCAUAAUGCAUAUAGCAGAUGGUGGCUAAUUGCCAAUUACUUGACAAUGAUAGGCAAAUUCUUCUGUCAGAAAGCGGGGUGAAAAAGGUCAGAAUCUUGAGACCUGCUCAAUCACAAGAUUGCAACAAAAAGGAGUCUGAUAAUAUACAAUGGGCAAUAAGAGAGAUUGGGUGUAUUGAAAUUAUGGUAGUGAGCUAAAAUAUUAUAAUAUUUGUAAUUCGCAUAUCACUAGAAAAAUAUUUUUCUUAUGUUUUCGCCCAUGAAUCUAGAUUAAAAGUUGAACCACCUAAAUUUUGAUGUCCCUAUGUGAUUUUGUUGUCUCAUGAUUUUUUAAUUUCACUUUAAUUGCAUAUCUGCUUCACCAAUCAAUAUGCAUUGAAGAAUGCUUACAUUAGUUUGUGUUUGGCUCAUCAUCACAACCAUUUCAUUCAAGAAAUCUCCUAUUCCCUCAAAACAAAACUAAAAAGUCUCAUGUAAUAAAAUCCUCCCCCGUUCCCCCCUCCCCUCUUCUUGUGGGAGUUAAUUUUGCUGUAUCUUCAAAGCAACAAAAGCGCAUUAAAAAGUUAAAGAUGAAAUGAAAUCAAUAUAUAUAUAUAUAUAGAGGGAGAGAGAGAGAGACACACACACACACACAAAAUUGGAGCUCAUAUUAUUUUAUUCAUCAUCACUAUCAUGGACUCCUACAUAGUACAAGAACCUCUUGUUGGCAACAAAUAGAACUUGAAGAGAGAAGAAGGAAAACAACAUCUCGUGAAUCCGAUAAUUAUCCGUCAUUAUAAAAAGGAUUACAAUUUUAUUUCUUAUUGUAUACUACAAAUUACAUGCAUAAUAAAUAAAUAAAUAAGAAUUAAAAAUUUUGGAAUUUAGUAAGGUUAACAGCAGAAUAGGCAUGUUGAAUGGCGUAAAAUCUCUUCGUGGCUUCUUUCACAAAAUUUGAAUCUCUUGAAGUUGAACAACGGCUUGGAUAUAUAGAGCCACAAUCACCUUGUAAAAAAAAAUUCAUACAGAUGUUGCAUGAGAAGAUUGGUUGUAUAAAACUAUUAUAGACCCACAUAAUUUACAAAAAUAAUAGUUAUCGCUUUUUAACUAAUGUCUUUAUGCCACAUUAGUUUGUUUACACAAGUUCAUAUAAAAAUGUUUGUGGUUACAUCAUUAUUGAUUUUGAAAAUAAUAUUUUAAUAUUUUUAUCUCAAAUGAUAGGAUAUUUUUUGACACAUUGGAUGCUUUUGGAUUUAAUGAUACCUUUGUAUAUUUUAUUUAUUAUUUCAUCUAACAUUGUUUGAUGAGUGAUGAUAGAGUUAAAAGCUCUUGUAUAAACUUAUUUUAUAUAUAUUGAUGAAAUUUAAAUUUAUUGGUUGAAUAAAAUUACCAAAUAAUAAAAAUAAAUAAUAUGAGCCAAGAGUUAGGGUUAGCCAAACUCAAUCCAACCCGAUGAACACAAUCCAACUCAAUCUAAUCUAAUCAAAUUUUGAUGGGUUGAGUGAAUUAUUAUAAGGUUAAUUAGGUAAAUUUUUUCGAAUCCAAUUAAUAAUUGAGUUGAGUUAGGUUUGGUUAAUUAUGAUGAACCUGUCUUACCCAACCCCAUCCAUGUAAAUAAUAGUAAUAGUAAUAAUAGUUAGGCAUCCAGUACUGCUUACCAAAUAGAAGCUAAUUCCUGCAAUUUACAUGAAAAUUGCACGAAAUAUCACUAUCCUUAUUUUCUUGAUUUCACCUUCAUUGUGUAUUUUUCUCCAGAAAUUCCAAACUUACGAAGAGGAUUCGGGCCACGUUCUAUGCAUCAUAUGGAAUGCGGCCAUUUUUCUGUGUAAUUUGUGAGGCGUUAUAUUACAUGGAGCUUGACUUCUUUCUUUCUAUGAAUGGUCAGAUGGCAUUGGUGAGAGGUUCUUCUGCUUCUUUGUUGAUUGUUCUGCUUUUGGCUUUUUUAUUAAAGUUAUUUUGAAUCCGCUUUCAGAUUGUGUGUUUAAUGAUUUGAUUAAAUUUGUGUUUAGUUAAAUGUAUUUGGAUUUCUGGAGUAUUUCAGCAGUUAAUGAUGAAAUUCAGCAUUAAAUUAACUUAUAAUCAUUCUAAUUAUCGAUUUUUUUUGUCAUGAAACAUCAUUAAGCACCUGCCAAAGACUGAAAGACACCAGUUUAAGGGUGCAUUUGUGAUUGAAGUUGGGCAGCUAUAGUUUAAAAGUUACAGCACUAAAGUGUUUGAUAAACACUAACUGAUGUAGCUUUGAAGAUAUGUUGAUAUGAUUUUUCACUUAUAUAAUAAAAAAUAUAUUAUAUCUUUAAUAAUUUUAUCAAAAUUAUUAUUUAAAAUUUAUAUUUAUUAUAUAUUACUAACUUUUAUUUCAUAAUUAUAAUUUUUUUUCACAGCAGCUGUAGCCCAGUCCCAAACGCACUCUAAUUUUUAUCUCUCAACACUCUGUUUUGCACCAAGGUAUCCAAUAUAUACUAGUUUAUUAAAUAAUUUUGAUUAGUGCUGAUUGCUAGUGUAUCAGUCUCCUAAUUAAUUAAAUGUGAAAACAUUCUAUUAUAUACUAGUCGAUUGAUUUUUCUUUUAAUCUUCCUGUUAUAUUCCACGACAGAGCUGAUUUAAAGACUUGGCCCAACUCUUCCCUCUAUGUUCAUUAAAUGUUAAUAUUUUUCUGCACCAAGGUUGACUUGAUGGUGCGUUAUUUUCAAUUUUUUUCAUUGACUUGUAUUUUUGUUUAAAUAUUGACAAAAAAUUAAGAAAGCAAUCAGCUCUUGUAACGUGCUCUGUUCUGUUUUCCACCAAAAAUAUAAUCAUUUAUUACCUCUAUCUUAUCAAAUAAUCAUGAUUAAUGCUGCUGGGAAAGUUCUAUUAGUCUUUCUUUUGAUAUAUCUUUACCAAUCUCAUCAGCUUUUGCCUCUUUUAUGAUGUGUUUUUUUAUUUUUUAACUCUUCUCAACCUUGGACGUGAGCCUGAUUCAAGCAGUAUUAUCACUCGUGUAAUUUAUUAAUGAGCUCUUUUCCCGUCAUAUAAUGCCGAUGCUUAUAUAUUCUACUCUUACCAUUCGAUUUUUGUACGCCUAGUACUUGUAGAUCAUUUUAAUUAUAUAUAUACUUCAUACUUGAUGGAGUGAAUAUAAUGCAUAAGAUAUUCAUUCAGUUAUAUGUAGAUAUAUUAAACUUUAGUUUAUGUACUAGACUAACUAAUGGACUUCUAACCUAAAUCAUCGAUAGAUUCUUAAGAUAAUUAGGCUUAAAUACGCAAUCGUCACUAAUUAUUAAUAAUUCAUGAAACCUCUAUUGCAACAGUGAUGAGAAUUGAAGUAUUAGUUGCUCUGGUUAUUCACAUCAUGACAAAUAAAUAGAGAGAUUUUGGCGGUUUCCUCCAUAAAUUUAUCACCUCAUCAUCCUCAAUUAUAUCCGAAACUCUUUACAAUCCCUAAUAUAUUUUAAAAGGUUUACUUUUGACAUUUUAAUAACUUCAAUUAGAUUCUCAAAAAAAAAAUUAAUAAUAAUAACUUCAAUUAGACCAAGCAUAUUUAGUUUCUUGAAGAUUUAUUCCUGAAAAAUCCAACCUGAUUUUUUUUAACUUUUUUUUUUAUAUUUUAUUAACAACUACUUUCUAAUAUUUGUUUAUUAAUCAAGAUAGAAUUGGAGUUUAAUGAUAAAAUGAUCACGAUUUUAAUUUAAAGAUUUGAGCCCAAAAUCACUUGGCUAUCAUAUAUACUCAAUAAUCACUUGAUUAUCAUACUCAUAUAUUACUCAAUAAUCAAAGCUAAUUAUUACUGAAUAAUCACUUGAUUAUUUGAAAAAUGCUGGCAGCACUUGCAACUCCCUGGAACCCUCGUGUAAGUGUAGAUUCCGAGUACAUCAACUGUUCGAAAAAAUGCCCAUUUGAAGAAGUUGAGGACCCGGGGACCCGCCACUGGUACUAUAAGUCUCAUCUUUUGUCUUUUUAUUUGUAUAUCUAUUUUUUUUAUUAAAAAAAAUUGAUAAUAAAGUCCGCAAAAAGUUUGUAGGAGGGUAAUUAGAAAAGCACAUGGGUCACUUCACUUUGGGUCUCUUGGCCUUCAUCAGUUCAUUGUAAUUAUCAACAGUAAAAGACAAUACAACUGUGAUGCAUUUUCACAAAAAGUUUGCAAAGUCUUCAUUUUCACAAAAAGUUUGCUAAUAGAAAAUUUUUAAGUAAUAUUGUUGUUAUUGAAUGUAACUGCCAUGUAAUCAUUCUAAGUAAUAUUGUUAUUUAUGUAGAAGGUUUUUCCCGUAACGUUCUUGACAAAGCGCUUGUGUUUGUUGGUUAAUCGGAUUAGCAUUUUGAUUGUUCGUAAAGCACUGGAAAACUCGCCCUGAAUCAAAAAUCAUUCUCAAUCUAUUUAAUUCCCUCUGGUAUUAUUGCUUAUGAACUGUACCUUUUAAAUUACAGUAGUUAAAUAUUUAAUAAACACUUAAAAUUAAUAAAAGUUACCAUAAAAAUUACUUGAGAAGCCUUACAACUACAAGUUGAAAAAUAUCGGCAACACAGCAGUAACUGGUAACAAGAAAAUUCAAUGAGACGCCAAAAUGCCACCUAGCGCUAUCCAAUUAACCUGUGGGUGAGGGUAUUUCCACCCUACUAUUUGUGUAAAUCCACCCCACUUCUAAAAAUAUUUAUAAUAAAUACACUUUUUUUUAAUAAAUACAAAUCAACAGAAAAAAUUAUAUAAUUAAUCAAUUAAAUCAUUCUUAUAUUUUUUUUUCUUAAGUUAUUUACUUGCGCUGUAAGAAUCGGAAUUGGAAUGAACAACAUUCUCAUUGAUGUGUUUACUUUAUUUUAUAAUUGGAAUAACUAUUUCAAGUUAUUAAAAUGCCCUAAUAUUAUUUGUAUAUAUUAUAACUAAAACAACAAUAAUAAUAAAACUAAAAAUAAUACUUCUGACAAUAAUGUUAAUUAAAACAAAAAAUUAAUAAAAUUUAACAAUAAUAAUAAUAACAAAAACAAAAAAAUUAACUGAAAUAAUAAUAUUAAUAAUGAUAAUAAUUAAAAUAAUAAAAAUCAUUAAUAGUUUUAAUACUAUUAUUAAUAAAAAUAAUAACAACAAUAACUAAUAAUAAUUAAAAUAACAAAGUUAAUAUAAUAAUAACAUUAAUUUUAAUCAUAACAAGAUAAAUAUUAAUAAUAAUGAAUUAAUUACGGUAUAAUAACAAUUAAAAUAAUAAAAGUAAUAAAUUUUAAUAAUAAUAAUGACAAUAAUAAUCAUAAAUAAUAAUAAUAAUUAAAAUAAAUAAAAAUAAUAAAAUUUAAUAGAAAUAAUCUUAUAUAAUAAUAAUAAUGAUAAUAAUAAUAAAAAUAAAUUAAAAUUAUUUUCAAAUGUCAUUUUAUCAUAAAAAUGGACUUAUAUGUAAAAAUUUGUAACAUUUAGUGUCUAUUGAAUUUUACAAAAAAUAUAAGGUGGUGUGGUGUAAUCAACUACAAAAGAAUAAAAGUUGUUGUAUAUUACAACUGUUGCAACAUAGGCGGACCCUAUAUAUAUGUAUUUUAAAAAAUAAUGAAACCGUAAUAACCCUUAUAACUAUGUAUCUCAAUCAUUGAGAAUCUAGUUGACUUGGAAGCACGAGUCUUCACCUCAUAUGAAUUUAGUUCGACAUUUUUGCAUUAUUUGGAUUACCCAUUGAGUCUUGAGAUCAAACUUGUGCCCCUGCAUUUUCUUUUAGUCUAAUCGCUUAGCAUACCUUAUUAUUCGUGUAUUAUCGUUUUUUUUUAUGUUUAUUAACAUCUAAUCACUAAUCUUUGUUUGCUUCGGUGAAAACUUUGAUCAAGAUAGAGUUGUAGUUUACUGAUAAAAUGAUCACGAUUUUUAAUUUAAAGAUUUGAUUCCAAGAUCCUAACAUUCACAUUUUUAAUUAUAUUUGUUGAUAAACAAGAAAAAAAUUGAUUAGAAGAAUACGACAAUAAGAAGAUAAAAAUACUUGCUCAAAUACUCUGCCGUGUGCUUACAUACAAAUCCACUCUCUUAGCUUUUUAAUCACAUAUAUAAAUCAUCAUCAUCACUAGAUGAUCAUAUAUUUACUCAAUAAUCAAAGCUAGUUAGUGAAAGCUUUGAAUGGUCUUCCAAGAUUGAAGAUGAGGGCAGCACUAGGAACUUCCAGGAACCUUCUCGUAAAUUUAGAUAGAUGCCGAGUGUAUGGACUGUUCGAUGAAAUGCCUCUAUGAAGUUGAGGAAUGGAGAGAUUGCAUAACGACCACAUGUUUGGAACUUGAAUUCAGACUGUUAUUAUUAGAAGCACAUGUCAUGGGGUCUCUUCACUUUAACCUUUGGUCCCAUCCUCUGGCCUUCUGCCACCUGGAUCUUCGCAGCAACUUUGCUGAGUAAGAUUGACGAUUGCAGUGCUACGCUAUUUGUCACUUUAGUCUAGAUAUAAAGCUUAAAAUCUUAUCACAGGGUAAUAAUAUCAGUAAACAUUUGACAAAUCACUGAUCAAUUGAUCUUUUCAAGUCACUUGUAUCGUUUCCAUCGGAUUUGACGCCAUCAAACUACAAAAAUUUAUGUAAAAUUUUUGAAGUAACAAAAUUGUCUUACCCAUUAUACACGAUAGAAUCUCGGAUCAUGAAUGAAGUGAUGUCAAUUUCAAUUAAAAAGAUUUCAGUCUCAAGACCCUAACCCGUUUAGGUUAUUGAGCGAACGACUUAUCAAAAUGAGAAAGCUACAAAAUAUGUGACAAUACGAGGACAGCAAAGAAAUUAAGCCAUCAGCUCUUGGAGUGUAUUCUGUUUUGCACAAAAAAUAUAAAUCAGUGAUCACCUCUAGUUUAUCAAAGUAAUCAUGAUUAAUGCUGUAAGGAAAGCUUUAGUAGUCUUUCUUUAUGAAUCUCGCCCGCUUUUGCUUUUCUUUUAGCAUAGUCUUUCUUUGUAUCCCCAGUCAACCCAAAGCCUUUAACUAUGAUCUUCUCUUGAAUAGAUCUUGUCUAAUAAAAAAUUGAGAUCCUCUCUUGAAUAGAGUUUACCCUUGAAAAAUAAGUAUACAUUAUCAUUCAUGUACUGUCAAAAUUUGAGCUUAAGUUCCAACUAUUUAAAAAUUAUUGUUUAUUUUUGUUGGUGAAAGCAAAUCGAUUAGAAGAAUGUGGUACUGGUAAUAAGAAGAUAAAAAUGCUUGCUCAAUACUUUGCCGUGUGUGCUUUCUUACAAAUCCACUAGCUUAGCUUUUAAUCACAUAGAUAAGUCGUCAUAUUCACAUAUAUAAGUCGUCAUAUUAUCAUAUAUUACACAAUAAUCAAAGCUAAUUAUUGAAACCUUUCGAGUUUGAAAAUGCCGGCAGCACUUGCAACUUCCAGGAACCUUCGUGGAAGUGCAGAUGCUGAGUGCAUCCAUCUGUUCGAUUAAAUGCCGAAAUGAUUUCGAGGACCCACACGACCACGCAACAUUUUUUUUUUGUUCAUUUUAUUUGUAUAUCUAUUUGUGGGAAAAAAAAAAGAAUCAUAAGGUCCGCAAACUUUGGCUUUAUAGCAGAGUAAUUAAUUUUUUAUUUAUUACUCAUCAACUUAGAUUUUUAAAUUACAACAGUAAUAAAAUAUUUAAUAAACAAUUACAAAUAAUUAAAGCUGCCAUUAAAAAUGUUUGAAAAGUCUUACGAUUACAUGCUGAAAAAUGUCCGCAUCGGCAUCAUAGCACUUACUAGUAACAAGAAAAUUCAAUGAAAUGCCAAAAUGAUACCUUGCGCUGUCCAAUUAACCUAUAACUUUAACACUAUUUACAUGCAAUUAUAACCAUCUAUCUCAGUUAUUAAGAAUCUAUAGUUGACUUGGAAGCACGAGUCUUCUCCUUGUAUGAAUUUAGUUUGGCAUUUUCCUAAUCAUCCCUCUUCUCUAAUCUCUAGAGUUCUCUGAAAUCUCUUCUUCAUUUUCUGUCUCCCUUUUCUUAAUAAUCCUUGUCCUCGAUCCUAUACAUUCUUUAAAAACCUUCCAUUGCACUCGCUUUUCAAUUUGUCUUGGCAGAAAAAGGAUCCCCCUUUGUUUCAUCUCUAGAUCCGUCACUCUUUUUCUCUCCUCCUCCCUUAAAUCUAUUCAACCUCUUAUUUUAGCAAUUUAUCCAAACUUCUUAUUUCCCUUUCCCAGCUGAUUGAUUAGUUCUGCUUAGUUUGAUUAGUUUUGCUUUCCCCUGUUUUCUGAAAGCGAAAAAUAAAAAAGAAAGGGAUAAUGGAAAUUGUUAUCUCCGUUGCUGCAAAAGUUGCAGAGUACUUGGUUGCUCCCAUUGUUCAUCCAUUUACUUACUGCUGCAGCUACAACACCAACUUGGAGAAGCUGAAGAAUGAAUUUGAGAAGCUAAAGAUUGCUAGAGCCAGUCUGCAGUACAAGGUUGAAGAUUCCAGAAAUAAAGGGAACGGAAUUCAGCAGCACGUUGAGGAGUGGCUGAUUAGUGCGGACAAGGUGAUCAAUGAAGUCGAAACACUUAUUGAAGACAAAGAGAAUUCAAACAACCGGUGUUUGAAGGGGUUGUGUCCUAAUUUGAGGACUCGGUACCAGCUUAGCAAGAAAGCAGAAAGAGAGGCGAAUGCUAUUAUUGGACUCCAUGAAAAAGGGGGAUUCGACAGUGUUUCUUUCCGUAUCAUUCCAGAGGAGCCAUGGCUUAACUCUACCCAGGGUUUCAUGCACUUUGAAUCGAGAAAGUUCACUUUGAAUGAGAUACUAGACGCACUGAGCAACCGUAACUUCAACAUGAUCGGGGUGUACGGGAUGGGCGGCAUUGGAAAGACCACUCUGGUGAAAGAAGUUGGCAGGCAGGUCAAGGAAAAUAAUCUCUGCGAGAAGGUCAUUUCUGCACAUGUAUCCCGAACACCGCAAAUAAAAGAAAUACAAAGAGAAAUUGCAGAGAAGCUGGGCCUGAAAAUAGAUGAAGAGAGUGAAACUGCAAGAGCAGGGAGGCUGCUUGAAAGAUUGAAGAAAGAGAAGAAGAUCCUCAUAAUCUUGGAUGAUAUUUGGGGGAGUCUUGAUUUGGAGGCGAUUGGAAUUCCAUUGGCGGAUGAUAACAGCGGACGUAAAGUUCUGCUGACAUCAAGAAGUGUAGAUGUGUUGUCUUGUAAGAUGGAUUGUCAACAGAAUUUUCGUGUUGAUGUUUUGAAUGGAGGAGAAGCUUGGAGUCUUUUUACGAAGACGACAGGUGAUUGCAUAGAAAAUGAUGAAUUGAGAUCGGUAGCAAAAGAUAUAGUCAAGGAAUGUGCUGGUUUGCCCAUUGCCAUUGUACCCGUAGCAAGGGCAUUGAGAAACAAGAGAUUGUGUGAAUGGAAGGAUGCUUUGCUAGAAUUAAGAAGGCCCUCCUUGAGGAACUUCAGUGGAACACUGGAGGUGGCAUAUAAAAGUAUAGAGCUAAGUUACAGUCAUUUAAACGAGGAGCUCAAGAGUACAUUUUUGCUAAUAAGUUGCGCGUUCAUCUCUUGCGUUGAAGACGUGCGCUUUUAUGGAAUGGGUUUGGGUCUGUUUCAAAACAUCAACACGUUGGAAGAGGCGCGGGAUAGAGCACAUACAUUGGUUGACAAACUCAAAAAAUCUUGUUUGUUGCUUGAUGGCAAUACAAGUGAACGAUUCUAUGCACGAUGUUGUUCGUGAUGUAGCCAUAUCAAUUGCAUCUAGAGACCAACAUGUGUUUGCGGUGGAAAAUGAGGUUAUUCCGCUGACCAGCUGGCCACAUAAGGAGAGACUGAAGGUUUGCAGGGGGAGGUGCGCAGGUUGGCGCAGGUGAUAGAGGAGAUACAGGGCAAGAGAAAGCCCCCGAGCUGGAGGAUAAUGUUAGAUGAAGAAUCUCCGUUAUCAAUCGAGAUCAUGGGUACCAUAAUCCCAAGAGAUUUCCGCUUCCCCGACCUCAAAUACUCCGGGCGAAGUGACCCACUGGUGCACAUUGAGCGUUUCAACGAUAUGACGGGUGUGCAGGGGCUGACAUCAGCUCAGAGGUGCAGGGCGUUCCUGUUGACACUAGAGGGACGAGCUCGAGAAUGGUACCGCAAGCUGCCCCGAGGAAGUAUAAAAGGGUAUGAGCAGAUGUGCCAGGAGUUGGCCGAGCAGUUCCGAGGGGUAGUAGCCCCAGAGGACGACAUGAUGGAACUGAUGGGGAUGAAACAGGAGGAGCACGAGUCCCUACGGGAUUUUGUAAAGCGAUACCACCGAGCCGUACUUGAUUUGGGAGCUUUCAAUCACCCGCAGGCGUUGAGGGGUUUAAAGGAGGGUGUGAGGAUAGGCCGGCUAUGGUAUAACCUGAGAAGCCCCCUAGUGCAGAAUUAUUCAGCAGGAUAUGAGCAGGCAAAGAGAGAUAUCGAAAUCGAAGAAGAAAAAUCGGCAAAGAUAAAGAGUGAACAGCUGGAAGAGCUGAGACGAAAGGAAAGGAGAACUCCAAAUGGGAGCGGGUCGGGAAAGCGAGCUGGGGAACCCUCAGUAAGGGGCGGAACAUCAGCUCGAUCCCGCCCUUACCCCAUAGCUCCGAGAUCACAACAGUUCCAGCACAACCGGGCUCAACCUCCACGUCCCCCAUUCCCGGAUCGGCAGCGAGAAUUCCGGCAGAUGGCUGCCGACCCCUAUCAUAACACUCCCAGAGCAUUACAUGCAACCAAUUCCAGGGCUAGACGACCAGAUCAGUCAGCGACUAUGCCAGCCCGAGGUGACGUUCAUGAUAGCCGAGCAGUUCAGCUGGUAGACCAGAGCUUGGCAUAUAGACAAUACACUCCACUAAAGAUCUCCAUGGAGGAAUUGUAUGAGAGGAUCGAGGGACGAGGCCUGCUGUACCCUCCAGCCCCAAUAACAAAACCGACUCACCGACGGGAUAAGAGCCGAUUCUGCAAGUUCCACAACACUCACGGUCACACUAUCAGCCAAUGUCGUGACCUGAAGAUUCAGGUGGAGGAUUUAGUGAGGAACCGAUACUUGGACGAGUAUGUAGAUGGAAUAUCCCCUGUCAUGGAAUCAUAGUACACACGGGAUGAAGGAGUUGAGAGGGAUUUGGAACGUGAACAGCCGACCAUCCGUGUGAUAGCAGGAGGGCCAACAUUGGCCGGAGAUUCGAACAGGGCACGGAAGAACUAUGGGAGAUACGCCCUGACUAGCAAAGAAGUGCUUUUCAAUUUGCCAGCAACCAAGAAGGCAAAAGUGCGACAAGUUCCCAUUAUGUGGACAGAUGAGGAUGAAGAGGGUAUUUUAUAUCCUCACGAGGAUGCACUAGUGUUUAAAGCAUCGGUGGCUAGCACAGAAUUGCGGCGAAUACUGGUGGACACGGGCAGUUCAGUUGACAUUCUAUUUAAGUCAGCCCUAGAUGAUAUGGGGAUUUCAGAUUUAAAGCUGGAGCGGACAAAUACUUCCUUAAAAGGAUUUGGAGGGGGACGGUUAACUCCCUUGGGGAUCAUUGAACUCCCGAUUACUGUGGGGACAAAGCCGUUUGAACGAACGAUGAUGCUGGACUUCGUCGUGGUAGAGGAAAGAAGCCCUUACCAGAUGAUACUGGGGAGACCAUUCAUGAAGAUAAGUCAAUGCGUUGUAUCCACGCAUUACUUGGCGCUGAAAUACAGAAUAAAUGGGGUGGUUGGCGUAGUAAAAGGCGACCAGAGGAUGGCAAGGAGUUGUUAUGCUACGGCGGCCAAGGAGACACUACAGGUUACUUCUCUAGAUAAUCGAGGAGAGUCUAAAAAGGGCCGCCAAGAGCAUGUUGAGAAACUGGAGGAAGUUGCAGUAAGCAAAAGCAACCCGAGCAGAGUAAUGAAGAUCGGGUCAGGAUUGAUUGGGGCAGUAAAAGGCGAGCUGGUAAAUUGCCUACAGUCUCAUGCGGAUAUAUUCGCCUGGUCUCAUGAAGAUAUGCCCGGAAUUGAUCGCGGGGUAGCUUACCACAAGUUGGCAAUCAAGAAGGGGGCAAGGCCGGUGAGACAGAAGAGGAGAUGCUGCAACCAGGAAAGGUACGAGGCCAUAAACGCCGAGGUGGAGAAGUUGUUGAAAGCAGGAUUUAUAAGGGAAGCCAAGUACCCAGAAUGGAUUUCAAAUGUAGUCCUGGUAAAAAAGGCCAACGGGAAGUGGAGAAUGUGUGUGGACUUCACGGACCUCAAUAAGGCAUGCCCAAAGGACAAUUUUCCCCUACCCAAAAUAGAUCAGCUGGUGGACUCAACAGCAGGUCACAGUCUGCUCAGUUUCAUGGAUGCCUUUUCUGGAUACAACCAGAUACCCAUGGACGAGCAGGAUGAGGAAAGCACUGCCUUUAGAACUAACAUGGGUUUGUUUUGUUACAGGGUAAUGCCUUUCGGCCUAAAAAAUGCAGGAGCCACCUAUCAAAGGUUGGUAAACAAGAUCUUCAAACCGUUGAUUGGAUACACUAUGGAGGUAUAUGUGGAUGAUAUGAUUACAAAGUCCAAAGAGCCGACGGAUCAUGUGAAGCAUCUAGAAGAGACCUUUGAAUUACUGAGGAAGUAUGAGAUGAAACUAAACCCGGAGAAAUGUGCAUUUGGGGUCAGCUCGGACAAAUUUUUAGGAUUCCUGGUAAGCCACCGAGGGAUCGAGGCCAACCCGGAGAAAAUACGGGCGGUGACUGAAAUGAGGUCACCACGAACAGUUAAGGAGGUGCAAAGCCUUACAGGGAAGUUGGCAGCAUUAAACCGAUUCAUCUCGCGGGCCACAGAUAAAUGCCACCCUUUCUUCCAAACCAUAAAGAAAGGGAAAAAGAUGGAGUGGACAUCGGAAUGUGAGGAAGCAUUUGGGCAGCUGAAGGAAUACCUAACCCGGGUCCCAUUGUUAUUGACUCCGAGAGAGGGUGACCAGCUGUUGCUGUACUUAGCAAUCUCUAAAUGGGCUACCAGCUCGGUAUUGGUCAGGGAAGAGGAAGGAAAGCAACACCCGGUAUACUACACAAGCAAGGCCUUGGUAGAGGCGGAAACCAGAUACCCAUUGAUGGAGAAGUGGGCGCUAGCUCUAAUAACAGCAGCACGAAAACUCCGACCAUAUUUUCAGGCCCAUCAGGUUAUAGUUAUGACCGACCAGCCCCUUCGGCAAACACUUCAAAAACCAGAUGCAUCGGGUCGACUAGUAAAAUGGUCCGUAGAGCUAAGUGAAUUCGACCUCUCUUACAGGCCCCGAGGAGCAAUCAAGGCCCAAGCUCUGGCUGAAUUUAUGGUUGACCGAGCCGAUACAGGGAAAGAAAUUCGGGAGGAGCAAGUAGCAGAGCAGGAGAAACCAGAAGGGUUGUGGUUGGUAAUGGUUGACGGAUCAUGUAGUGAGCAAGGAUCCAGAGCAGGAGUUGUAAUACAGAGCCCAGAAGGAACCGAAAUAACGUAUGCAGUGAAGUUUGACUUUCAGCUCACAAACAACCAAGCUGAAUAUGAGGCCUUUAUCACCGGGCUCGGACUUACACACGCUCUAAGAGCAGAGAGGGUAGAAAUUCGAGCAGAUUCCCAACUGGUGUGUAAUCAGCUCAAUGAUCAGUUCCAAGCAAGGGGAGAGAAGAUGGGUCUUUAUUUAAAGAAGGCAAAGCAGAUGGUUGGGCUUUUCCAAGCAGUGGAGGUAAAGCAGAUAUCCCGGAAUGAGAAUUUCCGAGCAGAUAUGCUGGCUAGGAUGACAGCCAUUGCAGAUCCGAAAUUACCGAAGUCAGUUCCACUAGAGGUAAGGACCUCACCGAGUAUUGAGGAAGAAGCAGAGGUGAUGAGAGUAAGUAUUGGAGAAUCCUGGAUGGACCUGAUUCGCGCAUAUGUCCGCGAUGGAGUUUUACCAGAAGACAAAAGGCAAGUAAGAAAAUUAAAAUGCCGAGCAGCAAGGUAUACGCUACUGGAUGGAGUGCUGUACCGUCGAGGGUUCACCUUGUCCCUUUUGAGAUGUUUGGAUGAUGAGGAGGCGGAUUAUGUGCUGAGAGAGAUUCAUGAGGGAAUAUGCAGCAAUCACUCGGGAGCAAGAACUUUAGCCUUCAAGGCACUCCGGCAAGGAUACUUCUGGCCAACCAUGCACCAGGAUGCCAAAAGGAUGGCAAAGAAUUGUAAAACAUGCCAAAGCUUCUCCGAGGUUCCUGCACAACCCCCGGAAAAGCUGACGGCUAUGACAUCCCCAUGGCCUUUCGCUCAAUGGGGAGUCGACUUGAUUGGUCCAUUGCCUAAGGGACGAGGAGCGGCGACACAUGCAAUUGUGGCAAUAGACUACUUUACCAAGUGGGUGGAAGUAGGAGUCCUCAGCCAGAUUACGGAGAGGAAGACAACAGAUUUUAUUUGGAAGAAUAUCAUCUGCAGAUAUGGGAUCCCCUACGCCAUCAUCACAGACAAUGGGAGGCAAUUUGACAACGGCAACUUCAGGGAAUUUUGCCGAAACCUGGGGGUGGACCUGAAGUUCUGCACCCCCGCACACCCCCAGGCAAACGGACAAGUGGAAGCAUCCAACAAGGUGAUAAAGAAGCUCCUAAAGACUAGAUUGGGAGAGAAGAAGGGAGCUUGGGUUGACGAGCUACCAGGAGUACUGUGGGCCUACAGGACAACUCACAAAACCGCCACAGGGGAAACACCGUUCGCUUUAGCCUUUGGUCAUGAGGCAGUAAUCCCAGCAGAGGUUGGAGUGGGAACACAUCGGACGGAAUAUUUCACUGAGGAGCAAAAUGACGAGCAGAUUUGCUUAAGUCUGGACCUGCUGGAGGAGAAAAGAGAAGGGGCAGUGCAGAAAGUGGCCCAGUGCCAACAAAGGGUCAUGCGUUAUUACAACAAGAACGUACGCGUGAGGCAGUUCCGAGCAGGAGAUUGGGUACUUAGGAAGGUGAACCAGAACACCAGGGAUCCUAACCAUGGCGCUCUUGGCCCAAAGUGGGAAGGCCCGUACCGGGUGAUACGAGCCACUGGACCAGGAGCCUAUAAAUUAGCGCACCAAGAUGGACGAGAAGUGAAGAGGUCAUGGAACGCCGAACACCUGAAGAAGUAUUUCCAGUAAGCAAAGUGCUCUACUAAAUCCCCAUUUUGACAAGAUAUCUAUGUUAACUGCAUCAUGGCUUUGCUGCACAUAUAUGUAUCCAGUAUUCUUGUAAUGCUUUCAAAUUUCAAAUAAAGAUGAGUUCAGCAUGAAAUCCCCCUGCUAGUCUAAUCAAUAAAAGUUUCUACUAAGGCAAGUAAGUGCCUACUUCUGCUCGGUCAACAAAAGACCAGCAGCUAAAUUUACGAAGUUUCUACUAAGGCAAGUAAGUGCAUACUUCUGCUCGGUCAACGAAAGACCAGCAGCUAAAUUUACGAAGUCUCUACUAAGGCAAGUAAGUGCCUACUUCUGCUCGGUCAACGAAAGACCAGCAGCUAAAUUUACGAAGUUUUUACUAAGGCAAGUAAGUGCCUACUUCUGCUCGGUCAACGAAAGACCAGCAGCUAAAUCUACGAAGAUUCUACUAAGGCAAGUAAGUGCCUACUUUUGCUCGGUCCACGAAAGACCAGCAGCUAAUUCUGCAAAAAAUCCUACUAAGGCAAUAAAGUGCCUGUUUCUGCUCGGUCAACGAAAGACCAACAGCUAAAGCUUCGACAAUUCUACUAAGGCAACAAAGUGCCUGUUUCUGCUCGGUCAACGAAAGACCAGCAGCUAAAGCUUCGAAAAUUUUACUAAGGCAAACGGAUGCCUAUUCCUGUUCGAUGCACCAAAGAACCAACAGGCAAAACCAGACAAGAAAGCCAAUAGAGAGCAUUCAAGAAUUUUUAUAAACGUUCAAAUGUUUACAAAGCAAAUGAAAAUCUAGAGUCUUUUACAAAAAUAGACCUAAGGAUUAGGAAGGUCAACGGCCUCAGCAGGAGAAGGGUCGGCUGUCUUGGGAGGUGGAAGAUCAGCAAUAACGGGAGGAGGAGGCGCGGACCCUUGUCCCACUUCAAAAACACACUGACCAGCACCUCCCUCCCGCACCUCAUCAAAAGGAACCUCCACCUGCUCCUUAUCUCCCUGGCCGGCCCCAGCCAUAUACCUCUCCACCCCAGAUUCCAGCUUGCUCAUGUCGAGCUCAUGGUAUUCUUCCUUAAGCACAGACAUGAUGCACUUAUAGCUGAAAGCAACCCCGGAGUCAUACUCGGCAUCCAGCCGAUCAUCCACGUCAGCGGAUUUGCUUUUCUCCUCAGCCAGCUGGUCCUUCAGGGAUUUGAUCUCUCCUUCAAGGGCGACCCUCAGAGUAUCCCUUUCACUUUGGGUAGCCUGAAGAUCGGACUUCAGAUCACCCAACUCAUCCUCAAGCUUGGAGGAAGUGGACUCAGCAACAGCAACUUUCUCCUAAAGCUCCGUAAGCUGCUUGUUCAGCUCGGCCAGUUUCUCCUUGGAACGGUCAGCAGAUUCGACUUUCUUUUUCAACUCCUGGUUAUCAGCUUGGAGCUUCCUCUCAUGACGCACGGACCCGGUCUUGUAGCACGAGACCAUUGUGGCCAGCCUGAAGGAAACUCUUUGAACAGAAGCAGCUAACUCGGAGAGGCUCAUGCUCUCGAUGUCCUUCACCAUCUUGGGCCCAACCGAUUUUCUGUAAUCCUUCUGAUAUGGGCUCAGGUAGUCACCUUGAUCCCGAGAUGGAAGAGGAGAAGAGCGGUCCCCAGACUGCAAGCUGACCUCAGGACUUUUGUCGGAGGUUUUAUCCCCACCACUCUUACGAGGUGGAGGAGGGGGCAGAGCAGGAACUGGCGCCUUGGAAGGACCGACGCUGGGUUUCUUUGGAGGAGGAGGAGGGUUGUUGGAGCUACUCGGAGCCCGACCACGCUUUCUGCUCAACGCGCUGAGGAUCUUGUUAUCCAUUCCAGUGGCAAUAUCUACUAAGCGGGAACCGACCAAGUUUGUUGGCGACAGGAGGUCUUGGCAAGUAGACGCGUUCAACAGAGCAGUUUCCACCUGAAGCAAAGGUCGGUCUUCAAGAUCCUUCACCAAACCCCACGAUUCUGAAAAAAUAAACAAGGUUAAAGAACCCAAUGAGUGGCAAUUUAAGAAAGAAUAUAGGCAAAAAAUGAACGACCUGGGGUGACAAAAUGGGUGGGAAGAUAAAUGUCCCCACCAAGCGACUGAACCGCUGGACACCAGUUCCCUCCAGCAAAGAAGAAUUUGUUCUUCCAAUUUUUACAUGAAGAUGGAAACCCAGUGAUCGGUUUCCUCUUUGCGGAACUGGACAUGAAAUAGUACCAGCCUGCCUCCUUCGGGCUACUCCGCAGCUGGUACAGAUGUUUCACUUCAACAAGAGAAGGCUCCUCCGACCCGCACCUCUCCCACAACAUAAACAUUGCCGAGAGAACCCUCCACCCAUUUGGGUGUAGCUGACCUGGGGCCAGGUGCAUACCGCCCAGUAUCUUGGCAAAGUAAGGUUGAAGGGGCAGCCGAGCUCCUAGUCUGAAACUCUCCAAGUGCAUCAUCACAUACCCUUUCGGAGGCCGACUAGGGACAUCACCUUUUCCAGGAACUACAAGAAGAACCUCGUUGGGGAUGUUGUAGAGAUUCCUAAGUUUAAAUAGAUCGGUGGGGGUGGUGGCACAAGCCAUGAAAUCAAUAGGGUAGGAAUCAGCCUCCACCCUAUGGCCUAGGUUCCUUUUCUGAGCAGGUCUGCUCGGUCCGGAACUGCUCCCCUCACCAUCACCAACUCCUUCAGGGAUCCCAACCCCACCAAAGCUGUGGUUCUCGCCAGAGCCCGACGCAGGUCCACCCCUAUUUCCUACAAGCUCUAAUUCGGGAGAGGGAGAGACAACCAGGGGGCGUGGGUACUCAAGGGUACCCCUACCAUGAGGAGGACCUACACUACUGGAGGGACCUAAAAAAUCGGUGGGUAUUGGCACGUUGAGGCCUGAAUCCCCUGAUUCGUCAUCACCCUCAUCAACAAUUAACUUCCUCUUCCGAUUUGACAUACCGGAAUCCCAAAAGAAGACAGAGAAAACUCGAGUAUAUGGACACAAAGGGGCAACACAGAACCCAAUCAACAACAACCGAAGAAAAGGUUAAAGGCUAUACCUGGAAUAGACUGACACUGAUAGCGCCGCCAUGACAGAGAAAACACCCAGCAAAUGGAUACUCCGGACGCUGGAAGUGUGAGCAAAGUGCAGAGAAAAUUUGGUUAACGGCGGAGAAACGAGUAACAAGAUGGUGAAGACUCCAGUCUAGGGAUUUAAAACGAAAAGGGGGAAAUGGAAGCAUUUAAGUGAUGGGGACGCCAGCUCACUCACCGUACAUCGAGGACAGAUAGCCCGUCGUUUCAAAUUUCAAAUACGAAGAAUCGGGAGAUGCCACGUCACCAACCGUUACAAGAGGCCGGGCUAGAUGCAAGCCCAGGUGCGCAGUGGACAUGCUCAUUUAGGCCCACGCCCAGAUCAAAAUCUCACCUGAAGAAAAAUGAAUUGCUCAGGUCCGUCCCGGUAGACAGAAGACCAGAGGAGAAACCCCGGAUUGGUAAGAGUCGACUAUCAGUUUCUACUCUUGACUCAUUUCACUCACAAGACCAGAAACUGGGGGACUGGUGUUAAGCAAAUAAAAGCACCAGGUCGUCCAGGAUACUACUUCCACCCCGGCAUGAAUCACCUCAGCCAAAUGGUACGAGCAGAACAGGGGUAACAUGAGUCGAUCAGAGACGAAUACUGACCAGAGCCACAUACCGAGCCGGUACUCGUCCCCCGAAAAGCGGAAACACGAUCUCACAGAAUCACGGUAGUUGUGCUUUCCCAGAACCGUUGCGGGAGACGCGAGAUCCCACGUUUGCCCAUAAUGCAGCAGUUAGAGCCCCAUGAGAGGCUACCACUACCCGAAAAAGGUGGGAUGAAGGGCAAGCGGGAACGUGGGGACAGCGGCUAUAAAAGAAGGAGAAAUCGAUGAAGAAGGAGAUAGAAAAAAUUGAGAGAGGGAAAACGCUGCCAAAUUGAAACCAGGCUAUUUUCUUAUAAAACUCCGAAUAAUUUAGAAACCAUUUUGAGAUCUAAAUUGCACUGUUUUCCCGUAAACACCUUGAGCUAACUUAGGCAUCGGAGGGUUUACGCCGGCAAAACCACCGGCGUCUCUGAUCCGUUUUUGGUGAGCGCAGGUCUAUUGUGAGAAAGGAGGACGAUUCCAAUCCCAGUGAACGAGCAACAGUAGAUAACACAAACGUUGGUGAAAGAAUCUGGUCGGUCCAAAGGUGAGCAGAUUUAAGCAUCAACAAUAAUGAUUUGAAGCAAGUCAGCUAAGGCCAAGUGUUUUUAUUAUUUAGGCAAUUAGAUCAUGAAUGGUAAUCUUUCAUUUGAUCAAUUACCUCAAAAUACUCUCAUUUUACGAAGAACGUCAAAUAAUCAAAACUAAUCGUCAUUAAUUAAAAGCUACUGUAGAAAGCCAGAACGGUCUUCCAAAUUGCAAGUUGGAAGAUGUGGGCGGCAUUAGCAACUGUCAGGAAUCUUCAUCCAAGUUGCGAGCCACCCGACCCGAGUCUCAUCAUUUACUUUUGUUUACUUUUAUUUCAUUUUCGUUUACUUUUGAGAAAAGGAAAAUGUAAAGAUUGAAUAAGAAUCACUUGUUUGAAAAUUGAAAAAUGAUCGGAGGACUAAAAUAAGACACAAAAUUGAUUUUUUUUUUAAAUAUAUAUAUUCAAAAUGAUAUCGUUCUUGUUUUAUUUAAAGAAAAAAAUUCGCCUAAAAUGACAUUAUUUUAAAUAUAUUUUUUUGGCAAUUUUUAAUCAAAUUUUAUUUCAAAUAUCAAUCUUGAAAAUUAGUUUAAGAUUUUAUAAUUAGAAGCACACGGGGAUGGGGAUCUCUUCGUUUUAACUUUUGGCCUUAAUCAGUUUUCUGUGAUAUUUUGUUGACUGAAACGCCAAAGAGUUUCGGAGUGGACCAACUAUUCAAAUGUGAGAGAAACUUGCGUGGGAGCUGAGGUGGUGGCUGGUGGGAUAAUCUAUUGGUGCUCGGCUCCGUGAUGGAAUAAACGAAUCCCAUCAUGAAAUCUAUGGCUGGUGGGAUAAUCUAUUGGUCUACUUAUGAUCCGAUUUUGGGAGAAUCUCACUCUUAUCAUCACCUCACAUUUCGCACAAUUUUUUUCAAUUCUUCGUCCACUCUUCGUUCAUUUCAAUGAAAAAGAAAAAGAAAUUAAUAUAAUCGAAUACACUACCUCAGUUAAUUUAGUUCUGCUGACUUAAUUUUUUUAAAAUAUAAAGUCAGUGAAUGCCGCUGUAAAAAUCAAAUAAUUGGUUACCAUUGGGCCGACGCACAUCUCCCAACUCUGCAAGUCUUUCUCCUUCUCAAUCAACAUACUCAAUCGUCUUUGUUUGGGUGAUUAUACUACCAGCCACACAUGCUUUCAUCUGGUCGAGUUAAGAAUCUCCUCAGGUCGGUGUAUUAUGAGCAGACACAAUAGUACCAGGGUCCUAUUCGGCGUAUGGCUAAAAGUCGACAAGAGAACUGUUCCUUAAAGAUCAGACACGACACCACAUCUAGGCGAUGGUUUCGCCAUUUCCCAACCGUACGGGGAAAGGUACAAUAACUUAUGCACGAUUUUUACAAAUCCUCAAAACCCACGAAGGCCCGAAUAUGUAGGACCUGGGGAUGUUCUAGAUACAUGGGGAGGCUGCCUAUAAAAACCCCGAAAAAAACAACAAAAGGAAAAAAAGAAAAAAGAGGACGUAGGGAUGUUAUGAUGGAAUGUAUCUCCUCACCCACUAUGCAGCUCUUGUGGAAUGGGGAACUUACGGAAUCGUUCAUCCCUUCGAGAGGAAUUCGGCAAGGCGACCCAAUUUCACCCUAGAUAUUUGUGAUUUGCAUUGGGAGGCUGAGCCAUGGUAUUAAUCAAGUUGUUCGGGAAGGUAGAUGGAAACCAAUUAAGCUUGCUUGUCAAGGUAUCCCUAUCACUCAUGUUUUCUUUGCUGAUGACCUUCUGUUGUUGACAAAAGCCUCUGUUUCUCAGGCGCAUGUAAUCAAGGAUGUUCUCAACGUUUUUUGCACGAGUUCUAGGGAAAAAGUUAGCAAUGGCAAAACGUGGACUUUUUUCUCCCAUAAUGUGAAGGCUUCUGAUGCUAAAAAUAUUGGAGAAAAGCUCAGUUUCACCACAACAAAGGACCUUGGUAAUUACCUAGGUAUGCCUUUGUUGCACAAGAGGAUUAGAAAGCAAACUUAUCAAAGCCUGAUUGACCGAGUUCAACAAAGACUCUCGGGUUGGACGGCCAAGCAUCUUUCUCUUUCCGGUCGGAUAACUUUAACACAAUUGGUCAUUCAAGCCCUACCCAUCUAUUCCAUGUAGACUGUCAUGCUACCUGCAAGUAUUCGAAAUAAAAUCGAUCAGAUUUGCACACUUUUUAUCUGGAGCGGGAUUGAAGAGGCCAAGCGCAUGCAUCUUAUUAAGUGGGAUAAGGUACAGCUUCCUAAAUGUUGUGGGGGUCUUGGAAUUAAAAAUCUUAAUCUCAUGAAUAAGGCUUUGCUGAUGAAAAUUGGUUGGAAUCUAUUUGGCUCUCCUCACAGUUUUCUGGAUCCAGGUGUUAAGUAAUAAAAAGUACUAGCUCGGCCAUGCCCUCAUCUCUUACCCUGAGGCGAAUCUCCUCAGUUGAAAGACACGAGAAGAGUUCGGGUAAAACAUCUUAUACGGGUAUGUGCCAACUAGAGACGAGCACCAACUAGAGAAAUAUACUGACCAGAGAGGAGCACUGACCAGAUGCUCGUCACCCAAAGAAAGGGCAUACGAUCUCACGAAAUCGCGACAGUUUCGCUAUGCCCCGAACCGUUGGGAAAGACGUGGCAUCCUACGUUUACCCACAAUCUAGUGGUUGGAGACCCAUGAGGGUUUGCCAUCACCCGAAAAAGGGGGACAUGAAGAGUAUGCAGAAACGUGGGACAACGACUAUAAGAAUCCAGGAAACCGAUGAAAAAAGGGGGAGAAAAAUCGAGAAAAAAAGGAAAACUCUGCCAAAUUAAAACCCGAUGGUAUUCCAUACAAGUUUUUGAGAGCAUUACAAGAAAUCACACAAUCUAAUUUACAUAGUUUUCUUGUAAACACCUUGUGCUAACUUAAGCAUCAGAGAGUUUAUGCCGGUAAAACUACUGGUGACUCUUAUCCAUUUUUGUGAACGCCGGCUUAGGAAGAGGAAAAAUGGUGAUUCCAACCCCAGGGACUCAAGCAAUCGUUGAAACAGAAAGAAGGUGACAUCUUCUCUAUCGACCAUAUAAACGUUGGUGAAAAGAUCUGGUCGGGCAAAGGGCGAGCAAAUUUCAACAUCAACAUUUUGGCGCCGUCUGUGGGGAGCUGGAUAAAAAUCUACCACCAAGUUAGUAGUCAUUAAAGGAGCAGCGAACGAUCGGUUAUGGAUGUGUCAAGGAAGGAUGCCCUAGGGGGCGACAAUGAAACUGGUGAAACAAUCACUCUCCGAGAGAUCGCAAAUGAAGCUAGAGAGAGGGUGAUGCAAGACCGAAUGGAACAGAUGGAGAAGCAAAUGGAGACUCUCACGGCUAUAUUACAUGAGCUGAGGGAUGAGCAGAGAAGGGAUUGUGAAACCACCGUGGCGAGGGAUGAAGCCGUGGCAAAACCCAGCCUGCGAAGGCAUAGAAUUGAGGAGAUCCCUCCGCUGGUACACCAACCCUAUGGGGUGCAUUCCCAUAGAAGUGCAAGUCGGAUCCCAAGAGAGCGCGUAGGUGAAGGGAGAGACCAAUCUCGCUUCGGACGAGUUCUGGAAAUUGAUGGCUGAGGAGCGAAUAUUGAUGAAGGAGAGCUCAGACAGUGGCUGCAUAAUGCCGAGCAGGAGCGAGAUCAAAUAGCUGCGCGCGAUCCUAACUGCGCUUUAGAAUUGGAGGGUGAGGUACGCAGGUUGGCUCAGGUGAUGGAUGAGAUUUAAAGCAAGAGAAAGCCCCCGAGCUGGAGGAUAAUGUUGGAUGAAGAAUCUCCGCUAUCAGCCGAGAUCAUGGGUACUGUAAUCCCAAGAGAUUUCCGCUUUCCCGACCUCAAAUACUCCGAGAGAAGUGACCCGCUGGUGCAUAUUGAGCAUUUCAACGACAUGACGAGUGUACAGGGGCUGACACUAGCUCAAAAGUGCAGGGUGUUUCCAUUGACACUAGAGGGGCGAGCCCGAGAAUGGUACCGUAAGCUGCCACGAGGAAGUAUAGGGGGAUAUGAGCAGAUAUGCCAAGAGUUGGCCGAGCAGUUCCGAGGAACGGUAGCUCCAGAGGACGAUAUGAUGGAAUUGAUGGGGAUGAAGCAGGAGGAACACGAAUCCCUUCGGGAUUUUGUGAAAAGAUAUCAUUGGGUCGUGCUUGAUCUGGGAGCUUUCAAUCACCCGCAGGCAUUGAGGGGAUUAAAAGAGGGAGUGAGGAUAGGCUGAUUGUGGUACAACUUGAGAAGUCCCAUCGUUCAGAACUAUUCGACGGGGUAUGAGCAGGCGAAGAGAGACAUAAAAAUUGAAGAAGAAAAAACGGCAAGGAUAAAGAGUGAGCAGCUAGAGGAGCUGAGGCGAAAGGAAAAGAGAACCCUGAGUGGGAGCGGGUCGGGAAAGCGAGCUGGGGAAUCAUCAGUGAUGGGUGGAAUAUCAGCUCGGUCUCGCCCUUAUCCCAUGACUCAGAGACCGCAACAAUUUCAACACAGCCGAGCUCAGCCUCAACGCCCCUCAUUCGCAGAGCGGCAACAAGAAUUCCGGCAGGUGGCUGCCCAUCCUUAUCAUAAUGCUCCCAGGGCAUUACAUGCAGUUAAUUCCAGGAUUGGUCGACCAAACCAGCUACCUACAGUGCCAGCCCGGGAUGAUAUCUACGAUAGCCGAGCGGUCCAACUGAUUGAUCAGAGCUCAGCGUAUAAACAGUACACCCCAUUGAAAGUCUCUAUGUAGGAGUUGUAUGAGAGGAUCGAGGGACGAGGCCUGCUAUACCCUCCUGCCCCUAUAACCAAACCCGCUCACAAAUGGGAUAAAAGCAGAUUCUGUAAAUUCUACGAUACUCAUGGCCACACUAUCAGCCAGUGUCGUGACCUGAAGACUCAGGUGGAGGAUUUGGUGAGAAACCGAUACUUGGAUGAGUAUGUAGAUGGGGCAUUCUCUAUCCUUGAGUCACAAUAUACUCAGAGGGAUGGAGACGAGAGGAGUCUGGAGCAUGAGCAGCCAACCAUUCGGGUGAUCGCAGGAGGGCCAACAUUGGCUGGGGAUUCAAACAUGGCACGGAAGAAUUACGGGAGAUAUGCCAUGACCAGCAAAGAGGUGCUUUUCAAAUUGCCAACAGCCAAGAGGGCGAAAGUGAGGCAAGUUCUCAUUAUGUAGACAGAUGAUGACAAAGAGGGUGUUUUAUAUCCUCAUGAGGAUGCACUGGUGAUUAAGGCAAUGAUGGCUGGUAAAGAAUUACGGCGAAUAAUGGUGGACACAGGCAGCUCGGUUGAUAUACUGUUUAAGUUGGCCUUAGAUGAUAUGAGAAUUGCGGACUUAAAAUUGGAGCGGACGAAUACAUCCUUGAAGGGAUUUGAAGGAGGACAGUUAAACCCCAUGGGGAUCAUCGAGCUCCCGAUUACUGUAGGGUCGAAGCCGUUUGAAAGAACAAUGAUGUUGGACUUUGUCGUGGUAGAAGAGAAAAGCUCUUACCAGAUGAUACUAGGACGACCUUUCAUGAGGGUAAGCCAAUGUGUCAUAUCCACGCAUUAUCUGGCAUUGAAAUACAGAGUGAAUGGAGUCGUGGGCGUAGUAAAAGGUGAUCAGAGAAUGACGAUGAGUUGUUACGCUACAACGGCCAAGGAAACACUACAAGUUACCACUCUGGAUAACCGAGGAGAUUCUAAAAAGGGUCGCCAGGAACUAGCUGAGAAAUUGGAAGAGGUUUUGGUGAGCAAGAGUAACUCGAGCAGAGUGGUAAGGAUCGGGUCAGGAUUGGGCGAGGCAAUAAAAGGCGAGCUGGUAAAGUGCCUACAGUCCCACGCAGAUAUAUUUGUCUGGUCGCAUGAAGACAUGCCAGGAAUUGAUCCCGGGGUAGCUUGCCACAAGUUGGCAAUUAGGAAAGGGGCAAGACCGGUGAGGCAGAAAAGGAGGUUUUUUAACCAGGAAAGGUACGAGGCCAUGCUGAGGUGGAGAAGUUGUUGAGAGCAGGAUUUAUAAAGGAGGCUAAAUACCCAUAGUGGAUUUCCAAUGUAGUGUUGGUAAAGAAGGCCAACAGGAAAUGAAGAAUGUGUAUGGAUUUCACGGACCUGAACAAGGCAUGCCCAAAGGAUAGUUUUUCCCUACCUAAAAUAGAUCAAUUGGUUGACUCAACAGCGGGUCACAGUCUGCUUAGCUUCAUGGAUGCCUUCUCGGGAUACAACCAGAUACCCAUGGACAAGCAGGAUGAGGAGUGUACCACCUUUAUAACUAACAUGGGUUUGUUUUGCUACAGGGUGAUGCCCUUUGGCCUAAAAAAUGCAGGGGCUACCUAUCAAAGGUUGGUGAAUAAGAUUUUCAAACCAUUGAUCGGUCACACUAUAGAGGUAUACGUGGACGAUAUGAUCAUGAAGUCUAAAAGACCAAUGGAUUAUGUGAAGCACUUGGAAGAGACCUUUGAACUACUGAGGAAAUACCAAAUGAAGUUGAAUCCGGAGAAAUGUGCGUUUGGAGUUAGCUCGGGCAAGUUUUUGGGAUUCCUGGUGAGCCACCGAGGGAUCGAGGCCAACCCGGAAAAAAUACGAGCAGUAAUAGAAAUGAAGUCCCUCCAAACAGUUAAGAAGGUGCAAAGUCUUACGGGGAAAUUGGCAGCAUUGAACCGGUUCAUCUCGCGGGCCACGAAUAAAUGUCACCCUUUCUUCCAAACCAUAAAGAAAGGGAGGAAAAUUGAGUGGACAUCAGAAUGUGAGGAGGCAUUCGGGCAGUUGAAGGAAUAUCUUGCCCGUGCCCCGUUACUAUCGACUCCGAGAGAAGGUGACAAGCUGUAUUUGUACUUGGUUGUCUCUAAAUGGGCUACCAGCUCGGUAUUAGUUAGAGAAGAAGAAGGAAAGCAACACCCCAUGUAAUACAAUAGCAAGGCCCUUGUGGACGCAGAAACUAGAUAUCCACUGAUGGAGAAAUGGGUGUUAGCUUUAAUAACGGUAGCGUACAAGCUCAGACCGUACAUUCAGGCCCACUCGAUAGUAGUGAUGACUGACCAACCUCUUUGGCAAAUGCUCCAAAAACCAGAUGCUUUUGGUCGGCUAGUAAAAUGGUCUGUAGAGCUGAGCGAAUUUGAUCUAUCUUAUAAACCACGAGGAGCAAUCAAAGCCCAAGCCCUGGCCGAUUUUAUGGUUGAUCAUGUUGAACCAGGGGAAGAAGUUCAGGAGGAGCAACCAGCUGAACAGGAGAAACCAAAGAGGGUGUGGCUGGUAAUAGUUGAUGGGUUGCGUAGUGAACAGAGAUCCGAAGCAGGAGUGGUAAUACGAAGCCUAGAAGGGGCCGAGGUAUCCUAUGCAGUAAAAUUUGAAUUCCAGCUCACGAAUAACUAAGCCGAAUAUAAAGCCUUCAUCACUGGGCUCGGGCUUGCACACACAUUACGAGCAGAGAGGGUAGAAAUCCGAGCAGACUCCCAAUUAGUCUGUAAUCAGCUCAGUGACUAAUUCCAAGCGAGGGAAGAGAAGAUGGGACUUUAUUUGAAGAAGGCAAAGCAGAUGGUUGGGCUUUUCCAAAAAGUAGAAAUAAAGCAGAUAUCCCGAAAUGAAAAUUACCGAGCAGAUAUAUUGGCCAAAAUGGCCAUAAUUACGGAUCCAAAGUUACCCAAGUCAGUUCCAUUGGAAGUGAGGACCUCGCCAAGUAUAGGGGAGGAGGUAGAAGUAAUGCGGGUGAACACUAAAAAAUCCUGGAUGGACCCGAUUCUCUCAUACAUCCGCGAUGACAUUUUACCAUAAGACAGGAAGCAAGUAAGAAAGUUAAAAUGUCGGGCAGCAAGGUAUAUGCUACUCGAUGGGGUACUCUACCGUCGAGAAUUCACUUUGCCCCUUUUGAGAUGUUUGGAUGACGAGGAAGAAAAUUAUGUGCUGAGGGAGGUUCAUGAAGGAAUAUGCGGCAACCACUCGGGGGUAUGGACUUUGGUCUUCAAGGCACUCCGGUAAGGGUACUUCUGGCCGACUAUGCACCAGGAUGCGAAGGGGAUGGCAAAAAACUAUAAAGUCUGCCAAAGCUUCUCGGAGGUUCCUACUCAACCCCUAGAAAAGCUAACCGCUAUGUCAUCCCCAUGGCCUUUUGCCCAGUGGGGAAUUGACCUGAUUGGCCCAUUACCCAAAGGCCGAUGAGGCGCAACACAUGCAAUUGUGGCUAUAGAUUACUUUACUAAAUGGGUAGAAGUGGGAGUCCUCAAUCAAAUUACGGAGAGAAAGACAACAGAUUUUAUCUGGAAGAAUAUCAUCUGCAGAUACGGAAUCCCUAUGCAAUCAUAACAGACAAUGAGAGGCAGUUUGACAACCACAACUUUUGAGAAUUUUGCCAAAACUUGGGUGUCGAUCUGAAGUUUUGUACCCCGGCACACCCCUAGGCAAACGGGCAAGUAGAAGCAGCCAACAAAGUAAUAAAGAAACUUCUGAAAACCAAGCUAGGAGAGAAGAAGGGAGCUUAGUUCGACGAGCUACCAAGAGUGUUAUGGGCCUACCGAACAACCCAUAAAACUGCCACAGGAGAAACCCCGUUUGCCUUAGCUUUCGGUCAUGAGGCAGUAAUCCCAGUAGAAAUGGGGGUGGGAACACAUCGGACAGAGUAUUUCAACGAGGAACAAAAUGACAAGCAGAUUUGCAUGAGCCUGGACCUGCUGGAAGAAAAAAGAGAAGGGGCAUCGCAGAGAGUGGCCAAAUGCCAGCAAAGAAUCAUGCGCUAUUACAACAAGAAUGUACGCAUGAGACAAUUUCGAGCAGGAGAUUGGGUACUUAGAAAAGUGAACCAAAACACAAGAGAUUCUAAUCAUGGCGUUCUUGGCCCGAAAUGGGAGGGCCUGUACAGAGUAGUACAAACAACUAGCCCAGGAGCUUACAAGCUGACUUACCCAGAUGGACGAGAUGUGAAGAGGUCGUGGAACGCCGAGCACUUGAAGAAAUACUUCCAGUAAGCAAAGUGCUUUACCAAGUUUUUAUUUUGAUAAGCUAUUUCUGUUAAAUGCAUGAUGAUGAAUUGUGACACAUGCAUGUAUUUCGCCUUUUGUAAUCUAUGCAAAGUUCAAUAAAGAUGAAUUCAGCAUAAAGUUCCCUUGCUAGACAAAUUUUACUAAGACAAGCAAGUGCCUAUUCCUGCUCGGUCGCCUAAAGGGCCAGCAGGCAAAAUCCAUUAAAUUUACUAAGGCAAGCAAGUGUCUAUUCCUGCUCGGUCGCCUAAAGGGCCAGCAGGCAAAAUCCAUUAAAUUUACUAAGGCAAGUAAGUGCCUAUUCCUGUUCGGUCGCCUAAAGGACCAGCGAGCAAAAUCCAUUAAAUUUACUAAGGCAAGCAAGUGCCUAUUCUUGCUCGGUCGCCUAAAGGGCCAGCAGGCAAAAUCCAUUAAAUUUACUAAGGCAAGCAAGUGCCUAUUCCUACUCGGUCGCCUAUAGGACCAGCAGGCAAAAUUCAUUAAAUUUACUAAGGCAAGCAAGUGUCUAUUACUGCUCGAUCGCCUAAAGGACCAGCAGGCAAAAUCCAUUAAAUUUAUUAAGGCAAGCAAGUGCCUAUUCCUGCUCAGUCGCCUAAAGGACCAGCAGGCAAAAUCCAUCAAAUUUACUAAGGCAAGCAAGUGUCUAUUCCUGCUCGGUCACCUAAAGGACCAGCAGGCAAAAUCCAUUAAAUUUACUAAGGUAAGCAAGUGCCUAUUCCUUCUCGGUCAUUGAAGGACCAGUAUGCAAAAUUCUACGAAACCGUUAAAGCAAGGAAUCGUCUAUUUUUCCUCAGUCACCCAGAGACAAGCAAACAUAUUUUUUAAAGUAAUUUGCAAAAACAACUCGUAAGCAAAAUCAUGGCAAGAAAGCAACCAAAAAGUGUCAAACAUUUAUAAACAUCCAAGCGUUUGUAAACAAAUGAAAAUUCAGAAUUUACAUAAAAAGCAAGCCUAAGGAUUAUGAGGUUCAGCGGCCUCAGUAGGAGAAGGAUCAGUAGUCUCGAAAAGAGGAGGACUAGCGACUUCUGGAGGAGCAGACGUUGACCCAUGGCCUACUUCCAGGGCGUGAUCCCCUGCUUCCUCCUCCUGCACCCCACCUGGAGGUGCCUCAACCUGAUCCUGGUCCCCUUGGUCCUUAUUUUCCUGAUCUAACUCGGCCAUAUACUUCUGCACUCCUGCCUCCAGCUUGCUCAUGUUAAGUUCUAGAUAUUCCUUCUUAAGCACAAACAUGAUGCACUUGUAGCUAAAGGCGAGCCCAAAGUUAUACUCUGCAUCCAGCCAAUCGUCCACCUCAGCAGAUUUACCUUUCAGUUCGGCUACCUGCUCAUUCAAGGACUUGAUUUGCUCCUCGAGGGUCGUCCUCAAGGUAUCUCGUUCACUUUGAGUAGCCUGGAGAUUAGACUUCAGGUCACCUAACUUGCUCUUAAGCUUGGAGGAGUUGGACUCAACAAUGGCCACUUUCUCCUCCAGGUCCAUGAGCUGCUUGUGCAAAUCAACCAGCUUCUCCUUCGAGCGAUCAGCAAAAUCAGCCUUUUUCUUCAAGUCCUGGUUGUCAGCUUGAAGCCUCCUCUCAUGGCGUGUGGAUUUGUUCUUGUAGCAAGAAACCAAAGUAGCCAACUUAAAGGAGACCCUCUGAACGGAUCCAGCUAACUCGCUAAGGUUCAUGCUCUCAAUAUCUUUGACCAUUUUGGGUCCCACCGACUUGCCAUAGUCCCUCUGGUAUGGGGUCAGAUAGUCACUCUGGUCCCGAGGCGGAAGAGGAGAUGAUCGGUCUCCAGAUUGAAUAUUGACCUCAGGACUCUUGUCGCUAACCUUCUCCCCCCCUCCCCCCCCAUUGUUUCGAGGUGGAGGAGGAGGCAGAGCAGGAGCAGAAGCCUUGGAAGAACCAAUAUUGGUUUUCUUCAGGGGAGGGGGAGUUACUGGAGCCACCUGAACCCCGAGCACGUUUCCUUGACAUAGCGCUAAGGAUCUUAUUAUCCAUCCCGACAGCUACGUCCACUAAGCGUGACCCAACGAGAUUUAUUGACGACAGGAGAUCUUGAUAGGUAGACAUAUUCACCAGAGCAGUUUCCACCUUGAGCAAUGGUUUGUCGUCAAGUUUCUUGAUCAGGCCCCACGACUCUGAAAGAAUAAACAAGGUUAAGGAACCCAAUAAGUAACGAUCAGAGAAGUGAAAUAUGCAGAAAAAAUAAACGACCUGGGGUGACAAAAUACGUUGGAAGGUGAAUAUCACCACCAAGCGAAUGGAUUGCUGGACACCAAUUUCCCCCAGCAAAGAAGAAUUUAUUUUUCCAAUUUUUACAUGAGGAAGGAAAGCCGAUGAUAGGCUUCUUUUUUACAGAGCUUGACAUGAAGUAGUACCAGCCUGCUUCCUUUGGGCUGCUCCUCAGCUGAUACAAAUGCUUUACUUCCACAAGGGAAGGCUCUCCGAGCCCACACCUUUCCCAUAGCACAUACAAGGCUGAAAGAACCCCCUAUCUGUUCGGGUGAAGCUGACUUGGAGCCAGGUGCAUACCACCCAAUAUCCUGGCAAAGUAAGGUUGAAGGGGCAACCAAGCUCCUAACUUGAAACUCUCCAGAUGCAUCGUUACAUACCCCCUUGGAGGCCGACUGAGGACGUCACUUUUCUCAGGGAUUACAAGGAGAACCUCUUCAAGGAUAUUGUAAAGAUUUCUAAGCUUGAAUAGGUCAGUGUGGGUAGUAGCACAGGUAAUAUAGUCAAUGGGGUAAGCUUCUGCCUCCAUCCUAUGACCAAGGUUUCUCUUCUUAGAGGGUCUGCUCGGCUCGAAACUGUUAUCCUCACCGUCACCCACUUCCUCAGAGACCCCAGCCCCCCCAGAACUGUGAUUUUCACCAGAGCCCAAAGCUGGUCCACCGCGGUUUCCCACGGGUUCUAAAUCAAGGGAAGGCAAAGUGGUCAUGGGGCGAGGGUAUUCAAGGGUAUCCCUAUGAUAGGAGGGACCUACACAACAAGAAGAGCAUAGGGGAUCAUUGGGUCCAAAUAGGUUGGGGUAUGAAUCCUCUACCUCUUCGUCACUCUCAUCUACAAUUAUUUUUCCCUUUCGGUUUGACAUAUCGAAAUCUUAAAAGGGAAAACACAGCAAAUCCAAGUAUAUGGGUACAAAAAAAGGACAAUACAGAACCCAAGCAACAACAACCUGAGAAGAAGUUAAAUGCGAUACCUGGAAUAGAUUGGCACUGGUAGCGUUGCCGUGACGGAGAAAGGGCCCAGCAAACAGAGGUUUCUAACGCGGAAAGUGCGAUUAAAGUCCAAAGAGGGAGUUGGCUUACGGUAGAAUGGCAGAUAGCGAAACGCGAUGGUAGUUUCAAUUUAGGGAUUUGAAAUGAAAAUGGGGAAUGAAGGCGUUUAAGUUACGCGGAGGCCAGUUCAAUUGCCGUAUAUCGAAGACAGAUAAGCCAUCAUUUCAAAUUUCAAAUGCAAAAGGACAAGAAGCGACACGUCACUGGCCGUUAGAAAAGGCCUGAUGAGAUGUUAGCCCAGUUAUAUAUUGGACACGCUCACGAAGGUCCAUACUCAGGCCGAAGUCUCCUUAAACAAAAGAAGGAACCUCAGAUCCAUCACAAUAACACGAAGACCAUAGAGAUAUUUCCCGAGGUCGGUAAGAUAUAAUUCUCAGUUUCUAAUCUCAACUCAUUUCACUCGCAAGACUAGAAACUGGGGGACUGGUGUUAAGUAAUAAAAAGUACCAGCUCGGCCAUGCCCUCAUUUUUUACCUCGAGGCAAAUCUCCUCAGCUGAAUGACACGAGAAGAGUUUGGGUAAAACAUCUUAUACGAGUAUGUGCCAACUAGAGACGAGCAUCAACUAGAGAAAUAUACCAACCAGAGAGGAACACCGACCAUAUGCUCGUCACCCAAAGAAAAUGCACACAAUCUCACGAAAUCGCGACAGUUUCGGUAUGCCCCGAACCGUUGGGAAGGACGUGGCAUCCCACGUUUACCCACAAUCCAGUGGUUGGAGACCCAUGAGGGUCUGCCAUCACCCGAAAAAGAGGGACAUAAAGAGUACGCAGAAACGUAAGACAACAGCUAUAAAAAGCCAGGAAACCGAUGAAAAAAUGGGGAGAAAAAUAAAAAAAAAAAAAGAAAAACUCUGCUAAAUUAAAACCCGAUGGUAUUCCAUACAAGUUUUUGAGAGCAUUACAAGAAAUCACACAAUCUAAAUUAUAUAGUUUUUCCGUAAAUACCUUGUGCUAACUUAAGCAUCGGAGGGUUUACGCCAGUAAAACUACCGGCGUCUCUGAUCCAUUUUUGUGAACGCAGGCUUAGGAAGAGGAAAAAGGGUGAUUCAAACCCCAGGGACUCAAGCAAUCGUUGAAACAGAAAGAAGGUGACAUCUUCUCUAUCGACCAUAUAAACGUUGGUGAAAAGAUCUGGUCGGGCAAAGGGCGAGCAGAUUUCAGCAUCAACACCAGGUAUUGAUGUCUAAAUAUAUGGUUGAUAAGGACAAUCUCCCUCUUGCACUUCCACCCCGAUAUGGAUCUCCAUUAUGGAAGGCUGUGGGAAAUGUCUUGAAUGAGGUUGUCCAAGGGACUCGUUGGGUUAUUGCGAAUCGGAGGCUAGCUAAAUUUUGGAAGGAAUCUUGGCUGGAGGUCAGAAUUUGUUUGCAAUAUUACGCUCUCGGAUCGAUCCAUGGGAACAUCCUAAAUGAGUGUAUGGCUAAUUUCGUUGAUGUUAUUGGUACUUGGAAAUGGGACCAUUUUUCUUCUUUGUUGCCACACUAUAUUCUCCUCAAAAUAGCUGGCACUAUGCCCCCUUCUACCAAUGGGGAAGAUGAUUGCCGUUAUUGGGGACCAGCGAGGUCGGGUUCGUUUAGUGUGAAAUCUACUUACUUAUCCCUCCUCAAGCCAUUGCCAAGUACGAAUAACUCCUUUUGGAGUUUGAUAUGGAAAUGGCAAGGCCCCCAAAGUAUCCAUUGUUUUCUGUGGCUACUGAUGCAUAAUCGUUUGAAAACCAAUGAGGAAUUAUCACGAAGACAUAUGCUUAAUAAUAGUAUUUGUAUGCGGUGUGGGCAUAUCAGGGAGGAUGCCCUUCAUACAGUCAGGGAUUGUGUGGACUCCAAAUGUAUUUAGUUAGCACUUCUUCCAGAACACACAAGGCAUACCUUUUUUGUGUUGGAUCUACGUGCAUGGAUUGUUUGUAAUCUGAAAAACCUAUUGAAGAUCACUAAGGAGACGGAUUGGCCAGUGUUGUUUGGUGUCACUGUGUGCAGAAUGUGAUAUUGGCAUAAUCAAUUUGUUCAUGCACAUAGGACGAGCAGCCUUUUCAACGUAAUCAUGGACCUGAAGAAUCGUUCGGAAGAGUCAUUGUUGUUUCUAAGUCUUUAUGUAAUCAAAGAAGGCCAAAAACCGUGCAUUGGAUCUCAUGGCAGCCCCCAACAUGGCCAUUUCUAAAACUCAAUAUGGAUGGAGCUUUGAAGAGAUCGGGUUUGGCAAGUGAUGGUGGCUUGGUAAGGAAUUAUUGUGGGGAAUGGAUUUGUGGUUUCAACAUGAAUUUGGGUAGUUGUUCCAUUAUGGAAGCUGAGUUGUGGAGGUUGUACCAAGGCUUAAAAAUUGCUUGGGACUAUGGUUUUCACUUACUGCAGGUUGAGGUGGAUAAUUUGGGAAUCACGCAACUCCUGACUACCUCUAGUGGUAACCAUAAUAGCAUAUCCUCGUUGUUAUAGGGCACCAAGAUUUACUUAACAGAGAUUGGCAUGUAUCAGUGAAGCAUGUGUAUAGAGAGGCGAAUUUUGCUGCCGAUUUCCUUGCAGGGAUGGCUCUCACCCUCCCCUUGGGUGCCAUACUCUUCAUUCACCUCCUAUAGGCGUGCAUUAUUGUUUGUUCAAUGAUGGACUAGGGACUGCUUUUUCUCGUUUUGUUUAGCGUAGCGGCAAUCUAGGCUCCUCUUGUACCCAAAAAAAAAAAAGGGGAAAACUCUGCCAUUUUGGAUCUAGAACUUAUUUCCAAAAAGCUUUCUAAAAAACUUCCUUCAUUUAAGAAUUGUUGGUUUUGAUAAUUCAAUGUUUUUUUCAAAAACCCUGCAUACUGACUUAAGUAUCGGAGGGUUCUCGUAGGAGAAACCACUGGCAUCCCUGAUCCAUUUGUGUGAGUGCAGGUCAGAAGAGAAGGAGCAAGGUUAGUUGAGGUCAUUAAACCUAGGGAUGGGCAAAAUACCCGAUCCGACCCGAUCCGAAAAUUUUCGGGUUCGGAUCGGGUUGUGAAUAAAACUCGAUCGGGUGCAAUUGUGUCAACCCGAUCGGGUCGUGUUUGGAUCGGUUAAAACCCGAUCCAAUCCGAAAACCCGAUCAAGUUGACAUAAAAUCAAAAAUCAUAACCCAAAGGCCCAAACCUUAUCCUAAUUCCUAAACACUCACUAUCACACACACCACUCAACACACGACACACACAACCCUUACAAACAAAAGCCUAACCACUGUAUAUGGCACAACUGCACAAGCACUAAGCAGCAGUGAGCAACCCACUGCCAACUAGUGCGUCAUCCACCCACAGGCGACGGCCUCCCUCGCUUGCAACUUGGAACCCACCACCGACAGCCACAUAGCCCGUCGCCUACAACAUCCUCCCUCAAACAAACAAAACACACACAUACACCCCCACACACGCACACACACAAAGUUAAUGCCUUAACAGAGCAAGCUGUAGCAGACCACCAUGCAGCAACCACCGAGCCUCCACGAGGAUCGUGAUCUGAUUCCGAUCGACCGAUCUACUGCUACAAAGUAUCGGAUCUACUGUGCCACCUCAAAGCCUCCAUUCCUCCACCAUCACCCGAUCCGAUUCAAGCUCCAUUAACCCAGCAAGCAGCAACCCGAAUUUUGGUUGUUGAGUCGAGUUUUGGAAGCUUUGAGUUUGAGCUUUGAAACUUGAUGGUGAUGAUAUUUGUGAAAGUAAAGUGUUAAAUGUUAAUAAGCAUUUUCCUAAUCCGACCUGUCUCGAACCAGAAUCCGAACCGAUCCAAACUCAACCCGAACUUAUAACCCGAUCUAAUCCGAUCCAAAGUUACUUUGGAUCGGAUCGGAUCGGGUUAUAAAUUCGGGUUGAAUUCGGAUGAAUUUUUAUUCAAUCCGACCAACCCGAAAUCCGAUUGGAUUGAUACGAACCCGACCCUAACCUGAUUUUGCCCAGCCUUAGUUAAACCAACUUGAUUAGAGAGAGAACGAGCAGCUUUGCGCCUCACCCAGAGAAAACUUAAGCGUUGACGAGAAAACCUUGUCGGUCCUCCACGUACGACCAUAUUUAUGCAUCAAUAUUUUGGCGCCGUCUGUGGGGAGCUGAACAAAAAGCUACCACUAGCAAAGCAACUCAUAGGGAGAAUUAGGCAUGUGGACAUGAAUAUGGGAAAGAGUGAUGCAUGAGCAAAUGAAGCUGAUGGAAAAGUAGAUGGAGACCCUCACCGCCAUCUUACAUGAGCUGAAGAACAAGCAAAGAAAGGCUUAUGAUGCAAAUGCAACAAGGGAUGAUGUUGCCAUAGAGCCCAGUCACCGAAGGAAUAGAAAUAAAGAGAUCCCUUCAAUAGGGGGAUAACUCAACGGGGUGCCUAACAAUGGAGUAGGAACUCAGACUUUGAGAGAAUGUGAGCACGAAGGGAGAGAUCAAUUCCACAAAUGGACAAAUCUUGAGAAGUUGUAGUAGAGGAGCGAAUGCCGAAGAAAGCAAGCUAAGGCAGCACCUACACAACAUCGAACAAGAAUGUGACUAGGUUGCAACACGUGAUCCUGGUUAAGCCUUGGAACUGGAGGGAGAAGUACGACGAUUGACACAAAUAAUAGACGAAAUGCAGGGCAGGAGAAAGCCCUUCAGUUGGAGAAUAAUGUUGGAUGACGAAUCUUGGCUUUCAGUUGAGAUUAUGGGCACUAUGAUAUUAAGAGAUUUUCGUUUUCCCAACCUCAAAUACUAAGGAAAAGUGACCCGCUGGUGCACGUCGAGCACUUCAAUGACAUGAUUGGAGUGCAGGGGCUAACACCAGCGCAGAGCUGCAGAGUAUUCUCUUUGACAUUGGAAGGACGAGCACGAGAUUGGUACCUUCCCUUUGACACCGGUAGGGACUUGCAACUUCCAAAAACCUUUGAUUAACCCAAAAAAAAAAAAAAUACAUAUAGUUUGAAAUUAUAUGAUGAUCGAUAGGUAUGUAAUUUUGUAGUAAUAUUUUAUUUGAUCAUUUAUUUUUUGGUAUUCCGUGAAAGGUGUGCAAAAUUAGAUAAUAUUUCUCUGAAACUUGUAUUCCUUCUGCGAAACAUCACAUGCUGAGAGCUUCGACUAAACUAGUUUCAAUUGUACGUCGACUAAACUAUCUGCUUAUUCUACGAUUAAUGCCAACUUUGAUGAUAUCAAGGCAGAAACAGAGAAGUGAAAGAGUGAAAGUACAGCCAUUCAGCGCAGAGUUUCUGAGACGAAAGCAAAGUGUAAGAGAUUGAAGAGAAGGCUGAGACCAGUGCGAAACUAGAUCAUUACUCAAGUCUCAUCACUAACCUCUUAGAUGUUUUGUUUCUGUAGGCUACACUGGUUGGUUCUAAUCACAAAACUUAGGAUUCUACUGGAAACAUGUUGUUCAAAAAAUUGCACAAUUCAAUCUUUAUUGUGGCUACCCAGACCGAAAUAAAUGCUCUAUUUGGUUUCACUUUGAAUUCUGCAAAUUUGUGAACAACAAUUUCCAGCAAGAUCCUCAAUUUGUGAUUAUAACUGAUGACGGUAAUCUAUAGAAGGAGAAAUCAUUUAGGACAUCAGUGAAAGAUUUGAGUAAUGAUUAUUCUUACCAACAAAUUCAUCAAUUUGUCAUGCAGACAGUAGACUCAAUUUACAAAAUUAUUUGUGGAUUGCUACAUCAAUUAUGUUGACAGAAAAGUUGAAGUUUGUUGGAAAACAAAGAGCAUUGUUAUUUGAACAGCUGCAAGAUAUUCGGAAGACAUGCAGAAAUAUGGGUAUUGCUUAUGCUAUAGUGCCAUUGCAGCAUAAAAUUGACAGCAAUGUUUAUGCAACAGUACUGUCUUUUUUUGUCUUCUUAGUGUUUUGCUGAUACACAAAUAUCAUUUUCCACAAACAAAACAUGUAAUAGCAUGCUCCAGGAGCAGUUUCUUACACUCUUGAAGUAGCCUACAAUAAGAUCAAAUCGAACAUUCUCCCUCAAUUUAGUGUUCUAAAACUGAUUUAUAUCUUAACAUAGAAAUGCAAUCUAAAAGCACUAUUAACGAAAGCUCUUCUUGUUUGCAUUAAAAACCAAGAAGAGCUUAUUGUGGUGGGGGGUGGGGGGGUGUGGGGGGGAAAGAGAACCUCAGUCAAAUAAGAUAAAAUUACUUUGGAUGGGUUAUUUACUGUCUAAAAAAAAUUCUAAACACUAUUAUAUUUUAUUGGCUCAUCUAGUAAAUUUAAAAUUUUUAUUUUGCAUACUCUAUUAAAUGUAAAAAACAAAUAUCAUCACACAAAACGACAUGAAACCAUCUAUGUAGCAUCUGAAAUGAGGCCAUUUUUCUGUAUAAUUUUUGAGGCAUUGUAUUAUAUGGAGCUUGAUUUCUUUCUCUUUAUCAAGGGUAAGAUGGCGUUGGCGAUCAAUAGGGUCCCCCUGUUUCUUUGUUUUCAUUAAUAUUACUUCGAAUCCGCUUUCAGGUUGAGUGUCUAAAGAUUUUAUUAAACUUGUGUUUAGUUAAAUGUAUUGAAUUUCUGGAGUAUUUGGUAGUUAAUGAUGAAACUCGGCAUUAGAUGAACUUACAAUCAUUCUAAUGAUAAAUGUUUUUGUCAUCGAAAGUCAUUGAGUAUUAUUGCGGCAGUAAGCUACGUUGAACUAGCAUUCAAGAUAUAACUAUCAAAACAUGUACGUGAUUGCCACUGGUAUUAAAAUCAAAACAUUCAUGCAAUGAUUAAUGAUCUUAAAUUUAAGGUUAAAAAUGACCUAAUCAAUUUCAGCAACUACAUCCAAAUGAUUUUGGUUUUGAUGUUUACAAAUACAUGUAACAUAUAUGUAUUUCUUUUAAAAAUUAUCAUAUGAUUAAUACUUAUAUUUAAUUCACACACACAUCAUUCAGCUUUUGGAAUUCGUCAUUUGGGUCCUCACGUGUAAGCAUCACGUGCACCACUCAUUCUGAGUUUCUAACCAAGUCAAAGUUCAGUUAAAAUUCUUUGCAGCAGGAAGGUGGUGUGGUUUGGUGACUGGUGAAUAGCUCACUCAACUUGUGAACCGUGAUUAGUCAAAUAAUCAAGUACACGUUUCGAAGAAUAACCUCGGAAGGUCUGUCCAGUGUCCACUGUCCAGUAUGAUGACAUGUCAGCAACGUUUUACAACAGGAUCAAGAAGCAGCUAUGGUGUAAGCAUGGUAGUGACAGCGUAGAAGCUGUGUAUGCAUAUCACCCGUCUGUUGAAAUGCUCGCAGUAAUCAAACCUCUUAUAACACUGCUUCAUCUGUCAAGUCAAAUUUUCCUCGGAGUCAAGAAAUGGAGAACUAACAGGUAUGCAUUUCUUAAACCAUUAUUAUAUUCAAACACAAGGAUUCGUAUAAAAGCAUAUCGUUAUUAUAUUCAAACACAGGGAUUCGUGUAAAAGCAUAUUAAUGAAUAUGAAUCUGAUCGCUUUAAACUUUAAUUAACAUGAAACUAAGCAUGACGGAAUCAGCAUUUCUUGAUUUUCUUCAAUUAGCAGAUGCGUGAAUAUGCUCGUGUUUGUGCCUUGUAUUCAUAUAAACGAAAACCUGGUCUAUAAUUCAAUAGUUUAUUAUAUUAUUGGAAUUAAAUAAGUAUAAAAGUGUCCCGGAUGCAUGAUCAGUGAUCACAUCACAAGCCUUGUUGUGCUUCAUCUCACGACGGCUGCUUUAUGUUUGCUUGAGUUGCUUCAUAUAUAGCAGUUAGCAGAUGGCCAAAGUUGGCAAUGGCAUGUGGCAAGCUUAGCAAUUAUAUUAAGCACCUGCCAAGGACACCAGGUUAAUUUUUAUCUCUCAACACUCUGUUUUGCACCGAGAUAUCCAAUAUAUACUGGUUUAUCAAAUAAUUGAUUAAUGCUGAUUGUAUCAGUCUCCUAAUUAGUUAAAUGUUGUUGAAGAUAUAGUUGCUGCUGAGCUGGACAGAGCUGCUGAGCUGGACAAGAUUGAAUGUAACUGAAUGACAUGUUUCAAGAGCUCAAUGGCUAAACUAAAUCUGAAGUUGUUAUUAGUUGUUUUGCAGUUGUUUAAUUAGUUAGAAUAAUUGUAUAUAAGCUUAGCUAAGUAAGCUUAAUAAGCAUUGAAUAUUCUGGUUAAUAAAAUCGUGAAGUUUCCUUUUUCAUUUUCUCUGUUUUUCUUUGUUUCCAAACAUCUUAUUAUGAAUUCUAAUAUGGUAUCAGAGCCACGAAACAUGACGAAUCAAAGCAAUUCAGGAUCGUCUUCACUUUCUUUUUCUUUUAUUCAACCAACAAAACUUGAUCGAACAAAUUAUCUGGUGUGGAGAGCUCAAAUUCAAGCUUCGAUUAUUGCCAAUGGACUUGAAGGUUUUAUCAAUGGAGAAUCUCCUUGUCCAGAUCGUUUUCUUUCCUCAUAUGAGAAUGCUGCCAGUAGAUCAGAAGCUCCUAGCUCAAGCAGACGUGAGAAUUCUGACUAUAUUGACUGGAAGAAAGCUGACAAGCUUCUACAGAGCUGGAUGCUGUCAUCUAUGGUAGACAAUGUACUUAUCAUGGUUGUGGAUUGUGAUACUUCACUUGAGAUCUGGGAGAAACUUGCCGAGAUGUUCAUGUCACAGUCAAAGGCUAGAUACAUGCCUCUGAAAAUACAGAUUCAAACCACAAAGAAAGGAGCUAUGUUAGUAAGUGAUUACUUCAAUAAGAUGAAAAAAAAAUUGCAGACAGCUUAGCUAUUGGUGGUAAUCCUCUUGCUUCAACAGAUUUUAUAAUGCAUUUGCUCACUGGUUUAGAUGACAACUAUGAGUCAUUAGUGACAACUAUACUUGCUAGGCUGGAAAAAGAUAAUCUCACUAUUGAAGAAGUGUAUUCCUUAAUGCUUAGUCAUGAAACUAGGGUUGAGAUGAGUAAGGGAAAGGUGCAAAAUGAAUUGUUGCAUGAUAUGUCAGCUAAUUUUGCUCAGAAAGGACAGAAUUACAAUAAGUUCAAUAAUGCUAAUCAGAGAGGUUUUAAUGGUGGAAAUUUUGAUAAUGGCAAAGGAGGAUAUAAUGUUGAUAAGGAAGUAAUUUGUCAAAUAUGCUUCAUACCUGGUCAUGGAGCAUACAAAUGCAGGAACAGAUUUAAUCAGAACUUUAUUCCUAGACAAGGAAGAGGUGGCUUUAGGCCUAGAGGUGGAUUCAAUUUUAGAGGCUUUCCUGGUCAGCCUCAGAACAUGUUUGGAAGAGGUUAUGGAAAUUUUUAUGGAACUGCAACUGGUGCUCCUAGAUAUAAUGCACCCAUGUUUCAAGGGAAUGUUGCAUAUCAGAAUGCAAAUGUUAUGUAUCCUCAAGGGUUUCCUGUGUUUCAAGGAUUACAAGGUCAAUACAAUGGUGCAAUUGCUACUCCAUUUGCUAACUAUGGAGUUGCUCCUUCUGCUAUUCCCACUGCACAAUUUGCUCCCACUGGUCCAGUUGCUGAUUAUGGAGUUGUAGCUGAUCCUGCUUGGUAUAUUGACUCCGGGGCAACCAAUCAUGUGACUAAGGAAGCAGGUAUCUUUUCUUCUUACUCAGUUUAUCAUGGUUUUGAUAAGCUACAUGUACGAAAUGGCAUGGGAUUACAUAUUAAACAUGUUGGGUGCACACGAUUGAAUACACUUGCUGCAACAUCUAUCUAUCUUAAUAAUAUUUUGCAUGUCCCAACUAUAACCAAAAACCUUUUAAGUGUAUCUAAAUUACUUGCUGACAAUGAUGUUGUUGUUGAAUUCCAUAAAACCUCAUGUUUUGUCAAGGACAAGAAAUCAGGGAUCAUCUUGCUCAAGGGGAUUGCUAGAGGAGGAUUAUAUCAAGUUGAAGGUCCUGUUGUAGUGUCUCAUGCUGCAGUUUCAAAUAGAGUUCCGUCUAAUGUUUUCUGUGUCAUCUCAAAUUCCAGUUCUGUGUCAAAUGUCUGUUCCUCUCCAGUGUCAAUGAUUAGUCAUUCCAAUGUUUCAAACUCUGUACAUUCUGGAGAAAUUUUGACAGAUGUAAAUAUUUCUCAAUUCAAUAAUGAUGCCUCAAUGGCCUUGUCUGUUACUCAUUCAAAAUCAGUUGAUUACAAUGUUUUACAUAAAAGAAUGGGUCAUCCAACUGUGCAUGCUCUUAAACAAAUUGUGAAGCAUUUGCAUCCUUCUCUCGAUAUCAAUAGAGCCCUGAAACCAAUUUUUUGUAAUGCUUGCCAAUUUGGAAAGUGUCACAUGCAGCAUUUUCCUUCUAUAGACACCACUACCAUUCAACCACUGGAGCUGUUGCAUGCUGAUCUAUGGGGUCCAGCUCCUUUGCUGUCCUCUCAAGGCUAUCACUACUAUCUUUCUAUCUUAGAUGAUUUCACUAGGUUCACCUGGAUAUUCCCUCUUGUUACCAAAUCUCAAGCCUUACAAACCUUUAUUGAAUUCCAGCAUAUGAUAGAAAAAUGCCUAAAUAGGAAAAUCAAGUGUCUUCAAACAGAUUGGGGAGGUGAAUUUAGGCCAUUUCUUCCUUAUCUUGCUGAGCAGGGAAUCCAAUUUAGACAUCCUUGUCCUUAUAUUCACCAUCAAAAUGGAAAGAUUGAACGCAAACAUAGACAUAUAGUGGAAACAGGCCUUACCCUUCUUGCUCAAGCACAUUUACCACUGAAAUUUUGGUGGAAUGCUUUCCAUACUGCCACAUUUCUCAUAAAUAGGCUCCCUACACCCAUUCUAGAUAACAAAUCACCUUUUGAAAAAUUAUUCAACAAAAGACCAGAUUAUUCUGUUAUGAGCGUUUUUGGAUGUGCUUGUUUCCCAUAUCUGAGGCCUUAUAAUCAUCAUAAGUUAGAGUUUCGAACUGCUAGAUGUAUUUUUCUUGGUUACAGCUCCCUUCACAAAGGCUACUUGUGUCUUCAUUCCUCUGGUAGAAUCUAUGUCAGUAACCAUGUUACAUUUGAUGAGUCAUGUUUUCCUUUUCAGUCAGGAGUUGAUUUUUCCUCUGUCAGUCACUCUUGCUCUUCUUCAGAUCAUUCAUCUCAGUCUUCUUCACAUUGUUCAUCUUCUGUUUGUCCUUUGAUUCAACUUGAUAUAACCAAGUCUUCAUCCUCUACAGCAGCUGAUCUCAGGUUCUCUCAAUCCUCUCCAGACUCUCCUUCUCAAUCUUCUAUACAAUCACACUCAGAACCAUCUACCUCACCUGUUCAUCAUUUAACUCCACCAUUGCAGUCAUCUACUGGUCAUCCAAUGCUCACUCGAUCAAAGGCUGGUAUCUUCAAACCUAAAGCCUAUAUUACAGCCAAUCCUACCAAACCUACAGAACCUGCUACUACCUCAAAAGCCCUUCAAGAUUCAGCUUGGCAUAAAGCAAUGACAGAUGAAUAUCAAGCCUUAGUCAAUAAUCAUACCUGGACUCUUGUCAAACCUACACAUCCCAUUAAAGUAAUUGGGAAUAAGUGGGUAUUUCGGAUUAAAUAUAAUCCUGAUGGCAGUGUCUCUAGAUACAAAGCUAGACUUGUUGCUAAGGGAUUUCACCAAACUCAAGGGCUGGAUUUUCAUGAAACAUUCAGUCCUGUCAUUAAGUCUUCAACCAUCAGAAUUAUCUUGAGUAUGGCUGUCAUGAAUCAUUGGGUACUGAGGCAAAUAGACAUUAAUAAUGCCUUCCUUAAUGGCUACCUCACUGAAGAAGUUUAUAUGCAACAGCCUGAGGGGUUUAUAGAUAGUUCCAGGCCUGAUUAUGUCUGUAAGCUGCACAAAGCCCUUUAUGGCCUUAAACAGGCUCCAAGGGCAUGGUUUGACAGACUCAAACUAGUUCUUACAACUCAGUGGGGCUUUACAAAUUCUAUUUCAGACACUUCACUCUUCUUUAAGAGCACACAAGGUCAUCUGCUACUUGUCUUGGUGUAUGUAGAUGAUAUUAUUAUUACAGGCUCCAAUCCUCAGCUUGUUCAGCAGACCAUCACCAACUUCCAGUCUGUUUUUGCACUUAAAGAUCUUGGUGCAUUGAAUUAUUUUCUGGGAGUUCAGGUCAUUUACAAUAAAUCUGGUAUUCAUCUUUCUCAAUCCAAGUAUAUCACUGAUUUGCUUGCCAAGGUGCACAUGCAGGAUAGUACUCCUUGUUCUACUCCUAUGCUUUCUGGAGUGGCUUUUACUAAAGCUGAUAGUGAACCCUUUUCUGAUGUUACUCUAUACAGAAGCACCAUAGGUGCUCUUCAGUAUGCAACAUUGACCAGACCAGAGAUUGCUUUCUCUGUCAACAAGCUCAGUCAGUUUCUAUCUUCUCCAACUGUCAAUCAUUGGCAGGCUUGUAAAAGGGUUUUACGUUAUCUGAAGGGUACUGUUAAUCUUGGUUUACAGUUCUACAAUCAUGGCAGCAUACAGAUUGAUUGUUUCAGUGAUGCUGAUUGGGCUGGAGACAGAGAUGAUAGGAGGUCAGUGGCUGGUUAUUGUGUCUAUAUGGGUCCAAAUCUAGUGUCUUGGUGCUCUAAGAAACAGGCAGUGGUCUCUCGAUCUAGUGCUGAGUCUGAAUAUCGAGCACUAGCAAUGGCAGCAGCUGAAGUCUUGUGGAUUCGUUCUCUUCUUGCUGAGAUUGGUCUUACUCUUCCCUCCAUUCCAAUCAUAUGGUGUGAUAAUCAAAGUGCAGCUGCUUUAGCCUCUAAUCCUAAGUUUCAUUCCAGAACAAAACACAUUGAAUUAGAUGUUCAUUUUGUUCGAGAGAAAGUUGCUGCUCAAUGUCUUAAGGUUCAAUAUAUUUCUAGCUCAGAACAAACUGCUGAUAUUCUCACCAAAGCUCUUUCUUAUCACCCUUUUCUCUACUUACGUGACAAGCUCAACCUUACUUCCUCGGUUGAGCUUGAGGGGGGAUGUUGAAGAUAUAGUUGCUGCUGAGCUGGACAGAGCUGCUGAGCUGGACAAGAUUGAAUGUAACUGAAUGACAUGUGGCAAGAGCUCAAUGGCUAAACUAAAUCUGAAGUUGUUAUUAGUUGUUUUGCAGUUGUUUAAUUAGUUAGAAUAAUUGUAUAUAAGCUUAGCUAAGUAAGCUUAAUAAGCAUUGAAUAUUCUGGUUAAUAAAAUCGUGAAGUUUCCUUUUUCAUUUUCUCUGUUUUUCUUUGUUUCCAAACAUCUUAUUACGAAUUCUAAUAAAUGUGAAAACAUUAUAUUAUAUACUAGUUGUAGUUGGUUGAUUUUUCUUUUAAUCUUCAUGUGAUACCAGAAUUAUACCAGUAGUCCGCAAGCUCGGGUUUCCAGCCGAUAUACCUCUGUAAUCAAAAACCUUUAAAACAUUUUUCUCAGGUUAUACAACCCAAAACAGACUUUCCUUUAGUCUAAAACAGGGUACCAAACCAGAUAAGAAAUGGUCAAAAGUUUUCUGAUGCACAGGAUCCUUACUAGAAGGCAAGUGCAGAGCAUACUUCCUUAGGUUUUCAAAAUGAACAAAUUUAAUCCUUUAUUCUUUUUCUUUCUUAGAACUUCAUUUGCAGAGAGAGAGAGGAGAGUUUAGAAAUUCAUGGAAGAAAGCACACGAGUUGUUAUUUCUGGAAAACUUCUAUAUUUUUCUAUCUCUUACAAGCAAGGGGAGAAUCCUUUAUAUAGAGGAGGAUUCUUGAGAAGAUAGGACAUGACCCCUAUCUUUUACAAAAGUAAAAGCAAAAGAUAAGAUAAGAUAGGAUAGGACCCCUAUCUUUUACAUAAUGGCACAACUUUAAUUAUUACAAAAGACAAAAGUGCUUUAAUAAUUAAAGCAUGACUUUGACAAAAGCAAAAGCAAAAGCUUAAAGUAAAAGCAAACUUUAAUAAUUAUGCAAGCAUAAAGCGAAACAUCAUUAUGACAAUAAGACAAACUACUUUAUGGAAAGCAAUAAGACAAACAACUUUAUGGAGAGCGGAGGUUCAUGUACUCGUCUUCGGAUGAGCUUUCGGUCUCAUCUGGGUUGUCAGGGUUGCCUUUUGGGAAAAAGAUCUUGGAGAGCUUUGGAUGCUUGCAGGAGGGACCACGGCAUGGUGGAUAAGGGCAAUUAUAGUCUCUGGGAGUACACUUUGGAGUAUACUUAGGGGAAGUUUGGGUGGCUUUGUCAACUUUGGAUGGUUGAGCGGGUCGUUUGGAGGAUUGAGUUGAGGGUCCUGGUUCAGAGGGGCCAGGUUCAUCCAUUGUCGGUUGGGGAAACUGGUGAAGGUGUUGGCUCAGAGGGAGAAAUGCAUCCCAUGGGUCUUGGGAAUCCUGGAACAGGAAAUCAGUGUAGUCUGGUUUUUCUUCUUUGAUGAUGAUACCUGUGGACUUUGGUUUGGAUAUGGCAGAUGGAGUGGGGAUCAUGAGGAGGUCAUGCUGUGGACCUAAGGAGGUGUGGGAGAUAUCUUUAAGUGGCGGAGGUUGGUGGUUCAAUUGGCAAAGGUAGUUGUGCAGGACAUCUUGUAUGUCAUUUUCAAUUACAGCUAUAUGUGGUGCAGUGAACCAUUCAUAUACCUGGUCUUGAGUCCAAAAGAGUUUGGUGUCUGGAUGUUGAAAGUAUGGCCUGUGAAUAAUAAAGACUGAUGUGAACAGUGGUGCUUCAAGGGCAGGCAUACGAUCAAGGUUGUAAAUUUCUGACAGUUGUUGGAGCUUCCUUCUCCACCAUGGUAUGGGGGAGAACCAUUCAAGUAAUGUCCAGGUAAGAGAGGUGGCUUUGUCUGGGUCAAGGAGAUGCUCCAAAGUGGGAGUAAUUGGUAGGACUAACUUAGUGGCAUAAAGGACUGUUAGGCACCAGAUGUACCAUAACACAUCUUCAGUGGUUUCUCUGGUUGGAUCAAGGGUUAAACCUGUAAGGAACAGAUUUUCUGGGUGGAAAGUGGAAAAAGGAAAAGGGUCUGUGACAAGGUAGGCUUUCAUGAAGAAGCGAAAAAGAGCUUUUCUUGCAAACUCUUGGAUGGCGAAGACAGAAGAAAAGGUUUUAUUAAAGGGAAAAGUUUUCUUGGUGAGAGCUUGUGGGGGUAGUGAAGUAGCCAUGGAGAUAAUUGGAAAAUGGUAGGUGGUGGAAAACAGGAUGAGAGGGUUUUCUGGUUUGGAGAGUCUGGAGAGCAUAUCAGGGAUGAGGUUCUGGGAUCCCUUUAUAUGCUUGACUGAAAAGUCAUAUUUAGAAAACCAAUCUUUUAAUCUGAGUAACAUUUUUUCGGGAACAGUUUUACCUUUGAAAUGAAAGAUAUUGGGGAAGGCUGAGCUGUCCAUUCGGAUGAGAAAAUGGUGUCCAAUCAAAUGAUACUCAAACUUUUUGAUGCCAUUCUUGACCGCUAAGAUUUCUUUGAACACGCUAUGGUAGUGCUUCUGUGUAUCAGAAAAAUGUCCACUAGCGUAAGCGAUAAAGUGUUCUUUUCCGUUGAUUUCUUCAAGGAGUAUGGCACCCCAUGAUUCAUCACUUGCGUCUGUUUGUAAGAUGCGCUUGCCAUCUGUAAUCAACUUUAAAGGAGGCGGAUUUUGCGCAAUCUGCUUUAGGGUAGUGACAGCAAAUGUGUGGUCAGCAUUCCAUUCUGGGGGCUUCUUUUUCAAUAAAGCCGAGAGAUGGUGAGUGUAAUGAUCCACGUGGGGGAUGAAAUCACGGAUGUAGUUGAUGAUGCCGAGAAACUGUUGAAUUUGCCUUUUGGAAAGUUGCUGAUCUGGAAAGUGAAGCAAUUCUUGGGCAAUGUGCUUUCCUGGCUGGUAGUGUCCAUCUUUUAUGAUCAUACCAAGGAAUUCAACAUUAUCUGUAGCAAUGAUGCUUUUCUUGGCCGAUAACAUGAUUCCAUGACUUUGGAGAAUAUCAUAGAAUUGAGUUAACAGCUGGCGAUGUUCAUCAUGUGAGCCUGAAAAAAGCAAGAUAUCAUCAAUAUAAAUCAAUGCAUGAUGCAAAAUGGGUUGGAAGAUUUGGACCAUGGAUUUUUGGAAAAUGGAUGGGGCAGUUUUGAGACCAAAGGGUAAGACGGUCCAUUGAAAGUGGGCAUUGGGAAUACAAAAAGCGGUUUUGUAGCGUUCGGAGGGUUCAAUGCCUAGUUGCCAAAAACCUGAUUUUAAAUCAAAUUUUGAAAAGAUCUGGGCAUUUUUGAGAAAAGUGAACAUGCUUUGUCGGCGAGGUAAAGGGAAUUUGUCAUCUUGUAAAAACAUGUUUAAUGGCUGGUAGUCAAUGACUAGGCGUUUCUUUCCUCGGACAAUUUCAGAAUGCUUUUCAACAUAAAAGGCUUGGCAAGCCCAUUGAGAACUUGUGGGCUCAAUUAAACCUUGGGCUAACAAUUGUGAACAUUCUUGUUGGGCUAGGAGUAAGUCAGAAGGACUCAUUCCUGGAUGGGUAGCUUUAGUUGGGUUAAUGUCUUCAUUGAGUUUGAAGGGUAACUUAAUGAAGAAAGACUUAUUUUUCCACAAAGGAUUUGGAUGGGUGAACUCGGAAUGGGACUCUGGACAGAAACUCAAAAGUUUGGUUGAGAUAUCCUGGUAAGACUGGGGAGUUUCAGACAAAUUGUAGAGUUUCAGAAUGUCUGUGAAUGGUUUGAACAUGGACUUGACACGGAUUCCAGUGGGAAUGAUUUGGAGGUGUUUGAUUUGGUGAAGGACUUCAAAUCCUAACAAGAUAUCCUUAUUAGGAAGAGUUGAACCAAUAACCUUGGUCCAAAUGACACAAUUGGGGAAGAUUUGAAUACCAACGGGUUUCUUGGUAAUCAAAGAGGUGGUAAAGAGUUUGCCAUUGAUAGCUUUGAAAUGUUCUUCAGAUUGGGUCCAAUAUUCGGAUGGAAGAAUAUGGGGGUUUAACAUGCUGCGUUGGGCGCCAGUAUCUAUAAGACCAAUUGCUGGAAUGGGCCUUUGGAAUUUUGAGGGUAAGAUCUGGAGUUUGAUGGAUGGGAUAGGAACUGUAGUAUCAAGGGAGAGUGACUGUUGAUGGAAAAUCACUUGAGACUGGUCACUGUCUGAAUCAGAGGAAUUCUGUAGUGCGAACACUGUUUCAUCAUUGGGUUCAUCUUGUUCAGAGAAAUAGAAUUCCAGCUCAUCUUUGGCAGGAGAGUAGUCGGUAGUUGCUUGAAGAUGCUCAACUAACCGGAUGGAUUUUUCUCUGUUGUUGGGGCAAUCUUUGGCAUAGUGGCCUUUUCUCUUGCAGAUGAAACAUCUGCUUGAUUGCUUUCGUUUGAAUUCUCUAGAGGAGGAAGAUUUCUUUCUGAAGAACCGGUAGGGCUUUCGGGAUCUGCGAGGCUUGGAGGAAAAUUCUGGAGGUUUGAAUUUCCGAAAAUGCCGUUUUUUCUUUGAACUGCAAUCGCAAUCUUUUUUCUUGUGGCAUUUGAUCUGCAAAUAAGGCUUUUUGCAAGCACUUCGGAAAGGUUCUUUGUCUUUCAACAGUUCUUUGAAAAACUGUUUUUGCUCGCAAAGUUUGUCAAGACAAGUUUUGGCAAGCUGAAAGAUUUUGCCAAGAGAGAUGUUGUCUAGGGAAAGAUUGGAUGCUGUGAGUUGUCUCUGGAUGUUGGGUUGGAGUUCUUCGGGGAGGGAAGCCAGAAAGACAUGCUUUAAUGUCGGCUCGUUGAAUCCAUUAAGCUUAUAGAACAGCAGGGACAUCCGCUUAUAAUGGAAGUCAAGAUCCUUAGCAUUGAGGGAGCAGCAUUUCAUGUUGAGAUAAUCUCGUCUGGCAGCUUCAAAGACUGCAGAAGGGUCUCCAAGGAAUUGAUCAUGAAGUACAGCAAGAGCACUUGAGACUUCUGGGAGAUCAACAAACUGUAGUUGGCGGUAUUGUCCUAACGAAUCAAACCAAUCUCUUAGAGCACCCGUGAAACGAGUAGCAAAUUCUCUAAGGACUGAUUGAGUUGUUGCUCCUGGUCUUAGCAUCUGGAGGUCAAUCCAGGCAGACAUUUCAUUGAGUCGGUCACGCCAUUUAUGAGAUGGAAGAUCAUCAAAUGUGAACCAUGGACCAUUUGACGAUUUGUGGCUCGAUGGAUUGGUCUGGGUUGGAGGAGGUUGGUUUGUGGCAGAAGAUUCAGGCAUUUCUUCUUCAAGUUCGGAGGGAAUAUCAACAUAUGGUUCUGUAUGAGAGGUUUGGCCUUGGGUAGGUUGAUCAGGUUGAGCCAUCAGGAUUUUGGUGAUAUCAGCAUAGGACUUUUCAGAGUCACUGGUGGAUACUGAAGAUUCUGUAUCAGUUUCGGUAGGGCUAUCUGAAACAGCUGGAUUUGAAUCAGAAGUGUGAUCGACUGUAGUAGAUGAAUGGGUGACUGUGUGAGCAGUAAACUGGUGCAUGGGUUCUUUAUCUUUUGAUUGGGUAGGGACGAAUAAAGGAGCUGGUGGUAAUGUUGGUGCAGAAGUAGGAGAUGGUUGGCCAGGGAUGGUCAGUGAGGAGGGAUGAAGAGGUGCAGGGCGAGGCUGCGGUCUAGGUUUGGGUUUAGGUUUAGGUGGUGGCGGCAAAGGAUUGUCUCUGAAAAGAGUAUGAGUCAUACCAAAUAACUUGGAAGGGUCAUACUGUUUAAUAGGAGAAAGCAUAGAGGCAAAAGGAUGAUAAGUUGGACCGAUGAAAGGGAUAGGAGGUGAAGUGGUGAAAAGGGUAGGUCUCUGUUUUUCAGAUUCAAUCUGAGCAAGUUCAGCUUUUAAGCGUCUGAUUUCCCUUUCUUUUUGGUCAAAUUCGGGGCCUGAGUAACGAUGGGCAAGCAUGGCUUGUAACUCAGAGUCAAGUUGAGAAAUUCUGGACUGGAGGUUUUGGUAUAUCUGCUGCAUCUGUGCAGUGAUGGAGUCAACUUUUGUCUCAAUCUCCACGACAGAGCUGAUUUAAAGACUUGGCCCAACUCAUCCCUCUAUGUUCAUUAAAUGUUAAUAUUUUUCUGCACCAAGGUUGACUUGAUGGUGCUUUAUUUUCAAUUUUUUCAUUGAAUUGUAUUUUUGGUUAAAUAUUGACAAAAAAAAUUAAGAAAGCAAUCAGCUCUUGUAACGUACUCUGUUCUGUCUUCCACCAAAAAUAUAAUCAUUUAUUACCUCUAUUUUAUCAAAUAAUCAUGAUUAAUGCUGCUGGGAAAGCUCUAUUAGUCUUUCUUUUGAUAUAUCUUUACCAAUCUCGUCAGCUGUUGCUUUUCUUUUAACGUGGUGGUUGUUUGUAUUUGAUGAUCCCAAAAUAUACGCAACGCAAUAUAGCAAUUGCCGCUUUCCAUGAUUUGUCUUUUUGGUUGACUUUAACAUGAUUUAGAAUUGUCGAUUCCGCAUUAAUGCGUAUAAAUUAUUAAGUAGGUUAUGUGAUCUUUCAUUAUCAUCGCCUAGUCUCCAAUUGUGUGCGUUAUUUUCUUUUUGAAAAUGAUUCACGAAAUCAAAUUACUGAUAGAGGUCAUGAAUGUCCUGCUCCUGCAUUUUCUUAAUCAUCCCACUUCUCUCAAAUUCUCCGAAAUCCCUUAUACGUCUUCUGGUCCCGUUUUCAUAAUAAUCGUUGUCCUAAACCUUCUUUGCAGAUCUUUCACUGUGCUCCCUUUUUCUUAUUUCUAGCUUUUUGCUUUUCUUUUUCACAUGGUCUUUGUUUAUAUUUGAUGUCCCAAAUAUACACGUUAACGCAACCAUUUGUGACAGCGAAUAUUUUUACCUAGUUGUUGGAUUGUGGCUUUCUAUGUUUUGUCUUUUUGGUCGACUUUAACAUGAUUUAGAGCUUUUGAACGCGUCUUCCAAGUGCACAUGCCGAGUAUAUCCACUGUUCGAUGAAAUGCCCAUUUGAAUAAUUUGAGGACCCACGAGGCCACGCCACUGGUAUUAGACUAAUUGGAAAAGAAAAAAAGAAAAAAGAUAAUAAGUACAACUGUGAUGCAUUUUCACAUUAACUUUACAAAGUCUGGUUAUAAAUUUAUAAUUUUACGCACAUGAAAUCACCAAAGUAUUAUUUAAUUUAACUCUUCUCAACUGGGGACGUGAGUUUGAUUCAAGUAGUAUUAUCACUCAUAUAAUUUAUUAAUGAGCUCUUUUCCUGUCAUCUAAUGCUGAUGCUUGUAUAUUCUAUUCUACCAUUCGAUUUUUUUAUGUCUAGUGCUUGUAGAUCAAUUGAUUAUAUGCUUCAUACUUGAUGGAGUGAAUAUAAUACAUAAGAUUUUCAUUCAGUUAUAUGCAGAUAUGUUAAACUUUGGUUUAUAGGCUAGAUCGUCACUAAUUAUUCAUAGUACGUGAAGCCUCUAAUACAACAGUGAUAAGAUUUGAAGUAUUAGUUGCUCUGCUUAAUCAAAUCAUGACAAAUAAAUACGGUUGCAGGGCUGGGUACUUGUUGGUUGUUCCGUUGAGUCAACACAAAACAAAAAAAAAAAAAUCAUAAAAAUGAAUGGCAAGAAUAGGAAUGAAAUCAUCCACAGAAAUAAACACAAAUGUAAUCAAAUCAUUGAACACUCUUGCUCUAAGUUUUCUUCUUUACUGAUUCUUUGUUUUGUUCAUUGUUUGAUCAUUGAUUCUUGUUAAGCUUUCUGUCACUUCUUGUUUGGGAUCUGCUCUUGGGUCCUUCAAGAUUGUGUUCUUGGUUCAAUUGAGCUUUGGGAAUAGCCAUUACAUCCACGACAUGGAAGUAAUAGUAAAUAUAUAACAUCAUUUUUAUCUUCCAAUCACAAGUUACAAGAUAUAAAAUUCCCAAGGAAAAUUAAAAAGGUAAAAUUAUCUUACAUCACCUGUUGAAAAAUGAAAUAUUUUAUCCAUGUACGUAAGCGAAAUUUUGAAGGAAAACGAGAAAGAAGAAAUGGUCAAUUUCGCAGAACAACAGAGAGAUUUUGGUAGUUUCCUCCAUAAAUUUAUCACCCCAUUAUCCUCAAUUGAUAUCAGUAACACUCAAAUCUAUCCGAAAUUCUUUACAAUCCCUAAUAUAUUUAAAAGGGUUUAAUUUUGACUUUUUAAUAACUUCCAUUAGGCCAAGCAUAUUUAGUUUCUUGAAGAUUUAUUCCUGAAAAAUCCUCAAUUGUUUAUUAAUCAAGAUAGAGUUCGAGUUUAAUGAUAAAAUGAUCAUGAUUUUAAUUUAAAGAUAUGAGCCCAAAAUCCUACCGUUUACAUAUUAAAAUCACUUGAUUAUCAUAUAUUACUCAAUAAUCAAAGUUAUUUAUUACACAUCAAAGUUAAUCACUUGAUUACUUGAAAAAUGCCGGCGGCACUUGCAACUCCCUGGAACCUUCGUGUAAGUUUUCGAGUUCAUCAACUGUUGGAUAAAAUGCCCAUUUGAAGAAACUAAUAGAAAAUUGAGAUCCUCUCUUGAAUAGAGUUUACCCUUGAAAAAUAAGUAUACAUUAUCAUUCAUGUAUUGUCAAAAUUUGAGCUUAAGAUCCAACUAUUUACAAAUUAUUAAUUAUUUUUGUUGGUGAAAGCAAAUUGAUUAGAAGAAUGUGGCAAUAAGAAGAUAAAAAUGCUUGCUCAAAUACUUUGCCGUGUGUUCUUACUUACAAAUCCACCAGCUUAGCUUUUAAUCACAUAAAUAAGUCAUCAUCAUCACUAGAUUAUCGUAUAUUACACAAUUAUCAAAGCUAAUUAUUGAAACCUUUCUUUCAAAGAAAAAGAAUUAUUGAAACCUUCCGAGUUUGAAAAUGCCGGCAGCACUCGCAACUUCCAGGAACCUUCGUGCAAGUGUAGAUGCUGAGUACAUCCAACCGUUCGAUUAAAUGCCGAAGUGAUUUCGAGGAACCCACACGACCACACAACAGGUUUUUUUUUUUUUUUUUUUUUCAUUUUAUUUGUACAUCUAUUUCUUGAAAAAAUAAAAAAUCAUAAAGUUCAGAUUACCCUUGAGACUUGAGAUGACAACUGUCUGCCUCUGCAUUUUCCUAAUCAUCCCUCUUCUCUAAUCUCUAGAGUCCUCUGAAAUCUCUUCUUCAUUUUCUGUCUCCCUUUUUUGAAUCGUUCUUGUCCUCGAUCCUACACCUUCUUUGCAAAUCUUUCAUUUAUUGUACUCGCUUUUCAAUUUGUCUUAGCAGAAAAAGGAUUCCCCUUUGUUUCAUCUCUAGAUUUUUCACUCUUUUCCUCUCCUCCUCCCUUAAAUCUAUUCAACCUCUUAUUUUAGCAAUUUAUCCAAACUUCUUUUUUCCCUCUUCCCAGCUGAUUGAUUAGUUCUGCUUAGUUUGAUUAGUUUUGCUUUCCCCUGUAUUCUGAAAGCGAAAAAUAAAAAAAAGAAAGGGAUAAUGGAUAUUGCUACCUCCGCAGUUGCGAAAGUUGCAGAGUACUUGGUUGAUCCCAUAAUUCAUCCAUUUACUUACUGCUGCACUUACAAGACCAACUUCGAGAAGCUGAAUAAUGAAGUCGAUAAGCUAAAGAAUUCUAGAGACAGUAUGCAGCAUAAGGUUGAUGAUUCCAGAAUUAAAGGGGACGGAAUUCAACAGCACGUUGAGGAGUGGCUGAUUGCUGCGAACAAGGAGAUCAAUGAAGUCGAAACACUUAUUGAAGACAAAGAGAAUUCAAACAACCGGUGUUUGAAGGGGUUAUGUCCUAAUUUGAGGACUCGGUACCAGCUUAGCAAGAAAGCAGAAAGAGAGACGAAUGCUAUUGUUGGACUCCAUGAAAAAGGGAGAUUCGACAGUGUUUCUUUCCGUACCAUUCCAGAGGAGACAUGGCUUAAGUUUACCCAGGAUUUCAUGCACUUUGAAUCGAGAAAGUCCACUUUUAAGGAGAUACUAGACGCACUCAGCAACCGUGACUUCAACAUGAUUGGGGUGUACGGGAUGGGCGGCAUUGGAAAGACAACGCUGGUGAAAGAAGUUGGCAGACAGGCAAAGGAAAAUAAUCUCUUUGAGAAGGUUAUUUCUUCACGUGUUUCGCCAACACCGCAAAUAAAAAAUAUACAAGGAGAAAUCUCAGAGAAGAUAGGCUUAGAAUUGGCUGAACAGAGUCAUGAAACUGUAAGAGCAGAGAGGCUGCUUGAAAGAUUGAAGAAAGAGAAAAAGAUCCUUAUAAUCUUGGAUGAUAUUUGGGGGGUCUUGAUUUGGAGGCGAUUGGAAUUCCAUUGGCAGAUGAUAAUAGCGGAUGCAAAGUUCUUCUGACAGCAAGAAGUCAAGAUGUGUUGUCCUGUAAGAUGGAUUGUCAACAAAAUUUUUUUGUUGAUGUUCUGAAUGAAAAAGAAGCUUGGAGUCUUUUCCGGAAGAUGACAGGUGAUUGUAUAGAAAAUGGUGAACUGAAAUCUGUAGCAACAGAGAUAGUCAAGGAAUGUGCUGGUUUGCCCAUUGCCAUUGUACCCGUAGCCAGGGCACUAAGAAAUAAGAGAUUGUUUGAAUGGAAGGAUUCCUUGCUGGAAUUAAGAAGGCCUUCCUUCAGAAACAUCAGUGGAACACUGGAGGUGGCAUAUAAAAGUAUAGAGCUGAGUUACAAUCAUUUAAACAGGGAGGAGCUCAAGAGAACGUUGUUGCUUAUAGGGUACGCGUUCAUCUCUUGCGUUAAAGACGUGCUUUAUCAUGGCAUGGGUUUGGGUCUGUUUCAAAACAUCAACACGUCGGAAGAGGCGUGGGAUAGAGCACAUACAUUGGUUGAUAAACUCAAAAAAUCUUGUUUGUUGCUUGACGGUAAUACAAGUGAACGGUUUUCUAUGCAUGAUGUUGUUCGUGAUGCAGCCAUAUCAAUUGCAUCUGGAGACCAACAAGUGUUUGUGGUGGAAAGUGAGGUUGCUCCGCAGAUCAGCUGGCCAGAUAAGGAAAAACUAAAGGUUUGCAUCGCAAUCUCCUUAAUUUAUAGUAAUAUUAGUGAGCUUCCUCAAGGUUUCGAAUGCCCGCAACUUAAAUAUUUUCGUAUUGGCAAUGAUCCAUCUUUGAGAAUCCCAGAUAAUUUUUUUACUGGGAUGACUGGGCUUAAAGUUUUAGAUUUCACUGAGAUGCAUUUAUUGCCAUUGCCUUCAUCGCUUGGUCUCUUACAAAACCUUCAAACACUGUGUCUGGAUUACUGCAACCUAGGAGACAUCGCUAUUAUCGGAGACCUAAAGAAAUUAGAAAUCCUUUCACUUCGAGGUUCUGAUGUAGAGAAACUGGUUGGAGAAAUGGGCCAGCUGACUCAAUUGAGGUUGUUGGAUAUGAGCAAGUGUUUCGAACUAAAAGUUAUUCCACCAAAUGUUAUAUCAAGCUUAUCUCGAUUAGAAGAACUGUAUAUUGGUGAGAGUCCCAUUCAGUGGGGGAAGGUUGAAGGGCUCGACAGUGAAAGAAGAAAUGCUAGCCUUCAUGAGUUGAAUCAUUUAUCUAAAUUGACCUCUUUAGAAAUACUCAUCCAAGAUGAAAAGACUCUACCAAGCGACUUGUUGUUCUUCAAAAUCCUGAAAAGGUACAGGAUAUUCAUAGGAUAUCUGUGGUCGGAUGACCCAAUAUUGGAUGGGUUUUCUAGAAAAUUCAAACUGAAAAUCACCAAUGGUGCCAACAUUUGCCUGAACGAGGGGCAUAUCAUGCAAUUGAAGGGUAUUGAACACCUAUCUUUACAUGGAUUGCUGGACAUGAAGAAUGUUCUUUGUGAACCUGGCAGAGAAGGUUUUCCACAGCUGAAGCAUCUCGAAGUCCGAGAUAAUCGCAGCCUUUUUUGUGUUGUUGACAGAGUGGAUUGUGCAACAGCGCUGACAGCGUUCCCCCUCUUGGAGUCAUUAUUUCUGGAAGAUUUGGGUAACCUAGAGAAAAUAUGUCGUGGUUCACUCACAGCAGAGUCCUUUUGCAAAUUAAAGAACAUAAGGGUGCAAAGGUGUGAUAAAUUGAAAAAUGUGUUUCCAUUGCCCAUUGGCAGAGGCCUUCAACAACUUCAGUCCAUUGAAGUGACAAAAUGCCAGAAUAUGGAAGUGAUUUUUGCUGCCGAUAGAGGAGAUGAAUCCAGCAAUAAUAACACUCAAGUGAUUGAACUCACUCAAUUAAGGACACUUGAACUUGGUUCUCUUCCGCAGCUUACAAGCUUCUGCACAGGAGAUCUGCAUUUUGAAUUUCCAUCCUUGAAACAAUUAACAAUAAGGGGAUGUCCCCAUGUGAAAUUUAAAAGCACUAUUCAUGAGUCCACCAAAAAGGUACGUGCAAGACUGUUGUAAUUAUUGUUCAAUUCUUACGUACUUAAAAGUAUUUCUACUUGAGAGUUUAGAGCUUUAUUGUCGUCAUAUAUUGCCCUCAUCAAUUUGUCUUUUAGUAACAAAAUGUUAGUUCUAUAAAUCAGCUUAUUUAUACUAAUAUAAUAUCCUUAUAAACAUAAUUAUCAAUAUUCGAUAUAAACAUAAUUAUCAUUCUUCAAUAAUUCUUCUCAUUAUCGAAUAUUGAAUCGGCUACAACCAUAGAUGGAUUUGGAUGUCAGUUAGAAAGAAUGAAUACAAAAUUAUUUAGUAUUUUUUUUCCUUCUCGUUCAAUUUUUUUCUCUUAAUUAUCAGAUUUUUUCUUCUUCGUCUACUUUUUAGUUUAUGUCUAUAUGUUUAGUUAAAUACACGAAAGAGACUCUGCAUUUGAUUAGCCAAACGAAGAAAAUACUCAAAAUAUCUACGGUUUUUCAAGCCACAGUUAAUUCCCUGAUAAUCUUUUAAGAGCUAUUUAAAAUUAGUAGUCCUUACUACAGUAUUGUUACAUACAAAAUGAUUGUCAAUUUUGAUGUUGAAGAAGAAAUUGGUCAUUUUGUGUUAACAAAAAUUAUAUUUUUAAAAAUAUAAAGAGAGAGAUGGACAAAACUCAAAUGAAGAAACCUUAUCUUAUUAAACUUUAUGUACAAGAAAAUCCAUUCUUGUACAAUAGUAAAUAUAUCCAAUUCCAUUGAGUUGGAUGAAUAUUAAUGAAAUACCAGCUUCUUACUAUAUUAUUAAACUUUUUAAAAUCAAGUUAUUUAUUCAUUUUUGCUCUUGAAAAGAAAAAAGUUAAAAAAACCAAUUAAAAAAAAAAAAGAAAUUUGUAAGAUUUUCAACUAAAACCAAAUAAGCGGAUCGAUUAAAAGAAUCUAGAAGUUCAAAUGCAAUUUGAGAAUAAUUGAAGUCUUUUUUGUAGACAUUAUGCACAAAUCUAAUAAAUUUUGAAAGUUAAGAAGAGAGGAUGAAAAAAAAAAAAUACACAUCACUUACUAUAUUUGAAAAAAAAUAAUAAUAAUUACCGCUGAAAAUCAUACUCUCUCUACAUAUCCAUAAAUUUGUCCGGCCAUCAAUAUUCAUCAUUGAAAUGCUUUGUAUUUACUUCAAUUUUUGAAAUCGUUAGAAAGAAGAUUUAACUCCCUCUUGCUUUUUUUUUUUUGUUAUUGUUGAUCACCCAGAUGUUCCCCAAUUUGGAAGAUUUGAGUAUUGAUGAAAAGUACAUAGGUCUAUUUCCAGAAGACUUGCUUUGCAAACUUAAACUUCUUGAUGUCUGGAUUGAUGAGUCAACAGCUAUUUUAUCACUCGACGAUUUCCUCCAGAAAUUUCACACAACCAAAAUUCUCAUUAUAGGAGGAGACGAGUAUAUUUUUAGACUAGUUAGAAAGGUUGAAAACGGGAUGAAGGCAAUGAUAAGAGGAAUAAACCGGCAUCGUGGUCUGAAGCAAAUUUUGAAACAAGAGUCCUCCAAUGCCAACAAUUUGGAAAACCUGGACAUAUGUGACUGUCACAAUUUGAUUAAUCUAGUGCCAUCCUCGACAUCGUUUCAAAAUCUAACUACUUUGAUGGUAUAUAAUUGCAUAGGAUUGAUAAAUGCACUAACAUCCUCAAUUGCAAAGAGUCUGGUGCGACUGAGGGAAAUGGGCAUAGGUAGAUGCAAGAUGAUAAUAGAAAUAGUGGCAGAUGACGGUGCUGAGGGAGAUAAUUAUGCAGCAAAAAAUGAAAUUGUUUUCAGCGAAUUGAAGGAAUUGCUGCUCUGGAACUUAGAAAGUCUGACAGGAUUCUGCUCUGGCAAUAAUUGCGCCUUCAAAUUCCCAUCUCUGGAAAGAUUAGUGGUGGAUAAUUGCCCCAAUAUGAACAUUUUCUCAGGAGGAGAAUUAAGCACACCCAAGUUACACCAAGUGCAGCUUAAACGGUGGGAUGAUGAAGAAUGUUGGACUUUGGAUCGCGACCUUAAUACAACCAUUCAAUACCUAUAUCUUAAAAAAAAGGUAUGUAUUCAUUCAAUACGAGAUGUUGAUUUUUUGUAAAAGUUUGAUUCAAUAACGGAUAUAUAUAAAAAAGGAAAAAGAAAAAGUACCCAUCAAAUUUUUGACAAAUUCAUUUUAAAUCUGAUUAGGAAGAGAAGGAAAAAAAAGAAUGAGACGUCCAACAAGGCUAAUGAAAAGAAGGAAGAUGCAAAAGACAGUGGCAAGGUAAAAUCCAUACAAAUUGGGAGGUUUUGAUUUUAUUUUUGUGCUAAUUAAAUACGUUUUAUUUAUGUUAAAUCACAUUGGUACAUCUUUUUAAAACAUAACUACUCUGUUGUAUUGUUAUGUUGAAGAUUAGUUGUUAGAUAUGAUAUAGCGAACAAGAAAUUGAAAAAAAAUGAAAGUAAUUGCUUAUAGAGAGAAUUGAAGGAUUUCUGUGUUCUUAAGCAUUAACUGGUUAUGAUGGAGGCUAAUUUGUGCAAUUUAAUUAUGUGAAAACUACACCUUCAAUGUGUUUUUGCUCUUUGUUUAUAGAGAGUCCAAACUUAUGAAGACGAUUCGGGCCAACCUUCUGUGCAGCAUCUAGAAUAAGGCCUCGAGUUCUUUCUAUAUACUAAGAGUCAGAUGGCGUUGGUGAGGGGACCUUUUGUUUCUUUCUUCAUUUCGUUAUUAUGCUUCUUGCUUUGUUUGAGUAAUUAGAAAUCUAAUUUAUUAUGCUUCUAGCUUUGUUUGAGUUCUUCGAAAUCUAAUUUGAAGCUAGUUUUAUUUCUCAUGGAUGGUGUCCAAGAGCUACCAUGUUCAAUUUGGAUUCAACCGAAAGAGUAUUUAAGCCUUGAAUUAAUUAAAGAGAUGAGUGUAUCAUAUUUGUGUUUGUGCACUUGUUAUUGAUGUAUUGAAUAAUGUAGGAAGUUAAUUUACAUUAUUUGAGGUAAUAUAGAAUUUUAGAAUAUUUAUUGUUUUAGGAUUUUCUAUUUUAGUUUGAGUCAAUUUUGGUAUAUAUCUUAGUCUUUUAUUUCUAUUAUAAUUGUGAUUUAGUUUCUUUUUUAGGUUAACUUAGGGAAUUGGGUUUCCUCUAUUAUAAAUAGAGAGAUCUUAUCAUUAUUUUGAGCAUUUCAAAUUCAAUUAUUCAAUAAAACUCACCUUUUAUAAUUCCUUCUGGGAUUAUCUAUCAAAAUCUCUCUUGUAAAGUUAUUUGGAUUAAAAAGUCAUCUAAUCUCGCAUUAUGCGUUAUUAAAAAGCUCAUUGAGUUGUCUGGAUUAGAACGAUAUCUGAUCAUGUUUCAAUUAGAGCAUAACUUAAUCGUGUUGGCUUAGUCCUGUACUAGAAUGAUAUCUAGUAUUUCAUGUCCUAUCAAUUUCCGCUUCCGCUACGCCUCGCUCCAUUAGUUGGUAUUAGAGCAGUUUUGUGUCAAUUGCACAACUUUCCUGACUACCCAUAUCCAUCCACAUCAGAUCCAUCACAAAAAAUAAAUAAAUAAAAUAAAAUAAAUCAAAACUUUACAAAUUUGAAAACCCUAGCCACCACAUCAACUUCCACCACCGAUCAGCCAGCCAACACCACCACAAACCUCGCUAGCCACUGCCGACCAAGUCUCAGCCAUUGCCGCCUCAACCGCUGCCUAAACAGCUGCAAAUCACCAACCCAAACCCGUGGCUCCACCAAGCAAUCCACCACCAUUCAACCACUUUCACAGCCAGCAACCUCUACCAACAAGCUUGCAGGCCUCCACUAACCAAAACACCGACCAACUUCAGCCCAUGAUCGCCGCCCGCAGCAACCACACGAAACGACAACCCAUGAGUGCUUCCCACAUGCGCCGCCACCAAACCACCUCCUUUUUCUGUCAAUUUGCACUACCACCACCCUAAUCCCUAGCAAUCGGCGACCAUAAAUCCAGCCGUCCGCCACCAUAAGGCCGCCAUAAACCAAAAGCCACAUCACUAAAAUCAACCGCCACUUUAAGUCAGAUUUCCGACCAAAACGCAGCGAAUCUGGCCGAUCCACAACCAUCAUCGAGUUCCUUAUCACCAAAUCUCCCAGAUCCGAUACCCUCUGGUCCCAAUCACGGCCACCAGCUGCCAACCAUACCAAACCCGAGAGUUGAGCCUUAAUUACAAUUUUGCCAUUGUGUGGAAACUUAAAUGGCAAGCUACCAUCAUUGCCCUCCUAUUUAUCAUGUGCCGAUAUUAUUUACAAAAUAUACGUCCAAACAAAUUUCUUGAAUAGCUGGACAAGGUUAAGCACUAGUUUCUAUUUUGGCACACUCCUAAAGAAAAGCAAGUCUUGUUUACUGCCAGUAGAUUAAGCAUAAGUGCUUCAGAAUGGCGCGAUGAGUUGCAAAUUUCUCGACUUGACCAAGGCAAAUGCCAAGUUCAAUCAUCGAACCGUAUGAAGCAUAUUUUACGAUAUGAGUUUAUUCCUCUUGAUUAUUGUUUGGUACAGUAAGGUAUGAGAUCUGUUUCUGCUUGUGCUUAUGAGUUUGAACGAUUUUAUGGAUGCCAUUAUUAUUAUGAGCCUGAAGAGAAUACAGUUACAAGAUUUAUUAAAGGGCUUGAUUUGCAUAUUCAAGAAAGGAUGCCUAUAUACACUAUCUACAAUUUACAGCAUGCAAUUCAUUUAGGCAAGAAAAUUGAAUUGCAAAUUAAGUUGUAACGUCAAAGAAACUUUGAUGAUGUGAUUAAAAAACUUGACGAAAUCCAGAAUUUAAGCAAGAAAUGGUGUGUCACCAUGAAAGUGCCCAAAGAUGUACCAAUGAGUUCUCCUAUUGUUAAGGAAGAAGACUCCCAUGAGUUGCUAGAAGAAAAUGUACAAUUUAUUAUUGAUUUAAGGUUUCAAUCUGACAAGUUGUUCGAGAAUGUGAGUGAUGUUUCCUUAGAAGAGAAGAUAAGUGUUGAAGAUGAUGAUAUUAUUGAUCUAUUUGAUAUGUUUAAAGAAGAUAUAUAAUCUGCUCUUAAUUUAAGCAGUGAGCUUAACAAUAUAAUCGAGGUUGUACAACAAAAUCAAGGUGAAGAAGUUGAAAUGAUUGAAAUGGUUCUGCCUAUUCACAUUGAAGAAAAAAAGAUUGUGCUUGAAGAAGAUUUGGUUGAAAAGGUGAAACUUAUUGGCGAGCGCAUUGAGCGACAAUUGGGGAAGUGCAAGAGUUAUUUGAUCAUUGUUCGUUCUUGAAAGUCGUCAUCGACUCGAAGAAUGUACAAGCGAAGGAAGUUGAUGAAGUUAGGAUACUUCAAAGUUUCGAGGAAGAUUGAUGAGCAAGGCUACAGGUUCAAAUUACAAGAUGAUUUGCUCCGACACUAUAAGUUUCCUCCUCCAGACUGUAUUCAAACUCAAGGACGAGUUUCUUUUAAGAGGGAAAGAAUGAUGUAGGAAGUUAAUUUACGUUAUUUUAGGUAAUUUAGGAUUCUAGAAUAUUUAUUGUUUUAGGAUUUCCUAUUUUAGUUUGAGUCAAUUAUGGUAUGUAUCUUAGUCUUUUAUUUCCAUUCCAAUUGUGAUUCAGUUUCCCUUUUAGGUUAAUUUAGGAAAGUGGGUUUCCUCUAUUAUAACUAGAGAGAUCUUGUCAUUGUUUUGAGCACUUCAGAUUCAAUUAUUCAAUAAAACUCCCAUUUUAUAAUUCCCUCUGAGAUUAUCUAUCAAAAUCUCUCUUGUAGAGUCGUUUGGAUUAGAGCGUCAUCUAAUCUCACAUUACAUGUUAUUAAAAAUCUCAUUGAGUCGUUUGGAUUAAAACGAUAUCUAAUCACGAUUCGAUUAGAGUAUAACCUAAUCGCAUUGGCUUAAUUCUGUACUAAAAUGAUAACUAGUGUUUCCUAUCCUAUCAAUUUUCGCUUCCGCUACGCCUCGCUCCGUCAGGAUUUCUGGUGUAUAUUUUUUUAGUGUAUGAUGAAACUAAAACUAUCUCAAUUUCUGCUAUGUUAGUGCCUCCUGAACACAUGUUUGGACCAUCUGAACAUUGAGUGGCUUGAUAUCUCUAACAAUAAUGCUUGUACAACUGAAAUCUACCCACCUUGCUCUAGCACAAUGAAGAGAAAUUGUGUCAUUUCGACAAAAAGGUGUCAUAUGUGCAGUCACUAUGAAUCAUUCGCAUUGGAACAAAUUGUACAAUGUCUCAAGUCGCUACUCAAUCAGUAGAACUCUCUAAUCUACGACUUUUGUCAUUUAUCAGCAUCAAGAAUCUGCCAAUUAAGAUAUGAUCACCUGUAAUUUUAAGUUCUUUCAAUCUCCAAAAACUAGAUGAAAAAAAUGCUCCAAUAAUUAGUAAGUCUUAAUCAAAUUCCAUAUUUUAGGCUUCUAAAUUUAUUAGCAAUUUUACCUAUCAUAACUUGUAUAUGUUAACCGGAUUGCAUAAACACUUGAGAAGCUUCAAGUUCAUGUCCUAAUGUGUUACAAUAUAUAUAUAUAUAUAUAGGCUUCUUUUUUGGGGGGAACUAAAAUAAGUUAGAUCAGUACCGAAGAUCAUAGUUAAAGCUCGCAAUGUUUUAUGGAGACCUUUUUCUUAUGGUAGGAGCUUCAUACUAGGAGAAGUCAUCACUUUUGAGAACAAUAAAUGUAACAACCUAUUUAAAGGGCGGAUCUAAAAAUUUGGCUUAAAAGGGACAACACAAUAAUUAAAAAAAAUUUAAUGAAAUUGAUAGACUUUGUAUUCAUUAGGGGCAAUUAUGCAAGUAUUUAUGUAAUUUCAUGAAAAUAUAAAAAAUAAAUAGAAAAUUAUGGAAAAAAAAUUUACGGGAGUCAAUUAAUUGCCCACUAUAGGCUCCGUGUGGAUCCACCUCCGAACGUAAAUGAAGAUUGAGGAUUCUCUUAAUCCAAAAAUUUUUAAGAAGUGAAAAAUAAAAAAAAUAAAAUUUUUUUUCAUCAACUUUGUAAUUCCUUAAGCGAUUAAAAUAAGAUAUAUUCAAUAAAUAAGUAUAAAUUAUUAUUCGUAUACUGUCAAAUCUUUUUUUGUUUGGGCUCUUUUAUAUUUUGUUAACAAAUAAGCUCUAAUCUAUAUUUGUUGAGUUGAAAAUUUUGAUCAAAAUAGGGUUGUAGUUUACCGAUAUUAAUUUAUAGAUUUGAACCCAAGUUCCUCCAUUUACAUUAUUAAUUAUUUUUGUUGGUCAAAGCUAAUUGAUUAGAAGAAUGCGACAAUAAGAAGACAAAAAUAUUUGCUCAAAUGCUUUGCCGUGUGCUUGCUUACUUACAAAUAUCAACUGUUCGAUGAAAUGCCCGUUUAGCUGUUCCCAACUUGGGGCAUGAGUUUGAUUAAAGUUCUUAUAUCACUGAUAUAAUAUAUUAAUGUAUAAAUGAGCUCUUUUCCUAUCAUCUAGUGCCCAUGGUAAUAUUUCAGUAAUUGAUCAUAAUAUUAUUAAGCUUUAAUUUAUAUCCUACACUCUUUUCCUAUCACCUAGUUUUUCUAAAGCGUGUAAGGUAGAAAUAUUCUCAUGUUCGAAAAAAGGUCAUACAAGCUCUAAGCUUGUACAUAUUUGAAGAACAAUACUAGACUUUUCCUUCAAACUAAUAUCGAAAUAUUUUUAUUCCUAAUGUAGUUAUUCGUCUUUGACAUUCAGCUCAGUAUCCAUUAGCAUUUAGCAAGAACAAACUUAUUUAAUAAUUAAAAGAAUUAUUGAAUGAUUUGGAACAAGUCAGCUGAGGCUAAGUAUUUUUAUUAUAUCGGCAAUUAGAUGAUGAAUGGGAAUUAUUGAACAAUUAUUUUUAUUAUUUAGGCAAUUAAUUAAGGCUACGUAUUUUUAACGUUGUUGCAAGUUGGAAGAUGUCGGCAGCAUUAGCCACUGUCAGCAUUAGCCACCCGAGCCGAGACUCAUUCUCUUUUUCAUUUCAUUUUCGUUUACUUUUGAGAACAGAAAAUGUAAAAUUUGAAUAAGUACCAAAUAACUUUUGAUAUUAAAACUUAAAUAAGCUUAGUUUUUUUCAUUUCGUUUUCGUUCACUUUUGAACAAGACAAUGUUUACUUUUGAUAUGCUUUAUUUAAGAGUCAUAAGUGCUUAUUUAAUCUUAUAAACUCUUAUCAUAAUUUUUGUUGUUGUUUGGUUGUUUUUAUAAUCAAGCUUUUAAAACUUAAAUAAGUUAUUUUAUCUCUAUUAGAAAAAAUUCAAAUUUUAGGUUUUGGGAGUAGAGGUUAAUUUUUUUUAAAUGUUAAAAUAUCUAAAAUAUCAUCUCCUUAUUGACAAUUUUAUUUUAUUCUUUUCAUAACAUAACUUUAAAAAAUUUACCUCUUAAAGUAAUUUUAUAAAUUUUUAAUAAAAACUCUUAUUGACAACCAAAUAACUAAUUUUUUUUUUGUAAAAUCUCUAUUUAUAAAAGCUCUACUUAAAUAAACUCUACUUGAAAAAAUGUACCAAACAGAGCCUAAGAAUCACUUAUUUGAAAGUUAGAAAAUGAUUGGAGACAAAAAAAAAUUGAUAAAGAAAUAUAUUUAAAAUGAUGUGGUUUUGGUUUUAUUUUAAAAAAAUUAACCUAAAUGAUAUAAUUUUAAGUAUAUUAUUUUUCAUUUCCCUAAUAUUCUUCAUAACUGAUCUUUGUACAACUCCGACCAAUUUUCACUGACAUUACAGUGUAGUUGACAUUUUCUUUUCACCGCCUUCAAUGUUUUUCCCAAAACAAUGGAAUAACCCAAACUUGUUUUUUUCCUACCUUCACCAACCUCAUUGACAAAAAUAAAAAAGACUGUCAAUUUCUCCAACCAUGUGACAAUGCCCUCACCACGUGACCUUUUGCUCACAUCCGGUUGCACAUUAACCAUCAAAGCCGGUUUCCCAUGAAUGUCCAUUUUUUUUAACUUCUUUUUCCUACCGUUAAAUUUCUCAUGAAUGUCAGUGAGUGGGAUCCAGCUACGGUACCACCGUGGUACCGUACAACUGAUUUUAUCUUUUGUGUCAGUAGUGUUGUAAAAUUUCAUUGAACCCCUUUCAUUCAUUUUUAUUUAACCUUUACCUCAUAAAUAUUAAAUUAAUUUCUAUUCCAUCCAUAUAACAUUAUAAUAGCACCUUAUACUAUUUGUUAUUUAUACAUUUUUCUUCUAUAUUGCACAUUUAUCACAAUACCCCUCUCUUUACCACAAAUACCGGUGAACCCGACCUGAAUUUCGUUUCUGUUUUCGUCCAUGCCACCGCCCAAGGUUGGUACCGAUCAGAAGAUCGUGUGAUGCCGGUCAUCUCCACGCCAUCCUUGUCGAAAAAAUAACUAGGUCAACCUGACCCGCAAACCCGACCCGGAUUUUGUUUUCGUUUCCAGCUACUCCACCGGCCAAGGUUGGUACCGAUCAGAAGCUCGUGCUACGCCAGUCAUCUCCAUGCCAUCCUUGUCGCCGUAAAGCAUUCGGAAAGCUGCCGAUCGAAGCCGUGAAAGUUACAGAAUCCCUGCUUCAAUUCGCGGCGGUUUCUCCGGUUUCCAGUGACGCCACCACUUGGGGUUUGUUCUCCACAGUUUCCUCUGUCUUUUCUGACCAACCACAGCCACCAGAGGAGCCGAUUUGCCGUUGAUCGGCCAUUGAAGGAUUCACGGGUUUGGGAGAAAUGAACUUAAUAUUUGUGAAGCAAAGUUCAAAUAAGAAUAAGUGAAAGGACUUUAUGAAAUUUUACCAAGAAAAGACAAAAGCGGUGGCAUGGUGCUACUGUUGCACGGUAGGCGAGUCCUUAUUUGUAUAUCUAUUUCUUAAAAAAAUAAAAAAUCAUAAAGUCCGGCAACGGCAGCAUAGCACUUACUGGUAACAGGAGAAUUCAAUGAAAUGCCAAAAUGCCACCUUGCGCUGUCCAAUUAACCAACAACUUUGACAUUAUUUACAUGCAAUUAUAACCAUCUAUCUCAGUUAUUAAGAAUCUAGUUGACUUGGAAGCAUGAGUCUUCUCCAGUAUGAAUUUAGUUUGGCAUUUUUGCAGUAUUCAGAUUACCCUUGAGACUUGAGAUCACAACUGCCUGCCUCUGCAUUUUCCUAAUCAUCCCUCUUGUCUAAUCUCUAGAGUUCUCUGAAAUCUCUUCUUCAUUUUCUGUCUCCCGUUUCUGUAUCGUUCUUGUCCUCGAUCCUACACCUUCUUUGCAAAUCUUUCAUUGCACUCGCUUUUCAAUUUGUCUUAGCAGAAAAUGGACCCCCUUUGUUUCAUCUCCAGAUUUUUCACUCCUUUCCCCUCCUCCUCCCUUAAAUCUAUUCAACCUUUUAUUUUAACAAUUUAUCCAAACUUCUUAUUUCCCUCUUCACAACUGAUUGAUUAGUUCUGCUCAGUUUGAUUAGUUUUGCUUUCCCCUGUUUUCUAAGAGCAAAAAAUAAAAAAGAAAGGGAUAAUGGAUAUUGUUAUUUCCGUUGCUGCAAAAGUUACAGAGUACUUGGUUGCUCCCAUAAUUCAUCCAUUUACUUAUUGCUGCACUUAUAAGACCAACUUCGAGAAGGUGAAUAAUGAAGUCGAUAAGCUCAAGAAUGCUAGAGACAGUGUGCAAUAUAAGGUUGAUGAUUCCAGAAUUAAAGGGGACGGAAUUCAACACCACGUUGAGAAGUGGAUGAUUACUGUGGACAAGGCCAUCAAUGAAGUCGAAACCCUUAUUGAAGACAAAGAGAAGUCAAACAACCGGUGUCUGAAAGGGUUGUGUCCUAAUUUGAAGACUCGGUACCAGCUUAGCAAGAAAGCAGAAAGAGAAGCGAAUGCUAUAGUUGGACUCCAUGAAAGAGGGAGAUUCGACAGUGUUUCCUUCCGUACCAUUCCAGAGGAGACAUGGCUUAAGUCUACCCGGGAUUUCAUGCACUUUGAAUCGAGAAAGUCCACCUUGAAGGAGAUACUAGACGCACUCAGCAACCGUAACUUCAACACGAUUGGAGUGUACGGGAUGGGUGGCAUUGGAAAGACCACGCUGGUGGAAGAAGUUGGCAGACAGGCCAAGGAAAAUAAUCUCUUUGAGAAGUUCAUUUCUUCACGUGUUUCCCAAACACGGCAAAUAAAGAACAUACAAGGAGAAAUCGCUGAGAAGAUAGGCUUAGAAUUGGCUGAACAGAGUCAUGAAACUGUAAGAGCAGGGAGGCUGCUUGAACGAUUGAAGAAAGAGACGAAGAUCCUUAUAAUCUUGGAUGAUAUUUGGGGGAGUCUUGAUUUGGAGGCGAUUGGAAUUCCAUUGGCAGAUGACAACGGCGGAUGUAAAGUUCUGCUGACAGCAAGAAGUCAGGAUGUGUUAUCUUGUAAGAUGGAUUGUCAACAAAAAUUUUUUGUUGAUGUUCUGAACGAAAAAGAAGCUUGGAGUCUUUUCAAAAAGAUGACAGGUGAUUGCAUACAAAAUGGUGAACUGAAAUCUGUAGCAACAGAGAUAGUCAAGGAAUGUGGUGGUUUGCCGAUUGCCAUUGUACCCGUAGCAAGGGCAUUGAGAAAUAAGAGAUUGUCUGAAUGGAAGGAUGCUUUGCUGGAAUUUAGAAGGCCUUCCUUGAGAAACUUCACUGGAACAACGCAGGUGGCGUACAAAAGUAUAGAGCUAAGUUACAAUCAUUUAAACGGAGAGGAACUGAAGAAAACAUUUUUGCUAUUAGGGUACACGUUCUUCUCUUGUGUUGAAGACCUACUCUAUUAUGGCAUGGGUUUGGGUCUGUUUCAAAACAUCAACACGUUGGAAGAGGCACGGGAUAGAGCACAUACAUUGGUUGAUAAACUCAAGAACUCUUGUUUGUUGCUUGAUGGCCGUUCAAGUGAAUGGUUUUCAAUGCAUGAUGUUGUUCGUGAUGUAGCCAGAUCAAUUGCAUCAAGAGACCAACAUGUGUUUGCGGUGGAAAAUGAGGUUGUUCCGCUGACCAGCUGGCCAGAUAAGGAUACACUGAAGGUUUGCACCGCAAUCUCCUUAAAGAAUAGUAAUAUUAGUGAGCCUCCUCAAGGGUUCGAAUGCCCGCAACUUAAAUUCCUUUGUAUUGGCUGUCAUGCUUCUUUGAGGAUCCCAGAUAAAUUUUUUACUGGGAUGACAGAGCUUAGAGUUUUAGAUUUCACUAAGAUGCAUUUGUUGGCAUUGCCUUCAUCGCUUGGUCGCUUGCAAAACCUUCAAACAUUGUCUCUAGAUGAUUGUGAACUAGGAGACAUGGCCAUUAUCGGAGACCUAAAGAAAUUAGUCAUCCUUGCGCUUCGAGGUUCUGAUAUGGAGGAACUGGCUGGAGAGAUAGGCCAGCUGACUCAAUUGAGGUUGUUGAAUUUGCGCCUAUGUUACCGACUGAGAGUUAUUCCCCAAAAUGUGAUAUCAAGCUUAUCACGAUUAGAAGAACUAUAUAUUGGUGAGAGUCCCAUUGAGUGGGGGAAAGUUGAAGGAGUAGACGGUGAAAGAAGAAAUGCCAGCCUUGAUGAGUUGAAUAAUUUAUCUAAAUUGACCUCUUUAGAAAUACUCAUCGGCGAUGAAAAGACUCUAUCAAGAGACUUGUCGUUCUUCAAAAUGCUGCAAAGGUACAGGAUAUCUAUAGGACAGUUGUCGCAGUUUAUUGUGGUUCCCCCAUCGGAUGGGAUUUCUAGAAUAUUCAAACUGGGGCUCACAAAUGGUGCCAACAUUUGCUUGAACGAGGGGCAUAUCAUGCAAUUGAAGGGUAUUGAAGGCCUGUCUCUAGAUGGAUUGAUCGACAUGAAGAAUGUUCUUUUUGGAUCAGACAGAGAAGGCUUUCCAAAACUGAAGGGUCUCCAAAUCGAACAUAAUGGCAACCUUUCUUGUGUUGUUGACACAAUGGAUUGUAUGCCAGCUCGGACGACUGCAUUCCCCCUUUUGGAGUCAUUAUUUCUAAGAGAUUUAAGGAACCUUGAGGAAAUAUGUCGUGGUCCACUCACAGCAGAGUCUUUUUGCAAAUUAAAGACCAUAAGGGUGGAAGGGUGUGAUAAAUUGAAAAAUGUAUUGCCGAUGGUCAUAGGCAGAGGCCUUCAACAACUUCAGUCCAUUAAAGUGAGUAGUUGCCAAAAAAUGGAAGUGAUUUUUGCUGCUGAGAGAGGAGAUGAAUCCAGCAAUAAUAACAGUACUGAAGUGAUUGAACUCACUCAAUUGAGGACACUUGAGCUUCAUUCUCUUCCGCAGCUUACAAGCUUCUGCACAGGUGAUCUGCAUUUUGAAAAGGUACACGUGCAAGAUUUGUUUAAUUAUUUUUCAAUUCUUACGUACUGAAAUGUAUUUCUACUUUGAGAGUUCAGAGUUUUAUUGUCGUCAUCGCCCUCAUCACUUCAUCUUUUAGUAACAAAAUGUUAGUUCUAUAAAUCAGUUUGUUUAAUUAUACUUUAUAAUAUCCUUACAAACAUAAUUAUUUUUUUAUUUUUGGAUGUCAGUUAGACCGAAUGAAAAAAAAAAAAGAUAUAUGGUAAACAAUUAUUUUUUUCCUUCUUGUUCAAUUUUUUUUCUCUUAAUUAUCAGAGUUUUUCUUCUCCCUCUACUUUUUAUUUUAUGUCUACAUGUUUAGUUAAAUACACGGAAAGAGACAGUGCAUUUGAUUAGCCAAACAAAGAAAAUACUCAUAAGAUCUAGAGGCUUUCAAGCCACAGUUAAUUCCCUGAAAAUCUUUCAAGAGCUAUUUCCAAAUUAGUACUCCUUAGUACAGUAUUGUUACAUACAAAAUGAUUAUCAAUUUUGAUGUUGAAGAAGAAAUUGGUCAUCUCGUGUUAACAUAAAUAAUAUUUUUAAAAUAUAUAUAGAGAGAUGGACAAAACUCAAAUUAAGAAAUCUUAUUCUAUUAAACUUUAUGUACAAUAAAAUCCAUUCUUGCACAAUAGUAAAUAUAUCCAAUUCCAUUGAGUUGGAUGAAUAUUAAUGAAAUACCAGCUUCUUACUAUAUUAUUAAACUUUUAAAAUUCAUAUUAUUUAUUCAUUUUUGCUUUAAGAAAAAGUUAAAAACUCCAAUAUUUUUUAAAAAAAGAAAUUUGUAAGAUUUUCAAUUCAAACCAAAUAAAGGGAUCAAUUAAAAGAAUCUCAAAGUUUAAAUGCAAUUUGAGAAUAAUUGAAGUCUUUUUCAUAGAGAUUAUGCACAAAUCUAAUAAAAUUUGAAAAUCUAUCUACUGGACAAGAGUUAAGAAGAGAGAAUGGAAGAAAAUACACAUUACUUAAAUGGAAUGCUUUGUUUUUACUUUGUAUUUACAGCUGAAAAUCAAACUCUCUCCGCAUAUCUAUAAAUUUGUCCGGCCAUCAAUACGCAUCAUUGGAAUGCUUUGUAUUUACUUGAAUUUGUGAAAUCGUUAGAAAGAAGUGCUAACUCCAUCUUGCCACUUUUGCGAUUGAUGAUCACCCAGGUGUUCCCCAAGUUGGAGAAAUUGAGGGUUGAUGAAAAGCACAUAUGCCUAUUUCCAGAAGACUGGCUUUGCAAACUUAAAUGUCUUGAUGUCCGGCUUGAUGAGUCAAGUACAAUUUUAUCACUUGACGAUUUCCUCCAGAGAUUUCACACCAUCAAAAUUCUCUUUAUAGAAGGAGACGAUUUUGUUUGGGGAGAAUCACUUGAAAACCUUGAAAAUGGGUUGAAUGCAAUGAUGAGGGGAAUAAACCAGCGCCGUGAACUGAAGCAGAUUUUCAAACAAGAGUCAACCAAUACCAACAAUUUGGAACAGCUGGAGAUAUUCGAGUGUGACAAUUUGACUAAUCUAGUGCCAUCCUCGACAUCUUUUCAGAACCUAACAACUUUGAAGUUAAGUCUUUGCCAUGGAAUGAUACACCUUCUAACAUCCUCAACCGCAAGGAAUCUGGUGCGACUGAGACAAAUGGAGAUAGGUUGCUGCAAGAUGAUAACAGAAAUAGUGGCAGAUGAGGAUGAUGAGGGAGAUAAUUAUGCAGCACAAUAUGAAAUUGUUUUCAGCGAAUUAAAGGAAUUGCGGCUUUGGGACUUACAAAGUCUGACUAGUUUCAGCUGCUCUGGGAAUAAUUGCGCCUUCAAAUUCCCAUCUCUAGAAAGAUUAGUGGUGGAUCGUUGCCCCAAUAUGAAGAUUUUCUCAGAAGGGGAAUUAAGCACACCCAAGUUACAGAAAGUGCAGCUGAGCUGGCUUGAUAAUAAACUUUGGGCUUGGGAUCGGGACCUUAAUACAACCAUUCAAUACGUAUAUCUUAAAAGGAAAAAGGUAAGUAUUCAUUCACUAUGAGAUGUUGAUUUUUUUUUUUCUAAAACUUACUGAUUUAAUAACAGAUAUAUAUAAAAAACUAAAAAGAAAAAAGUAUAUAUUAAAUUUUUUAUAAAUUCAUUUUAAAUCUGACUAGGAAGAGAAGGAAAAAGAGAAUGAGAAAUCCGCCGAGACGAAUGAAAAGGAGAAAAAUGUGAAAGACAGUAGUAAGAUAAAAUCUAUACAAUUUGGGAGGUUUUGAUUUGAUUCUAUUUUGCUGACUAAAAAUGUUUUGUUUAUGUUGAAAUUUUUGUUAAAUCAUAUCGGUACAUCUUUUUAAGAUAUAACUACUCUGCUUUGUUGUAUGUUGAGGAUUAGUUGUUAGACAGACAUAGCAAAAAAUAAAAGAAUAAAAAAUAAAAUGCUUACAGAGAGAAUUGAAAGAUUUCCGUGUCCUUAAUAGAGGCUAAUUUGUGCAAUUUGAUUAAGUGAAAACCGCACCUUCAAUGUGUUUUUACUCUUUGUUUACAGAGUCUCCAAACUUAUGAAGACGAUUCAGGUCAACCUUCUGUGCAGCAUCUUGAAUAAGGCAUCGAGUUCUUACUAUAUAUUAAAAGUCAGAUGAUGUUGGUGAGAGGAUUUUUUGUUUCAGUUUUCAUUCAUUAUUAUGCUUUUAGCUUUGUUUGAGUACUCAGAAAUCCAAUUUGAAGCUAGUUUUACUUCUUGUGGAUGGUGUCCAAGAGCUGCCAUAUUCAAUUUGUAGGCAUCUGAAAAUCUCUUUAAUCCCUAAAUUAAUUAAAGAGAUGUGUGCAUCAUAUUUGUGUUUGUGCACCUAUUGGUAUUUUUUGGAGACAAUUAUAUAAGAAAUUAUGUAAUUUCAUGAAAUUAUCAGUAUUUUAUAUAGAAAAUUAUGGAAAAAUCAAAGUUUACGGGUCAAUUGCUCACUGUGGACAACAUGUGGAUCCUCCCUAGAGCCUAGGCGAAAUUGUAGUUUAUUGGUAUUAAUGAUCAUCAUUUUAGUUCAGAGAUUUGAGCCCAAGUUCCUCCAUUUACGUUAUUAUUAAUUAUUUUUGUUGUUGAAAGCUAAUUGAUUAGAAGAAUGCGACAAUAAGAAGAUUAAAUACUUUGCCGUGUGCUUAUUUACGAAUCCACUAGCUUAGCUUAUAAUCAGACACAUAAAAUCAUCAUCAUCACAAGAUUAUCACAUGUGUAAUAUCAAAGCUAAUUAUUGAAAACCUUUGAAUGGUCUUCCAAUUUUGAAAAAGCCGGCAGCACUUGCAACUUCCAGGAAACUUCGAUUAAGUGCAGAUGCCGAGCAUAUCAACUGUUGGAUGAAAUGCCCAUGUAGCUCUUCCUAACUUGGGACAUGAGUUUCAUUAAUUGAUCAUAAUUAUUAAAUUCUAGUAUACAUACUACACCCAUAACCUAGAUCAUUAAGAAAUUAGGCUUAAAUAUGCAAUCGUUCACAAUUAUUUAAUAAUUGUCAUUUAAGAAGGGGGGGGGGGGGGGGGGGAAGAAAAAAGAAAAAGAAGAAGGCUUCAGUUUUUCUAAAGCGUGUGAGUUAGAAAUAUUUUCACCUUAGAAAAAAGUCAUACAAGCUCUAAGUUCGUAUAUAUUUUAAGAACAAUACUAGCAAGUAAAACAAUUAUUUAAUACAAGUGUUUUUAUUAUUUAGGCAAUUAGAUAAUGGGAGAAAAUUAUGGUGCAACAGUAAUACCAUGUCACGGUUGCGUCCAGUCAUUGAAUCCCAAUAAAUCCGUUCAUUCAAGUGGAUCCAACAGCUGGAUGCCCGUAGCCGGACCCUAGAUAAUGAAUAGUAAUCCUUUAUUCGAUCAAUGACCUCAAAAUACUCUCAUUGUACGAAGAAAGUGAAAAAAUCAAAACCAAUCGUCAUUAAUUAAAGGGAAAAGGACACAGAGACCCCCAACGUUUAAAUAAGGGACACAAAACUCCCUAAUGUUUCAAAAAAGACACUCAGACCCCCAUUUGUUAACAGUAAAUUAUAAUUUUACCAUUAUACCCUUAUAACAUAUUAAAAAAUAAUUGUUCAUUUUCCAAUUUAUUCCUAUAUUAUUAAUAAAAUUACGAAUAUAACUUCAUUAUCCAAUUUUUCCAUUUAAUUUUUGUCAAAUUUUCUCUUCAAACUAAAUAAAUUUAAUCCAUUACUCAAGAAUAAAAAUAAAUUAAAUUGAUUACUAAUAUAAUAAAAAUAACAUAUAUUUAAUAUAAAAAUAACAUAUAUUAAAUUAAAAUAAAUUUAAUUUAUAUAUGGAGAAUUGUUAUUUUUAAGAAAUUAUCAAUUUAAUUUAUAUAUAAGAAAUUAUAGGAAAUAACAUAUGGAGAAUUGUUAUUUUUAUUAUAUUAAUAAUCAAUUUAAUUUAUUUUUAUUUUUGAGCAAUGGAUUAAAUUUAUUUAGUUUGAAGAUAAAAUUUGAUAAAAAUUAAAUGGAAAAAUUGGGUAAUGAAGUUAUAUUCGUAAUUUUAUUAAUAAUAUAGAAAUAAAUUGGAUUUUUUAAUAUGCUACAAGGGUAUAAUGGUAAAAUUAUAAUUUACUGUUAACAAAUGGGGGUCUGAGUGUCUUUUUUGAAAUAUUAAAAAAUUUUGUGUCCCUUAUUCAAAUGUUGGGGUCUCUGUGUCCUUUUUCCUUAAUUAAAAGCGACUGUAGAUAGUCAAAUAAUCAAAACAUUUCGCAUAAAGUUUUUCUCAUUCUUUGUCCACUCUUCGCAUUCAUUGACCUACGUACCCAGUUAAUUUAAUUCUGCUGACUUAACUUUUUAAAAUAUAAAGUCAGUGAAUUCCGCUGGUCCGACGCACAUCUCCCAACUAUGCAAGUCUUUCUCCAUCUCAAUCACCUUAAUUGCUUUUAUUCUUCAGCUUUGUUCAUUUCUAAAGAUUUUUUAAGAAGUGAAUUUUUUUUUCAAAAGAAUAAAUUAUUGCAUAAACUUUGUAAAUCCUUAAGCGAUUAAAAUGAGAUAUAUUCAAUAAAUAAGUAUAAAUUAUUAUUCUUGUACUGGAAAAUUCUUUUCUUUUUUUUAGGGUUCCUUUAUAUUUCUUGAAUUGAAAACUUUGAUGAAAAUAGGGUUGUAGUUUACCGAUAUUAAUUUAUAGAUUUGAGCCCAAGUUCCUUCAUUUACAUUACUGAUUAGAUUUGAUGGUGAAAGCUAAUUGAUUAUAAGUAAGCGACGAUAAUAAGAAGAUAAAAGUACUUGCUCAAAUACUUUGCCGUGUGUUCUUACUUACAAAUCUGCUAGCUUCGCUUUUAAUCACAUAUAUAAAUCAUCACUACCUUAUCAUAUAUUAUUACUUAAUAAUCAAAGCUAAUUAUUGAAACCUUGAAGGGUCUUCCAAGUUUGAUUAUGGAGGCAACACUUGCAACUUCCAGGACAGAAACAUCCGUGUAAGUGCAGCUGCCGGGUAUAUCAACUGUUACAUGAAAUGCCCGUUUGGCUGUUCCCAACUUGGGCAUGAGUUUGAUUAAAAGUUCUUAUAUCACUAAUAUAAUGUAUUAACGUAAUAAAUGGGCUAUUUUCCUAUCAUCUAGCGCCCACGGUAAUAUUUCAGUAAUUGAUCAUAAUAUUAUUAAGCUUUAAUUUCUAUCCUACACUCUUUUCCUAUCAUCUAGUUUUUCUCAAGCGUGUAAGGUAGAAAUAUUCUCAUCUUCGAAAAAAGGUCAUACAAAUUACAAGCUCUGAGCUUGUACAUAUUUGAAGAACAAUACUAGACUUUUCCUUCAAACUAAUAUCGAAAUAAGUUUAGCAAGAACAAACUUAUUUAAUAAUUAAAAGAAUUAUUUAAUGAUUUGGAACAAGUCAGCUGAGGCUAAGUAUUUUUAUUAUAUCGGCAAUUAGAUGAUGAAUGGGAAUUAUUGAACAAUUAUUUUUAUUAUUUAGGCAAUUAAUUAAGGCUACGUAUUUUUAACGUUGUUGCAAGUUGGAAGAUGUCGGCAGCAUUAGCCACUGUCAGCAUUAGCCACCCGAGCCGAGACUCAUUCUUUUUUUCAUUUCAUUUUCGUUUACUUUUGAGAACAGAAAAUGUAAAAUUUGAAUAAGUACCAAAUAACUUUUGAUAUUAAAACUUAAAUAAGCUUAGUUUUUUUCAUUUCAUUUUCGUUCACUUUUUAACAAGACAAUGUUUACUUUUGAUAUGGUUUAUUUAAGAGUCACAAGUGCUUAUUUAAUCUUAUAAACUCUUAUCAUAAUUUUUGUUGUUGUUUGGUUGUUUUUAUAAUUGAGCUUUUAAAACUUAAAUAAGUUAUUUUAUUUCUAUUAGAAAAAAUUCAAAUUUUAGGUUUUGGGAGUAGAGGUUAAUUUUUUUUAAAUGUUAAAAUAUCUAAAAUAUCAUCUCCUUAUUGACAAUUUUAUUUUAUUUUUUUCAUUUCAUAACAUAACUUUAAAAAAUUUACCUCUUAAAGUAAUUUUAUAAAUUUUUAAUAAAAACUCUUAUUGACAACCAAAUAACUAAUUUUUUUUGGUAAAAUCUCUAUUUAUAAAAGCUCUACUUAAAUAAACUCUACUUGAAAAAAUGUACCAAACAGAGCCUAAGAAUCGCUUAUUUGAAAAUUAGAAAAUCAUUGGAGACAAAAAAAAAAAAAGAUAAAGAAAUAUAUUUAAAAUGAUGUGGUUUUGGUUUUAUUUUAAAAAAAUUAACCUAAAUGAUAUAAUUUUAAGUAUAUUAUUUUUCAUUUCCCUAAUAUUCUUCAUAACUGAUCUUUGUACAACUCCGACCAAUGUUCACUGACAUUACAGUGUAAUUGACAUUUUCUUUUCACCGCUUUCAAUGUUUUUCCCAAAACAAUGGAAUAACCCAAGGGUCCGCCUACGUUACAUUUAAUGUAACGUACAGUCAGCCUGUGGAAUUUUAUCUAGCCCCUUAUACUCUAUGUUAUUUAUAUUUUAUUCAUGAAUAUUAUAAAUUUUUUGAAAUGUAAAAUUUCGUUUAACCCCUUAUAUUCAAUUUUAUUUUAUUAAAAUCCUAAAGUAUGAAUUCGCCCCUAUAAUAUUAAAUUCUCAAAAUAACCUCCAUUUAAUUAAAAAAUAUAAUUAUUGUUAAAUGAAUUAUAAUUAUAAUUAUUAUUUUAUUAUAAUCAUAAAUAUUUUUUUAAAUAGAUUAUUUUUAUUAUUAAUAACAAGAAUAAAAAGUAUUAUAAUUAAUUAAUCUAUUACCAAUAAUUAAUAAUAUUUUUUAUUAAAUUGUUAAUAAUAAUAAUAAUAAUCAAUGAUAAUUAACAUAUUUAUGAUUAUAAUAAAAUAUGAAAGGAGAGCGGAGACUUUUAUUUUGAAUAAACUAGUUCCGAUUAACAUAUUUAUGAUUAUAACAUAUUUAUGAUUAUAAUAAUAUUUUUUGAGAUGUUUGGGCAAGGGGGUCUCAUGGGUGUGUGGACUUUUAGGCUGCCAGGAGAGCGGAGACUGGAAAAAUACCUUGCGUUUAGAUAGUGACUUGUGUGUGAGUAAUAACAAUUUUUAUUAUAAAAAUAAGUUUUAUACCAAAUAUUAAAAAAAAUCUGGAUAAUCAUUAAUUAUUAUUAUUAAUUAUUUAAUAAAAAAUAUUAUUAAUUAUUGUUAAUAGAUUAAUUAAUUAUAAUGCUUUUUAUUCUUAUUAUUAAUAAUAACAAUAAUCUAUUAAAAAAAUAUUUAUGAUUAUAAUAAAAUAAUAAUUAUAAUUAUAAUUCAUUUAACAAUAAUUAUAUUUUUUAAUUAAAUGGAGGUUAUUUUGAGAAUUUAAUAUUAUAGGGGCGAAUUCAUACUAUAGGGUUUUAAUAAAAUAAAAUUGAGUAUAAGGGGUUAAACAAAAUUUUACAUUUCAAAAAAUUUAUAAUAUUCAUGAAUAAAAUAUAAAUAAUAUAAAGUAUAAGGGGCUAGAUGAAAUUUCACAGGCUGACCGUACUUUACAUUAAAUAUAAUGUAGGCGGACCCAUAACCCAAACUUGUUUUUUUCCUACCUUCACCAACCUCAUUGACAAAAAUAAAAAGGGUCCGCCUACGUUACAUUUAAUGUAACGUACGGUCAGCCAGUGAAAUUUUAUCUAGCCCCUUAUACUCUAUGUUAUUUAUAUUUGAUUCAUGAAUAUUAUAAAUUUUUUGAAAUGUAAAAUUUCGUUUAACUCUUUAUACUCAAUUUUAUUUUAUUAAAACCCUAGAGUAUGAAUUCGCCCCUAUAAUAUUAAAUUCUCAAAAUAACCUCCAUUUAAUUAAAAAAUAUAAUUAUUGUUAAAUGAAUUAUAAUUAUAAUUAUAAUUUUAUUAUAAUCAUAAAUAUUUUUUUAAUAGAUUAUUGUUAUUAUUAAUAAUAAGAAUAAAAAGCAUUAUAAUUAAUUAAUCUAUUAACAAUAAUUAAUAAUAUUUUUUAUUAAAUAAUUAAUAAUAAUAAUUAAUGAUUAUCCAGAUUUUUUUUAACAUUUGGUAUAAAACUUAUUUUUAUAAUAAAAAUUGUUAUUACUCACACACAAGUCACUAUCUAAACGCAAGGUAUUUUUCCAGUCUCUGCUCUCCUGGCAGCCUAAAAGUCCACACACGCAUGAGACCCCCUUGCCCAAACAUCUCAAAAAAUAUUAUUAUAAUCAUAAAUAUGUUAUAAUCAUAAAUAUGUUAAUCGGAACUAGUUUAUUCAAAAUAAAAGUCUCCGCUCUCCUUUCAUAUUUUAUUAUAAUCAUAAAUAUGUUAAUUAUCAUUGAUUGUUAUUAUUAUUAUUAACAAUUUAAUAAAAAAUAUUAUUAAUUAUUGUUAAUAGAUUAAUUAAUUAUAAUGCUUUUUAUUCUUGUUAUUAAUAAUAAAAAUAAUCUAUUUAAAAAAAUAUUUAUGAUUAUAAUAAAAUAAUAAUUAUAAUUAUAAUUCAUUUAACAAUAAUUAUAUUUUUUAAUUAAAUGGAGGUUAUUUUGAGAAUUUAAUAUUAUAGGGGCGAAUUCAUACUCUAGGGUUUUAAUAAAAAAAAUUGAGUAUAAGGGGUUAAACGAAAUUUUACAUUUCAAAAAAUUUAUAAUAUUCAUGAAUAAAAUAUAAAUAACAUAGAGUAUAAGGGGCUAGAUGAAAUUUCACAGGCUGACUGUACGUUACAUUAACGUAGGCGGACCCAAAUAAAAAAUGCUGUCAAUUUCUCCAACCAUGUGACAAUGCCCUCACCACGUGACCUUUUGCUCACAUCCGGUUGCACAUUAACCAUCAAAGCCGGUUUCCCAUGAAUGUCCAUUUUUUUUAGGGUGACCCUAAGUUACGUUAAGUGUAUCUUACGUUUUUUGUCUUUUUCUUGUGGCAAUUUUCAUACAAGUCCUUACAUUUAUUACUUUUAUAUUUAAGGAUGCAUUUGCCUUCUUCUAUCAAUUAUACACCUAUUUUUCAUUCUUUCUAAUGUUUUCUUUAUUUCUUUAAACAACAAUAUAUGGUUAUCGAAUUCAUAUAAAUCUGUAAAUUCAGAAUAAAUUUCGGGUCCUAAAUUUAUUAUUCCCAUUCUUUCUUGUUCUAAUAGUUCUAUUUUUUGGGUUAUUUGAUUUAUAUAACUUAUUAUGAUAUUUUCCCAGCCUAGAUUCAUAUGAUCUAUAGUUUCUGCUAAAUUAUGUAUCAUAUUAAAAGCAUGUUGGUUCAUGGUAAUGCUUCUUUUUUAUACCAGUAUACUAAAAAUUUUAUAAAUUCAUCUAUAAAUUUCAUUUUCUUUUCUAUUAAAAUAUCACCCCCUAAAGUUUCUAUAUUUCUUUCUUGUAAUUCUUGAGUUACUUCAAGCUCGAUAUUUCGGAUGUUAUUCUUUUUCAAAUACCUUUAAAGUAUAUAAGCUAUCUGUUAUAUUUUUUAUAGGGUCCAUGGCUCUGAUACCAUUUUAUGGGUUGUGUAAAAAUGUAAAAACAAAAACAAGACAAAAACAAAACUAAUAAAAACUAAAAUAAAUUCAGUCAACAAAAUUAAACAAAACAAAUAAAUAAAUAAUAUUAAGUAGAUGAAUGAAAACUAUUAGGAUAAUAGAAUUUUGAUGCAAAAAUUCAAAAAGAUAUAUCUAUUUUAUGUCUUUAGUAUUAUUAUUCAUCUAAAAGAGUAUAUCUAUCAUAUCUUGUAUUAUCAUUAUUUCUUAAAUAUAAGGCUAUAACUUCUUCCCCAUUAAUUAUACUAGGUAUAUUUCCGGGAAAACUAGGAACAUAAAAAUCGUAAUAAUUAUUAUGAGUUUCUAUAAUAAAUGUAGGGUUAUUAAUCUGAUUUGAAAUUUCUAAAUUAUGGGAUAUGUUUACUGGAUAAUAGAAUAUUUCUACUUUUAUGAAAUAUAUAUUAUUAUUUAUUAUACUAGUAUAAUAUCUUGUUUCCUUGUAGGUGUUCAUGAUUACAGAAUAUUAUAUCGACUUAAGAUUUUAUAUUUCUAGUUCUUCAUUAUCUGAAUUAUCUAUAUAUUCUAUGUAUGAGGGUUCUAUUCUUAAACUUUCAUUUUCUAUUUUAGCUUUAAUUAUAUCAAUAGUCUCAUCUAUAGUUAACAUUGUAAUUAAGUGUUUUAGAUUAUCUAUUUCUAAAAUGUUUAAGAUUCUUCGUUUUAUUUCUGGUGGUAAUUCUAGUGUAUAUAUAGCUUCUAUCUUUUCUUUACUAAUAAGUUCUUCUUUACUAAAUAUGUAUUAACUUUGCUUAAAAGAUCCAAGAUUAAAAUCUAUUAUCAUCAUGUAGUUAUUAUAUGUUAUCCUAGUUGUAGGAUUUAUCAUUUUUUCUUUUGGAUUUCCACGUCCUAAUCUAACACUCAUAUUUUGAUAAACACUCAUUUUUCUUAUUUUUAAUAAUUUUGAUUAAGAAUUCGAAUAAGAUUCACUUCUGAGAGAUGCUCAUCCACCAUCAAUCUCCUCAUCUACAAUCAUUACCCAACUUCUACCAACAGAUAAGGUUAGAGAAUUAUUACCUAAGUUAUCCUUUUUCUUCGUCUUAAGAUCUGUCUCCAGUGACCUGCAGCAUAUGCGUCCUUCAUUCCCUCAACGGCCUCCUGCCUUAACGGGAUCAAGCGGACUCCAAUGGCCUUUCUGUAUGGAUCCUGAUCUUCUUUCUUAGAAAUAAAGAUAAUUUUAGGUUUCUCUUUCCUUUCUAUGGGGUUGUUUGUUUAUGAUUGAUGAUGUAUUGAUUUCUGGUUUUGAGCUUAAGAGAAUUUAGCUAUUCAUUUUCAUAGAGUUUUUCCACUAUCGAAAAUAUUGCAAAAGUGAAAUAUGGUGUGUAAUCUGAGCCCCUUGCUCCUUCUUUUUUCUUUUUAUUUCAAAACUUUUGCCUCGAGAUUACAUUCUUGCCCUUUUUGCUUUUUCUAAUUAUUACAAAUGCUUUUCUAAUUACAUUAUUACAAAGGCGUUUCUUUCCUCUAUCAUGCGCUUCUGCUUUUGCCUUUUUAUCUUGUCUGCUAAAGCAUCUUUUAUUUGUCUGCCACGUUUAUUGUCUUGAUCAUGCUUUUUUAUCUGAUCUGCUAAGGCAUCUUUUAUUUUGUCUGCCACUUGCAUUAUUCUGAUUACGCUAUGCGUAUCUGAUUGCUUGUCUCCAUGAGCUGGAAAGCAUGUUGUAUGGUUUCACUGCUGCUUGGAAAGCGCCUAGUGCUUAUUUCAUUGAUUAGCUCCAGCAAGAUAUUUGAUGGUGUAUGGCUGUCUUCUGCUGUCACUAAGAUAUAAUUCUGGAAUCUGAUGAUGGUUAUGAAAUUCCUCUUGUAUAGGUCUUUUGCUAUGCUCCAAAUGGCUUUUAUUCCUUUGGCUCUUCGGGUUUUUAUCCAGGACUUGGUUAUAUGAGGAACUUCUGUGUAUCCAGUUCCUACUUCUACUUUAAAAUUUUUUGUGAGGUGACCUACGGAAAUCAUAUAGAAUGCUUGAUAUUCUAUAUUUUGAUGGUAUUCUGGACUUAUGGUGUAGAAUUUGAGGUAUAUGGGUUUUUUCUGGGCAAAUUUUGACACUUCUUUGACUAAAAGUUCGUCAAAGCUGGCUAUUUCUCUCAGAUCUAUAUCUGGAUAAACUAAAUCUAAGAAUCCAUAUCGGGCUAUUUUUCCAACAAUAAGGGGGUCAGCCCCCUUUGUGGCUAUAAAUCUGGGAUAUAUGUUUUUUCCUGGUGCUUUAAAGAUGCUAUUAUUAUGAGAACAAAUAGAGUAUACCCAGGUAGCAAACUGUUUAUACUCAUCUUCUUUUUGGUUCAGAGGUUCUUCUUUUUCUUCAGUAUAGGGACUGUCUAUUUGAAUGAAUUUCUUUGUUGGGCUUAUUUUUGGAGAAUCAACCUCUAUGGAGAUUGUUUGGGUAGGAGCUGUAUCAGAGAUUGGUUUAUAGUCUCUCAGGGGUUCACUACUGCUUCCUGUAUUCAUUGGACUAGUGCACACUGGCACAGUGUUUAUUGAGAGUGCCUUUGUGAGAUCUUUUAUGUAUGAUCCCAACAAAUGGACUCCUUUUUCAUGGGCUUCUGAAGCCUCUUUUAUAUAGUUUAUUGCAUCAAUUAUGUCUGAUGCUUCUGUUGCCAAUCUUUGUAUUUCGGCAUUUAUUUCAGAAAGGAUUUUAUUUAUGUCUGGAUCCAUCUCCAAAUUCUAUGUUCCUGCUUAAGAAAUCUGCAAGAAAAUUGUUAGAUCCCUUUAUAUGUAUAAUUUUAAAAUUAUAAUAUGAUAAAUAAGCUUGCCAUCUAUGUAACCUUCUGUACUGGGGUUCAUUUGGUAAAACUUUAUUUAUUAAUGAGUUUCCCUGAGAAUUGUCAGUUUUUAUAGUAAAUUGUUUUUGUAAUAAAAACAAAGAAAACUUUUUUAUUCCUUUAUAUAUAGCAAGCAGUUCUUUUUCAUGUACAGGAUAAUUGACCUGUGCUUGGUUGAAUGUACCACUGGUGUAUCUACAUAUUUCAUUUAUGUCAGUCUUAAGUAUAACUCCCCAAUAUAGAUCAGAUGCAUCAGUCUGCAUUACUAACUUAUCAGUUUUAUCUGGUAAUCUUAAAGAAGGGAGAUUUUUACAUUCCUCCUUUAAGUUUUUUACAGUUUCUGUAUGUUCUAUACUCCAUCCUCUAGUAUUAUUUUUCCUAAGUAGCUUUUGAAGUAUAUUUUUCUUUUUAGCUAGAUUUUCUAUAAAUCCUUCUGCAUAAUUUAAGCAGCCUAAGAAUUUUUGUAUCUGUUGUUUAUUUUCUAAUUUAUCUGGAAAAUCAAUAAUUUUUCUUCCUAUAUGGCUUUGAAGUCUGAUUCCUUGUUUAUCUAGAAUCAUUCCUAAAAAUUCAAUUUUCUUAUGUUCUAUUAUUGCCUUUCUUUCUGACAGUAUUAUUCCUUCUUUGACACAUACAUUUACAAAUUCUUUUAAAUGUUUUCUGUGUUCUUCUAGUGUUUCAGAGGCUAUUAAUAUGUCAUCAACAUUGUUGAGUGUUAGAAAAUGCAUAUUUAUAAAGGAGAAAACCGUCAUUUUACAUUUCAAGUCUUAUUAACAACCCUUACUUUUAUGUAUUUAACCUUCUUGUGAUUUAAUUACAUGUGUUUUAUUUUAAUUAAGUAUUUUAUGUAUUUUAGGGGCAUUAUAGUCAUUUCACAAUAAAGGAGAGAUCAGAUGGCAAAACGGACAUCACUUUUGAACUCAGGACGGUCGAAAACCUUAGGAGGGGCAUAAAAGGAAAAAUGGCACUAUUCACAUGUACGGUACUAUUCACGUAUACGGUACUGUAUAUGUUACUGUUCACGGCACUGUUCACAUAGACGGAUCGAUGACGUGGCAUUGACCGAUGAUGUGGCAUUGACUGAUGAGGUGUCACGAUCCUGUUGGACUAAAAUUCUUAUGUACUGUUGAUGGUGACGUGGCAGCAUAUCAGUGGACGAAAAAUCUCGCGUACGGUGCAUGCAUCACACAGGAUUAUUUUCAACCAAACCGCGUUACUGUUCAUCCGGGUCAAACCGUGUUACUGUUCAUCCGCGUGGUCAAACCGUGGACUGUUGACUGAUGACGUGGCGCAAUCCUGAGCGUCCAAACUGUUUUUAAUCCGAUGGCCAUGAUUUACUCCAUGUAUCUAUAAAAAGGGGGCCUUCCCCCCCUAAUUUGAUAUCUCUGAAUCCAUUUUUGGGAUCCAUUUUCUGUAAUUCCCUCUCCAUCUUGUAUUUUCUUUGUAUUUUAAUAAAUUCCCAUUUUGCCCCUAGUUCAAUUAUGAGUGGCUAAUUUUCUUUCAAGCUUGGGUUGAAGGUGAAGUCUCAACAUGUGUCAUGGGCUUAAUUGGUAAAUUUAUUUUCUCUUCCCCUCUAGUUUUUGUGGAUGUUUUGACUUCUCGUCGACAAAUAAUACUGAUCUUGUCUAGAUACCGCCUUGGUUACACCGGCUCUCUAGUAUAAGGUUAUUAUUAUUUGGCACGAUAAGCCCUUAGCACCAUAUUGAUUAGAGCGUGGUUCAUGAGGUGUGGAUUCCCCCUCAUGAUUUAAUUGGCAUUAAUACGGAUUAUUUAGCCCAUGAUGCAUGUUGAUACGGAUCCAGAUACCCAAGUACGUCAAUUUAAUCGAUUUUCUCUACAAUUUAUUCUCGCCAUUGCAAUUCCAAUUUUAGCAUAUUUUAAAUCACUUCCACCACAAUUCCAACCACCCAUUUACAAAAUUAAUUCUAUAUAUAAUUAAAAAUCCACCUCCUCGUGGGAUCGACACUCGUCACCAUUAGUCUAUACUACAAUAGAUUCGUGCGCUUGCGAGUACAUUAAAAUUUGCACAACAAACAUAUACUAUUAUGUAUCUAUAAUCUCUAAAUAUUUUAUUCAUUCUACUUUGGAAUAUUUGUGGGGCAUUUUUUAAUCCAAAAGGCAUUACUAACCAUUCAUAAUGUCCUUGUGGAGUACUAAAGGCUGUAUAAGGAAUACUAUUUUCUUUCAUUUUUAUCUGCCAAAAGCCUGAUUUACAGUCAAACUUUGAAUAAUAAGUUUUAUUUUUUACUAGAUUUAUUAGUACUUCUUUAUUUGGUAAAAAAUAUCCAUCAAAUUUUGUAUAUUUGUUUAGUUCUUUAUAAUUUAUUACCAUUCUAGCUUUACCUCUAACUUGUUCUGCUCUUUUUCUAACCAUGAAAGCUGGGCUGUUGUGUGGACUAUUACUAUUUCGUAUUAAGUUUAAUUUUAAUAAUUCUUUUAUUUGAAUUUUAAAUUCUUCUCGAUCUUCUUCCGUGUACAUCAUAGGUUUAAGUCUUAUGAUUCUAUUUUCUAUUAAUUCUAUUUUUGCUCUGGGGUGAUCUGGUUUCCAUAAGGCUAAUGGGAUUUUCUUUAUAGACAUUUUCAAGUUGGGAUUUUAUUGUUUCUAAUUUUAUGUUUAUGUGAUAACUCUUUCCUUUUGAAAUUAAAUAAUGUUUUUCAUAUAUUGUCUUAUCACCACGCGAGGCUGGCUGAACUCGAUAAGGACGAAAUUCACGAGGAAUGCGAAGAAUAUGAUUGCAUGGGGUUUUAAGAGUAAUCAUAUAGGUCGUCUGUUGGUAAUAUUGAAAUUGUUGUAAGAAAUCAUUACCUAAGAGUAUAUCACAGUCCAUUUGGUCAUAUUGGAAGAUAUGAUUAAUACGGACAAUUUUACUUCCUAAAAGAGUUUCAAAAUUCUCUAAGGAUUGAGUGAUAUGUUGUUUAUCUCCUGUGAUACCUACGAGUUUUAUUUUGCUAUUUGAUUUCCAUUGGUUUGACAAAAAGGUUUUCAUAAUUGUAAUUUCACUUCCUGUGUCUAUCAAGGCGCAAGUGUCUAUAUCUUUUUCUACUAUGUUUAUUUGUAUAUAAACAGACAUAGGAUAUUUUAUAUAUGCUUGUCUUAACAUGUUUCACAAAUUAUCUUUUGUCCUUCUAUUUGUAAAGUUAUUUGGCCUUUUUCUAUUUUAUAAUAUUCUAGACUGUUUAGGAAACUAUUUCCCAAAACUAUAUGUUUUUCUGGAUCUGUAGUCAUAAAAGAGUCUAUGUAGCAAGAUACUAUUAUUCGUAUUCCUUCAAUUAUUAAUGGAACUUUUACUUCUUGUCUACAUAUAUGCUUAUUACCAUUGAAGUCAGUAUAUUCAUACGGAAUUUCUUUUUCUUUUAUUAAGAGUCUUUUAUUUUUUGUAUGAUUCAUAUAAUUAUGACUUGUUCCUGUAUCUACUAGAAUAGGUAGUUUUAUUGUAUAUUCUAUUCCAUUGAAGUAUUGUCCAAGUAUUUUUACUACACUACUAAUUAGUAUAGGUUUUACUAUUUCUUUAUUUAUAUUGAUUAUUUGUCUAUCAGUACUUAAUCUUCUAGAAGACCCUCCUCGCAAAAGGGUUCUUCCUGCAAAACUUAUAGGGAUUAUAGAAUUCUCAUUAUUAUCAUUUAAAAAUUAUUUUUUAUCAUCUACAUCUAAUUCGUAUGUUAUAGGAAUUUUAUAAUCCUGUAUGAUAGGUUCUAUUAAGGUUGCUAUAUCCUCACAUUCUUUAUUUAUUUCUAUAUAUGGUUUAUUUCCAUAAAUUUCUCCAUAAUUUGAGUUACAAAAACUAUAUAAUGCUGAAUAGAGUAUAGUCAUUAAUCUAUUUCCUUCUUUUAUUAAGUUCUUUUUUAGGAGUUUAAAAUGUAGGCUUAAAGUUUCAUCUAUGUUUUUUUCUUUUAUAUGUACACAGUAUCUAGGGUGACAUGCAAAUAGUAAUUUAGUAUAACAUAAGUUUCCUUCUACUGUUCCUAGAUGUCCUAUGCUAGGAUCAUGAAAUCUUUGGUCAUGGAUUGAUAAAACUAUUGGGCUAUCUACCCCUUCUUUGAAGAGAGAUUUUAUCAAAAUUUGGAUUUCAGCUAAAUAUACAUAUUGUAUUUUUUCUUUCGUUGAUUCAUUCUUUAUUUUUCUUAAGGCUAAAUCUAUUGUUCUUUUAUUUAUUAAACUGAAUCGUAUAUUUCCUUCAGCUUGUGUUAUAGUUACAGCUUUUUCUUGUUCAUAGUAUUCAUGUAAGAUUAUCCUUUUUCUUUUAAAUAAAUCUCUUAGUUUUUGUAAGAUACCAUACUCUGGUUUUUCCACAUUUAAUCUUAAAAGUUUAUUAUAUUUUUCCUUAUUAAAAGUGGCUACUAAGCUAUAUCCACUUUUGUUUUCUUCUCUUUCUAUUUCUUCAAUGUCUUCUAUUUCUUCUUUUUCCAUUAUGUCUUUUUCUUUAUUCUGAUUCAUUUUCCUCCUCUUUUUCCAUAUAUACCUCCAUCCCUUCGUAUUCUGACAUGCUUGUUAUUUCUUCUAAUUCAUCUUGUAUUUGAUCAAAAUCUUCUUGUAAAAUUCUAACCUUUUUCUUUUUACAAUCUGUACUGAUAUGUCCUAUUUCACCACAAUUCCAGCAUUUGCAUUUUGAUUUAUCUACUAAUUUUCUUUGGUUUUUAUGUUUCCUUUUGUAGUAUUUCCUUCCAGGUUUCCUGUAUUUAUUUUUAAAAUUGUUAUAUUUUUUAUAUCUUUUUUCUUUUUUAUGCCAUUUUCUUUUUCUAUUAUAGGCUAUAGAACAUCCCCAUUGCGUUGGCAUUUCUGUCUUUUCACAACAUAUUUCUGUUAUGUUUCUACUCUUUUUUAUUAGAUUUCUCUGGAUACAUAUACCACUAAGUCUUGUAUUUACAAAUCUUAUUCUAGAUCCUAAGUUAUCUGGGAGUUUAUUUGAAGUACUAAUUUUCUCAUAUUCAUUUAUAAAGUAACUAUUCCAAGGGUAUGGUAACUUGGAGUAAUAUAGGUUUUUAUAAACUUCUUGAUCUUCUAAACUCACAUAUUGUUCAUAGUAAUAUUUACUAAAUUCACAAGUAUAUUCUUUGAUAAAACACAUAUUGCAUAUUGUUAAGUUUAAUAGAUUUAAUCUUGCUCUUUGUUUUUCAUUAUUUGCUUCUCGCUCUGAAUUUUCUAACCAAUCUUCUCCUAGAAAUUCUCUGGCAAUAUAUUCAAGUAUUCUUUCUAUUCCUAGAGCAGUGCUCCUUCUAAAAGCUAUUUUGGUUGAAUCUUUUAUUAACAUUUGUGUAUCAUCACUUAAUCCUCUCCACCAGUUAAAUAUAUUUCCUGUAAAACUGGUUAUUAAGAUGUCUGUAAAUAUGUCUAUUUUUUCUUCAUUGGUAGUUACAUUCCAGUCAUCAUUAGCUCCAUUAUAUGUGAAGAAUAGCUUCAUUUGCAUUCCCCAUUCUGCUAAUGUUUUUCGAGGGUUUUCCUUGCAAUCUAUAUUUAGAAAUGAUCCACUAUUGCUUAUAGGUACUAAUGUAUCCUGAUUGGGUUUGUAUUCUUUUUUCCAGGGAGUAGCUUUUACUUUAGGUGUAUAUUCAUAAAAAGGUUUAUUAUUUUUCUUAGGUAUAAACCUAUGGCUAGGUUCUGCAACAUUUGGUUUCAUCUCUGGUCCUCCUGCUGUAUUCAUUUUUAUUUGGUAUUCUUUUUCAAAUUCUUCUAAAUCACUAAGAUUUAUGUCACUAAAUUUUUCAGUUAAAUUUUCUAUUGUAUCUUCCAUUAUUCAGAAUUAGACUCAGUUUGUUCUUUUAUUUCUAAUUUCUCUUUUCCUUUUUCCUUCUUUUUUAUUUCUGCUUUUAAUUCUUCAGCUUCUUGUAAUAUUUUUGGAUAUUGUGUUUCCAUAAACCAGUAGUCAUAACUACCUUUUUGGGGUUUUUGUGUAGGUUUCUUAAAGUUUGUUCCAAUAAUACCUGAUUUUAUUAUCUCAAGUCUUUCUAUUUUCUUAUUUUUCUUUUGCCCUUUUUGUAACAAGGAUAUUUCUAUCUUUAAUUUUCCUAUCUCUUGUCUUAUUUCUUUUAUUUCUUCUUUUAGAUUUAAAAGUAUCUCUUUUAAUUCUAUUAUUGUGGUUUCCAUAAAGUACAAGGGAGUUUAUUAAUAUUUUGUUUAUUUGAAUGUAUGUUACGUUGCAUGUAACAUAGGCUUGGCCUUUUUUUUAACUUCUUUUUCCUACCGUUAAAUUUCUCAUGAAUGUCAGUGAGUGGGAUCUAGCUACGGUACCACCGUGGUACCCUGCCACUGGUUUUGUCUUUUGUGUCAGUAGUGUUGUAAAAUUUCAUAGAGCCCCUUUCAUUCCUUUUUAUUUAAACUUUACCUCAUAAAUAUUAAAUUAAUUUCUAUUGCAUCCAUAUAAACAUUAUAAUAGCACCUUAUACUAUUUGUUAUUUAUACAUUUUUCUUCUAUAUUGCACAUUUAUCACAAUACCCCUCUCUUUACCACAAAUAUCAACAAACCCGACCCGAAUUUCGUUUCUGUUUUCGUCCACGCCACCGGCCAAGGUUGGUACCGAUCAGAAGAUCGUGCGACGCCGAUCAUUUCCACGCCAUCCUUGUCGAAAAAAUAACCGGGUCAACCUGACCCGCGAACCCGACCCGAAUUUUGUUUCCGUUUCCAGCUACUCCACCGGCCAAGGUUGGUACCGAUUAGAAACUCGUGCUGCGCCGGUCAUCUCCAUGCUAUCCUUGUCGCCAUAAAGCAUUCAGAAAGAUGCCGAUCGAAGUCGUGAAAGUUACAGAAUCCCUGCUUCAAUUCGCGGCGGUUUCUCCGGUUUCCGGUGACGCCACCACUUGUGGCUUGUUCUCCACAAUUCCCUCUGUCUUUUCUGACCAACCACAGCCACCAGAGGAGCCGAUUUACCAUUGAUCGACCGUUGAAGGAUUCAUGGGUUUGGGAGAAAUGAACUUAAUAUUUGUGAAGCAAAGUUCAAAUAAGAAUAAGUGAAAGGGCUUCAUGAAAUUUUACACAGAAAAGACAAAAGCGGGGGCAUGGUGCCACUGUUGCACGAUAGGCGAGUCCUUAUUUGUAUAUCUAUUUCUUAAAAAAAUAAAAAAUCAUAAAGUCCGGCAACGACAGUAUAGCACUUAAUGGUAACAGGAGAAUUCAAUGAAAUGCCAAAAUGCCACCUUGCGCUGUCCAAUUAACCUAUAACUUUAACACUAUUUACAUGCAAUUAUAACUAUCUAUCUCAGUUAUUAAGAAUCUAGUUGACUUGGAAGCAUGAGCCUUCUCCUGUAUGAAUUUAGUUUGGCAUUUUUGCAUUAUUCAGAUUACCCUUGAGACUUGAGAUCACAACUGCCUGCCUCUGCAUUUUCCUAAUCAUCCCUCUUGUCUAAUCUCUAGAGUUCUCUGAAAUCUCUUCUUCAUUUUCUGUCUCCCGUUUCUGUAUCGUUCUUGUCCUCGAUCCUACACCUUCUUUGCAAAUCUUUCAUUGCACUCGCUUUUCAAUUUGUCUUAGCAGAAAAUGGAUCCCCCUUUGUUUCAUCUCCAGAUUUUUCACUGCUUUCCCCUCCUCCUCCUUAAAUCUAUUCAACCUUUUAUUUUAACAAUUUAUCCAAACUUCUUAUUUCCCUCUUCACAACUGAUUGAUUAGUUCUGCUCAGUUUGAUUAGUUUUGUUUUCCCCUGUUUUCUAAGAGCAAAAAAUAAAAAAGAAAGGGAUAAUGGAUAUUGUUAUUUCCGUUGCUGCAAAAGUUACAGAGUACUUGGUUGCUCCUAUAAUUCAUCCAUUUACUUACUGCUGCACUUAUAAGACCAACUUCGAGAAGGUGAAUAAUGAAGUCGAUAAGCUCAAGAAUGCUAGAGACAGUGUGCAAUAUAAGGUUGAUGAUUCCAGAAUUGAAGGGGACGGAAUUCAACACCACGUUGAGAAGUGGAUGAUUACUGUGGACAAGGCCAUCAAUGAAGUCGAAACACUUAUUGAAGACAAAGAGAAGUCAAACAACCGGUGUCUGAAAGGGUUGUGUCCUAAUUUGAAGACUCGGUACCAGCUUAGCAAGAAAGCAGAAAGAGAAGCGAAUGCUAUAGUUGGACUCUAUGAAAGAGGGAGAUUCGACAGUGUUUCUUUCCGUACCAUUCCAUGUUGAUGCUAGAUUCUGGUUGUCCUCGUUCUACGACCAGGGUCUCUGCUCGAUCAACUUCACCACGACCAGGAUCUCUCCUCGUAAAGCUUCUUCUCCAGAGGUUCCUACGCACACAGACAGGUCAGAGUACGCCGGUUGUUUUCCCGGCGCAAACCCUCCAACGCUCAAGUCAGAUAUGAAGGUUCGGGGAACGCUUGCCACAGAUCUUAUGGCUUUUGGGUAGUCUUCUCUUCUUUAGAAUUGCUUUUAUCUCUCUUCUAAUCUCAAAAUUGCUAACCCUUUUACCUUCGUUGGCUACAUUUUUAUAGGCCUCCUCUGAAUCCCAGUUUUCCACAGUCUACGUCCGUUAUCCUCCCACCUCUUGAACGUGGAUUCCCCAUUUUCGUAGUUGUGGGUGGUUGCGUGGCCUUCGUGCCUAGAUUCUCGGGCUGGAGAGCAUGCCUCGCCAACUGUCGUUGACCGGGUCUCCUCGAAUCAACCCUUAGCAAGAAUACAACAUGAAUGGCUUUAUGCUUCUUACAGGAAAUUGGCCUCGCAGAUGACGUGCUCGUGGAUGAGCAGGAUAUUCCUGCCCCUGUUCCCCUGCUACCUGGCUCUUACAGGACACACCUGCUCGCAGACUUCUGCCAACAAACAUCUGCUCAUCACGUCUGGUCUCGUCGGAGUAUUUCCCUCAAACACCGGUCCCCCAGUUUCUGGUGUUGGGUAAUGUAAUGGACCAGCAGUAGAAACUUAGUGGUUCUUGGUCGCGCGGGACUGGAAAAGGCUGCCAAGAGUCAUAUCGCAUUUAAUUGCGGACGAGGUGAUGUGGCAGAAAUAUGCCCCUCUAUUCGAAUUUCAAACCAACGGUUAUGAGGCCCUUGGGGUCAAGUUGCACAAAUAGACGGGAAGGAUUAUCGCGUCCCACCCCGUUUCACGGUCCCAGGUUGCCUGCUCGCUUUAGAUGUCUUGUGUCCGUAAUUGUUCUCGCUUUGUUGGUUUGUCUCUAACCAAGUGUCUGUUUGUGUUGUAGUUUCUUGGGGUGUUCAUUUCUCGCUCAAACCUGGCCAGCUCAAACGGGUCGAGGCUGUGCUAGCCAAUUCCUGCUCGAGCCGGGAGCUGAUAACUAUAUACAACUUGCUCGAGUCUCGCUUGAUACUCCCUGGUCAUAAGAUGGAGGACGCUGUGAUUGGGGCUCUGAACAGGAAACGUUCUCGACCUCAAACCACGAAGAGAGACCAGAAUAAGGACGCCCCUACUGCAAAGCGGGCCAACUUCGUGCAGCAGGUCUCUCCCUUGAAGAUUUUACCUCCUGCUCCUGCCAAAGUCGGGGAAACUAGUGGAGCAGCCACCGAUCCUGCUUCUUCUUCUCCUCCUGUCGGGCCUCGAUCUCGCUUACCUGACAGCCGAGCAGAACACUUGGUCCCCUAUCUCAAUGAGUUAUCUAAACUCGUGAGCAAGAAGGACCUGGAGGACUUUGAUGGCUGCACUCUGGGCGAGCUGGUGGGAGCCAUGCAGUAUAGCGCUUUCCAUCUCAGCUGCAUGACCACCUACUAUAAGGCCAAGGUCGGCCGUUAUGACAGGAAGAUGAAGGAGGACAUUCAGUCAGCGAUGACCAGAGCUGACGGCGCCGAGAAGAAAGCAGGAGCGCUGAAUGUCGAGAACCUGAAGCUGAUAGAGCAAGAAUCUCUUGCUCAAGCGAAAGCCAUUACCCUCGAGGAGGAGCUGACCAAGGUCAAGGAGGAUCUUCAAAGGCAGAAGGCUAUGUAUGAGGCUCAGCUCGAAUCUCUCCGUGAUUCCCAUCGGGUUCAGGUCGAGAACUUAGAGAAGGAGGCUGACAACCAGUACGACCAGGGACUUCGGCAUUCUUAUCGUUGCAUCAUGGCCGUCCUCGGGAAGCAACACCCUGAUCUGAAGAUGGAUGACCUUGCAGCUGGUGUUGCUCAACAUAUGGACGAGGAGGCGGCCAGGGAAGACGCUGAAGGGGUAGAGCCGAUCGUGAUUGAGGAGGAAAACUCUCUUCCUCGUGCAGUACCUGCUGAUGUUGGCGAGGCGAGCACCCCCCCCGGAUGCAACUGGUGAUACCCCCCUGCACCUGAGGAGGUCCAACCAACCGAUGCUGCUCGGCUUACUGAUCCACCAUCUUCUUGAUAUAUUUCUUGUAUUGUAAUGAACAAUGUUUGUGAAGAUUAUCUCCUCUGUUAAUUAUUAACAAAUUAAUAAAGAUGUUUUUGAUUACUUUCUUGUGUUGUAAUCAUAAGUUAUUUUUCGUUUGAGAAUCUGCUCGUCUUUGUCUGGUCGAGCAGGUUCUGGCUUGGCACAUGGUUUUGCCACAUGCCUUUGAAAAUUCUUCAAUGCUUGGGAUUCUGCUCGCCUUCGCGUGGUCGAGCAGAUCCUGGCAUGCUUGGCUUCUGGUCUCGCCAUAAGACAGGCUUUGAGACUUGGUGAGCUUUUGCAUGCCUUAGGAAUUUUUUCGAAUGCUUUGGAGUCUGCUCGCCUUCUCGUGGUCGAGUAGAUCCUGGCACGCUUGGCUUCUGUCUCGCCAUAAAACAGGCUUUGAGACUUGGUGAGCCUUUGCAUGCCUUAGGAAUUUUUUCGAAUGCUUUGGAGUCUGCUCGCCUUCUCGUGGUCGAGUAGAUCCUGGCACGCUUGGCUUCUGUCUCGCCAUAAAACAGGCUUUGAGACUUGAUGAGCCUUUGCAUGCCUUUGAUAAUUUCUUGAAUGCUUUGGAGUCUGCUCGCCUUCUCGUGGCCGAGCAGAUCCUGGCACGCUUGGCUUCUGGUCUCGCCAUAAACAGGCUUUGAGACUUGUCGAGCCUUUACAUGCCUUAGGUAAUUUCUUCAAAGCUUGGGAUUCUGCUCGCCUUCUCGUGGCCGAGCAUAUCCUGGCACGCUUGGCUCUGGUCUCGCCAUAAACAGGCUUUGAGACUUGCUGAGCCUUUGCAUGCCUUCAAUUCUUCAAGGAUAGGGAUUCUGCUCGCCUUCUCGUGGUCGAGCAGAUCCUGGCACGCUUGGCUUCUGUCUCGCCAUAAAACAAGCUUUGAGACUUGAUGAGCCUUUACAUGCCUUUGAUAAUUUUUCGAAUGCUUUGGAGUCUGCUCGCCUUCUCGUGGUCGAGUAGAUCCUGGCACGCUUGGCUUCUGUCUCACCAUAAAACAGGCUUUGAGACUUGAUGAGCCUUUACAUGCCUUUGAUAAUUUCUUGAAUGCUUUGGAGUCUGCUCGCCUUCUCGUGGCCGAGCAGAUCCUGGCACGCUUGGCUUCUGGUCUCGCCAUAAACAGGCUUUGAGACUUGUCGAGCCUUUGCAUGCCUUAGGUAAUUUCUUCAAAGCUUGGGAUUCUACUCGCCUUCUCGUGGCCGAGCAUAUCCUGGCACGCUUGGCUCUGGUCUCGCCAUAAACAGGCUUUGAGACUUGCUGAGCCUUUGCAUGCCUUCAAUUCUUCAAGGAUAGGGAUUCUGCUCGCCUUCUCGUGGUCGAGCAGAUCCUGGCACGCUUGGCUUCUGUCUCGCCAUAAAACAAGCUUUGAGACUUGAUGAGCCUUUACAUGCCUUUGAUAAUUUUUCGAAUGCUUUGGAGUCUGCUCGCCUUCUCGUGGUCGAGUAGAUCCUGGCACGCUUGGCUUCUGUCUCACCAUAAAACAGGCUUUGAGACUUGAUGAGCCUUUACAUGCCUUUGAUAAUUUCUUGAAUGCUUUGGAGUCUGCUCGCCUUCUCGUGGUCGAGUAGAUCCUGGCACGCUUGGCUUCUGUCUCGCCAUAAAACAGGCUUUGAGACUUGAUGAGCCUUUGCAUGCCUUUGAUAAUUUCUUGAAUGCUUUGGAGUCUGCUCGCCUUCUCGUGGCCGAGCAGAUCCUGGCACGCUUGGCUUCUGGUCUCGCCAUAAACAGGCUUUGAGACUUGUCGAGCCUUUACAUGCCUUAGGUAAUUUCUUCAAAGCUUGGGAUUCUGCUCGCCUUCUCGUGGCCGAGCAUAUCCUGGCACGCUUGGCUCUGGUCUCGCCAUAAACAGGCUUUGAGACUUGCUGAGCCUUUGCAUGCCUUCAAUUCUUCAAGGAUAGGGAUUCUGCUCGCCUUCUCGUGGUCGAGCAGAUCCUGGCACGCUUGGCUUCUGUCUCGCCAUAAAACAAGCUUUGAGACUUGAUGAGCCUUUACAUGCCUUUGAUAAUUUUUCGAAUGCUUUGGAGUCUGCUCGCCUUCUCGUGGUCGAGUAGAUCCUGGCACGCUUGGCUUCUGUCUCACCAUAAAACAGGCUUUGAGACUUGAUGAGCCUUUACAUGCCUUUGAUAAUUUCUUGAAUGCUUUGGAGUCUGCUCGCCUUCUCGUGGCCGAGCAGAUCCUGGCACGCUUGGCUUCUGGUCUCGCCAUAAACAGGCUUUGAGACUUGUCGAGCCUUUGCAUGCCUUAGGUAAUUUCUUCAAAGCUUGGGAUUCUACUCGCCUUCUCGUGGCCGAGCAUAUCCUGGCACGCUUGGCUCUGGUCUCGCCAUAAACAGGCUUUGAGACUUGCUGAGCCUUUGCAUGCCUUCAAUUCUUCAAGGAUAGGGAUUCUGCUCGCCUUCUCGUGGUCGAGCAGAUCCUGGCACGCUUGGCUUCUGUCUCGCCAUAAAACAAGCUUUGAGACUUGAUGAGCCUUUACAUGCCUUUGAUAAUUUUUCGAAUGCUUUGGAGUCUGCUCGCCUUCUCGUGGUCGAGUAGAUCCUGGCACGCUUGGCUUCUGUCUCACCAUAAAACAGGCUUUGAGACUUGAUGAGCCUUUACAUGCCUUUGAUAAUUUCUUGAAUGCUUUGGAGUCUGCUCGCCUUCUCGUGGCCGAGCAGAUCCUGGCACGCUUGGCUUCUGGUCUCGCCAUAAACAGGCUUUGAGACUUGUCGAGCCUUUGCAUGCCUUAGGUAAUUUCUUCAAAGCUUGGGAUUCUGCUCGCCUUCUCGUGGCCGAGCAUAUCCUGGCACGCUUGGCUCUGGUCUCGCCAUAAACAGGCUUUGAGACUUGCUGAGCCUUUGCAUGCCUUCAAUUCUUCAAGGAUAGGGAUUCUGCUCGCCUUCUCGUGGUCGAGCAGAUCCUGGCACGCUUGGCUUCUGUCUCGCCAUAAAACAAGCUUUGAGACUUGAUGAGCCUUUGCAUGCCUUUGAUUCUUCAAGGAUUGGGAUUCUGCUCGCCUUCUCGUGGUCGAGCAGAUCCUGGCACGCUUGGCUUCUGUCUCGCCAUAAAACAGGCUUUGAGACUUGACGAGCCUUUGCAUGCCUUCAAUUCUUCAAGGAUUGGGAUUCUGCUCGCCUUCUCGUGGUCGAGCAGAUCUUGGCACGCUUGGCUUCUGUCUCGCCAUAAAACAGGCUUUGAGACUUGAUGAGCCUUUGCAUGCCUUUGAUUCUUCAAGGAUUGGGAUUCUGCUCGCCUUCUCGUGGUCGAGCAGAUCCUGGCACGCUUGGCUUCUGGUCUCGCCAUAAACAGGCUUUGAGACUUGGUGAGCCUUUGCAUGCCGUUGAUAAUUUCUUGACCAGUACAGUUGGCUGAAACUCCUCAUUGAUUCAUUUAUUAUUGAAUUCGGCUUACAUGAGAUUGCUUUGACAUAAAACAUAAAAAAUGAAAGAUAAAGAGCACGAGCAGAAAUUGCUUUAAAAUGUGAACAAGUCUUACUGGAAGUAUUUUCAUAGGUGUACUGCGUUCCACGGGCGUUUCACCUCGUGGCCGUCCGUGCGAACCAGCUUGUAAGCUCCGGGUCCCACUAUCUGCUUGACUCUAUAUGGCCCUUCCCAAUUCGGUCCCAGGCUUACUGUCUCCAGAUCCUCUACAGACUCUUGUCUGUCAUUCUUGUUUUCCACUCGGGUAUCAAGCGAUGUUAUCUGCAUUGCAUCCUUUGCUGCCGAGGAGUAGCAGCUUCUCGCAAUUCGUUGAGCCUCAUAUCACCCCCUUGUGCACUACUUCCUCCCGUCUCCAUUGCUUUUCACUUGCUUCACUCCUCUUCUUGCUAUCAACAGAAGCUUUUUGAUCAGCCCCCCACAGACGGCGCCAAAAUGUUGAUGCGAGAUUCUGGUUGUCCUCGUUCUACGACCAGGGUCUCUGCUCGAUCAACUUCACCACGACCAGGAUCUCUCCUCGUAAAGCUUCUUCUCCAGAGGUUCCUGCGCACACAGACAGGUCAGAGUACGCCGGUUGUUUUCCCGGCGCAAACCCUUCGACGCUCAAGUCAGAUAUGAAGGUUCGGGGAACGCUUGCCACAGAUCUUAUGGCUUUUGGGUAGUUUUCUCUUCUUUAGAAUUGCUUUUAUCUCUCUUCUAAUCUCAAAAUUGCUAACCCUUUUACCUUCGUUGGCUACCUUUUUAUAGGCUUCCUCUGAAUCCAAGUUUUCCGCAGUCUACGUCCGUUAUCCUCCCACCUCUCGAACGUGGAUUCCCCAUUUCCGUAGUUGUGGGUGGUUGCGUGGCCUUCGUGCCUAGAUUCUCGGGCUGGAGAGCAUGCCUCGCCAACUGUCGUUGACCGGGUCUCCUCGAAUCAACCCUUAGCAAGAAUACAGUAGGAAUGGCUUUAUGCUUCUUACAGGAAAUUGGCCUCGCGGAUGACGUGCUCGUGGAUGAGCAGGAUAUUCCUGCCCCUGUUCCCCUGCUACCUGGCUCUUACAGGACACACCUGCUCGCAGACUUCUGCCACUAAACAUCUGCUCAUCACGUCUGGUCUCGUCGGAGUAUUUCCCUCAAACAUUCCAGAGGAGACAUGGCUUAAGUCUACCCGGGAUUUCAUGCACUUUGAAUCGAGAAAGUCCACCUUGAAGGAGAUACUAGACGCACUCAGCAACCGUAACUUCAACAUGAUUGGAGUGUACGGGAUGGGCGGCAUUGGAAAGACCACGCUGGUGGAAGAAGUUGGCAGACAGGCCAAGGAAAAUAAUCUCUUUGAGAAGUUCAUUUCUUCACGUGUUUGCCAAACACGGCAAAUAAAGAACAUACAAGGAGAAAUCGCUGAGAAGAUAGGCUUAGAAUUGGCUGAACAGAGUCAUGAAACUGUGAGAGCAGGGAGGCUGCUUGAACGAUUGAAGAAAGAGACGAAGAUCCUUAUAAUCUUGGAUGAUAUUUAGGGGAGUCUUGAUUUGGAGGCGAUUGGAAUUCCAUUGGCAGAUGACAACGGCGGAUGUAAAGUUCUGCUGACAGCAAGAAGUCAGGAUGUGUUAUCUUGUAAGAUGGAUUGUCAACAAAAUUUUUUUGUUGAUGUUCUGAACGAAAAAGAAGCUUGGAGUCUUUUCAAAAAGAUGACAGGUGAUUGCAUACAAAAUGGUGAACUGAAAUCUGUAGCAACAGAGAUAGUCAAGGAAUGUGGUGGUUUGCCGAUUGCCAUUGUACCCGUAGCAAGGGCAUUGAGAAAUAAGAGAUUGUCUGAAUGGAAGGAUGCUUUGCUGGAAUUUAGAAGGCCUUCCUUGAGAAACUUCACUGGAACAACGCAGGUGGCGUACAAAAGUAUAGAGCUAAGUUACAAUCAUUUAAACGGAGAGGAACUGAAGAAAACAUUUUUGCUAAUAGGGUACACGUUCUUCUCUUGUGUUGAAGACCUACUCUAUUAUGGCAUGGGUUUGGGUCUGUUUCAAAACAUCAACACGUUGGAAGAGGCACGGGAUAGAGCACAUACAUUGGUUGAUAAACUCAAGAACUCUUGUUUGUUGCUUGAUGGCCGUUCAAGUGAAUGGUUUUCAAUGCAUGAUGUUGUUCGUGAUGUAGCCAGAUCAAUUGCAUCAAGAGACCAACAUGUGUUUGCGGUGGAAAAUGAGGUUGUUCCGCUCACCAGCUGGCCAGAUAAGGAUACACUGAAGGUUUGCACCGCAAUCUCCUUAAAGAAUAGUAAUAUUAGUGAGCCUCCUCAAGGGUUCGAAUGCCCGCAACUUAAAUUCCUUUGUAUUGGCUGUCAUGCUUCUUUGAGGAUCCCAGAUAAAUUUUUUACUGGGAUGACAGAGCUUAGAGUUUUAGAUUUCACUAAGAUGCAUUUGUUGGCAUUGCCUUCAUCGCUUGGUCGCUUGCAAAACCUUCAAACAUUGUCUCUCGAUGAUUGUGAACUAGGAGACAUGGCCAUUAUCGGAGACCUAAAGAAAUUAGUCAUCCUUGCGCUUCGAGGUUCUGAUAUGGAGGAACUGGCUGGAGAGAUAGGCCAGCUGACUCAAUUGAGGUUGUUGAAUUUGCGCCUAUGUUACCGACUGAGAGUUAUUCCCCCAAAUGUGAUAUCAAGCUUAUCACGAUUAGAAGAACUUUAUAUUGGUGAGAGUCCCAUUGAGUGGGGGAGGGUUGAAGGAGUCGACGGUGAAAGAAGAAAUGCCAGCCUUGAUGAGUUGAAUAAUUUAUCUAAAUUGACCUCUUUAGAAAUACUCAUCCAAGAUGAAAAGACUCUAUCAAGAGACUUGUCGUUCUUCAAAAUGCUGCAAAGGUACAGGAUAUCUAUAGGACAGUUGUCGCAGUUUAUUGUGGUUCCCACAUCGGAUGGGAUUUCUAGAAUAUUGAACGAGGGGCGUAUCAUGCAAUUGAAGGGUAUUGAAGGCCUAUCUCUAGAUGGAUUGAUCGACAUGAAGAAUGUUCUUUUUGGAUCAGACAGAGAAGGCUUUCCAAAACUGAAGGGUCUCCGAAUCGAAAAUAAUGGCAACCUUUCUUGUGUUGUUGACACAAUGGAUUGUACGCCAGCUCGGACGACUGCAUUCCCCCUUUUGGAGUCAUUAUUUCUGAGAGAUUUAAGGAACCUUGAGGAAAUAUGUCGUGGUCCACUCACAGCAGAGUUUUUUUGCAAAUUAAAGACCAUAAGGGUGGAAGGGUGUGAUAAAUUGAAAAAUGUAUUUGCCGAUGGUCAUAGGCAGAGGCCUUCAACAACUUCAGUCCAUUAAAGUGAGUAGUUGCCCAAAUAUGGAAGUGAUUUUUGCUGCCGAGAGAGGAGAUGAAUCCAGCAAAUUCCCCCUUUUGGAGUCAUUAUUUCUGAGAGAUUUAAGGAACCUUGAGGAAAUAUGUCGUGGUCCACUCACAGCAGAGUCUUUUUGCAAAUUAAAGACCAUAAGGGUGGAAGGGUGUGAUAAAUUGAAAAAUGUAUUGCCGAUGGUCAUAGGCAGAGGCCUUCAACAACUUCAGUCCAUUAAAGUGAGUAGUUGCCAAAAUAUGGAAGUGAUUUUUGCUGCCGAGAGAGGAGAUGAAUCCAGCAAUAAUAACGGUACUGAAGUGAUUGAACUCACUCAAUUGAGGACACUUGAGCUUCGUUCUCUUCCGCAGCUUACAAGCUUCUGCACAGGUGAUCUGCAUUUUGAAAAGGUACACGUGCAAGAUUUUUUUAAUUAUUUUUCAAUUCUUACGUACUGAAAAGUAUUUCUACUUUGAGAGUUCAGAGUUUUAUUGUCGUCAUCGCCCUCAUCACUUCGUCUUUUAGUAACAAAAUGUUAGUUCUAUAAAUCAGUUUAUUUAAUUAUACUUUAUAAUAUCCGUACAAACAUAAUAAUUAUUUUUUUUUUGGAUGUCAGUUAGACCGAAUGAAAAAAAAAAGAUAUAUAGUAAACAAUUAUUUUUUUCCUUCUUAUUCAAUUUUUUUUUCUCUUAAUUAUCAGAGUUUUUCUUCUCCCUCUACUUUUUAUUUUAUGUCUACAUGUUUAGUUAAAUACACGGAAAGAGACAGUGCAUUUGAUUAGCCAAAUAAAGAAAAUACUCAUAAGAUCUAGAGGCUUUCAAGGCACAGUUAAUUCCCUAAAAAUCGUUCAAGAGCUAUUUCCAAAUUAGUACUCCUUAGUACAGUAUUGUUACAUACAAAAUGAUUAUCAAUUUUGAUGUUGAAGAAGAAAUUGGUCAUCUCGUGUUAACAUAAAUAAUAUUUUUAAAAUAUAUAUAGAGAGAUGGACAAAACUCAAAUUAAGAAAUCUUAUUCUAUUAAACUUUAUGUACAAUAAAAUCCAUUCUUGCACAAUAGUAAAUAUAUCCAAUUCCAUUGAGUUGGAUGAAUAUUAAUGAAAUACCAACUUCUUACUAUAUUAUUAAACUUUUAAAAUUCAUAUUAUUUAUUCAUUUCUGCUUUAAGAAAAAGUUAAAAACUCCAAUAUUUUUUUUAAAUAUAUAGAAAUUUGUAAGAUUUUCAAUUCAAACCAAAUAAACGGAUCAAUUAAAAGAAUCUCAAAGUUUAAAUGCAAUUUGAGAAUAAUUGAAGUCUUUUUCAUAGAGAUUAUGCACAAAUCUAAAAAAAUUUGAAAAUCUAUCUACUGGACAAGAGUUAAGAACAGAGAAUGGAAGAAAAUACACACUACUUAAAUGGAAUGCUUUGUAUUUACAGCUGAAAAUCAUACUCUCUCCGCAUAUGUAUAAAUUUGUCCGGCCAUCAAUAUGCAUCAUUGGAAUGCUUUGUAUUUACUGUAAUUUUUGAAAUCGUUAGAAAGAAGUGUUAACUCCAUCUUGCUUUUUUCGUGAUUGAUGAUCACCCAGGUGUUCCCCAAUUUGGAGAAAUUGAGUGUUGAUGAAGAGCACAUAGGCCUAUUUCCAGAAGACUGGCUUUGCAAACUUAAAUGUCUUGCUGUCGGGAUUGAUGAGUCAAGUACAAUUUUAUCACUUGACGAUUUCCUCCAGAGAUUUCACACCAUCAAAAUUCUCUCUAUAGGAGGAGACUAUUUUGUUUGGGGAGAAUCAUUUGAAAACCUUGAAAAUGGGAUGAAUGCAAGGAUGAGAGGGAUAAACCAGCGUCGUGAACUGAAGCAGAUUUUCAAACAAGAGUCAACCAAUACCAACAAUUUGGAAAAGCUGGAGAUAUUCGAGUGUAACAAUUUGACUAAUCUAGUGCCAUCCUCGACAUCCUUUCAGAACCUAACAACUUUGACGGUGUGUUUUUGCCAUGGAAUGAUAAACGUACUAACAUCCUCAACAGCAAGGAGUCUGGUGCGACUGAGACAAAUGGAGAUAGGUUGCUGCAAGAUGAUAACAGAAAUAGUGGCAGAUGAGGAUGAUGAGGGAGAUAAUUAUGCAGCAAAAGAGGAAAUUGUUUUCAGCGAAUUAAAGGAAUUGAAGCUUUUUAACUUAGAAAGUCUGACAAGUUUCAGCUGCUCUGGGAAUAAUUGCGACUUCAAAUUCCCAUCUUUGGAAACAUUAGUGGUGGAAAAUUGCCCCAAUAUGAAGAUUUUCUCAGAAGGGGAAUUAAGCACACCCAAGUUACAGAAAGUGCAGCUGAGCCAUCUCAAUAAAAAACUUUGGGCUUGGGAUCGGGACCUUAAUACAACCAUUCAAUACGUAUAUCUUAAAAGGAAAAAGGUAAGUAUUCAUUCACACUGAGAUGUUGAUUUUUUUUUUCUAAAAAUUACUGAUUUAAUAACAGAUAUAUAUAAAGAAGUAAAAAGAAAAAAGUACAUAUUAAUUUUUUUUUAUAAAUUCAUUUUAAAUCUUAUUAGGAAGAGAAGGAAAAAAAGAAUGAGAAGUCCGCUGAGGCGAAUGAAAAGGAGAAAGAUGCAAAAGAUAGUGGUAAGAUAAAAUCUAAACAAUUUGAAAGGUUUUGAUUUUAUUCUAUUUUGCUGACUAAAAAUGUUUUAUUUAUGUUGAAUUUUUUGUUAAAUCAUAUUGGUACAUCUUUUUAAAAUAUAACUACUCUGCUCUAUUGUUAUGUUGAGGAUUAGUUGUUAGAAAGACAUAGCGAAAAAUAAAAGAAUAAAAAAUGAAAUUAAUUGCUUACUGAGAGAAUUGAAGGAUUUAUGUGUCCUUAAUAGAGGCUAAUUUGUGCAAUUUAAUUAUGUGAAAACUGCACCUUCAAUGUGUUUUUACUCUUUGUCUACAGAGUCUCCAAACUUAUGAAGACGAUUCAUGCUACUUGUGCAGCAUUUUGGAUAAGGCUCGAGCUCUAGUUCUUUGUAUAUAUUAAGAGUCAGAUGGUGUUGGGGCGAGGAUUUUUGUUUCAGUUUUCAUUUAUUAUUAUGCUCAUAGCUUUGUUUGAGUACUCAGAAAUCCAAUUUGAAGCUAGUUUUAUUUCUUAUGGAUGGUGUCCAAGAGCUGCCAUAUUCAAUUUGUAGGCAUCUGAAAAUCUCUUUAAGCCCUAAUUAAUUAAAGAGAUGUGUGCAUCAUAUUUGUGUUUGUGCACCUAUUGGUAUUUAUUGGAGACAAUUUUGCGAGAAAUUAUGUGAUUUCAUGAAAAUAUCAAGAAUUUAUAAAGAAAAUUAUAGAAAAAUAAAAGUUUAUGUUGAAGCAACAUGUGAAUUUAUAAAAAAAAAGUCACACAAGCUCUAAUUUUGUAUAUAUUUUAUGAACAAUAAUAGCAAGUAAAAAAAUUAUUUAAUGAUUUGAAGCAAGUCAGCUGAGACCAAGUGUUUUUAUUAUUUAGGGAAUUAGAUCAUGAAUGGUAAUCUUUCAUUUGAUCAAUUACCUCAAAAUACUCUCAUUUUACGAAGAACGUCAAAUAAUCAAAACUUAAUCGUCAUUAAUUAAAAGCUACUGUAGAAAGCUUGAACGGUCUUCCAAAUUGCAGGUUGGAAGAUGUGGACGGCAUUAGCAACUGUCAGGAAUCUUCAUCCAAGUUGCGAGCCACCCGAUCCGAGUCUCAUCAUUUACUAUUUUUUUUUUAACCUUUUUAAUUUCAUUUUCGUUUACUUUUGAGAAAAGGAAAAUGUAAAGAUUGAAUAAGAUAAGAAUCAUUUGUUUGAAAAUUGAAAAAUGAUUGGAAGACACAAAAUUGAAUUUUAAAAAAUAUAUAUUGAAAAUGAUAUCGUUCUGGUUCUAAUUUAGAAAAAAAAAAUUCACCUAAAAUGACAUUAUUUUAAGUAUAUUUUUGUCAAUUUUGUUGACUGAAAAGCCAACGACUCAAGGAGUGGGCCAACUGUUCAAAUAUGUGACAAGCUUGCGUGGGAGCUGAGGUUGUGGGCCUGUGGCCAGUGGCACAAUCUACUGGUGCUCGGUUCCGUGAUGGAAUAAACGAAUCCCAUCAUGAAAUCUAUGGCUGGUGGGAUAAUCUAUUGGUCUACUUAUAAUCCGAUUUUGGGAUUCUCACUCUUAUCAUCACCUCACAUUUCGCGCAAGUUUUUUUAAUUCUUCGUCCACUCUUUGCGUUCAUUUCAAUGAAAAAGAAAAAGAAAUUAAUAUAAUCGAACACACUACCUCAGUUAAUUUAGUUCUGCUGACUUAAUUUUUUUUUAAAUAUAAAGUCAGUGAGUGCCGCUGUACAAAUCAAAUUAUUGGUUACCAUUGGGCCGACACACAUCUCAAGACUCUGCAAGUCUUUCUCCAUCUCAAUCAACAUACUCAAUCGUCUUUGUUAGGGUGAUUAUACGACCAGAGCACCAGCCACACAUGCUUUCACCUGGUCGAGGUAAGAAUCUCCUCGGGUCGGUGUAUUAUGAGCAGACACAAUAAUACCAGGGUCCUCUUCGAUGUAUGGCUAAAAGUCGACCAGAGAACUAUUCCUUAAAUAUCGGACACGAUACCAUAUCUAGGCGACGGUUCCCGACCAUGCGGGGAAAGCCACGAUAACGGAUGCACGAUUUUCACAAAUCCUCUAAACCCACGAAGGCUCGAAUAUGGAGGACGUGGGGAUGUUCUAGAUACAUGGGGAGGCUGCCUAUAAAAACCCCAAAAAAACAACAAAAGGAAAAAAGAAAAAAAGGAAAAAGGGGGGAAAACUCAGUCAUUUUGGAUCUAGAACUUAUUUCGAAAAAGCUUUCUGAAACACUUCCUUCAUUUAAGAAUUGUUAGUUUUGAUAGAUGGAUAAUUCAACCUUUUUUUCCCCCCCGAAACCUUGCAUACUGACUUAAGUGUUGGAGGUGUUUGAGGAAUUAAAUAGAGCGACCAUGAUCUCCUCCAAGUGAAAGUGAGCAAAUGGUUGAGCAGACCACCUCGACCAGGUGGUAUGAGCUUGAGCAGAUCACCUUGACCAGGUGGUAUGAGCUUGAGCUGAUGACCAUGUGGUAUGAGCUUGAGCAGAUCACCUCGACCAGGUGGUAUGAGCUUGAGGAGACCACCUCGACCAGGUGCUAUGAGCUUGAGGAGACCACCUCGACCAGGUGCUAUGAGCUUGAGCAGAUCACUUCGACCAUGUGAUAUGUGCUUGAGCAGAUCACCUCGACCAGGUGGUAUGAGCUUGAGCAGAUCACCUCGACCAUGUGCUAUGAGCUUGAGCAGAUCACCUCGACCAGGUGGUAUGAGCUUGAGCAGAUCACCUCGACCAGGUGGUAUGAGCUUGAGCAGAUCACCUCGACCAGGUGGUAUGAGCUUGAGCAGAUCACCUCGACCAGGUGAUGACCAGGAAUCAAGACUCAGUUAAAAUAAACCACCACAAAGCUCCUCCGAAAAAUGAGAGCACGAAUUUGAUCAAUUAAUGGUUAUUGUCACGAUCUAAGGUCGUGGGUGUGGGGUGUUUAUAAAAACCCCGAGAAAACCAUGCCAAAGGGGGAGAAAUGGGGGGCUCUUUUUCUCUUGAUCUCACUGAGAAAUUCUUUCUAGAUACUCUACUUUACUUUUCUGUAAAUUAUUCAAAAAGCUUUUGGUUUUAAGGCAAUGUUUAUUAAGCCAUAUGAGAAACAUCAUAUUUGGUUUUUCCUGUAAACCCCAUAACUGACUUGAGCGUCGGAGAGUUUACGCCGGAAAAACUUCCGGCACCUCUGACCAUUCUCUGUAAUUUCAGGUACUUAUUGAUCGUCAGCUUGAAGAUUAUAUGCUCAUGAAUGUUCUGCUCAUAGUCAGAGAAUAUUCUUGGAGAUCAACCAGCAGCUUCCCACCAAACAAAUUUAAUGCUGAUGCAGGGAUCCGAAAUUGAGUCACUAACCAAGUGGUUCGGAUUUCGGCAUCAACAGGAGGGUUCUGAUACCAAAUUGAAGUUUAAUCAAGCUAUUUGUGCUUGUUUGGUUGUAGAGAAAGUGAGGGAAAAUUUAAUGAGCAUUAAGAGAAAAUAUAAGAAAAACAGAUCAAAUCUUAUUUAACUAAUUAUGAGUACAGAAAGUGAGCUUAUAUACUGAGAUCCAGAACCUUCUACAUUUGCUCACACACGUGUAAAGAAUAAGCUGUGAUUAACUAACUUUCCCAGCUCUAUAACAAACAUACAAACUAACAAUAACAACCUUGCUUACUCAGCUGCCAUAUCAGCAGAACCAUUACAAGAAUAUUCUUUACAUUUAUAUCUCUAACAGCCACAGAGCCCAGUCAUCGGAGGAAUAGAAAUGAGGAGAUCCCUUCAAUAAGGGGGACAGCUCAAUGGGGUGCCUAACAAUGGAGUUGGAACUCAUACUUUGAGAGAAUGUGAGCAUGAAGGGAGAGAUCAAUUACACAACGGACGAAUCUUGGGAAGUUGUAGCAGAGGAGCGAAUGCCGAAAAAAGGGAGCUCAGGCAGCACCUGCUCGGGCCUUGGAACUGGAGGGAGAAGUACGGCAAUUGGCACAAAUAAUAGACGAAAUGCAGGGUAGGAGAAAGCCCCUCAGUUGGAGAAUAAUGCUGGAUGAUUAAUCUCGGCUUUCAGCUGAAAUCAUAGGCACUAUGAUACCAAGAUAUUUUCAUUUUCUCGACCUCAAAUACUCAGGAAAAAGUGGCCUGCUGGUGCACGUCGAGCGCUUCAAUGACAUGACUGGAGUGCAGGGACUAACACCAGCGUAGAGGUGCAGAGUAUUCCCUUUGACAUUGGAAGGACGAACACGAGAUUGGUACCUUCCCUUUGACACCAGCUGGGACUUGCAACUUCCAGGAACCUUCGAUUAACCCAAAAAAAAAAACACAUAUAGUUUGAAAUUAUAUGAUGAUUGAUAGGAAUGUAUUUUUGUAGUAAUCUUUUAUUUGGUCAUUUAUUUUUUGGUAUUCCGUGAAAAGUGUGCAAAAUUAGAUAAUAUUUCUCUGAAACUGGUAUUCCUUGUGCGAAGCAUCACAUGCUGAGAGCUUCGACUAAACUAGUUUCAAUUGUACUUUUACUUACACGCUGCCGCUACAGCUUUGGAAGCGUAAAAAUAUGUGUGCAAUUCCUUCAUUUGAUCAUCUUAACUAAAGAUGUGUGAACUUACCAUUUCUGUGCAUCCCUUUUAUUAUUGUUAUGUGCAACAAUUUUCUGGUGAAUGUGAGAGAUUCUAUUCAAGUUUAUUUUUGUGAUCACGUGCGCACGUCAGGCAUUGCAAGCGUAAAUGCAAAUUAAGUCACCUGAACAUGCAUGCGAUAUAGUAAUUUAUUGUUAUUAUCAAUUAUUCCAUUCUUUUCUUUCGAAACUAAAUUUCAACUACUUGAGAUGUGAAAUUCUUAAUAGCAGAUAUUCUUUGUAUAUGUAUGAUCGGAUCCUGAGUACAGGGCACCUGCUGUCUCUGUUUUUAAUUGAAGCAUGUUUUUCGGCUUGAGUCAUUGAGAAGGCAAGUGAGCUGGAUGUUAUCUGGAUUCGACCUCCUAAAUAAUAACACAACUAACUGAGUCUAUUCACAUUUCGUCUCAUAUUUGACUGGCAAUAGCACAUCAAAAAAGUCUUGUGAGAGUCACCUCGUAUUGAUGUGCUUAAUUUACAAAGAUCAAAACCAGUAUCACGUUGCUUUAGUAAUUUGAAUUUGUGUUGGACUGAGUCGACAAAAAAGUCCUUCACCUCGCACUGAUAAUACAUUUAAAUUACAAAGAUCGAAACCAGAUCUGUCAUUACAUGAAUUGGCUGUAUAAAAUAAUCAACUCACUUCUUAUUCAGUCAUCCGUUCUGUCAGCUCUUCACAUUGGUCCUUUUCUUGUUUCUGUUUUCGUCUGAAAAAAAACCUUUGCUUCUGUUUGUUUUUUAAUCUCACUUUCCUUUGGCCUCCUUCACUUUUAGAUUGUUAUCUGCUUAUUCUACGAUUAAUGCCAUCUUUGAUGAUAUCAAGGCAGAAACAGAGAAGCAAAAGAGUGAAAGUACGGGCAUUCAGCGCGGAGUUUCUGAGACGAAAGCAAAAGGGCAAGAGAUUGAAGAGAAGGCUGAGAACAGUGCGGAACUAGAUCACUACUCAAGUCUCUCACUAAUCUCCUAAAUGGUUGUUUUUGCUUCCAUAGGCUACACUGGUUGGUUCAAAUCACAAAUUUGAGGAUCUUGCUGGAAACAUAUUGUCUAAAAAAUUGCCCAAUUCAAACUUUACUGCGGCUAUUCGAACAGAAAUAAGUGUUCUGUUUGGUUUCACUUUGAAUUCUGCAAUUUUUUGAACAAUAGCUUCCAGCAAGAUCCUCAAUUUGUGAUUAUAACCAACCACUGUAAUCUAUAGAAGGAGAAAUCAUUUAGGACAUCAGUGAAAGAUUUGAGUAAUGAUUAUUCUCACCAACACAUUCAUCAAUUUUUCAUCCAGGCUCAAUUUACAAAAUUAUUAGCGGGUAGCUACCUCGAUUAUGUUUACAGAAAAUAGAGGUUUGUAGGCAAACAAAGAGCAUUGUUAUUUGAACAGCUGCAGGAUAUUCGGAAGACAUGCAGAAAUAUGGGUAUUGCUUAUGCUAUAGUGCCAUUGCAGCAUAAAAUUGACAGCAAUGUUUAUGCCUCAGUACUGUCUUUUUUUGUCUUCUGAUUGUUUUGCUGAUACACAAAUAUCAUUUUCCACAAACAAAACAUGCAAUAGCAUGCUCCAGGAGCAGUUUCUUACACUCUUGAAGUAGCCUACAAUAAGAUCAAAUCGAAUAUUCUCCCUCAAUUUAGUGUUCUAAAACUGAUUUAUAUUUUAACUUAGAAAUCCAAUCUAAAAGCACUAUUAACGAAAGCUCUUCGUGUUUGCAUUAAAAACCAAGAAGCAGCUUUUUUUUUUGUGGGGGAGGGGGGAGAACCUCAGUCAAAUAAGAUAAAAUUACUUUGGAUGGGUUAUUUACAUUCUAGAAAAAAAAAAUAUUUCUGAACACUACUAUACUUUAUUGGCUCAUCUAGUAAAUUUAAAAUUUUUAUUUUUAUUUUGUAUACUCUAUUAAAUGUCAAAAAAAAAAAUCAUCACACAAAACGAGGAUUCAUGAAAACCAUCUGUGUAGCAUCUGAAAUGAGGCCAUUUCUGUAUAAUUUGUGAGGCAUUAUAUUAUAUGGAGCUUGACUUCUUUCUCUUUAUCAAGGGUAAGAUGGCAUUGGUGAUCAAGAGGGUCCCCCUGUUUCUUUGUUUUUAUUAAUAUUACUUCGAAUCCGCUUUCAGGUUGAGUGUCUAACGAUUUGAUUAAAUUUGUGUUUAGUUGAAUGUAUUGGAUUUCUGGAGUAUUUUGGUAGUUAAUGAUGAAACUCGGCAUUAGAUGAACUUACAAUCAUUCUAAUGAUAAAAAUUUUUGUCAUCGAAAGUCAUUGAGUAUUAUUGCGGCAGUAAGCUACAUUGAACUAGCAUUCAAGAAAUAACUAUCAGUAAUUAUUCUGGAUAUUCAACGUGAAUGAAACCUCUAUUACAAUAGUGAAAUGAAUUGAAGUUUUAGUGGAGCUCUGUUUAAUCAAAUCGUGGGAAAUAAAUUCAGUAGCAAAACUGGGAAAUUAUUAGUUGCUCCGUCGAGUCAACCCAAAAAAAUCAUAACAAUGACUGAAAUCAUUUAUAGAACUAAACACAAAUUUAAUCAAAUCAUUAAACGUGUACGUGAUUGCCGCUGGUAUUAAAAUGAAAACCUUUAAUUCACACGUACAUCACUCAGCGUUUGGAAUUCGUCAUUUGGGUCCUCACCUGUAAGCAUCACGUGCACCACUCAUUCUGAGUUUCUGACCAAGUCAAAGUUCAGUUAAGAUUCUUUGCAGCAGGAAGGUGGUUCGGUGACUGGUGAAUAGCUCACUCAACUUGUGAACCGUGAUUAGUCAAAUAAUCAAGUACACGUGGCAUCAUGAAACGCUUCGAAGAAUAACCUCGGAAGGUCUGUCCACUGUCCAGUAUGAUGACAUGUCAGCAACGUUUUACAACAGGAAGCAGCUAUGGUGUAAGCAUGGUAGUGAUCGCGUAGAAGCUGUGUAUGCAUAUCACCCGUCUGUUGAAAUGCUCGCAGUAAUCAAACCUCUUAUAACAUUGCUUCAUCUGUCAAGUAAAAUUUUCCUCGGAGUCAAGAAAUGGAGAACUAACAGGUAUGCAUUUCUUAAACCAUUAGUAUAUUCAAAAACAAGGAUUCGUAUAAAAGCAUAUUAAUGAUUAUGAAACUAAGCAUGACGGAAUCAGCAUUUCUUGAUUUUCUUCAAUAAGCAGAAAUAGUGUUUCCCAAUAAAUUUAUAAAAGAUGCGUUAAAACAUUAUAUUAUAUACUAGUCGAUUGAUUUUUCUUUUAAUCUUCCUGUUAUAUUCCACGACAGAGCUCAUUUAAAGACUUCUGGUCCCGUUUUCAUAAUAAUCGUUGUCCUAAACCUUCUUUGCAGAUCUUUCACUGUGUUCCCUUUUUUUUAUUUCUAGCUUUUUGCUUUUCUUUUUCACAUGGUCUUUGUUUAUAUUUGAUGUUCCCAAAUAUACACGCAACCAUUUGUGACAGCGAAUAUUUUUACCUAGUUGUUGGAUUGUGGCUUUCUGUGUUUUGUCUUUUUGGUCGACUUUAACAUGAUUUAGAGCUUUUGAACGCGUCUUCCAAGUGCACAUGCCGAGUAUAUCCACUGUUCGAUGAAAUGCCCAUUUGAAUAAUUUGAGGACCCACGAGGCCACGCCACUGGUAUUAGACUAAUUGGAAAAGAAAAAAAGAAAAAAAGAUAAUAAGUACAACUGUGAUGCAUUUUCACAUUAACUUUACAAAGUCUGGUUAUAAAUUUAUAAUUUUACGCACAUGAAAUCACCAAAGUAUUAUUUAAUUUAACUCUUCUCAACUGGGGACGUGAGUUUGAUUCAAGUAGUAUUAUCACUCAUAUAAUUUAUUAAUGAGCUCUUUUCCUGUCAUCUAAUGCUGAUGCUUGUAUAUUCUAUUCUACCAUUCGAUUUUUUUAUGUCUAGUGCUUGUAGAUCAAUUGAUUAUAUGCUUCAUACUUGAUGGAGUGAAUAUAAUACAUAAGAUUUUCAUUCAGUUAUAUGCAGAUAUGUUAAACUUUGGUUUAUAGGCUAGAUCGUCACUAAUUAUUCAUAGUACGUGAAGCCUCUAAUACAACAGUGAUAAGAUUUGAAGUAUUAGUUGCUCUGCUUAAUCAAAUCAUGACAAAUAAAUACGGUUGCAGGGCUGGGUACUUGUUGGUUGUUCCGUUGAGUCAACACAAAACAAAAAAAAAAAAUCAUAAAAAUGAAUGGCAAGAAUAGGAAUGAAAUCAUCCACAGAAAUAAACACAAAUGUAAUCAAAUCAUUGAACACUCUUGCUCUAAGUUUUCUUCUUUACUGAUUCUUUGUUUUGUUCAUUGUUUGAUCAUUGAUUCUUGUUAAGCUUUCUGUCACUUCUUGUUUGGGAUCUGCUCUUGGGUCCUUCAAGAUUGUGUUCUUGGUUCAAUUGAGCUUUGGGAAUAGCCAUUACAUCCACGACAUGGAAGUAAUAGUAAAUAUAUAACAUCAUUUUUAUCUUCCAAUCACAAGUUACAAGAUAUAAAAUUCCCAAGGAAAAUUAAAAAGGUAAAAUUAUCUUACAUCACCUGUUGAAAAAUGAAAUAUUUUAUCCAUGUACGUAAGCGAAAUUUUGAAGGAAAACGAGAAAGAAGAAAUGGUCAAUUUCGCAGAACAACAGAGAGAUUUUGGUAGUUUCCUCCAUAAAUUUAUCACCCCAUUAUCCUCAAUUGAUAUCAGUAACACUCAAAUCUAUCCGAAAUUCUUUACAAUCCCUAAUAUAUUUAAAAGGGUUUAAUUUUGACUUUUUAAUAACUUCCAUUAGGCCAAGCAUAUUUAGUUUCUUGAAGAUUUAUUCCUGAAAAAUCCUCAAUUGUUUAUUAAUCAAGAUAGAGUUCGAGUUUAAUGAUAAAAUGAUCAUGAUUUUAAUUUAAAGAUAUGAGCCCAAAAUCCUACCGUUUACAUAUUAAAAUCACUUGAUUAUCAUAUAUUACUCAAUAAUCAAAGUUAUUUAUUACACAUCAAAGUUAAUCACUUGAUUACUUGAAAAAUGCCGGCGGCACUUGCAACUCCCUGGAACCUUCGUGUAAGUUUUCGAGUUCAUCAACUGUUGGAUAAAAUGCCCAUUUGAAGAAACUAAUAGAAAAUUGAGAUCCUCUCUUGAAUAGAGUUUACCCUUGAAAAAUAAGUAUACAUUAUCAUUCAUGUAUUGUCAAAAUUUGAGCUUAAGAUCCAACUAUUUACAAAUUAUUAAUUAUUUUUGUUGGUGAAAGCAAAUUGAUUAGAAGAAUGUGGCAAUAAGAAGAUAAAAAUGCUUGCUCAAAUACUUUGCCGUGUGUUCUUACUUACAAAUCCACCAGCUUAGCUUUUAAUCACAUAAAUAAGUCAUCAUCAUCACUAGAUUAUCGUAUAUUACACAAUUAUCAAAGCUAAUUAUUGAAACCUUUCUUUCAAAGAAAAAGAAUUAUUGAAACCUUCCGAGUUUGAAAAUGCCGGCAGCACUCGCAACUUCCAGGAACCUUCGUGCAAGUGUAGAUGCUGAGUACAUCCAACCGUUCGAUUAAAUGCCGAAGUGAUUUCGAGGAACCCACACGACCACACAACAGGUUUUUUUUUUUUUUUUUUUUCAUUUUAUUUGUACAUCUAUUUCUUGAAAAAAUAAAAAAUCAUAAAGUUCAGAUUACCCUUGAGACUUGAGAUGACAACUGUCUGCCUCUGCAUUUUCCUAAUCAUCCCUCUUCUCUAAUCUCUAGAGUCCUCUGAAAUCUCUUCUUCAUUUUCUGUCUCCCUUUUUUGAAUCGUUCUUGUCCUCGAUCCUACACCUUCUUUGCAAAUCUUUCAUUUAUUGUACUCGCUUUUCAAUUUGUCUUAGCAGAAAAUGGAUCCCCCUUUGUUUCAUCUCUAGAUUUUUCACUCUUUUCCUCUCCUCCUCCCUUAAAUCUAUUCAACUUCUUAUUUUAGCAAUUUAUCGGAACUUCUUAUUUCCCUCUUCCCAGCUGAUUGAUUAGUUCUGCUUAGUUUGAUUAGUUUUGCUUUCCCCUGUAUUCUGAAAGCGAAAAAUAAAAAAAAGAAAGGGAUAAUGGAUAUUGCUACCUCCGCAGUUGCGAAAGUUGCAGAGUACUUGGUUGAUCCCAUUAUUCAUCCAUUUACUUACUACUGCACUUACAACACCAACUUCGAGAAGCUGAAUAAUGAAGUUGAUAAGCUCAAGAAUGCUAGAGAGAGUGUGCGGUAUAAGGUUGAUGAUUCCAGAAUUAAAGGGGACGGAAUUCAACAUCACGUUGAGGAGUGGAUGAUUACUGUGGACAAGGCCAUCAAUGAAGUCGAAACACUUAUUGCAGACAAAGAGAAUUCAAACAACCGGUGGUUGAAGGGGUUGUGUCCUAAUUUGAAGACCCGGUACCAGCUUAGCAUGAAAGCAGAAAGUGAAGCGAAUGCUAUUGCUGGACUUCUUGAAAAAGGAAGAUUCGACGGUGUUUCUUUCCGUACCAUUCCAGAGGAGACAUGGCUUAACUCUACCCAGGGUUUCAUGCACUUUGAAUCGAGAACUUCCACUUUGAAGGAGAUACUGGACGCACUCAGCAACCGUAACUUCAACAUGAUUGGGGUGUGCGGCAUGGGUGGCAUUGGAAAGACAACGCUGGUGAAAGAAGUUGGCAGGCAGGCCAAGGAAUAUAAUCUAUUCGAGAAGGUCAUUUCUGCACAUGUAUCCCGAACACCGCAAAUAAAAGGAAUACAAAGAGAAAUUGCAGAGAAGCUGGGCCUGAAAAUAGAUGAAGAGAGUGAAACUGGAAGAGCAGGGAGGCUGCUUGAAAGAUUGAAGAAAGAGACGAAGAUCCUUAUAAUCUUGGAUGAUAUAUGGGGGAGUCUUGGUUUGGAGGCAAUUGGAAUUCCAUUGGCAGAUGAUAUCGGCGGAUGUAAAGUUCUGCUGACGGCAAGAAGUCACGAUGUGUUGUCUUCUAAGAUGGAUUGUCAAAAAAAUAUUUUUGUUGAUGUUCUGAAUGCAAAAGAAGCUUGGAGUCUUUUCAAAAAGACGACAGGUGAUUGCAUAGAAAAUGGUGAACUGAAAUCUGUAGCAACAGAGAUAGUCAAGGAAUGUGCUGGUUUGCCCAUUGCCAUUGUACCCGUAGCGAGGGCAUUGAGAAAUAAGAGAUUGUCUGAAUGGAAGGAUACUUUACGACAAUUGAAAAAUAAGUCUUUUUUGGGGCCCGCCUAUUCAAGUUUAGAGCUGAGUUACUAUCAUUUAGAAGGUGAGGAACUCAGGAAAACGUUUUUGCUAAUAGGGUACACGUUCAUCUCUUGCGUUGAAGACGUGAUCUAUUAUGGCAUGGGUCUGGGUCUGUUUCAAAACAUCAACACGUUGGAAGAGGCACGGGAUAGAGCACAUACAUUGGUUGAUAAACUCAAGAACUCUUGCUUGCUGCUUGAUGGCAAUACUAGUGAAUGGUUUUCUAUGCACGAUGUUGUUCGUGAUGUAGCCAUAUCAAUUGCAUCUAGAGUCCAACAUGUUUUUGCGGUGGAAAAUGAGGUUGUUCCGCCGACCAGCUGGCCAGAUAAGGAUGCACUGAAGGUUUGCACCGCAAUCUCCUUAAAGAAUAGUAAUAUUAGUGAGCCUCCUCGAGGGUUCGAAUGCCCGCAACUUAAAUUCCUUUGUAUUGGCUGUCAUGCUUCCUUGAGGAUCCCAGAUAAUUUUUUUACUGGGAUGACAGAGCUUAGAGUUUUAGAUUUCACUAAGAUGCAUUUGUUGGCAUUGCCUUCAUCUCUUGGUCUCUUACAAAACCUUCAAACAUUGUCUCUGGAUUAUUGUGAACUAGGAGACAUGGCUAUUAUUGGAGACCUAAAGAAAUUAGUUAUCCUUACGCUUCGAGGUUCUGAUAUGGAGGAACUGGUUGGAGAGAUAGGCCAGCUGACUCAAUUGAGGUUGUUGAAUUUGCGCCGAUGUUACCGACUGCGAGUUAUUCCCUCAAAUGUCUUAUCGAGCUUAUCCCGAUUAGAAGAACUAUAUGUUGGUGAGAGUCCCAUUGAGUGGGGGAAGGUUGAAGGAGUCGACGGUGAAAGAAGAAAUGCCAGCCUUCAUGAGUUGAAUAAUUUAUCUAAAUUGACCUCUUUAGAAAUACUCAUCCAAGAUGAAAAGACUCUACCAAGAGACUUGUCGUUCGUCAAAAUGCUGCAAAGGUACAGAAUAUUGAUAGGAAGUCAGUGGACGUGGGAUUACGUAUCGAGUGAGAUAUCUGAAAUAUUCCGACUGAUGGUCGCCAGUGGUGCCAACAUUUGCUUGAACGGGGGGCAUAUCAUGCAAUUGAAGGGUAUUAAAGACCUAUGUUUAGGCGGAUUGCUGGACAUGAAGAGUGUUCUUUAUGGAUCAGACGGAGAAGGUUUUCCACAGCUGAAGCGUCUCGAGGUCGUAAAAAAUAGCAACCUUUUAUGUGUUGUCGACAUAGUGGAUAGAGCAACAGCUCGGACGACUGCAUUCCCCCUUUUGGAGUCAUUAUUUCUGAGAGAUUUAAGGAACCUUGAGGAAAUAUGUCGCGGUCCACUCGCGGCAGAGUCUUUUUGCAAAGUAAAGGACAUAAGGGUGGAAUGGUGCGAUAAAUUGAAAAAUGUAUUUCCAUUGGUCAUUGGCAGAGGCCUUCAACAACUUCAGUCCGUUGAAGUGACUGGAUGCCAGAAUUUGGAAGUGAUUUUUGCUGCCGAGAGAGGAGAUGAAUCCAGCAAUAGUAACACGCAAGUCAUUGAACUCACUCAAUUAACAACACUUGAACUUUGUUAUCUUCCGCAGCUUACAAGCUUCUGCACAGGAGAUCUGCAUUUUGAAUUUCCAUCAUUGGAACAAUUAAAAAUACUGGAAUGUCCCCAAGUGAAAUUUAAAAGCACUAUUCAUGAGUCCACCAAGAAGGUACGUGCAAGACUUUUGUAAUUAUUGUUCAAUUCUUACGUACUUAAAAGUAAUUCUACUUUCAGAGUUCAGAGUUUUAUUGUCAUCAUCAUCGCCCUCAUCACUUUGUCUUUUAGUAACAAAAUGUUAGUUGUAUAAAUCAGUUUAUUUAUACUUCAUAAUAUCCUCAUAAACAUAAAUCAGUUUAACAAAAUGUUAGUAAACAAUUUUUUUUAAUUCUAGUUCAAUUGUUUUCUCUUAAUUAUCUGAGUUUUUCUUCUUCCUCUACUUUUUACUUUUUUUUUAUGUCUCUUAUGUUUACUUAAUACAUGAAAGAGAGUGUGCAUUUGAUUACCCAAACAAAGAAAAUUCUAAUAAGAUCUAGAGUUUUUCAAGCCACAGUUAAUUCCCAGAUAAUUUUUAGGAGCUAUUUUUAGAUUAGUAUGCCUUAACAAUUAAUAUUGUUACAUACAAAUUAUUAUCAAUUUUGAUGUUGAAGAAGAAAAUGGUCAUCUCGUGUUAACAUAAAUACUAUUCUUAAAAAUAUAUAUAGAGGGAUGAACAAAACGCAAAUGAAGAAAUCUUAUCCUAUUAAAUUUUCUACAUAAUAAAAUCAUUUCUUGUACAGUAGUGAAUAUAUCCAAUCCGAUGAAUAUUAAUUAAAUACGAGCUUCUUACUACAUUAUUAAACUUUUUAAAUUCAAGUUAUUUAUUCAUUUAUACUUUUGAUAAAAAGAAAAGAAAAGUUAAAAUAUCCAUUUUCAAAAAAAAAAAAAAAAAUUUGUAAGAUUUUCAAUUCAAACCAAAUAAAUCGAUCGAUUAAGAGAAUUUGGAAGUUUAAAUGUAAAUUGAGAAUAAUUGACGUCUUUUUUGUAUGCUAUAUAUAUAUUUAUCUGGCCAUCAAUAUUAUUCAUCAUUAGAAUGCUUUGCAUUUACUUUGAUAUGUGAAAUUGUCACAAAGAAGAUCAAUUCCACCUUGUUUUUUCUGUGAUUGUUAGAAAGAUCAUAUGCUACACACUCACACACAUAGAGACACACAUACACGAUAGGCCAUCAAUAUUCAUCACCGGAAUGCUUUGCAUUUACUUUAAUUUGUCAAAUUGUUAAAAAGAAGAUCUAACUCCAUCUUGCUUUUUUUUUUUUUUUUUUUUGAUUGGUAAUCACCUAGGUGUUUCCCAAUUUGGAAUAUUUGAGUGUUGAUGAAAAGCACAUAGGUCUAUUUCCAGAAGACUUGCCUUGCAAACUUAAAUGUCUUAAUGUUUGGCUUGAUGGGUCAACUGCUAUUUUAUCACUUGACGAUUUCCUUCAGAGAUUUCACACCAUCAAAGUUCUCUGUAUCGAAGGAUACGAUUAUGAUGGGGAAGAACUAUUUGAAACGGUUGAAAAUGGGGUGAAUGCAAUGAUAAAGGGAAUAAACUUCCAUCCUAAUCUGAAGCAGAUUUUGAAACAAGAGUCCUCCCAUGCGAACAAUUUGGAAGUACUGGAUAUAUAUGGAUGUGACAAUUUGAUUAAUCUAGUGCCAUCCUCGACAUCGUUUCAGAAUCUAACAACUUUGGCCGUAGAUUUUUGCUAUGGAAUGAUAAACAUACUAACAUCCUCGACAGCAAAGAGUCUGGUGCGACUAAAACAAAUGAAGAUAUUUGACUGCAAGAUGAUAACAAAAAUAGUGGCAGAUGACGAUGAUGAGGGAGACAAUUAUGCAGCAAACUAUGAAAUUGUUUUCAGCGAAUUGAAGGAAUUGCUGCUUUCGGACUUAGAAAGUCUGACAAGUUUCUGCUCUGUCAAUAAUUGCGCCUUCAAAUUCCCAUCUCUGGAAAGAUUAGUGGUGGAAGAUUGCCUCAAUAUGAGCAUUUUCUCAGGAGGAGAAUUAAGCACACCCAAUUUACGCAAAGUGCAGCUGAGUCGGAUUGAUAAAGAACUUUGCGUUUGGGAUCGCGACCUUAAUACAACCAUUCAAUACCUAUAUCAACAACAAAGGUACGUGUUCAUUCACUAUGAAAUGUUGAUUUUUUUUCUAAAAAUUACUGAUUUAAUGACAGAUAUAUAUAUAUAAAAGGAAAAAGAAAAAAGUGAUUAUUAAUGUUUUUAUAAAUUUAUUUUAAAUCUGAUUAGGAAGAGAGGAAAAAAGAGAAUGAGAAGUCCGCCAAAGUGAAUGAAAAGGAGAAAGAUGCGAAAGACAGUGGUAAGUUAGAAUCUAUACAGUUUGGGAGGUUCUGAUUUGAUUUUGUUGUGCUGACUAAAAACAUUUUAUUUAUAUUGAAAUUUUAGUUAAAUCAUAUCGGUAUAUCUUUCUAAAAUAUAACUACUCUGCUUUAUUGUUAUGUUGAGGAUUAAUUGUUAGACAAACAUAGCAAUAAAUAAAUAAAUAAAUAAAUAAAAUGAUAUAAAAAAUGAAAUUAAUUGCUUCCAGAGAGAAUUGAAGGAUUUAUGUGUCCUUCAUAGAGGCUAAUUUGUGCAAUUUAAUUAUGUUAAAACUGCACCUUCAAUGUGUUUUUGCUCUUUGUUUACAGAGAGUCUAAACUUAUGAAGACGAUUCAGGCCAACCUUCUGGGCGGCAUCUUGAAUAAGGCAUUGGGUUAUUUCUAUAUAUUAAGCGUCAGAUGGCGUUGGUGAGAGGAUUUUUUUUUUGUUUUAGUUUUCAUUUCCUUAUUAUGCUUUUAGCUUUGUUUGAGUACUCAGAAAUCCAAUUUGAAGCUAGUUUUAUUUCUCAUGAGAGGUGCCAUAUUGAAUUUGUAGGCAUCUCUAAAAGUCUCUUUAAGUCUUAAAUUAAUUAAAGAGAUGCGUGCUUCAUGUUUGCGUUUGUAUACCUAUUGGUAUUUAUUGGAGACAAUUAUGUACGAAAUUAUGUAACUUCAUGACAGUAUCAAUGAAAAAAGAAAAGUUUAGGGGGUCAAUUGGACACCAUCUGCCAUCAUGUUUGCUCACUGUAGGCACCAUCUUGAUCCUCCCCCGACCCUAGGUGAGGAUUGAUGAUGAUUGUCGGUUAAUCCAAAGAUUUUUUAAAGGUAAAAAAAAAAAAAAAACUAUAAAUUGUGGCAUAAACUUUGUAAUUUCUUUAAGCCAUUAAAAUAAAAUAUAUAAAAGUUGGGUCCUCUCUUGAACAGAGUUUAAAUUUAAUAAAUAAGUAAACAUUAUUAUUCUUGUGCUGUCAACAUUUUUUUUUUUUUUGUUAAUUUUAUUAACAACUAAACACUAGUCUAUAUUUGUUGAGUUGGAAACGUUGAUCAAGAUAGACUUGUUGCAGUUUGCUUAUAUUAAUGAUCACGAGUUUAAUUUAGAGAUUUGAACCCAAGUUCCUCCAUUUUCGUUAUCAAUCAUUUUUGUUGAUUAACGCUAUUUGAUUAGAGGAAUGUGAUAAUGAAAAGAUGAAAAUACCUGCUCAAAUGCUUUGCCGAGUGCGUACUUACAAAUCCACUAGUUUAGCUUUUAAUCACAUAUAUAAACCACCAUCGUCACAAAAUUAUCAUAUAUUACACAAUAAUCAAAGCAAAUUAUUGAAAAGCUAUGAAUGGUCUUUCAACUUUGAAAAUACCGGCAGCACUUGUAACAACCAGCAACAUUAAGUGCUGAUGCCUAGUAUAUCAACCGUUCGAUGAAAUGCCCAUUUCGCUGUUCCCAACUUGGGACACAAGUUUGAUUAAAGUGAUACUGUAUCACUCAAAUAAUGUAACAAUGGAAUAAAUGAGCUCUUUUCCUGUCAUCUAAUGCCCGUGGUAAUAUUUCAGUAAUUGAUCAUAAUUAUUAAACUUUACUAUAUAUACUACACUCGUAACCUAAAAUCAUUCAGGAUUGAUUAUUCAAUAAUUGUCAUUUAAGUAGGGAAAAUGUGCUAACAUCCUCAACAGCAAAGAGUUUGGUGCGACUGACAGAGAUGAGUAUCGUUGACUGCAGCAUGAUAACAGAAGUAGUGGUAGAUGUUGAGUACAUAAAGGCACCAAGUCAGCCAUGCUACUGUUUCCGCCCCGGCACGGACCAUUUCAGCUAAGUGGUACGAGCAGAACACGGGGGCAAACAUGAGCCGAUCAGAGAUGGAUGCAACCAGGGAAACAUACCGACCAGAAGUAUAUGCCGAGCCAAUACUCAUCCCCAGGAAAGCGGGAACACGAUCCCACAAGAUCGCGAUAGUUGCGCUUCUCCCAGAACGGUUGAAGGACACACGAGAUCCACGUUUGCCCACAAUGUAACAGUUAGAGCUCCAUGAGGGGCUACCACCACCCGAAAAAGGAGGGAUAAGGGGCAAACGGAAAACGUGGGACAAAGGGCGGCUAUAAAAGAGAAAGACAUCGAAGAAGAAAGGGACAGAAAAAUUGAGAGAGGGAAAACGCUGCCAAAUUGCAACCAGAUUAAUUUCUUACAGAUUUUGAACAAACUUCUUGAAUCCAAAUUAUAUUGUUUUCCCGUAAACACCUUGUGCUAACUUAGGCAUCGGAGGGUUUACGCCGGCAAAACCACCGGCGUCUCUGAUCCAUUUUUGGUGAACGCAGGUCUAGUGAGAGAAAGGAGGGUGGUCCCGGCCUUAGUGGUUCGAGCAACAGUCGAUAACUUAAGCGUUGGUGAAAGGAUCUGGUCGGUCUAAGGACGAGCAGAUUUCAGCAUCAACAUUUUGGCGCCGUCUGUGGGGAGCUGAAUAAAAAGCUACCACCAAAUUAGUAAGUACCGGAGAAGCAGCGAGCAAUUGGAUAUGGAUGCGUCAAGAAAUGAUACUUUAAGGGAGGACAAUGAAACGGUGGAGACAAUUACUCUCCGGGAGAUUGCAAAUGAAGCCCGAGAGAGGAUGAUGCAAGAUAUACUGGAGCGGAUGGAGAAACAAAUGGAGACUCUCGCGGCCGUAUUGUUUGAGCUGAGGGACGAGUGGAGAAGGGAUUGUGAAACCCCCGUGGGAAGAGAUGGAAUUGGAGCAGAACCCAGCCUCCGGGGGCGUAGGGUCGGGGAAAUCCCUCCGCCCGCAGACCAACCUAACGGAGUGCAUCCCCACCGAAGUACUGGUCGGGUCCCAGGGGAAUACGUGGAUGAAGGGAGAGACCAACCUCGCCCCGGACGGGUACUGGAAGUAAAUGGCCGAGGGGCCAGUGUUGAUGAGGGAGAGCUCAGACAGCGGUUGCAGAACGUCGAGCAGGAGCGUGAUCAGAUAGCUGCACGUGAUCCUGAUCGUGCUGUAGAAUUGGAGGGGGAGGUGCGCAGAUUGGCGCAGGUGAUAGAGGAGAUGCAAGGCAAGAGGAAGCCCCCGAGCUGAAGGAUAAUGCUAGAUGAAGAAUCCCCGUUAUCAACUGAGAUCAUGAGUACCAUAAUCCCAAGAGAUUUCCGCUUCCCCGACCUCAAAUACUCCGGGCGAAGUGACCCGUUGGUGCACAUUGAGCGUUUCAACGACAUGACGGGUGUGCAGGGGUUGACACCAGCUCAGAGGUGCAGGGUGUUCCCGUUGACACUAGAGGGACGAGCCCGAGAAUGGUACCGCAAGCUUCCCCGAGGAGGAAUUAAGGGUUAUGAGCAGAUGUUCCUGGAGUUGGCCGAGCAGUUCCGAGGGGCAGUGGCCCCAGAGGAUGACAUGAUGGAAUUGAUGGGGAUGAAGCAGGAGGAGCAUGAAUCCCUUCGAGAUUUUGUAAAACGAUAUCACCGAGCCGUGCUGGAUCUGGGAGAUUUUAAUCACCCACAGGCGUUGAGGGGAUUAAAAGAAGGUGUGAGAAUCGGCCGAUUGUGGUAUAACUUAAGAAGCCCCCUCGUACAGAAUUACUCGUCGGGGUAUGAGCAGGCGAGACGAGAUAUAGAAAUCGAAGAAGAGAAAUCAGCAAGAAUUAAAAGUGAACAGCUGGAAGAGCUGAGACGAAAGGAACGGAGAGCCCCGAAAGGGUGCGGGUCGGGAAAGCGAACAGGAGAAUCUUCAGUGAUGGGCGGAAUAUCAGCUCGUUCCCGCCCAUACCACAUAGCUCCGAGAGCACAACAGUUCCAACACAGCCGGGCUCAACCUCCGCGCCCCCCGAUCCCAGAACGGCAGCGAGAAUUCAGGCAGAUGGCUGCCCACCCUUACCACAGCACUCCCAGAGGAUUAGGUGCAACUAAUUACAGGUCUGGACGACCCGAACAGAUACCGGCUAUACCGGCCCGAGGUGACAUUCAUGAUAGCCGAGCAGUGUAGCUAGUAGACCAGAGCUUGGCCUAUAAACAGUACACUCCGUUAAAGAUCUCUAUGGAGGAGUUGUAUGAGAGGAUCGAAGGACGAGGCCUGCUGUAUCCUCCAGCCCCAAUAACAAAACCGACUCACCGACGGGACAAGAGCCGAUUCUGCAAGUUCCACGACACUCACGGUCAUACUAUCAGCCAAUGUCGUGACCUGAAGAUUCAGGUGGAGGAUUUAGUGAGGAACCGAUACUUGGACGAGUAUGUAGAUGGAGUGUCCCCUGUCAUGGAAUCACAGUACACACGGGAUGAAGGAGUCGAGAGGGAUUUGGAACGUGAACAGCCGACCAUCCGUGUGAUAGCAGGAGGGCCAACAUUGGCCGGGGAUUCAAACAGAGCACGGAAGAACUAUGGGAGGUACGCCAUGACUGGCAGAGAGGUGCUUCUAAAUUUGCCAGCAGCCAAGAAGGCAAGAGUGCGGCAAGUUCCCAUCAUGUGGACGGAGGAUGACGAAGAGGGCAUUUUGUAUCCUCAUGAGGAUGCACUGGUGAUUAAAGCAUUAGUUGCUAGCACAGAAUUGAGGCGAAUACUGGUGAAUACGGGCAGCUCAGUCGAUAUUCUGUUUAAGUCGGCCCUAGAUGAUAUGGGGAUUUCAAAUUUAAAGCUGGAGCGGACAAACACAUCAUUAAAGGGAUUUAGAGGUGGACGAUUAACUCCCAUGGGGGUCAUUGAACUCCCAAUUACUGUGGGGACAAAGCCCUUUAAAAGAACGAUGAUGCUGGACUUUGUCGUGGUAGAGGAAAGAAGUCCUUACCAGAUGAUAUUGGGGAGACCAUUCAUGAGGAUAAGCCAAUGUGUAAUGUCCAUGCAUUAUCUGGCGUUGAAAUACAGAAUAAAUGGAGUUGUGGGUGUAGUAAAGGGCGACCAGAGAAUGGCCAGGAGCUGCUAUGCUACAGCGGCCAAGGAAACGCUGCAGGUUACCUCUCUAGAUAACCGAGGAGAUUCAAGAAAUGGUCGUCAGGAACCUGUUGAGAAGCUGGAGGAAGUUGUUGUAAGCAGGAGUGACCCUAGCAGAGUUGUUAAGGUCGGGUCAGAAUUGGGCGAAGCAAUAAAGGCCGAGCUGGUGAAGUGUCUACAGUCCCAUGCAGACAUAUUUGCCUGGUCUCAUGAGGAUAUGCCAGGUAUUGACCGCGGGAUAGCUUGUCACAAGCUGGCGGUUAAGAAAGGGGCAAGGCCGGUGAGGCAGAAAAGGAGGUGCUUUAACCAUGAAAGGUACGAGGCCAUAAAUGCCGAGGUGGAAAAGCUGCUGAAAGCAGGAUUUAUAAGGGAAGCCAAGUACCCGGAGUGGAUUUCCAAUGUGGUACUGGUAACGAAGGCCAAUGGGAAAUGGAGAAUGUGUGUAGACUUCACGGACCUCAAUAAGGCAUGCCCGAAGGACAGCUUUCCCCUACCAAAAAUAGAUCAGCUGGUGGACUCAACCGCGGGUCAUAGUCUGCUCAGUUUCAUGGAUGCCUUCUCCGGAUACAACCAGAUACCCAUGAACGAGCAGGAUGAGGAAAGCACCACCUUUAUAACUAACAUGGGUCUGUUUUGUUACAGGGUGAUGCCUUUUGGCCUGAAAAAUGCAGGAGCUACCUAUCAAAGGUUAGUGAACAAGGUCUUCAAACCAUUGAUCGGUCACACUAUGGAAGUAUAUGUGGACGAUAUGAUCACCAAGUCGAGGGAACCGAGAGAUCAUGUGAAGCACCUGGAGGAGACUUUCGAAUUGCUGAGGAGGUACGAAAUGAAGCUGAACCCGGAGAAAUGUGCAUUUGGGGUCGGCUCGGGCAAAUUUUUGGGGUACCUGGUGAGCCAUCGGGGAAUUGAAGCCAACCCAGAAAAAAUACGGGCGGUAAUAGAAAUGAGGUCCCCACGAACAGUUAAGGAGGUGCAAAGCCUUACGGGGAAAUUGGCAGCAUUGAACCGAUUCAUUUCGCGAGCCACUGAUAAGUGCCACCCUUUCUUUCAAGUCAUAAAGAAAGGGAAGAAGAUGGAAUGGACACCGGAAUGCGAGGGGGCAUUUGGACAGCUGAAGGAAUACCUAGCCCGCGCCCCGUUACUGUCAACUCCGAGAGAGGGUGAUCAGCUGCUCUUGUACUUGGCAAUCUCUAAGCAGGCUACCAGCUCGGUCUUAGUCAGGGAAGAAGAAGGGAAGCAACACCCGGUAUACUACACAAGCAAGGCCCUGGUGGACGCAGAAACCAGAUAUCCGAUAAUGGAGAAGUGGGCGCUGGCUUUGAUAACGGCAGCACGCAAACUCCGACCAUACUUCCAAGCCCACCAGAUCGUUGUGAUGACUGACCAGCCACUUCGGCAAGUGCUUCAAAAACCAAAUGCGUCUGGUCGGUUAGUAAAAUGGUUCGUGGAGCUGAGCGAAUUUGACCUGUCCUACAGGCCCCGAGGAGCAAUCAAGGCCCAAGCCCUGGUAGAUUUCAUGGUGGACCGUGUUGAACCAGGGGACGAGGUCCAAGAGGAACAACCGGCAGAGCAAGAGGAUUCAAAAGGGAUAUGGCUGGUAAUGGUUGACGGAUCAUGUAGUGAGCAAGGAUCCGGAGCAGGAGUUAUAAUACGGAGCCCAGAAGGAACCGAGAUAACAUAUGCGGUGAAGUUCGAAUUUCAGCUCACAAACAACCAAGCUGAAUAUGAGGCCUUUAUCACCGGGCUCGGACUUGCACACGCUCUAAGAGCAGAGAGGGUAGAAAUCCGAGCAGAUUUCCAACUGGUGUGUAAUCAGCUCAAUGAUCAGUUCCAAGCAAUGGGAGAGAAGAUGGGUCUUUAUUUAAAGAAGGCCAAGCAGAUGGUUGGGCUUUUCCAAGCAGUGGAGGUAAAGCAGAUAUCCCGGAAUGAGAAUUUCCGAGCCGAUAUGCUGGCUAGGAUGGCAGCCAUUGCAGAUCCCAAAUUACCGAAGUCAGUUCCACUAGAGGUAAGGACCUCACCAAGUAUUGAGGAAGAAGCAGAGGUGAUGAGAGUAAGUAUUGGAGAAUCCUGGAUGGACCCGAUUCGCGCAUAUGUCCGCGAUGGAGUUUUACCAGAGGACAAAAGGCAAGCAAGAAAAUUAAAAUGCCGAGCAACAAGGUAUACGCUACUGGAUGGAGUGCUGUACCGCCGAGGGUUCACCUUGCCCCUUUUGAGAUGUUUGGAUGAUGAGGAGGCGGAUUAUGUGCUGAGAGAGAUUCAUGAGGGAAUAUGCGGCAAUCACUCGGGAGCAAGAACUUUAGCCUUCAAGGCACUCCGGCAAGGAUACUUCUGGCCAACCAUGCACCAGGAUGCCAAAAGGAUGGCCAAGAAUUGUAAAACAUGCCAAAGCUUCUCCGAGGUUCCUGCACAACCACCGGAGAAACUGACGGCUAUGACAUCCCCAUGGCCUUUCGCUCAAUGGGGAAUCGACUUGAUUGGUCCAUUACCUAAGGGACGAGGAGCGGCGACACAUGCAAUCGUGGCAAUAGACUACUUCACCAAGUGGGUGGAAGUAGGAGUCCUCAGCCAGAUCACAGAGAGGAAGACAACAGAUUUUAUUUGGAAAAACAUCAUCUGCAGAUAUGGGAUCCCCUACGCCAUCAUCACAGACAAUGGGAGGCAAUUUGACAACGGCAACUUCAGGGAAUUUUGCCGAAACCUGGGGGUGGACCUGAAGUUCUGCACCCCCGCACACCCCCAGGCAAACGGACAAGUGGAAGCAGCCAACAAGGUGAUAAAGAAGCUCCUAAAGACUAGAUUGGGGGAGAAGAAGGGAGCUUGGGUUAACGAGCUACCAGGGGUACUGUGGGCCUACAGGACAACUCACAAAACCGCCACAGGAGAAACACCGUUCGCUUUAGCUUUUGGUCAUGAGGCGGUAAUCCCAGCAGAGAUUGGAGUGGGGACACAUAGAACGGAACAUUUCGUUGAGGAGCAAAAUGACGAGCAGAUCUACUUAAGCCUAGACCUGCUGGAGGAGAAAAGGGAAGGGGCCUCGCAGAAAGUGGCCCAAUGUCAGCAAAGGGUCAUGCGUUAUUACAACAAGAAUGUACGCGUGAGGCAGUUCCGAGCAGGAGAUUGGGUACUUAGGAAGGUGAACCAGAACACCAGGAAUCCUAACCAUGGCGCUCUUGGCCCAAAGUGGGAAGGCCCAUACCGAGUGAUACGAGCCACUGGACCAGGAGCAUAUAAAUUAGCGUGCCAAGACGGACGAGACGUGAAGAGGUCAUGGAACGCCGAACACCUGAAGAAGUAUUUCCAGUAAGCAAAAUGCUCUAUUAAAUCCUCACUCUGGCAAGUUAUUUCUGUUACAAUGCCUGAUGGCCUGUCGCACAUGCAUAUAUUCUAUGUUUUUGUAAUACAUUCAAAUUUCAAUAAAGAUGAAUUCAGCAUGAAAUCCCCCUACUAGCAAGAUCAAUAAAAAUUUCACUAAGACAAGUGCCACUUCUGCUCGGUCAACGAAGACCAGCAGCUAAAUUCUCUAAAUUUCAUUAAGGCAAGAGCCUACUUCUGCUCGGUCAACGAAGACCAGCAGCUAAAUUCUCUAAAUUUCACUAAGGCAAGAGCCUACUUCUGCUCGGUCAACGAAGACCAGCAGCUAAAUUCUCGAAAGUUCACUAAGGCAAAUCAAUGCCUACUUCUGCUCGGUCAACGAAUGACCAGCAGCUAAAGCUACGAACACUCUCCUAGGGCAAGUGCCUACUUCUGCUCGGUCAACGAAGACCAGCUAAAUUCUCGAAAGUUCACUAAGGAAAAUCAGUGCCUACUUCUGCUCGGUCAACGAAUGACCAGCAGCUAAAGCUACGAACACUCUCCUAGGGCAAGUGCCUACUUCUGCUCGGUCAGCGAAGACCAGCAGCUAAAGCUUCGAAAAUUCUACUAAGGCAACAGAGUGCCUGUUUCUGCUCGGUCAACGAAUGACCAGCAGCUAAAGCUACGAACACUCUCCUAAGGCAAGUGCCUACUUCUGCUCGGUCAGCGAAGACCAGCAGCUAAAGCUUCGAAAAUUCUACUAAGGCAACAGAGUGCCUGUUUCUGCUUGGUCAACGAAUGACCAGCAGCUAAAGCUACGAACACUCUCCUAAGGCAAGUGUCUACUUCUGCUCGGUCAACGAAGACCAGCAGCUAAAGCUUCGAAAAUUCUACUAAGGCAACAAAGUGCAUGUUUCUGCUCGGUCAACGAAAGACCAGCAGCUAAUUCUACGAGAAGUUUACUGAGGCAAGUAAAUACUGUUGAGUACAUAAAGGCACCAAGUCAGCCAUGCUACUGUUUCCGCCCCGGCACGGACCAUUUCAGCUAAGUGGUACGAGCAGAACACGGGGGCAAACAUGAGCCGAUCAGAGAUGGAUGCAACCAGGGAAACAUACCGACCAGAAGUAUAUGCCGAGCCAAUACUCAUCCCCAGGAAAGCAGGAACACGAUCCCACAAGAUCGCGGUAGUUGCGCUUCUCCCAGAACGGUUGAAGGACACACGAGAUCCACGUUUGCCCACAAUGCAACAGUUAGAGCUCCAUGAGGGGCUACCACCACCCGAAAAAGGAGGGAUAAGGGGCAAACGGAAAACGUGGGACAAAGGGCGGCUAUAAAAGAGAAAGACAUCGAAGAAGAAAGGGACAGAAAAAUUGAGAGAGGGAAAACGCUGCCAAAUUGCAACCAGAUUAAUUUCUUACAGAUUUUGAACAAACUUCUUGAAUCCAAAUUAUAUUGUUUUCCCGUAAACACCUUGUGCUAACUUAGGCAUCGGAGGGUUUACGCCGGCAAAACCACCGGCGUCUCUGAUCCAUUUUUGGUGAACGCAGGUCUAGUGAGAGAAAGGAGGGUGGUCCCGGCCUUAGUGGUUCGAGCAACAGUCGAUAACUUAAGCGUUGGUGAAAGGAUCUGGUCGGUCUAAGGACGAGCAGAUUUCAGCAUCAACAGUAGAUGAUGAGGGAAAUGCUGCGAAAGAUGAAAUUGUUUUCAGCGAGUUGAUGUACUUGGAGCUUUGUGAUUUAAGAAGACUUACAAGCUUCUGCUCUGGCAACUGCGCCUUCAAGUUCCCAGCUUUGACAUAUUUUAGUGUGGAUAAAUGCCCCUUUUUUUAACCUUGUUGCAACUUGCAAGUUGGAAGAUGUCGGCAGCAUUAGCCACUAUCAGGAAUCUUCGUGCAAGUUGUGAGCCACCCGAGCCGAGUUUCAUCAUUUAUUUUUUCUUUUUUCUUUUUUGUUCAUUUCAUUUUCUGUUUCACUUUUGAGAACAGAAAAUGUAAAAAAUGAAUAAGAAUCGCUUGUUUGAAAAUUAGAAAAUGAUUGGAGACAUAAGAAUUGAUAAAAACAUAUAUAAAAUGAUGUGGUUUUGGUUUUAUUUAAAAUUAAAAAAAAAACCUAAAAUGAUAUAAUUUUAAGUAUAUAAUGUUUAUACUGAGAUUUAUGCGACUAUGUGCUUAGGUGCGAAGCUGAAUCAAUUAUUUGAUCAUCGUCGUUGUGGCUGAGAUUUAUUAUAAGUUUAUUCAAUCAUUGAAUAAGAAUUACCUGUAACUUGCUUGAAAAUUUUUAAAAUGAUUGGAGGACUAAAAUUAGCUAAAAAAUGACAUCGUUUUUGUUUUAUUUAAAAAAAAAUCACCUAAAAUGACACCAUUGCUUAUGUUUUUUUGUCAAUUUUUAAUCAAAUUUUAUUUCAAAACAUCAGUCUUGCAAAUUAUGCGAAGAUUUUAUAAUUAGAAGCACAUGUGCAGAUGGGAUCUUUGUUUUAACUUUUGGCCUUAAUUAAUUACUUGUUCAGACCUUUUAAGUUAUAUUAUGAUGUAAUUUAUAUUAACCAUUAAAUUAUCAUUAGUGAUUUAAAACUAAAAUUAACUAAACUACUUUUUAAAUUAUUAAUUACAACUUUUAAAUUAAUAUAAAUUACAUUAUAAUAGAAUUUAACAACACCCUUUCUGUGAUAUUAUGUUGACUGAAACGACAAAGACCUGACCGUGGGCCAACUGUUCAAAUGGGAGAGAAACUUGCGUUGAAGCUGAGGUGGCGGCUGGUGGGAUAACCAUUAUGAAAUCCCAUUGGCUUUCGACUUUGGGAUUCUCACUAUUUUUUAUUUUUAUUUUUAUAAAAUUGAUUAUUGAGCAUCAGUGAACUUAACUAUCUCAUCACCUCACGUUUCGCAUAACUUUUUCACAUUCUUUGUCCACUCUUUGGCCUUUGCGUUCAUUUCAAUGACAAGAAUUAAUUCUGCUGACUUAAUUUUAAAAAAAUAUACAGCCAGUGAAUCCCGCUGUAGAAAUCAAAUAAUUGGCUACCAUUUGUCCGACGCACAUCUCGCAACCAUGCAAGUCUUUCUCCAUCUCAAUCAACAUUCUCAAUCAUCUUGAUUGUUUUUAUUCUUUAGCUUUGCUCCUUUCCGCCACCAACUCUUUGGACCUUUCACUGGAUCAAGCAACACCUUUGGUUAUUACAAUCUUCGGAUCUCAACAUUAAUACGAAUCGUACGUGUAUCUGUUUUCUUUAUUUAUUUUUGCUCUGUUCCCUGUCCACUUGUCUCUGUUUUGUUCUGUAUCUACUCUUCUGAUGUAUGUUUACUCUGUCAAUAAAUCCCUUCUCUUCUUCUUCAUCUCUACAUCUUUUUAGUUGUUGUCUCUGUUCAGUUUCCUUUUGGUUCGCUUCACUUCACAUCUACAUACUUUACAAAAUUCUAAAAUUUAAAAAAAAAAGAGAGAAAAGGGAAAGAAUUGAAAAUAGUGGAAAGCAUAGUAACUGUUGUGUUAGAAGUUGCAAAGUGCUUGGGUCCUCCCACUGAAAGACAAUUGAGUUAUGUGCGCAACUACAGGAGCAACUUUGAGAAUCUCAAGACUGAACUUGAGAAGCUCAAGGAUGACGGUGCCAGUAUGCAGCACGGGGUUGAUGAGGCUAAAAGAAAAGGAGAAGAGAUCGAAAAGAACGUUGAGAAAUGGCUUGCAAGUGUCAACAACAUCAUUACUGAGGCUGAGAAAUUUACAGGCGAUGCAGAUAAAGCAAACAAGCGUUGUUUCAUGGGGCUGUGUCCAAAUUUGAAGACCCGCCAUCAGCUUAGCAAGGAAGCGGUGAGGCAAUUCGAAGCUAUUGUCAAACUUCGGGAAGCUGGGAGAUUUGAUAGAAUUUCCUACCGUAAAGCUCUGGAGGACAUAAGGCUUAUAUCUAACAAAGACUACGAGGCAUUUGAAUCAAGAACCUCCACUUUGAAUAAUGCACUUCGUGCAUUACAAGAUCCUGAUGUGAACAUGGUUGGGAUUUAUGGUAUGGGCGGCAUCGGAAAGACGACACUAGCAAAAGAGGUUGCUAUUCAGUUCAAGAGAGACCAGCUAUUUGAUCAAGUGAUUUUUGUGGAGGUGCCCCAGAUUCCAGACAUAAGAAAGAUUCAAGGAGAAAUCGCUGAUAAAUUAGGUCUCAUAUUUUUCGAAGAGACCGAAUCUGGAAGGGCAAGGAGUCUUUAUAAUCGAUUGAAGGAUGAGAAAAAAAUCCUUGUAAUUUUAGAUAAUGUUUGGGAAAGUGUUGAUUUGCAGGAUGUAGGAAUUCCUCACGGAGAUAAUCACAAGGGGUGUAAAAUAUUGAUGACGGCAAGAAGUGAAGAUAUAUUGUCUGGCAAGAUGGAUUGCCGACAUAAUUUCUCAGUUGGCGUUCUAAGAGAAGACGAAGCUUGGAGUCUAUUUGAGAAGAUGGCAGGGGAGUACAUCGAAAGUAGUGAAUUCAAAGGGGUGGCAACGGAGGUGGCAAAUGAAUGUGCAGGUUUGCCUGUUUCCAUUGUAACAGUAGCGAGGGCGUUGAGAAAUAAGAGAUUAUUUGAAUGGAAGGAUGCUUUGGGACAGUUAAGAAGGCCUUCCUCAACGAACUUUAAAGAUAUACAGCCGGCUGCUUAUUCAGCUAUAGAGUUGAGUUACAACAAAUUAGAAGGAGAGGAGCUCAAGAAGAUCUUUUUGCUAAUAGGCUACACCUACAUAUCGUCCAUUAAUGACGUGUUAAUGUAUGGCAUGGGUUUGGGUUUGUUUCAAGGCAUCAAUAGGAUGGAAGAAGCACGAGCUCGAGUGUAUACAUUGGUGUACAAACUCAAGGCUUCUUGUAUGUUGCUUGAGCAUGGAAGCAAAAAUGAACAUUGGUUUUCUAUGCAUGAUGUUGUUCGUGAUGUUGCCAUAGCAAUUGCAACCAGAGAACAAAAUGUGCUUACGAUGAGAUAUGAACUGGUUAAUUCACGGGAAUGGCUAGAUGAAGGUGCGCUUAAGUUUUACACUUCGAUUGUCUUACACGACAGCAAGAUGAAUGUUCUUCUUCCUGAAGUUUUGGAAUGUCCUCAACUGCAACUUCUCUCUUUGUGGACUGAGAAAUCUUCAUUAAUCACACUUCCAGACAAUUUUUUCAGGAAGUUGACGCAAGUCAGAGUUUUAGACUUGACUUAUAUGCAUCUAUCAUUACUGCCUUCAUCACUUGGUCUCCUAACAAACCUUCGAACAUUGUGUUUGUAUUGCAGCGAAUUGCAAGAUAUAGCUGUUAUAGGAGAAUUAAAGAACCUAGAAAUCCUUUGCUUAAGGGGUUCUUAUAUUGAGCAGUUGCCUGUGGAAAUAGGCCAAUUGACUCAGUUAAGGUCGCUUGAUUUGAGAGACUGUGACAGACUACAGGUUAUUCCCCAAAUGUUUUAUCAAAUUUAUCCCAUUUGGAGGAAUUAUACAUUCGUAGCUUUAAUAAGUGGGAGGUGGAGGUGGAGGUGGAAGCUGCAGGGGUCAAGAAUGCAAGCCUUGAAGAGUUGAAGCGUUUGCCUAACUUGACCACCUUAGAAUUAUGCAUCCCAGAUGUCAACACUCUGCCGAAGGGGCUGUUCUUCGAGAAGCUGGAAAGGUACAGAAUAUGUAUUGGACGUUGGUGUUGGGAGGAUACCUCACCUACGUGUUCUAGAACAUUCAGACUCCUCCUUGGCACCGACAAUUGUAUCAGCUUCAAGAGUGGGCAUAUCGUGCAACUUCAGCGAAUUGAAGACCUUUGUUUAUCUAGAUUGCCAGACCAAGAUAUCAUUGAAUUAGUUAAUAACAAAUUGGGCUCUUAUUCUUCCCAACUGAAGCAUCUCUGGGUCGAAGGUUGUCAAGCCCCCAGUCCGAAAGAGUCAAAGGUAUGAUAUGAUCUUCCUAAAUUUCGAACAUAUCAAAGCAGCCAGUGCAAAAACAGAUUCUUCAUUUCUUAUGAGUAUGACUAUGUUCUAAACAGAGAUGCAAGGAAUCGACAAGUGAAAUGCGAUCGAAUGAAAUCAUUUUGGAGGACCAUGUCAACGUUCCUAAUACAUUUUUCCUCAAGGUCGGAUAUUAAUGAUCCAAUGGUCAUAUUCUUAUGAUUUUUUCCUUUUUUUUUUGCUGCUUUAUUAUAUAUUCUCCUUUCCUAGGAAAUAUAGGCUAGAGUGAAUCAGGGAUUAACGAACAUAUUUCAUAAUUAUAUUAAAAUUUUCAUCCUGAGUAACGUAGGUGUAACAAAUACAUUCUCGGAUGAAAGAAAAAGUACCCUGAAUGCACUUAUAUACUAACUUUGAUCUCCUCAUAUAACGGUUGGAAAGUUUUGUGAACAGGGUGGGUUACCAAACUUGGAGACCUUGGAGCUGUAUAAUGUAAAUGUGGAGAGGAUUUGGAAAAGCCAACUUCCGGCCAUGUCUUGUGGCAUUCAAACUUUAACCCGGUUGAUUGUAUAUGGCUGUGGGGAAUUAAGAUGUCUGUUUUCAUCUUCUAUAGUUAACAGCUUUAUUCGACUCCAACACCUUGAGAUAGAUGAGUGCCCUAUUUUGGAAGAGAUAAUAGUCAUAGACCAGCAAGAAAGGAAGAAUGUUGUGUUCCCUCAGUUACAAUUUCUAAAGAUGGUAGAUCUCGAAAAGCUCACAAGCUUCUGCACAGGAGAUGUGCACAUUGAAUUUCCAACAUUGGAAACUUUAGAAGUAAUAAGGUGUCCUGAAUUCCUUUUAACUGCUCAUGACUUGACAAAAGAGGUACGUACAAGAUUUAAAAUUUACUCUUAAUAAUUGGCAUUACGUUUUCUUUUUGGUCCUGAUUUAUCAUGCAUCCAACCAGGUAUUCCCCAAUUUGAAAUAUUUGACCAUUGAAGGAAAGAAGAUACCAAUGGCAGCUGAGUUUCCAGAGGACAUGUUUUGCAAACUCAACUUUCUUGAUGUUAUAUUUGAAGAGUCAACUACUAUUUCAUCACUUGAUUUCCUUCGGAGAUUUCACAGCAUAAGAGAACUCACAAUAAGGGGAGGAGGAUAUGUUGGGGGCGUUAAGCCAUCAUAUGGAGUAGAAAAUUGGACGAAGGCAAUCAUAAGGAAUCUACACAAUUGUUGUGAUCUGAAGCAUAUUUUGAUCCAGGAAUCCAAAAUGGACAAUUUGGUUCAUCUAACAGUUGAGUAUUGUGACCAUUUGAUUAAUCUAGUGCCACCUUCAACAUCGUUUCAGAAUCUGACAACUUUGAAGGUGUGGAGAUGCAAAGGAUUGAUAAAUGUGCUAACAUCCUCGACAGCAAAGAGUUUGGUACGACUGACAGAGAUGAGUAUCGUUGACUGCAGCAUGAUAACAGAAGUAGUGGCAGAUGAUGAGGGAAAUGCUGCAAAAGAUGAAAUUGUUUUCAGCGAGUUGAUGGACUUGGAGCUUUGUGAUUUAAGAAGACUUACAAGCUUCUGCUCUGGCAACUGUGCCUUCAAGUUCCCAGCUUUGACAUAUUUAAGUGUGGAUAAAUGCCCCAAUAUGAAGAUUUUCUCUGGAACAGAAUUAAGCACUCCCAGUUUACACGAAGUAGAGAAACGCUGGCUGUCUGGUGAGUAUUGGACUUGGAAGGGCGACCUUAAUUCUACCAUACAACAGAUAUAUCUUGAAACAAAGGUACGUAUUCAUUACUCAGAGACCCAAAAGUUACUGUUCAAUUAGAUUAAGCACUCCCAUUUUAUUUGAAAACUGUUGUUCCUGCUUUCACCUUCAAUUUGUUUUGUUCGUUGUUUACAGGAAGUUCAAAAUCAUAAAGAUGAUUCAGGCCAACCUUCUGUGCAGCAUCAGGAAUGAGGCCAAUUUUCAUUGAAAUUUGUGAGACAUGGUAUGCAGCUCGUGUAAUUUCUAUCAAAGUUAAGACGGUAAGAGGGCCUUCAUUUUUUAUUGUUAUUGUUCUACAUUUUGGCUUCUCUUGAUUACUCAAACCCAGUUUCAAAGAGUUAUAAUACAACACUUUCGGAAAUUUCUGUCACUCACAUCAUUCCAGGUUGAAUGGUGGAAGGGUCCUUCAUCUAUGCUGUUUCAGACAUCUUGAAAGACUAUAUAAGAAUCUAAAUUAAAGAUGUGUGAAUCAGACUUGUCUUGUGUGCACGUGAGCCAUGUGUUAGAUUGCUGGUGUAGUAGUAAAAGUAGACAUUCAGCACAUGUUCAUUGUAGUAAAUAUUCAACAAAGAUGAUAAUACAGCAACAGAAAUUGGAGUUUUAGGCCAUCAGACAAACAAUUGUGAAACAAGUGGGUAGAGGGAAUAAUAAAAAUCGAAAGACAUGGAUGGGAAGAAUAUGAGAUCAUUGAUAGAACCUAAAUACAAAUUCAAUCAAUUCAUUAAGCCAUCAAAAGUUAGUUACAAACCACUCUAUCUUAACAGAUGUAAUUUACCAUCAUCUAAAACCGCUAUAUCCUAACAUAUGUAAUGUACCAUUAUCAAUUUCUGCUAUGUUAUGUUUGUAUAGCCUAAUAUGUUUGGCUUGGUCUUGUCUAAUAUAUUUGGCUUGGUUUUGUAUCCUUUCCAAACAUAUGAAUAUUUACUCAAGCGCAUGUUUGCGCCAUCUGAACAUUGAGUGGUUUGAUAUCUCUGCAGCGCAUGUAGGUCAAAAACUGACCAGGCAGCUCCUCCAAAAGUGCUUGUACAACAGAAAUUUGCCCACCUGUUCAGAAAACAAUGGGUUCGUUUGUUAAGGCAUGAAAAAAUUCAGAAACUU
rnacentral:lncRNA from 1 species